ACCAAUCCAACUAAGCACACGCUUACAAUAUAAAUACUCUCAUCUCAUGGAAAGACUUCAUUCUCUCAGGAUGAUGAGCAGAUUUCUCUUACUCCAUUGUUUGAUUCUUAUUUCCUUACUUAUCGCAGCUGCAACAGCCAACACAAGUACUAUUACCGCAGACCAAGAUGCUCUGCUUUCCCUGAAAGCUCACAUAACUCAUGAUCCAACCAAUUUCUUGGCCAAAAAUUGGAACACGAGUAUCUCUUUCUGUAAUUGGACAGGCGUCACUUGUGAUGUCCAUAGCCAUAGAGUCACAAUCUUGAAUAUUUCUGGCUUAAAUCUCACCGGCACCAUUCCUUCUCAGCUUGGGAAUCUUUCUUCUCUGCAAUCACUCAAAUCUCAGUUUUAACCAACUUUCUGGUUCCAUUCCCUCCGCUAUCUUCACCACGUAUACACUGACAUAUGUUAGUCUCUGUCAAAAUCAGCUCUCUGGGAAAAUUCCUGCAAAUAUUUGUAGCAAUCUUCCUUUCCUUGAAUUUCUUUCUUUGUCCAAAAACAUGUUGUAUGGCGGAAUACCGUCCACUCUAUCAAAUUGCACAUAUUUAAGAAUCUUAAGUUUGGCAUACAAUGAUUUCUCAGGAGCCGUACCUAGAGAAAUCGGGAACUUGACCAAACUUAAGGAAUUAUAUCUUGGCGUUAAUAGACUUCAAGGUGCGCAUGAUCACGAAGUUUAAUUAUAAGAAUUGUUCCCUGAGUUGUAGUAUGAAUAACGUUCCAUAAUACACUUUACACACGUUGAUUAAUUUGCAGGAGAAACUCCUCGAGAGUUUAGCAAUCUUGCCGACUUGGAGCAUAUGUCGUUGGCAGGCAACAAUCUCCAAGGCAUGAUUUUAAAGUUUUUGCAAUUUUAUUUUAGCGAUGCUUGCUUCUGUAUUCAUUCGCUUGUUCUUUGAUUAUGCGAUGAUUUAUUGUUUUUCUUUCAGAUAGAGAUAAAGCUCCAUGUCUCCCCUCACUCAUUUCAUUCUUUAAUUUAUGCAGAUAAAAAUUUAAAAAAAAUGUUUUGUAAUUUUCUUUUGUCAUAUUGCCACUUCCGUUUUGAAGCUCCCAAUCAAGUCGAUGAAAAUGAAUGAUGUUUCAUUCUUAUUCUUGUCAGCCUAAUUCUUAUAUAAUUGAAGAGUAAAUUGUUAUUAUGAUCAAAUUGUUUGCGCAUAUAUAAAUGUACUUUAUUUACAGGAGGUAUUCAACGGGAAUUGGGGAAUCUUACAAAAUUGGAGGGGUUACAGCUGUUCCAGAAUAACUUGAUCGGUAACUUUCUUUACAAUAUAUAUACGAGACAUCUUCCGCUUUUUAUUAGAAAUUAUAAAUUCAAGUUAAAUCUUAAUUAAAAGAUUUCAAGUCUCUCAUUAUAAAUUCUCAUAUGAUGAUGUGUCGUUACCACUAUCUAACAUUAUUCCCUUUUUUAUUAGAAAUUAGUUUGUGUUAAUUCAAAAUUCUGUAGCAUUUAAAAAAAUUAAAAACACGUGGAAUAAAUUGUUAAUCUUUCUUCUUUACUGAAUUUGGAUUUCUCAAAAAUAAUCAUGACAAGUAUGCUUCACUAAUGAUAAACAUGUGUGACAACUUCAUAAAAUAUUUUAUAUGGAAUCACUAAUUAUCUCUAAAGAUGCCAUCAGUGAUACAUAAUUUCUUAACAAGCACCGUACCAAAAGAAAUCAACAAUUUUAUUAAUCUUAAAGAGUUACAUCUUCACUGCAAUUAUGACAUAAAUUUUUAGUCAUCAAUCACAUAAUAUUUUAUCUUAACGGAUGAUGUUCAGUCUUGGAAUUUAUAAUAUCAUGAAGGUUAGUAGCAUUGAAAAUAAGAAAUUGUUCAUGUGCUAAAAAGUCAACUUAGUAUUUAAGUUUUUCACUUGAAAUUUUUGAAAAAAGUGUUGAGAACUAGCCCUCCUUAGUAUUUCAGCGGAUAAAUAUGAAAAAUGGGCUAGAAGAAAUUAUUUUAUUGUAAUAAGAGUUAGAAAGAGAGGAGAAGUACAGUACUCAUGACUUAGGCUUGCUGUGUGUGUGCUUAUUCUACUUGGGCUUUGGGCUUGAUUACACGGUCGAACGCUUACACCUGUUAAAAUAAUGGGCUUUUGCUUUCGCCGCACAUCUGAUAAUUUCCUAACCUUCCAAUUAGGUUAUAGCAAUUUAAAUAUAAAUAAUAAAGCAUGCUAAAGCUAGCAUUGGUGUAUGGCUGAGUGGUGUAAAAAGUGGAUCUGUUUUCAUGUAUUAUUUAUUCUCUAAAACAUAUUUGAAUACAAUUCUUUCAAAAUACCGAGGAAAUAGCACAUGAAAUCAGAAAUAUUUUAUUGUGAUGAGAAUUCAUAUACUCAUUGUAGUAGAACAUAUAAAAUAGACUAUAAAUUUAUUAUUCUUCGAAACAAACUUGAUUAUAAUUCCUUCAAAAUUAAGUUUGUCAUUAAAUGAUUUCUCAGGAGCCAUACCAAAAGAAAUCGGGAAUUUGACCAAACUCAAGGAAUUAUCUCUUGGCGGUAACAGGCUCCAAGGUGCGCAUGAUCACAAAGUUUAAUUAUGAAAAUUGUUGCAUAAGUUAUAUGGAUAUCCUUGAUAACCGCAGCAAGCAAACAAAAUCAAAUAAAAGCUAACUGAGACUCGAAUAUCCUAAACCCUGAAAAGGAAUGGUAAUGGUAUAAUAUGGAUUUUGAAGGCAUAUUUCACCGGACUCAACAUUUAUGGUUAAUUUACAACUCUUUGUUGGAAAGUCUGAGAAAUUGCUUUAUAUUAGGGGUGGGGAAAAUAAUGCUGGGCCACGAAUUUCAGGCAGAAUCCAGAUUGGGCCCAAUUAGACUUAUAGCUCAGCUCUGUGUAGAUAUCUGGGCCUUUACAAAUAAUUAAUGGGCCAAUUAAUAAUAAUAAAUAAAUUGAGAAGGGUGUGAGUGAAAUUAGAUAUGAAUGAAUCUGCCAAUGUAUGUACACAUUUUUAGCAAAAGAAAUCGGGAAUUUGACCAAACUCAAGGAAUUAUCUCUUGACCGUAACAGGCUCCAAGGUGCGCAUGAUCACGGAGUUUAAUUAUGAAAAUUGUUGCAUAAGUUGUAGUAUGAAUAAUGUUCCAUAAUACAGUUUAGACACGUUGAUUAAUUUGCAGGCGAAAUUCCUCGAGAGUUUGGCAAUCUUGCCGACUUGGAGCAGAUGUCGUUAUGGGAAAACAAUCUCCGAGGUAUGAUUCUAAACUUUUUGCGUUUUUUAUUAGAAAUUAAUUUGUAUUAACUAAAAAUUUUGUAGCAUCUGAAAAAAUUAAAAACACAUGGAAUAAAUCGUCAAUCUUCUAAUUUGGAUUUCUUAAAAAUUAUCUUGACAAGUAUGCUUCACUAAUGAUAUGCAUGUGUGACAACUUCAUAAAAUAUUUUACAUGGAAUCACCAAUUACCUUUAAAUAAUUGGAGAUGCCAUCAGUGAUACAUAAUUUCUUAACAAGCACCUUAUCAAAAGAAAUCAACAAUUUUAUUAAUCUUAAAAAGUUACAUCUUUACUGCAAUUAUGAAAUAAAUUUUUAGUCAUCAAUCGCAUAAUAUUUUAUCUUAACGGAUGAUGUUCAGUCUUGGAAUUUAUAAUACCUUGAAGGUUAGUAGCUUUGAAAAUAAGAAAUUGUUCAUUUGCUAAAAAGUUAACUUAGUAUUUAAGUUUUUCAAUUGAAAAUUUUGAAAAAAGUCUUGAGAACUAGCCCUCCUUAGUAUUUCAGCGGAUAAAUAAGAAAAACAGGCUUGAAGAAAUUAUUGUUGUGUGUGCUUAUUCUACUUGGGCUUUGGGCUUGAUUACACGGUUGAGCACUUACACCUGUUAUAAUAAUAGGCUUUUACUUUCACCACACGUUUGAUAAUUUCUUAACCUUCCCAAUUAGGUUAUAGCAAUUUAUAUAUAAAAAACGAAAGCAUACUAAAGCUAGCAAUUUUUUGACUGGUAUCAUUCCUUCAUCUAUUUCACGUCUUUCAUUAUAAAUUCUCAUAGGAUGAUAUCUCAUUUUUUAUUAGAAAUUAAUCUGUGUUUAUGCAAAAAAAUUUAGCAUCUAAAAAAAGUAUAAAAACACGUGGAAUAAAUCGAAAAUCUUUCUUCAUUACUGAAUUUGGAUUUCUCAAAAAUUAUCAUGACAGCUAUGUUAGUGUCUUACUAAUGAUAUGCAUGUGUGACAACUUCAUAAAAUAUUUUAUAUGGAAAAUAUUAAAAAUAGACUUGAAAAAAAUUAUUUUACUGAAAUAAUAGUUAAAAAGAGAGGAGAAGUAUUACCUAUUACACAUGGUCGAACACUUACACCUGUUAUAAUAAUAAUAGCAUCCGCCGGUCGACUAUGAGUGAUCAAAUUGUUUGCACAUGUGUAAUUUGCAGGAGCAAUUCCACGGGAGUUGGGAAAUCUUACAGGAUUGGGGUUCUUAGAGCUGGGUGAAAAUUUUUUAACCGGUAUCACUCCUUCAUCUCUCUCCAAAUUGCUUUUCUCUAUUAAAUUUGGAACUCUCAUUUAAUAACUUAACAGGUAACUUCCCUUACAACAUGUUUGUGUGACAUGUUUUGCUUCUCAAUUAAAAUAUUUCACUUCUCUCAUUAUAAAUUCUCAUAGGAGGAUGUGUUGUUAUUACUAUUUAACAUUAUCUCGUUUUUUAUUAGAAAUUAAUCUUUGUUUAUGCAAAAAAAUUUAGCAUCUAAAAAAAGUAUACAAACACGUGGAAUAAAUCGAAAAUCUUUCUUCGUUACUGAAUUUGAAUUUCUCAAAAAUUAUCAUGACAGCUAUGUUAGUGUCUUACUAAUGAUAUGCAUGUGUGACAGCUUCAUAAAUUAUUUUACAUGGAAAAUAUGAAAAAUAGACUUGAAAAAAAAUUAUUUUACUGAAAUAAUAGUUAAAAAGGGAGGAGAAGUACACUACUCAUGACUUAGGCUUGCUGUGUACUUAUUUUACUUGGGAUUCGAGCUUGAUUACACAUGGUCGAACACUUACAUCCCACGACAUAGGCUUUUAGGGACGAGUGGCGUCAAAUGUGUAUAUGCUUUUAUGUAUUAUUAUUCUUUGAAACAAAUCUGAUUAUAAUUCUUUUAAAAUACAGAUUAAAUGGCACGUGAAAUCGGAAAAUAUUUUACUGCAAUAAGAAUUCAUAUAUUCAUUGUACUAGCACAUAUAAAAUAAACUAUAAAUUUAGUUCCAAAAUACAUUCUUAUCUUCAUAUAAAUUUUACAUUAUUAAUUUAAAUUAAUAUUAAAAUAUGUUGUUUCUUUCACUAUGUUAUUUUAUUUACACAAUGAUGUGACUAUUGGAAUUAAUAAUACUUUUAAUUAUUUUGUAAAAAUAUAAAUUUAAUACUUUGUUAACAUUUUAACUACAUAUAAUAAUUAAACUGAAACUUGUAUUUAAAAAAUUCGAGUUACGCAUAUUCAUUUCAUGACAUAAAAGUGUAUAUUUAUGCUAAUUUACCAUUAUCAACAAAAAGAUUUGAGACAAAUAAUCUAAUUUAUAUUUUUAUAUUUAAAAUCUUGCAUUUAUUAUAUUUUGAAAAAAAUUUAUUUGCAAUUAUUUUAAACGGUUGGAUUCAAAUUUUCAUAGUUACUAAAGUCAAAGGGUAUAAAUGUAUAAUAGUCAAAAACAUAUUUGUAUGAUCAUUUUUCAAUGUAUAAAUUUUCUUAGUUAGUAGGAAAAUUAGAAAUUGUUGAUUUACUCAUAAAUAAAUUUAAUGUUUAGCAUUUCAAUUUUGGAAAACUUGAACUAAAUGUUGAUAACUUCGAAUCGGUCGAGCCGAGUUUCUCUUCCUUGACCCACGGACCCAUUGAAAGUUCUAUUCGAAUUGAGUUUCCUGGUGCUUAUAAAAAGCAUUUCUUUUCCUUGUUGCAGUAAUUUAUUCACAAAUGAGUUGAUUAGCAUCGAAGUUACCUGAGAGUCUGAGACCAUGCUAGUAGGAGAAAUUUGAUAAGAAAUUAUUUUACUGAAUUAAUUUAUUUUAUCUUGUUGCAACUGGAAUACUACUUUUUUUUUUGGGCCAUCACUUGGGCUUGAUUUACUUUAAUAGUAGCAUCCACCGACUUAGGCGUUUUUUACUUCUCACCACACAAUUUGAUCUUUUAAUUAGUUUUAACCACAUAAUCUAUCUAUUUCUCACCUAUUGCUUACUUAAAUCGCAUACAUAUUUUACCUACUAAUUUUUAUAAAUAUUAGUCAAAUAUAUUUUAUUACGUUUUUCUCGUAACUGCUCCAAAUGUGUACUAUUAAUACUUAACCCUCCCUUUUAAUUUACUGUGCAAUCUAUCUAUCACUUAAGUCAUAUAUAUUUGACCUAUAUUUUACCCCAAAAAAUAUAAAAAUAAAAGAAAAAGAAUGUGUAGCAAUUUGCAUAUAACUAACAAAGCAUUGAUGGUGUGUAGCCUUUCAAUACUUCACGACUGGCUUUUCUUGUGUGUUAGUACUUGUAAUAAUUGUGUAGUGUAUAAAUGGCAUUUUAUUAUUAAAGUGCGUCCAUUUUUAGAUAUUACUUAUUAUUUGAAAAAUAAUCUGAAUAUAAUUCUUUUAAAAAACAGGGGAGAUACCACUUGAAAUUGGUAAUCUCCAAAAUCUGGAGGAGUUGGACCUUCGUCAAAACAAAUUAGUUGGUAUUGUCCCCGCUGCAAUCUUUAAUGUGUCCACGCUCAAAUUACUUCAGCUUCAGAAUAAUUCUCUCUUGGGAUGUCUUUCGUCCAUCGCAGACGUCCGACUACCAAAUCUUGAAGAGCUUUCUUUAUGGGGUAAUAAUUUCAAUGGCACAAUUCCUCGUUUCAUCUUUAAUGCUUCUAAGCUCUCUAUACUAGAAUUGGUAGGCAACUCAUUCUCCGGUUUUAUUCCCAACACAUUUGGCAACUUAAGAAACCUUGAGCGGCUUAAUUUACAAGAUAAUUAUUUGACAUCUUCAACUCCAGAAUUGAGCUUUCUAUCCUCGUUGUCAAAUUGCAAGUCUUUAACACUUAUUGCCUUAUCAAAUAAUCCACUAGAUGGCAAUCUUCGUAAGACGUCUGUCGGUAAUCUUUCUCAUUCUUUGGAAAUCUUUCUCAUGUACAAUUGUAACAUUAGUGGCGGAAUCUCUGAAGAGAUUAGCAACUUGACCAACUUGACAACCAUUAAUUUAGGAGGCAAUAAAUUGAAUGGAUCAAUUCCGAUUGCCCUUGGCAAAUUACAAAAGCUACAAUAUUUGGGUCUUGAAGAUAACAAAUUAGAAGGAUCAAUCCCAGAUGAUAUUUGUCGUUUGGAUGAACUGUAUGAAUUGGAGUUGGGUGGCAAUAAGCUUUCAGGAUCAAUCCCUGCAUGCUUCGGUAAUCUGAUUGCUCUGAGGAUACUGUCGUUGGGUUCCAAUGAGUUAACUUCUAUUCCCUUAACUUUUUGGAACCUUAAGGAUAUCUUGCAACUCAACAUUUCAUCAAAUUAUUUUACUGGUCCACUCCCAUUAGAGAUUGGAAAUUUGAAGGUUUUAAUUGGAAUUGAUUUUUCGAUGAAUAAUUUUUCAGGCGUUAUCCCAACAGAAAUUGGAGGCCUAAAAAAUCUAGAAUAUCUCUUCUUAGGAUAUAAUAGAUUGCGAGGAUCGAUUCCUGAUUCAUUUGGGGAUUUGAUAAGUUUGAAAUUCUUGAAUUUGUCCAAUAAUAAUCUCUUUGGGGCUAUUCCUGCAUCUUUAGAGAAACUCUCAUAUCUUGAAGAUCUAAAUCUUUCUUUCAACAAGCUAGAAGGAGAAAUUCCUAGGGGAGGAUCUUUUGGAAACUUCUCAGCUGAAUCAUUUGAGGGAAAUGAAUUAUUAUGUGGUUCACCCAAUUUACAAGUCCCGCCAUGCAAAACUAGGAUCCACCACACAUCAUGGAAAAAAUCUCUUCUCCUGGGGAUUGUCUUGCCAUUGAGUACUACAUUAAUGAUAGUAGUCAUUUCGUUGAUCCUAAGAUAUCGACAGAGAGGAAAACAACCAUCGAAUGAUGCUAAUAUGCCACUAGUAGCAACGUGGAGAACAUUUUCAUACCUAGAACUUUGUCAAGCAACAGACGAAUUCAGUGAAAACAAUCUAAUCGGCAGAGGAGGUUUUGGCUCUGUUUAUAAGGCAAGACUUGGGGACGGGAUGGAGGUUGCAGUGAAAGUUUUCAAUUUGCAAUGUGGAAGAGCGUUCAAGAGUUUCGAUGUUGAAUGUGAAAUUAUGAAAAGUAUUCGCCAUCGAAACCUUAUCAAAGUUAUUAGCAGUUGUUCAAAUGAAGAGUUUAAAGCGUUGGUAUUAGAAUACAUGCCUCAUGGAAGUUUGGAGAAGUAUCUGUAUUCAAGUAAUUGCAUUUUGGAUAUUUUUCAAAGAUUGAACAUAAUGAUAGAUGUUGCAUCAGCUUUGGAAUAUCUGCACUUUGGUUGUUCAGCUCCAGUAAUUCAUUGUGACUUAAAGCCCGACAAUGUAUUGUUAGAUGAUAAUUUGGUUGCUUAUUUGAGUGAUUUUGGCAUCGCGAAGCUCUUAAUUGGAGAAGAUCAGUCUAUGACUCAAACGCAAACACUUGCCACAAUAGGUUAUAUGGCACCAGGUUUGUUCAAUAUAAACAUUUUCUAUUUCUUGUAAACUUCCUAAUAAGUUAUUUAUGUUUCAUGAUCUUCAUUAGAUCAGGAAAUUAUUGUUAAUGAUAUAUCUUACUAUGUAACUGUUGCAAUUCAUAGAGUAUGGAAGAGAAGGACGAGUAUCCACAAAUGGAGAUGUUUAUAGCUUUGGAAUUAUGUUAAUGGAAACUUUUACCGGGAAGAAACCCACAUAUGAAUUUUUUAAUGGAGAAAUGACAUUAAAGCAUUGGGUUAAUGAUUGGCUACCCAUUUCCACUAUGGAAGUUGUUGAUGCUAAUUUGCUAAGUCAGGAGGACAUACAUUUUGUUGCAAAGGAGCAAUGUGUGUCAUUUGUCUUCAAUUUGGCUAUGGCGUGCACUGUGGAAUCUCCUGAGCAGAGAAUCAAUGCAAAAGAAAUUGUAACAAAACUCUUAAAAAUUAGAGACUCAUUACUUAGAAAUGUUGGAGGCAGACGUAUAAGACAAUCAAAUUUAAAUUGAUUCUACCCCUCCACUACUUGCUAUCCUUUUCAGAGACUUGAACAAUUAUCCUUAAUACAAUUUUUGUUGAUGUGCUUUGUUAUUGCUCUUACUCAUGUUUAUUUCUCUAUUUCUUUAAUUUGCAUGCAUGUAUUUUUCGUUCUCUUUUAUGUUUUUGUUGGUUUGUAUGUAGUUUGUUUUUAGGUUGAUUAUGUCCUCCCCUAAUUAGACGCAUCCUUUUUAUGUUUAUUCAAUAAAGCUUCUCUAAUACUAUCGAGGUUCAUCAAAAGAAAAUUUUAAAUUAAUUUUCUUUUCUUUGACAGGUAAUGAAAUUCUAAUCUUCAUAGUGAAUAACUUCAAUAAUAGAGUGUAAGUGUAUUAGUAGUUAUGGUUGUUUUUUGAACCUGGAGUCAAAAGCAAUUUAAUAGCAACAAACAAGUCUCUUGUAUUAUAGGCAAAAUUAUUUUCAUUAAUCUUAUUUUUCUACAUGUUCUCCUAUUUUCUCCAUUUAUCUUCGCUCAAGGUUUCAUGCUUCCUCUUGGAUAAAGGAAAACUUACUUGCGAAUAUUUCAAUUUGACAUAAGAGACUGUUUUGCCAACCAUUUGAUAAAAUGGAUAUGAGCGGAGCUUUCAAUCAUCACCUCCACCAAAAUCCUUACUACGCCACUUUUAAAUUGUAUUUUUUAAAAUGCAUUCAGUUUAAUUUAUAAAAAAUAAAUUCAUUUGUUAAAAUUAAUCUUUUUCUCAUAAAUUUCAGCCUAAAAAAUAUAUUUCUUUUAAACUUUUAAUUAUAAAAUACAUACAAGUUCUAAACUGUUAUAUUAUUUUCUUCUUAUUAUAUAGUUCAUAUCUCCAUAACUCUAAACUCCUAUAAUUUUUUUUAAAAUAUUUUUAAUUUAAAAUAUAAAUAUAAAAUAUAAAAUGGAGUGGGUAUAAAAAAACUUGUUAAAAGAAUAAUUCAUUUAAGUAUUUAACUGAAUUUAAAUUAAAAUAAGAAAUAAAUAAAUUUAUUUUUAUUAGUUAAGUAAUUUUCAAUUGUAAAAGAGCUUUAUGAGUAAUAUUAUUGAAAUAUGAUUAAAAUUCUUAUGAAUUAAACAUUUUCGUAUAAAUACUAGUGAUAAUUAUAGAGAAAAUGUGAUGAACCAAAGAAAACUUGAGUAUAAAUACUCCAAUGUAAUUUUACACAUGCAAAUUAUGAACCAAUGAUCUUUAGAGCAUCAUAAAAUUAUUUUGACACAACUAUUUAUUUUGAAAAACUGGUAACAAUGUUUAAAGUGGGAUUGAAAAGAUUAUGCUACUUAUAUAAGACAUGAUAUCAUUUAAGACGGCUUACAGAUUAUGAGAAAUAUAUUCAUCUUACAAAUAUUUAAUAUGUUAAUUAGACGGGUCUAGCUGCCUUUCACCCGCUGGAAGGUACAGCUUAUUUUGUCCUCUAGUGUUGUGGCCGUUGGAUAUUUGAGAAGUUGAUCUAUCGGUUCUUGUUCGGCAGCGUGAAAUUGAAUUUCAAUCAGCAACCAUUUCAUGAACUUUCAGGAGACAAUUAUCUACAAAAAAAAUUUUUUAAAAAAUAAUUUUUCGCUUUCAUCAACCGCCGCUGCCACCCACAACCCCUUAAUAUCAUCACCACCAUCCCAAUCCUUAGCCGCCAUCCACAAACUCUAACAACCACCAUGACUGCCAUCACAACCGCCACUCCUCACAACCCUAGCCACCCCUACAAAUGACUGUAUUUUACGUUUGAGCAUUAAUUGCCGGCAUGAUCUCUUAGACUUCUCUUGCAUUGAAUGAAUGGAUGAGUGCUAAUCCAUGCAAAGACUUCCAUGCAUGCACAAUGAAUGCUAAAUCUAAGGUAUAGCAAAAUGUCAGCAACCUUGGCCCAAAUUAUCAAGAUGGUUUGGUGGCUGCUAGAUUUGUUCAUCCGGAUUUUGGACCAUUUUCCUUGACAAUGAGAAAAGCUCCAAGAUGUGUAAUGUUAGUGAAUCAGAUGAAGCUGGAGCAGAGCAUGAUGUUGCUGUGUAGCUGGAGCAGAGCAUGAUGUUGCUAUGUAGCUGGUUGUAUCAGAUCAAAUCAUUAAGCUGACUUGUCAAAGUUAGUUAACUGGUUGAGCUGAUGUGUCAAGUUAGUUAUACAGCAAAUGGUUAUGUGUUGCAACAAUCUCGUGUGUGUGUUAAGAGAUUGUAGCUCAAUAUAAAUAUCAAUUGGUAAUCAUUAAACUGUAAGCUUGGAAUAAUAAGAAGAUCUAACAGUUUUCUUUGCAAAGCUUUUCUUUUAUUUUCUUUCAUUUUCUAGCCUACCAAACAAUAUAGAACUAAGUUUCUUUCAUGGUAUCAGAGCCAUAAAUGGCAAAUAUAGUUCAAAACAACAACUCUUUUAGUUUUGUUACACCAGUAAAGCUAGAUCAAAACAACUUCAUUCUGUGGCGCACACAAAUUUUAACUUCAAUCAAAGGAAACGGUUUGGAAGGGUUUAUCAAUGGCGAUCGAGAAUGUCCUGAGCAAUUUCUUUCUUCUGGAAACAACAAUGGAGCUGAAGUUUUAACUGAGUCUGGAUCCAGAUCUGUUAAUCCAGAAUUCGAAGCUUGGAUGAAGACUGACCAACUCUUACUGAGUUGGAUGAUGUCAUCGAUACAGCAAAAUCUGCUUGCUACUGUGAUUGAUUCUACAACUUCAAAACAGCUUUGGGAGACUCUUGCUAGUAUGUUCAUCUCUCAAUCACAAGCUAGAAUUCAAACACUUAGAAUGCAGAUUCAAACUAUUAAGAAAGGUGCCAUGCAUAUUUCUGAUUAUUUUGUUAAAGUAAAACGCAUAGCUGAUACUUUAGCUCUAGCUGGAAAACCUAUUGAGUUAAAUGAUCUUGUGAUGCAUAUAUUAACUGGUCUUGAUUCAUCAGACUAUGAAUCUUUAGUCACAGCUAUGUUAGCUCGAGGUGAAAAGAUCACAUUAGAUGAACUAUAUUCUUUGUUGUUGAAUCAUGAAAAUAGAGUUGAGCAAAAGAAAGGGAAAAUUGCUAGUGAUGUGAUGCAUAACAUGACAGCAAAUAUUGCUCAGAAAAAUUCAUAUGCUGGAAAGAAUAAUGGAAAUUUUCAGAAAAAUUAUGGAAAUAACUAUCGAAGAGGUAAUAAUUCUGGAUAUGGAGGUUCUAAUGGAUAUGGAUAUGGUCAGUUUAAUACUAGCAGUAAUUCCUCUGAAGUUGUUUGUCAAAUUUGCUUUAUACCUGGUCAUGCAGCAAAUAGAUGUAGGAAUAGGUACAACUCAUCCUUUGUUCCACAGAGGAAUCAUGGUAGAGGAAAUAUGAAUGGUGGCAGAGGUUUUAAUCAAGGGCAAUAUGGCAGAGGAAGAGUCUAUAAUGGUAAUAGUGGAAGAGGAUUUGGAGGUUUUGGUUCAAAUGCUGGUUUUGGACAAAAUGCUAGUUUUGGUCAUGCACCCAGGGGUUUUGGCUAUUAAGGAAAUAUAGUGUAUCCAGAUAGCAAUCCUUCUGCCUAUUACUCUUUCACUCCUGGAUCAUCUAAUUUUGUUGCUGGUCAAGGAAACAACAAUCCUGGACAGUCAAGUGCUUCAUCUUCCUCAGCUAUGUCUUUUUCACUCCCAGAAUACAUUUAAGAUCCUUCCUGGUACAUUGACAGUGGAGCAACAAAUCACAUUACUAAUGAUCUAGGUAAACUUCUAGAUUCACAAGCUUAUACUGGUACUGAAAAGUUAUUUGUUGGGGAUGGAAAUGCAUUAGCUAUUACACAUAUAGGAUCAGUUGUGCUAAACACUUCCAAUUCUCAAUCUUUAUUUCUUAACCAUGUUCUUCAUGUCCCUUUUAUUACUAAGAAUUUGCUUAGUAUCUCAAAAUUAUUGGCUGACAAUCCAGUUACUGUUGAAUUUCUUGGUGAUUUCUGUUUUAUAAAGGCCAAGAACACAAGGAAAAUUUUACUUGAAGGUGUUGCUAAAGGUGGCUUGUAUAGAGUCUCUUCACAUGCUGCUGCUCACUCAGUCUUUCUCAGUUCAGUUGGUCAAAACAAAAUUUAGUCUCUCUUUGCUUGGUCUCCUGUUUUUACUUCUGAAAAACCUUCUGUUGUUAGUUCUUAUAAACUCAAUAAAAAGUCAUGUAUGUCAGUUGUUGCAAAGGGUUUAACUGAUGUAAAUCUUCUGCAUAGAAGAUUAGGACACCCAGCCCCUUAUACUCUCAAAAUUAUUCUCAAAGCUUGUAACAACUUUACUGCUCUUAAUAAAGUUGAAAGUUUGAAAUUUUGUUCAGCAUGUCAAUAUGGAAAAAUCAUAUGCUGCAUUUUAAUUCAGUUGAAACAAAAACUUCAGCACCUUUAGAAUUGAUAUAUGCAGAUUUGUGGGGUCCUUCUCAUGUUUGUUCUACCCAAGGAUAUAACUACUACCUAUCAAUCCUAGAUGAUUACAGUAGGUUUACCUGGAUAUUCCCUUUAUCAGCAAAAUCUGAUGCUCUUGAAGUGUUUAAAAAUUUCAAAACAUUCAUUGAAAAGCAUCUUCAACUUUCAAUCAAAACUGUCCAAACAGACUGGGGAGGGGAGUUCAAAUCUUUUUCCUCAUUACUCACUACUUCUGGUAUCCAUUUUAGACACCCUUGUCCACAUAUUCAUCACCAAAAUGGAAGAAUUGAGAGGAAGCAUAGACACAUAGUUGAUGUAGGUCUGACUUUAUUAGCUCAAGCACAUUUACCACUCAAAUUUUGGUGGAAUGCAUUCCACACAGCUGUCUAUUUGAUAAACAGACUUCUCACUCCAGUUCUAAAUAGCAUUUCUCCCUUUCAAAAGUUGUUUCAUUAUCAACCAGAUUAUUCAACACUUAAAACUUUCGACUGUGCUUGUUAUCUAACACUCAGACCAUACAAUAGAUAUAAGUUUGAUUUCAGAACUGCUAGAUGUAUAUUCAUUGGCUAUAGUUCACAACACAAGGGAUAUAUGUGUCUUCAUUCUUCUAGAAGGGUCUAUAUUUCUAAUCAUUUCACUUUUGAUGAAAAUUCCUUUCCUUAUGAGUCUGGGGUAGAUUUUUCUUUAACUUCUUUAAGUUGUCAGUCCACUUCACACUCUGAGUCCUCUUUUCAGUCUUCCCCUUCUUCUGUUACUCAGUUACAAGCACCUUUAGCAGCAUCAUCAGCACUUCAACCAACUCACCCUGCUGAUCAUCAAUCUAAUGCUUCUACUCCUGUUUAUUUUUCUGAUAACUCCAACUCAGCUUCUCAUUUCUCAUCUUCUCAUUCUUCACCUCCACAUACAUUACCCCAACCUGUACCAUCUGGUCAUCCAAUGGUAACCAGAUCAAAAGUAGGUAUUUUCAAGCCAAAAGUUUAUUUGUCAGCCUUGUUAGCCCAGCAAUCAGAACCAACUUCUGUUUCCAAAGCACUCUCUGAUCCUAUGUGGUAUAAGGCUAUACAAGAAGAGUAUCUAGCACUUAAAGCUAAUCACACCUGGGAUUUGGUUUUACAUACUACUCCAGUGAAGAUAGUUGGUAACAAGUGGGUGUUUCGAAUUAAGUAUAACUCAGAUGGCUCGGUUUCAAGGCACAAAGCCAGACUUGUUGCUAAGGGGUUUCACCAGACACAUGGGGUUGAUUACACAGAAACCUUCAGUCCAGUGGUUAAGUCUUCAACUAUCAGAGUUAUUCUUAGCUUAGCAAUAUUGAAUCACUGGGUUAUUCGGCAAGUGGAUGUUAAUAAUGCCUUCCUCAAUGGCAUUUUAAUUGAAGAUGUGUACAUGGCUCAGCCUCAAGGUUUUGUUGAUUCAACUAAACCUAAUCAUGUUUGCAAGCUGAAUAAGGCUUUAUAUGGUUUAAAACAGGCUCCUAGAGCCUGGUUUGAUAGAUUUAAGGAUGCAAUGCUCUCCUAGUGGCAUUUUCAGCAUUCAAGGUCUGAUAACUCUCUCUUUUAUACCUGGAACAAUGGUCAUGUAACUAUUGUUUUAGUCUAUGUUGAUGAUAUUAUCAUCACUGGCUCAAGUCCAUCACUAAUUCAGCAAGCUAUUCAGAAUAUGCAUCAAACUUUUGCUUUAAAAGAUCUGGGGGAACUUAACUAUUUUUUGGGGAUUGAAGUCAGCAAGUCCUCCACAGGGGUUUCUUUGACACAAGCAAAGUAUAUUGCUGAUGUUCUGGAAAAACAUGGCAUGAUUGAUUGCAGUCCCGUGCCAACUCCCAUGUCUACAGGUUAUUACUCACCAAAGACUCAGGGGAGCCAAUUGACAAUGUCUCUCAAUACAGGAGUGUUAUAAGAGCUCUUCAGUAUGUUACUCUUACCAGACCUGACAUUGUUUUUUCUGUCAAUAAGUUAAGUCAGUUCCUUUCCGAUCCUAGAACUCAACAUUGGGAAGCAUGCAAAAGGUUAUUGAGGUACUUAAAAGGUACUAUCCAUCUUGGGCUACAAUUCUACAACCAAGGAGCUCUGCAAAUCCAUUGUUUUUCAGACUCUGAUUGGGCUUGUGAUCAUGAUGAUAGGAAGUUAGUAGCUGGCUUUGCUGUUUAUCUAGGUCCUAAUCUUGUUUCUUGGUAGUCCAAGAAGCAAGCUAUUGUUUCUAGAUCCAGCACAGAGGCUGAGUACAGAUCUCUUGCUCAUGCUGCUUUAGAGGUUACCUGGAUUAAGUCUUUACUUGGUGAACUUAGCGUCAACUUGAGCUCUACUCCUAUGAUGUGGUGUGAUAAUCAAGGAGCUAUUGCUUUAGCUUAUAAUCCAGUCUAUCAUGCUAAAACUAAGCAUGUUGAAUUGGAUAUCCAUUUCAUCCGAGAUAAAGUUACUGCUAAAGAAGUUGCAGUCUGCUAUGUGCCUAGUCAAGAUCAAACAGCAGAUGUGUUGACUAAAGCUCUCUCUUUCAAACAGUUUAGUUACUUCCAAAGUAAGCUGAAUGUUCAUCCUAAACAUUUCAGCUUGAGGGGGGGUGUUAGUGAAUCAGAUGAAGCUGGAGCAGAGCAUGAUGUUGCUGUGUAGCUGGAGCAGAGCAUGAUGUUGCUAUGUAGCUGGUUGUAUCAGAUCAAAUCAUUAAGCUGACUUGUCAAAGUUAGUUAGCUGGUUGAGCUGAUGUGUCAAGUUAGUUAUACAGCAAAUGGUUAUGUGUUGCAACAAUCUCGUGUGUGUGUUAAGAGAUUGUAGCUCAAUAUAAAUAUUAAUUGGUAGUCAUUAAACUGUAAGCUUGGAAUAAUAAAAAGAUCUAACGGUUUUCUUUGCAAAGCUUUUCUUUUAUUUUCUUUCAUUUUCUAGCCUACCAAACAAUAUAGAACUAAGUUUCUUUCAUGUAAAUUGAAGACUCACUGAACGCUCCAAGUUUCAGGUAACUCUUGUGUUGUGUGCUCGGAGUAUUCUCUAUUGUAUUUUUUUUGUUUGUUAUUUAUUUGACGUAUUGCUAGCAGAGAUCUUGGGUGGGAACCAGAAAUUCCCAACAAUUGUCAAUUGUUUUAAACUCUAUUCUGAACAGAGCAUAAAGGGACUCACUUAUCUAAUUUUGUCUUUUAUGCUUUAACUUCACUUGAUUUCAUCUUUUCCGUCACCUUUGUUAAAGUUGUAUAUGUUGGAGUAUUAGGUUCAUCAUAAGGAUCAUUUUAUGGCUAAGGAAGGAGCACACUUUAUCAGCUACACUCAAGUGUAGCAGAGAAUUUGGAUUCAAGACUGUUAGAAGGUUGUUACAGAUGCAAGGCUAUUGCUGUGUAAUUGUAAUGCUGCGUAGCACCGUAAGUAAGAAGAAAAGUGUCUAAGGUUGCCACGUGUUGUCUCAACGUCUGUGUGAAAACCGAUUUGUUUAAUCAAAAUCAUAAACACCAUUUUGAAAAUCCAUGGCCAUGGUCGUGAUGUGUCUUUAUCAAUCACGGAUACCAAAUUUAAUCAAAAUUAUCGAUUGUUUUAAAUUCUGUUUUUAACAGAGCAUGAAGAUGUCGCUUAUCUAGAUUUACUUUUUAUGCUUUGACUUCACUUAAUACAGCUUCUUCCUCCUUUAUCUGUAUGCCAUGCCGGCAAGUGUAUUGUACAGAUUUCUAGAGUAUUACCUGUCUAUUUUUUUCACCGAUGACGAAGCUAAUUAUUAGUAAUCAAUCUAAAGUCUACCUAUAAAUACAAUAGGUUGCUUAGGUGGCACCAAUAUCCUAACUUUAUGCCAUGUUUCUGGUGUGUCUUCACAAAUUCACCGAUACAAAUUAAUUUCUACCAAUAUUACCAAAUGAUUGUAUUUUACGUUUCUAUUUACUUGUAAUAAAGAUCUUCAAUUUUAUUGGUUACAAAAUUCUCUAGGAUUGCAUGUACAUUAUACUUUUAUAUACAUAUUUUCUUCUUUCUCAUUCGUUUUCUGGGUGAACAUAUUAUUUUCGUCAUCAUCUCUAUAACAAUGAAGUGAAAAUAGUCCUCAUUUAAAGUAUUGACAGCAAUGUUAUACUCAAUAUAACGCAUAAAGCACGCAUAAUUUAAUUAAUGGGGUAGCUGCUAGUACCUUCUUUAGAAGAGAAUUAUUGCAGCAAGGUAAUUGGAAGCUCAAAGAGUUUCCGUAUUAGCCGAAUCUAAGCGAUAAGUGUUUCCAUGUGAGCCAUAAUUUGGGAAAAAGACCAAUUCGAGUUAAAGAUCAGAAAACAGACACUGUCAACAAGCAUUAAUAUCAUUUGAUGCAUGAAAGACAGUUAGUCCCAUUUUUUUGUCCUGUUUACUUGAGUUGGGCAAUUUGCCGUCAACUUUUCUCAUCCACGUCAGGUAAUGUGGCUUUUAUUUGGUAUGAAAAAGCCAAUGCUUUACGAUAAAACUGUCACACACAUAUUAUCCAUCUGUAAUGUUCAAAUGACACUGAAGUAUUACCUAAAUUAGGCUUUCAAAAAUUCAUUUUCAAAAACCCAUGGUUGUGAUGUGUCUCUAUAAAUUAAGAUCUAUCUGUUACCAACUGUUUUAACUCUGUUCUGAACAGAGCUUGAAAGGGUACAUUCACUUAUCUAGUUAUGUUUUUUAGGCUCUCACUUUACUUGAUUCACCUUAUCCCUCUUUUGAAACAAUUGUUCACUGGCUGCACUCAGUUGACAAAAUAUUUUGGGAUUCAAGACUGUAGGUUGUUACGGAUGCAACUUGCAAGGCUGUUGCCAUGCUGGCAAGUGUGCUGCUAUAACAGAUUGUUGAGAUGGCACCAAAGAUUGUAAACUAAUUAGUACUGGAAAAUCAUGAGUUUGGUGAUGAAGAGGACCAAAAACAUUAUUUUAUUAUUUAAAAUAAGACUAUCAAUUAUUUCCAUGGUCAUCUUUUUUUUUAUUUAUUAAUUGGCCUAAAUAUUGUAUUUUUUGUCAGGAGUCUUGCAAUGUUGCUUAACACCGUAAGUAAGAAGAAACGUGUCUAAGGUUGCCACGUGUUGUCUCAACAUAUGUGUGAAAACUGAAUUAACCAGUUUGCGUUCGACAACAAAGGAAAAUACUUCUUGUUGCUGACCGGUUGAUAAGUAUUUCAAUACCUCCACCAAAAUCUUUAUAACACCCUUUUUAAUUUUAUUUUCUGAAAUACACUUAGUUUUUUAAAAAAGAGCUUUAUGAGAAAUUUUCAGUGUGUCAAAAGGCCUACUUAAUGGACUGGAUCCCGACUCAUUAAUUUUAUAACCCGACUUACAAUCCGACUCAUUAUUCACAGAGAUUAAUUUUCUAUUGCUUAAGGCACAAUAUUUACUAAGCAAUUUAUCGGCAAUAAAACAUGUAUAUUAUUGUGGUUUGUAAUAAAAUUGGAAGAAGACAUCACGUACGAAUUGGAUUUAUCCAAUGAAAUUUGAUUAACGAAACUGUAUGAAAAUAUAUCAAGAAAAUAGUAAAAAAAAAUGUUGUGUAAAUGCUGUAUAGGUGAUAUAUUACUUUUAUAAUCCAUCAAGGUACAUUUGAUUUUAAUGAUGAAACAAAUACAAAUAAAUCUAUGUGCGUCAAUGCUAGAUGGCUCCAUAUUAAACUUGUGAAGUAUAGAAAAUAAGCAGGAUUCGUAACAAAUAUUUUAGAUAAUACCACUGAAAAGUUAUAAAAAUAUUUUUUAAAAAAAGAAAUACAUGCUCGAGACACCACGACCGACGCGCACAAACUCACAUAUUUAUAUAUUAAUUGAGGUAAAAAAUGAUAUUCUGAGUAAUAUUGUUGACAUAUGAUUAAAAUUCUUUUUGAUGAAACAUUUUCGUAUAAAUACUAGUGAUAUUUGUAGAGAAAGUAGAAUGAAGUGAAAAAAACUUGAAUAUAAAUGCUCCAAUAUAAUUUUUCCCAUACAAAUUAUGAACUAGUGAACUUUAAAGCAUCAUAAAAUUGUUUCAACAUAAGUAAUUAGUUUGAAAAAUUGCCAAUAAUGUUUAAAGUGGGAACGAAAAGAUUAUACUAUAUGAGACACGAUAUUAUUUAAGACAGCUUACAAAUUGUGGGAAAUAUAUCGAUCUUACAAAUAAUAUUUAAUAAGUACAAAUUUCAAAUUAAAUAAUAAACCCUUAAUUUCCUUUUAAUCAUAAUUAUGAUCUUAAUAAUUAAAGUCAUUCAAUCUUAAUCACUUUUUUAUUUUUUUAAACUAUCUAAAUGACAUCGAAAACUCUACUCAAUAUUAAUUUAUUCGAAUGUUUUGUUUCAAAAAAAUUGAAAACUGUAAAUGAAACAAAUGCUUGCAAUCACAAAUGGCCUAAAAUAGGAUUUUUAUUUUUUAAUAUUGCAAUGUCUUUGAUCUUGAUAUUGGAAAUUUAUUUGUAACUUAUACCAAGUCUUCAAUUUUAUCAUAAUUAGUUUCUAAAGAUGCAUUUGCCAUACUGUGUAGUUGUAUUGUAUGAUGAUAUAUUACAUUAGGGUGCAUUGUAUUGAGCUGUAAUGCAAUACUAUUUUAUAUUAAUGUUAAAACUAAAUCAACAUUAUUUAAAUUUAUUAAUAUUUUAGGAUUUUAUUAGUAAUUUCUUAAAUUAAGUAUUAAAUAAUUAUUUUUAUAAUAUACAAACUAUUUAAUAAUAUUUUACUAUUAAAUAAUAAAAUAUUACAAUAUUAUGUUAUAUUAUUAAUAAUUAUUCUGUUAUAAUAUAAUUUAUUUUUAUAUAUUAGUUAUUAUAAUUUAGUAGAAUCAUAUUAUAAUAAUAUUAUAUUUUAAAAAUAUAAUACUAUAUAACUGUAUAAUAUAAUAUGAAUUAAUUUAUAAUUUAACAUUAAAUUAUAAAUUUAUUUUAUUUAUUAAUGUCAAAUAUAAUUGUCUAAUUUAAAUUUAGUUUUAAAUUUAGUAUUUUUUUAAAAAUAAACUAUUUAGUAAAAUUUAAAAAUAUAUUUUUAUUUAUUAAAUAAAACUAAAAUAUACUUUUAUGCAUUUAAAGUAAAAUUACUAAAAUGAUUUUAUAUAAUAAAGUAAAAUAAUGUAUUAUUAUUUAUUAAUUAAAUAUUUAGGUUUAUUAAUAUAAUAUAUUAUUAAUUAAAUUAAUGAAUAUUAAUUAAUAAUUUAAAUUUAUUAAAUAAUAAAAGUUAAAUGAUUAUAUUUAAAAUAUAAAUAGUAUUUUAAUGCAAUAAAACCUAAAUCCCACAUGUAUGCCACAUUUGUUAUACAGUGUAAUGCAACUAUAAAUUAUAAUUAUAUAAAAAUAAUAUUUUAAUACAAUAUAAUACAAGUAUAAUGCCACUUGAGAAAUUGAUAUUUUAAUCAUAAAAACCAAUAUAAUACAAUGAUUCUGUCCUCUUUAUUAUUUUUCUAAAUGCUUCCAUGGCAUAAUCUCAUUGGUCCAUUUUGUUUCACAGCUUAGAUUCAACUGCAAGAUUUUCAAUUUGAAGCAAGCUGUGGUCCACUGGCCGUGGCCAAACAAACAUGCCUCAUGAAGUCAUGGUGACUGAAUCAUCUCUUAUGUCAGAAUUUGAACUUAAACAAUUUGAACAUAGACUGUUUUUUGAUUGUCGAAGAUUCGCUUCAAAAAUUAGUAUUUUUUAGUGGAGUUUGGUUGUCUCGUAUCCUUCAAUUGUUGUUUGGUUAUGAAAAUAAUUUUUGAUUUUAGGGAAUUUCGAUUAUCUGGUUUAGUUUGAGUGCAAUUUCCUCUAUUUACGGUUUCAGUGUGACGGAUAAAUUGCAAUUUCGAAUUUUUGAUAAAAUUAAAAUUAAAAUUGGGCGGUUAUUAAUUAAUUGAUGGCUAGUGAUACUGCAACGGCGGCCGAAGCUCCGGAAGAAGCGGAGGCGGUGGAGGAGUAUGAUAGCGAUCCAGAUGAAGUGAAACACUCUCUCGUGAUGCGCAGAAUGGAAGCAAGCGAUGAUGAGUGUUAAGGAAGCUCAUGUUGCAGUCAAAGGAGCAGCUCAGUUAGCACGUGUGAAUCAAAGCACUCAUUUAAUGGAAAUUUUUCUAGAUGCUUCAAUGGCAGAAUCUCGUUGGUCUAUAACUCUCACGCCUUUGACUCAAGAUUCAAUUUCAAACCAACGCCGAACAAACAGUAUAAACCUUAAUAAGUCUGUGGCUCACCGAAUAAUAUCUCUUACGUCAGAAUUUAAACUUAAACAAAGCUACAUCCCACGUGUCCCCAACUUUCUUCAUAUUCCCAGAAAACCCCUACCAGAUCCAGAUAAUUACCUUCACUCUUCUCGUAUAAAUAGAGAAGAUGAUGAUUCCUACAAAGCCACGUAAGUCAAGUGAACGUUACGGCCAUGGGACGUUGGAAUUGGAUCAAACCACCGGAAUGUAAAGCAAAAUUAACCGAAUAGACUAAAUUAGAUCCAACCAUUUGAAUCGGUUGAGUGUCACUCAAAAAACAAAUAAAUAUAUAAAACAACACAAUUAUCAUAUUAAUGGGGUUCAGUGGAUGCUUCUUUUUUUUCAUUUUCAAUGAAUGCUUAAUAUGCAUUCAAUAUGAAAAACAAUCUGUCCCAUUGAGCACUGUUGAAGUCAUUGAAUGAAAAUGAAUACUUCUAUAAGAAACAAUCAUUCCCCUAUUUAUUUGACACGCAAAGAACUUUCUUACUCAGCUCGGCGGCCAAACCUUUAACAUUUGUUGAAAUUCAGUUAAUUGGUGAAUGUGACAUAACUCGAUAAAUCGUUUAAUUUGUAUAAUUGAUAAAAAUUUGAACUUCAAAUAAUAUAUGUUUUCAAUUUUAGAUAAUGGAUAUAUGUCAUGAUACUAUGAGCAAAUGAAGCGUCUGAUAGAAAACAUAAUGUUUGUAUUAGAAAUUUUAAGUGUGAAUCUAUUUACUGUUGGUUUUAUAUAUAAAAAAUUAGUUACCAACUUGUCUUGUUUCUCAUUUUGUUCAAUUUUCAUAAAUUUGACUAACGAUUAAUUGUGAGCGAAGAGUUUGUUGUAAAAAUAUGGUCUUCCAUUUACUAUAAAAAGAUUAGUGUGAUUUAAUUAUUUUUUCCUUUUGCUUCAUUUCUAGAAAAUUAUGAAUACUUUGGCAAAUAAGAUAAUUAAUUAUAAACAUCGUUUUCAAAAUCCAUGACCAUGGUUGUGAUGCGUCUUUGUAAAUAGCUAAUACAAAAUUAAUUUCUAUCAAAAUUACGGUAAUUACCAUUUGUUUUAAACUCUGUUCUGAACAGAGCAUGAAAAUACCACUUAUCUAGAUUUGCUUUUCAUGCUUUCACUUCACUUAAUCCAGCUUGUCCCUCCUUUGACUGUAUGCCGUGCUGGCAAGUGUGCUAUGCAGAUUACUGAGCUGACUAAUCAAUUUGAAGUGUACCAAUAAUAGAUUGGUGCCAGCUACUAACCUUAUGCCAUGUUAGUGCACAAUAACAGAUUGCUUAAGUUGGCUGGCACCAAUCUACUAACCCUAUGCCAUGUUUCUAAUGUGUCUAUAAAUUCACUAACACGUAUUAAUUUCUGCCAACAUUACCGAAUGAUUGUAUCGAUUUUUAAGCACGUAAACAUACCAGCUUUCUUUCUUUUACUCUCUAUUUCAUGUUUAUUCAAUUUCAAUCUUCUGCAAGUUUCUUUUACAUGCAUUUUUUCUUCUCUCUUUUGUUUUUUUGGUAAACAUAUUAUUUUAUCAUCUAUUACUAUAAGAAUGAAAUGAAAAUAGUCCUCAUUUAAAGUUUUGACAGCAAUGUUAUACUCAAUAUAACGUAUAAAGCACGCAUAAUUUAAUUAAUGGGGCUGCUAAUAUCUUCUUUAAAAGAGAAUUAUCGCAGCCACGUAGUUGGAAGCUCAAAGAGUUUCCAUAUUAGCCGAACCUAAGUGAUAAGCGUUUCCUUAUGAGCCAUGAUUUGGGGAAAAAAACCAAUUCAAGUUAAAGAUCAGAAAAGUGUGUCCCUCACGAAUACAAUAAUUCAAGCCACACAUUUAUCAAACGCAUGGCAGGGACGCUUCAACAUGUUGUCUCAUGGAAAGAAAUCCUUGUCUUUGACUUAAUACAAUGUUACAGAAAAAAUAUUGGGUGCUCCCACUGGCUGCUUUUAUUGAGUGGCAGAAUCAGAAUUUUAUUUCGGGUAAAAUCUCGUUUAGUCCCUAUAUUUUGAGGUUAGUGUCCGUUCAGUCCCUAUAUUUUUAAAAAUAUCUCAAAACAUCCCUGACAUUAAAUUAUUAGCACAUUUCCUCUUAUUUUUUGUUGCUUUUGGCUUAAUUUUUACAAUAUUACCCUCUUAUAAUAUUUUUUUUGGACAUUAGUAAAAAGAAAAAAAUUAAUUAUCAAUUUAAUCUCAAAAAAUAAAAUAGUAACAAAAUUAAUAUAUCAUACUUUUUUGUAACACACUACUGAGGAAUUAAUAUAAUAAUUUUUUUAUUACUAAUGUCCAAAAAAAAGGUAAUUUAAUUAUUUUAUUUUUGGGGUUAAAUUGAUAAUUUAAAUUUUUUUCUUUUUAUUAAUUUUAUAACAAGAAACAUUAUUGUAAGAGGGUAAUAUUAUAAAAGGAAGUCAAAAGAAACAAAAAGUAACAGCAUGGAUGUCAAUAAUUUAAGGGUAAGGAUGUUUUGAGGUAUUUAUAAAAAUAUAGGGACUAAAUGGGCACUAAUCUUAAAUUAUAUGGAUGAAACGAGCCUUUACCCUUUUAUUUCCAUGGUGGCAAUAAUGAUUAAACUGUAAACUUAAUUUGGUUGUGACAUGAAAAUAACGUUGUAAAUACUGGCUCUGCAUUUUAUAAAAUGCAGAUAUCUGUACUAGAAAAGAACUAUGACACACACACACACACACACACACACACACACACAUAUAAUCAUUCUCAGGUGCAGACGUCCGGAUUUUUUUUAAUGCAAACAAAUUUUUAAACCGUGCAAUUUUAAAGAAUUAGUUGUUGAAUAAACUAUAAAAUCAUGCUGUUUAGAAGAGUUAAAAGCUAACUCUCUUAUACCAUGCAGUUUUAAAGUGUGUCCGCAUAAAAAAAAAUGAGGACGCUCACACUAGAGAAGACUAUAUAUAUAUAUAUAUAUAUAUAUAUAUAUAUAGGUAUUCUCAUUUUAUUUUCAUGCGGAUACACUGUAAAACCGUAGGGUUUAAAAGAGUUGGUUAAUUUUUAACUCUUUUAAACUGCAUGGAUUAAAAGUGUGUCCACAUUAAGAAAAAUAUGGACAUCCGCACCCGAUAAUGAUUAUAUAUAUAUAAUAGUUUUUUGGUCCGGAAUUUUAAAGUGCGGGAAAGGUUAGGGAAAUCUUUAAAACCACAGAAUUUUAAAGGCUUAAAACUUGAAGCACUUAAACUGCACAUUUUAUGCAUUUUCCCGGACGUCCCCGUAAUUUAAAAUUCUAGAUUAUAUAUAUAUAUAUAUAUAAAGUUUUUUUUUCAAUUAACUAUUAUACCAUAUGAUUAAUAGCUGAUCCACACGAAAUUUACAUUUAGGCAAUUACUAUCAAAUAUCGAUACGUGUUUGAAUAAACUCUUAAAAAUCGAUUUCCACCUUCAUUAUUACAGCCCUUGUAUAAACUAACGCGGCAACAUAUAAUCAGUUGGUAAAAGAAUAAAUAUAUGUCAAGUGGGUUCUACCAUGUUUUUAAUUCAACGAAUGACAAUAUGCCACCUCGAUUUAUACAAUAAUAUUUAUGACUAUAUCAUUACUCAUUAAUUAAUAGGAACACUAAUUUAUUUUCUUAAAAGAGAAUUCAUCAAUUUGUACAAUAGUAUUUUUACAAAAGUAUUUGUGACUGUAUCAAUACUUGUUAGCUAUUAAUAGACCACUAAUUUAUUCUUCUUAAAAGAGAAUUACUGCAGCAAGUUUGGAGGCACAAAGAUUUCCCAUAUUAGCCAAACAUAAGAGAUAAAGAGUUCAUAUGAGAGGUAAUUUGGAAAAUCAAUUCCAUGCAAUAGGUCUUAGUGGGUUCGACUCAGUAUACGAUUAUUUUCAAAUUUUUAACGUAUUAAAGAUUCCUAUAUCACAUUAUAAUUUUCAAACAAUCAAAAUGAGUCAAAUCAAAUUUAGAACUUUGAGGUCUACUAUAGACUUGGACGUAUUAAAUUUAAGACAAUUAAGCAAAUCCUAGACAAAAUCUAACUUGUAAAUAUACCUUACCACACGAUGAACGUACUGAUAAAUCUUAACUGAUUGCUCACCAAUUAAUUGUUAUUUUGCAAUUUUUAUGUAUCCUUUUUUUCCCUAAAACUUCUAGUUUCCUAACAUACGGUUCUCAAUUGGUCUAAUUAUACUGUAAAUUGUAUUUUAAAUAUAAAUAAAAUGAAUUUAUUUAAUGGAAAUUUGAAAAAGGGACACUUAUCUACGAAAGCAAAGUUGCAUUCUCUUUGUGGGGACCCUAAAAAAAAAAAACGAGCCAGAAUGAUACUCCGAUGACGAUAAUCCUUAAGCUUAAGCAUUAAUUUUCUUUGCUUACAAUUUGGUUUGAAGGGUUAAGUUCAAGUUCGAAUUGAUAGAAAGAAUGGGCUGGUCAGUAUGAUGAUGAUGAUGAAGAAGAAGAAGAGGGGGAUGUCUUUGAGGAUGAAGAGAAAGAAAGUUCUAAAAAAAAAAAUACAGAUUUGUGGAAAUUAAAUUAAAAGCAACUAAUUAAGCAUUAUAAAUUACUUAACAGAGUAAUGCUGAGCUAAUCAAGUUUGUUUUUGAAGAAGGUAUCUUUAAAUCUCUUGGAGUUAAAGAUAAUUAUCAUAUCGCCAUAUCAAACGGACCGAUUAAAAAAUAAACUUAAAUAUUAUUUAAAAUCAUUUAAAUUUAACUUAAUAUAAUCCAAUAUAGACAAUACUAUAUAUAAUCUAGUCUAAUCCAAUUCAAUUGUAAUAAAUAAUACAAUCCAAUCUUGCGAGACAAAAUUGGCCUAAGGGUACCAAUUGCGCAAUAAUCUUUAUAGCCCGUUUCCCAGCCACGCACCCUUUUGUAUUAGUAUUCUCACAGCCGUUGGAAAUAUGGUUCGUAAUCCAAUAAAUGACAUUUUAUGGCUGUUGCUUGCUAGUUUUUGUAAGGUGGCCAAGGCCUUUUAUCAAACACUAUAGGAUCAACUAGUACAAAAUGAAUUCAUUUGGGAUGCGUUUAACGUACUGUGUUAGCUAUAUGCCUAUUAUGAUGUAUUGCAUUAACAUGCAUUAUAUUAAGUUAUAAUGUUAUACUUUGAUAUAGUAUAAACUGUAUUAUAUAAGGUAAUGUUUUAUAUUAAUGUUAAAACUAAAUUAAUAUUAUUUAAAUUUAUUAAUAUUUUAGGAUUUUAUUAUUAAUUUUUUUAAUUAAGUAUUAAAAAUUAUUUUAUAGUAUAUAAAUGAGUUAAUAAUAUAUUAUUAUUAAAUGAUAAAAUACUAAAGUACUAUGUUAUAUUAUUAAAAAUUAUUAUAUUAUAAUAUAAUUUAUUUCUAGAUAUUAAUUAUUAUAAUAUAGUAUAAUCAUAUAAUAAUAUAAUAUAAGUUAAUAUUAUAUUGUAAAAAUAUAAUACUGUACAAUUAUUUAAUAUAAUGUAAAUUAAUUUAUAAUAUAAUAUUAAAUUAUAAAUUGAUUAAAUUAAAUUAAAAUACUUUUUACGUAUUUAAAGUAAAAUAAUUAAAAUAAUUUAUGUAAUAGAAGUAUGAUAAUGUAUUAUCAUUUUCUCAUUAAAUAUUUUAGGUUUGUUAAUUUGUUAAAUUAUUAUUGAAAUUAAAAUUAAUUGUUUAAAUGUAAAUAUAAAUAUAAAUGAAUGCUUAAUAAAAUCUACUCCUAUGGAUCUAUUUUAUACACUUUUUAUUCUAUGAACCACGCUUAUAAUGUAGUUGUAUAAUAGAAACUGGAUAUUUAAUGGAAGCAAAAUUGCGCACGGUUUGUGGGUCUGUCAAAAAAUGAUAAAAAGACCAAUAUGAUACACUGACUCUGUCCUCUUUAAUAUUUUUCUAGAUGCUUCCGUGGCAUAAUCUCAUUGGUCCAUUUUUCUUCACGGCUUAGAUUCAACUUCAAAAAUCAAUUUGAAGCAAACACAACAAUUCAACAAAUAUAAUUAGUGUAGAGUGUUCUGAUUUAUUCUAUAAGUAGCUCAUUUGUGCUUAAAACCUACAUGUAUUGCACGUUUCUAUCGGUAAUUUGAUUACCUUUCCGUACUUUAUCAAUUAUUGAAUGAUUUUACCGGUUUAAUCGCUUGAUUGUUUGAGUAUAAUCGGUAAUUUGAUCGUCUGUCAGCAAGUGAUUUACAAUUCACUCUCCAAUUUUCAUUAAUUUAGUGUAGCCAAGCUUUAACUAGAUAGGUAGAUAACGUGGUCAUGAAAACUUGAUUAAGAGUUUAAUGCAAUCAAAUCUACUUUAAUGAUUAUUUAAUGCACGGAGAUUUAACAUCAAUUAUCAUCACGUUAUUCUAACAACGAAAUUGUAGAGCUUGGAUCUUUACUCGAACAGUUUCACUGGCACUAUUUCUGACACAUUGGGCAAGCUGAAGGAAUUGCAAUUCCUGUAUGAUCAUUUCCCCAACUAUUAUUUGAAUAAUUAUUUAAUGCCGUUCAUUCCAGCUCUGUUUGGCUGUUAACUUUAUUUUGUUAUUUAUGAGGAGAUUCAUUUCUCACCUGAAGCUAGAAAAUUUAUUGUAAUACAUGGAAGUAUAUAUUGCAUUGAAUAAAAUGAAAUUGUUCAAAAAUUAACAAAUUCAGCUUUAUUAUAAUCUAAAACAAAGUAAAUAGAAUAAUACCCAUCAUGUGUAAAAAUAAAAAAUAAAAUUUUUUAUACCACUUGGAAUUUAUUUUAAAUGUUUUGGUCAAAUCUAAGAAGCACAAACUUUGAACAAUGAUAAUAGGUAAAAACUAAUAAUCUUAUAAUAAAAAGUAAGAAAAAAAAUCAAGUUGAUUUAGCAGCUAAGAAUAAAAAAAGAAAAAUAGAAAGAGAGAGAAAUUAGUUUAGUCUUUAACCAUUGUUAUACUAGAGAAAAAAAAUUAAUUAAGAGUAAUUUUAUGAAUUUUUAGAAAUGAGUGAAUUUAAAAUAAUAAAUUAUAAUUUAAUAAUUAUCUUAAUUAAAAAAAUGGGUGUUGAAAUAAAAUUAGUGAAUGACUCUUUAUUUUACGGAUCAAUGACUCUUUAUUUUUUCUUUUAUAUGAUAGCUUGCAAUCCCUGGUGUGUGUUGAUAGUGCCAUACAUAAAUACAAAAAUGAACAAUUUUUUUUUUUUUUUGGGGGGCCAAUUGCAGUUUUGAUAACUAAAAUCUGUGUGGUCCGGUUACCACAAAGGCUUGCCGCAGAUCCCUGCCAUUUUCUCCUCCACCUCCAUUUGGGGAAAUUACUACUUACUUUUUGCAAGUUUUUCUUGAAAUAUUUAUUCUGAUAAGAAAACCAAUAAUACAUUUUAAGAUUUGGGCUGUUUCAAAGAUCUUCCCUUGAUGUCUCUGCUACUGAUGAUAUAUUGGGAUCGACUUUUUUUAUGAAAUAGGAGUUAGACCGAACAACGUUAUAUUUUUUACGGACUCUCAUACCAUGGAAAAACUCAGCCUUAAAGAAUGGUAUGAUGCUUUGAUAUAUGAAGUAAUUGGUAUAUAUUUUGUACCUUCCAUACACGGUGUCUAGAAUUUUGAGAUUAAGAAGAGUAUAAAUGCUAUACAAAUACACUCCUUUCAUUUUAUACAACUUUGAUUGAUCAAGUUGUAUCUCUUUGAUAAUAUGUUCUAUCUUCUUUCAUUUUAAACUUCAAUUGAGUUGCUAUCUAUUUAACUUUGGCAAGUCAGAGAGAGGGAUGGGACUGUCCAAUUAAAAUUAAGUUCCAAUUGCCAAUCCCACCAUUGUUGUCUCAUGUUUGCCAAAUUCAAAUUUGAAAAUCUCACCAAGUCAGUAUGGUGAUGUUGUGGGAUUGUCUCGCCUAGGUUUUUAGCCUCAUGACCUCCUUUAUUAGAAAAAGUCUUAAGUGUUCUUACUCAAUGGUAGAAUCAUGAUUUUACUUCAAUGGAAGCCAUAAUGAUUAAAAUAUACUCUUUUGAUUAAUUACUUAUUUGAUGUUGCUCUCUCUACCAUCAUCUCCAUCUUUAUGAAAAAAUUUAUUGUAAUACAUGGAAGUAUAUAUUGCAUUGAAUAAAAUGAAAUUGUUCAAAAAUUAACAAAUUCAGCUUUAUUAUAAUCUAAAACAAAGUAAAUAGAAUAAUACCCAUCAUGUAAAAAUAAAAAAAAAUAAAAAUUUAUACCACUUUGAAUUUAUUUUAAAUGUUUGGUCAAAUCUCAGAAGCACAAACUUUCAACAAUGAUAAUAGGUAAAAACUGAUAAUCUUAUAAUAAAAAGCGAGAAAAAAAAUAAAGUUGAUUUAGCAGGUAAGAAUAAAAAAAGAAAAAUAGAAAGAGAGAGAAAUUAGUUUAGGCUCUAACCAUUGUUAUAGUAGAGAAAAAAAAAUUAAUCAAGAGUACUUUUAUGACUUUUUAGAAAAGAGUGAAUUAAAAUAAUAAGUUAUAAUUUGAUAAUUAUCUUAAUUAAAAAAAUAGGGGUUGAAAUAAAAUUAGUGAAUUUAAAUAGCCUGCCCAAAAUCCAAACUUGCAUAUCAAUUAUUUUCUAAUUUACAUAAAGUUUUUCUAUAUGUUUGAUAACAUUUGAUUCUCAAUUGGUCUAAUGGAGAAACAACCAGCAAAAAAAUAAAAUGAAUGAAAUUAAAUGGAAUUUUGAAAAGAGCAGUAGAUGACAUUUAUGUGCAAGCAAAAUGCAAAAUUGCAUUCUGUUUGUGGGAUCCUGGAAAAAAUAAAAGAAAGAAAACAGAGUAAGACGCUGGUACUGUGGGCUUUAAUAUUUUUCUAGAUGCUUCAAUGGCAGAUUCUCGUUGGUUCAUUUUUCUUUACGCCUUAGAUUCUAUGAUUCAAUUUCAAUCAAAUAAGACAAACAAAAGAAGCUUUUAAGCCUGCAGCUCAAAAAGAUGGCACUUUAAUUUUCGGCUGAACAUACAUAUGGCAAGAUUAUUAUUAUUGAGCUUGAUAAGUGGGGAUAGCAAAAUCCGAAUUCGGAUGUAGGUGCAUUCGGAUUUGGAUUCGGGAAAAAUUAUGUGGAUGUGGAUUUGGAUGCGGGUAAUAUCUGCACGAAUUGCGGGUGAAUAUUCUAAAUAUUUAGAUCCGCAUAAUAAUAAAUUUAAUUUUAAUUUUAAUAAUUUACAUAAUAAUAUUAAAUAUAAUAUAAUUAUACUUUAACAAUCAUUAAUUUAACAUCAAUUCAACAUAAAUACCAUACAACAACACCAUAAAUUCACAAACAAUAAUUUCACAAUAUAAAUCAAACAUAAAAAAUAAAAAUAAAAAUCUAUGGUAAACCGAUUUAUUACAAUAUUCUCUAAUUAUUAUUAUUAUUAUUAUUAUUUGUUUUUUAAUAUAUUCAUAGUUAAUGAAGAUUAUAGAGUUAAUUAUGCUUAUACAUUUAUAUAAAUAAUUUAAUUUAUAUAUUUUCAAUUGAAAUUUAAUUAAAUAAAUAAUUUAAUUAUAAAAUAAUGCAGAUCCGGAUAUCUAAUUUUUCGGAUGUAAAUGCAUCCGGAUCCGUACGGAUCUUAAUUUUUAAGAUUCGGAUUCUUUUUUUUUAACAUACAGAUUUAAAUUUUUUUGAAUUCGGAUCUUCUGAAUCUUUGCAGAUCCAGAGUUUAUUGCCAACCCUAAAUUGAUAAGGCUAUAGAAAAUUCAAUAUCCAGAUCGGAUAAGGAUCCAAUAAAUUAUAAAAUAUUGCGGCUCAAAGCCCAUAUGAUCAUGGGCCACCGCUUGCUCAUGCUUUGAAUCAAAAUUUUCUAAUGAAGUGAGGUUGGAAGCUAAAAGGGGCAAAUGAUGAAAUGGGGUUCAUCAUAUAUUGAGCCCAACGGGACAAGAUCAUCAUUUAAUUCCCUCCUCUUGUCGAUAGAUAUUUGCCGAAUUUUUUCAUUUAAAAAAUAUUAUAUUGGUUAAUAGAAUUUGAAGUUUUACAAAAUAUAAGUUUAAUUUAAAAAAAAAUUAUGUUUGUUAAUUUAAAAUUUUCAUUUGGUGGUUGUGUUUGAGAAAAAAUUUAGGUAUACUCGGAUAUACUCUCUUAUUAUUCAUUGAAUUUGGGUAUUUAAACAUACUAGUAUGUAGUAUUUUUAGGUAAUUAGCAGAGAAGUAUACGUGACAAAAAUAUAACACGUGAAACAAUACACAAUGAAAUUAUCUACAAUUUUCCAUUGACUUAGUCAACUCUUCAUUAAUUUCAUUGACUUGAUCAACUCAUGAUCUAACUUGACAACUUAAAAAUUAAAUUAUGCUAGUAAUUCCGUAAAAUUAAAAUUUAUCUCCCAAAAUUGAUAAAUACCAUGUCACUUUGUCAAAUUACUUAGGGUAAAAACUCUGUGGCUAAAAACUUUUAACAUUAGUUGUAUGCUAAUUGAGAAGGACAAGACACAAAAGAAUUAAAUUAAUGCCACAUCAUGCAACACUAACACUACUUACUCUUAACAAAUUCUUACAAACGUGAUUCAUGAAAUUAACUUGACUUUUUGUCUAAAAAAGGCCUAAAGAAUCAUGCCAAGCAACAAAUAAAGUAGUCCAAACGUGAUUCAUGAAACUUGAUAGGCACUAUCUAAAUAGUAUUAAUAUGGCCACCAAAAACAUGCGCGCAAAAUAGACUUUCUUGGACGAUCCAUGCCAAUCAGCAAAUAAAGUAGUCCGAACGUGAUUCGUGAAACUUGACUUCUUGUCUAAAAAUGCCUAAAGAAACAAGACCACAAUUUCCAUGCAAUAUCAAUAUGGUGGCCACAAUGCACUUUUUAAGCCAUUUUUCAAAACUAAGUUUCUUCGUUUCACAUGCACUAUUCAAGCAAUUUUUCAACAUUUUCUCCUUCCCCUAAAAGCUACAUGCAUGAAUCAUGUCCCAAUCAAUUUCUUGGCAAAAAUUGGAACGCAAGAACCGAUUGGAGCAUAAGGACAAUGUCACGAUUCAAGAUUCUCAGCAAGACCACGUCACAAUGCAUCACUUUUGGAAAGUAAUCUAGCAAUUUCCAAUGCCUUAGCUGAUUAAUGGCUUGACCAUGUCACGAUUGGUCCACAUUAUGCACAUGGCAAGAUCAAACAAAAUAUCACAGCUAGCUCGACGACUACUAGCCAAAAUAACAAGACAAUGACGGCCAGUUACAAACUCUUUACGAAGGAAAUACCGAAAUAUGAAUUUCCCUCCUAAUCACUUUCUUAUAUUAUCAUUAUUUUGUACAUAUAACAGAACACGUUCUCUCUUGUAAAGAAGUCAACAAAACGGUUUUAGUUUUCAUAUCAAUAAUAGAAUCCAAAAUCUUUCACAGCUUGCUUCUCCUUUGGACGCUUGAAAGACUUUCUUACCUGGCUAAAACUGUGAAAAUUGUUCAAACUAAUUUGAUUGAUAACUUUCUGACACUAUAAUGUAUUAUUUAUAUGAAGGCUACAUUUAAAUGUGAAAUAAAAAUGAGUGUUUAUAUUAAAAAACAAUCAGUCUCAUUGCGUCCUCUUUCAUUGACAUAGGCAGUUUGCGGUCAACCCUUUAUUAGGUCAUGACUGUCCGAUUGUCUUCGCUUUCAUUGACUUCGCAACUGUGAAUUCUAAGCCGGGUUAACGAUUGACAAAAUGUUAUAACCCAUAAAGCACGGAUAAUUAAUUAAUGGGCCACUGAUUUCUUCUUUAAAGGCUAAUUCUUGGUAAAGAUCAGAAAGUUCUCAAAUAAAAAUUCGGCUUUGUGGAAAUUAAAUUAAAAGCAAUUAAGCAUUAUAAAUUACUUAACAGCUUAAUCGAGUUUGGUUUUGAAAAAUAUAUCCUUAAAUCUCUUGUAAUUAAAGAUAAUUAUCAUAUUACCGUCUCAAAUGGACCGAUUUCAAUCAAAUGAAAUCUAGAAAAUUGAGCAGCUCAUUGAUGUAUUUGGUCGAAUUGUGACUUGUGUCAGAGUCUUCGUUUUAGAAGAGUGCACAGCAGCUGCCAGGUCCACUCGGCAGUUGGCAGCAAAUUAUCUAACACCACUUUACUAUCAAAAUUUUUUGACAAUAAUUUUUUGUCACUUAAUAUUUCAAUUUUUAUCAUUUUAUCAUCAAAAAAUAGUAAAUGCAUGUUUAGUGUAAGUUAUCCACAAACAUGGUUGUUGAAUUGUCUUGUUUCUCAUUUGGUUUAAUUUUCAUAAAUUCGACUCACACAAUUCAAUUAUGAGUGGAGUUUUUUUGGAAAAAAUCUGGUCUUCCAUUUACUAGAACCAGGUCUGAAUGAUUUUAUUAUUUUUCUUUUGUUUGAAAUAUACGUGGAAAAUGUUGAACACUUUGUAGGAUUUAGAAGAAUUUGAAAGUUUGAAUGCAUAUAGUUUACUAUCCAUCAGCUAGUGCAUAUUCUGUAUUUUAUGAAAUCAAAGCUGGUUGAUUGAGAAAUGGACCUUAUUACAUGUCAUAAGAUUUUACAGUGCUUUCUAAUGGGGCAAAAUAAAAUGAUUCUUAUCUGCACAGAAAAUUAGAAACGAAAAGGAGGGUUACUGAUCCACAGAGUUGUUAUUUACGAGAAGCACAUGGAUAUUACACUUAAUUUAUUAUCCAUCUGUAUUGUUUAGAUGACACUGAAGUAUUACCUAAAUUUAUUAUCCACAAAACUUCUUUUUCAAAAAUCUAUGGUUGUGAUGCGUCUCUAUAAACUCACUCGUACAAAUUCUAUCUAAUGCCAAUUGUUUUAAACCCUGCUCUGAAGAGAGCAUGAAAGGAUAUGUUCACUUAUCUAGUUAUGUUUUUUAUGCUUUCACUUCACUUGAUUAUAUCCAUCACAAGGAUCAUAUUAUAUCCUACGGAAGGAGCACAGUUCAUUGGCUGCACUCAGUUUACAGAGUAUUUCGGGAUUCAAGACUGUAGGUUGUUGCGGUUGCAACUUGCAAGGCUGUAGCUGUGUGACUGUAUGCCACGCUGGCAAGUGUGCUCUGACGGAUUGUGGAGAUGGCGCCAAAGAUUGUAAACUAAUUAGUACUGAAAAAUCCUAUUUGCACAUAAAAUUGCACAAAAUAAAUAGAAUGAGAAUAAUUGUACAAAGAAAUAAGAUUAAUAAAGUAAAUAAAUUUAUCUUUUAACAAAAUAUUUCUAGUCUUUUAGUGUUUUUGUGUACGUACAAGUAGCAUUACUCAUUCUAAUAAGUAGCUCACUUGAGCCUAGGACUUGUAACUAUGUUUUACCUUUCUGUAACUUUCUUAUAAAGAUUUUUUUUUUUUUUACAUUUUCAAUUUCUCUUCCAUUUUCCCGACUCCCAACACCACCAAUCCUCGGUUUUCUAGAGUAUCAGCUAUCUCUUUCUACAAACACAAAACUGCUAUUUACUUUCAAGAAACAACGUAUUCUGUGGUUUAUUGGCUUGAGCCUUGUGAACCGGGCUAAUGUUGGUCUAACUACUUUCACGAAACAACGUACUCCGUGGUUUAUUGACGCGCACGGUAGCUGCUAAGUGCUAACUGCCUUCUCCAUUUGACGUGCAAAACACUUUCUUGAGUCGGGUUAAAAUUAAUUGAUCAUUUUAUUUGGUGAUAAUGACUUAGUUGUCAAGUCAUGAGUUUGAUGAUGAAGAGGAUGAAAAAUAUUAUUUUAUUAUUUAAAAUAAGACUAUCAAUUAUUUCCAUGGUCAUCUUAUUUUCUAAAAUAACUAAAUGGAAUCUCACAGAAUUAAAGUGCUUGACUUCUUCAUACAGUGGUUGACUUCUUUUUACAGAAUUAUAAAGUGAAAAAGGAAAUUAAGAAAUUAAAUACUUUUCAUGCGAGUGGAGAAGAUUGGGUAGCGAUUACAUGAAAUAAAAGAAAAAUAAUUUAAAAGUACAACACUUUAAUAAUCUCAUUCCCAAUCAUAUCGGUAUAAAAAUUCUGUAGAUUUAUUGAAUAACUAUUGAUUUUACUUUGGUAAUUUCUUUCUAAAAGUGAGGUAAACAUUUUUAUUUUCUUUGCAUUCGAGCUUUCUUUCUUUUGCGCUGGCCUUCACACUCUUGACCGUAUUUCAUGGGGCACAUUCAAUCUCAAUCUACUGCAAGUUUGUGGCAGUUUUGUUAAUAACGAACAUUUGUAGGAUUUUAUGUAGAUGAUACUUUUACAUACAUUUUUCUUUUCUUUUUUUCUUCGGUGAACAAAUUAAAAAUUUAGUUUUUGUCAUCAUGACUAGUGAAAUGAAAAUUGUCCUCAUUUCAAGGAUUGACAAAAACGUUGUGCUCAUACCGAUUAAUGGGGAACUGAUUUCGUCUUCUUAAAAGAGAAUUAUUUGCAGCGCCGUAAUUCGGAGAUUUCUGUAUUAUAUAGCCAAACCUAAGUGAUAAGAAUUUCCAUAUGAGAUAUAAUUUGGAGGGAAACAAAAAACUAAUUCAAGUUAAAGACCAGGAAUUUGUGUUCCUCACAAAAACACUUCAACGUCUAUUCUCUCAUAGAGGGGAAUAUCCUUCACUCUUUGACGUAUCCCUGGGGCAAUGUAAGUUGACUUUACAUUAAAACAAAAAAUAAUUACAAUCACAUAAUUACAAUUAUCAUCACUGAUUUGUAUAAUUUUCAGGACUAGUAAAUUAUCUCAAUUUUUAAAAAACAUAAUUACAAUUAUCGAUCGAACACCACUAAUUCCAACAAUUCAUCCAAGUUUUUCAACUUUUUAGAUAUUUGAUAUAUGUCAUGUUUUAACUUAGUACGAGAAAAAAAAUAUAGAAUAAUUUUUUUUCAAAUUAGUGGAAUUAUUUUACGAUAAAACUAUCACAAUCACAUUGAAAAAUAUUCUUUAAAUUUUCACUAUUUCUACUGUUAUUCUUUAACCUUUUUUCUGAACAGAGCAUGGAGGGUUGCUUAUCUAAAUAUGUUUUCUGUGCUUUCACUUCACUUGAUUCAUCUUGUCCCUCUUUCAUAGCUUCUAUCUCGUGUGAGCUUAGAACCUGCAACUCGUAUUUUACGUUUCUGUUACUUUCUCUUUCAUUUUCCCGACUCCCAAACACCAUCAGUCCUUGAUGUUAUAGAGUAUUAGCUGUCUAUUUGUACAGACAUAGAGCUACUGUUCCCACUGUAGAUCUUCAGAUGGUUAGCUCACUAUUGUUUGAAUAUUAAAAUUAAUUUGUUAAAUAAAUAAAGAAAACAAGAGACAAUUGCCAUAUAUAUUCCAUAUUAAUUAGUCACCGUCCGAUUGUCUCCACUUCCAUUGACUCUGUUGAUUCAUGCUUUCAUGAAGUGAAACGUUUAACACUCUGUUCUGAUCCGCAGGAGAGGAGGAAAAACAUAAUUUUAUUAUUUCAUUCCUGACACGCGCAAAGAGCUUUCUUAAUUGAUGAAUGUGACAUGAAGCUCUAUAAAUAGUUUAAUUUGUAAAAUUGUUAAAAUUUGUUAAAUUUCAUUUAAUUGAUGAAUGUGACAUGAAGCUCUAUAAAUAGUUUAAUUUGAAAAAUUGUUAAAAAUUUAAAUUUCAAGUAAGGUAGAUAAAAUGAUUAAAUUUUUUCAAUAUUUAGAAAAUUAACAUGUGUCAUGUAACUAUGAGUGAAUGAAUGAAAUUUUUGAAGUGCGAAUCCAUUUACAAGUUACGACUUGUCUUGUUUCUCAUUUUACUUAAUUUUCAUAAAUUUGACUCACGAUCAAUUAUGAGUGAAGAGUUUGUUGGAAAAAUAUGGUCUUCCAUUUAUUGUAAUCAGAUGAGUGUGAUUUAAUUAUUUUUUCCUUUUGCUUGAUGUCCCGAAAAUUAUGAAUGCUUUUGUAGGAUGCAGAAGAUUAAAAAUUUUAAUGCAUAUCUAUAGUCAAAACUGAGGAAACAGAACAUUACUGCUUCUAUAAAUAGGUCAUUUCAACCUAAAACUUGUUACUUGUAUUUUACAUUUUUUUUUUUUAACUUUUUCUUCCAUUUUCCCAAACACCACCAAUCCUUGAUUCUUUUCCUAGAGUAUUAGCUGUCGAUUGUUACAAACAUAGACAUAUUGUUUGUCUAAUUACUAUCAAGAAACAACAUACUCUAUCCUGGGGUCUCUUCGUUUAUUUAAUAUUUAGGUUUAUUAAUAUACUAUAUUAUUAAUUAAUAAUUUAAAUUAAUUAAAUAAUAAAAGUUAAAUGAUUAUAUUGAAAAUCCAAGUAGUAUUUUAAUGUAAUGAAACCUAAAUCCCACCUCUAUACCACAUUUGUUAUACAAUGUAAUGCAACUAUAAAUUAUAAUUAUAUAAAAAUAAUAUUUUAAUACAAUAUAAUACAAAUUACAAGUGUAAGGCUGUAAUAUUAAUUAGCCUGUGUAAUAGUAUGCCAUGCUGGCAAGUGUGCUAUAACAGAUUGUCGAGCUGGCACCAAUUAUUUUAAACUAAUAUUAGUAAUUAGUCUAGAGUGUUCUGAUUUAUUCUAUUAAUAGCCCAUUUAAGCUUUGAACAUGUGAACUUGUAACGUGUACUGUACUUUUCUAUUACUUCUAAUAAAGAUUUUCUCUAUUCCUUUUUCUUCACUUUCUCUUCCGUUUUCCCGACCCUCAAACACCGUCAAUCCUUGAUUUGAACUGCUGUUUGUUUGUCUAAUUACUUUCAAGAACAAUACCCUCCAUCCCACGGUCUCUUCGUUUAUUGACUUGUUACUUGUGAACAGGGCUAAAUAAAGGGAAAAUACAACAAUUCAAGCCAGCCAUUUAUCAAACGCAUGACAGAGACGCUUCAACAGGUUGUCUCAUGGAAAGAAAUCCUUCAGUCUCUGACGUAAUACUUGGGGCAACGUAAAUUGACUUUACAUUGAACGAAACACUGGCCACAAACAUUAUCAAAAUUAAAUUGAUCGGUUUAACGUAAGUUUUUCUUCAAGAACGAAUGCCAAGAGCUCAAGAAAGUCCUAUCCUUUAGACACGUUAAGAAUUACUUUUCUUUUCAUAAUAAAUUAGAUUGAGUUAAUAAUAUUUGCCUGUGUGAAAUGAAUAAUCAGUUUAGUGUCACCCCAUUAUUAAUUUGUGACUGUCCGAUUGUCUCCUUUUUCAUUGACUUUGCAACUGUGACUUCUGAACCGGGUUAAGAGUUGACAAAAAUGUUAAUGUUAAUAUGUUAUAACUCAUAAAACACGCAUAAUUAAUUAAUGGCCCGCCAAUUUCUUCUUCUCAAAAGAGAAUUUUUGUAGGAGAUUGAAAAAAGGCUAAUUCAUGUUAAAUAUCUUAGAUGAGUGUCUAUCAGGGAUACAAGUCAAGCCACACGAUUUUUCUUGUUAUACUAUUUAUUGGCACUUGUGAAUCCUUGAAUUAUCAAAUGAAUAGCAACAACACUUCAAUAUCUAUUGUUACACGGAGAGAAAUCCGUUCUCUCUUUGAUGUACUACUUGGCAAUAUACAUUGAUCUUUCAUUAAAACAAGCAUUCUCAUAUUGUUGAGAAAAGCUCACGUUAAACUAUUCAAUUUAAUCAUUUAUUAAACAGAUAUUUGGUUUGAUUCAUUUAAUUCAUUUAGUAGAAUUAAUAAACGAAUCGGAUCGAAUCCAGAUUCAUUUAUUCUAUUACGAAUCCACAACGAAUUGAAUAGAAUCGAAUCAGAAUUCAUUUACAAUUCGUUUAGAAAAAUAUAAUUGAUUAACAAAAUUAAGCAAAAUAAAAUAUAAAAAAGCCGCAAAUUUAAUAUCCUACAACAAAAUACAAAUAACACAAACCAUAUUCUAGGAUUAAAUAUACAGUCAUCCAAAUUACAACAUUAACCUUCAAAUUUUAAAAUAAAUAAAUAAAUUUAAGGACAAAAAAAUAAUUUUAUUAAAUGAAUAAUAAACGAAUUUUAAACGAAUCGACAUGUAUUCGAUUUGUUUAUCACUUGUUUAUUAAACGAAUCCUAGACAAAUAUAACGAAUCAAUAUCUUCAAAGCUGGAUUUGAUUUGUUUAAUUAGCGAAUCGAAUCAAAUUAGCCCAUUUAUUAAACGAAUCAAUUUUUUCGAACCCAAACCCAUUUAAUUGGCAUCGAAUCAAAUAAACAAAUCCUGACCUAUAUUGUCACCCCUAGGCUUUUGGUGUUUCUUUGCGUAUUUUUGUGUACAAGUUUGUGUGCAAAUAGCAUUACUUAUCAAUAAUUAGUCUGGAGUGCUCUAAUUUCUUCUAAUAAGUAGCUCAUUUGGGCUUAGGACCUAUAACUAGUAUUUUACGUUUUUGUUAAUCUCUGAUAAAGAUUUUCUCUAUUCUUUUUUUUUUUCCUUUCACCUUCUCUUUCAUUUUCCGAGUCUCAAACACCACCAUUCCUUGAUUUUCUAGAGUAAUAGCUCUCUAUUUCGACAAUCGCAGAACUGUUGUUGAUCUAACUACUUUCAAGAAAUAACGUAUUCUGUGGCAUAUUGACUUGUGAACGGGCCUAAUUAGUCACGGUCCGAUUGUCUCCUCUUCCAUUGACUCGGUCAAUUCAUGACUUUGACCUGCACAGUUGAUACGAACUGACUUCUCCAUUUGACGUGCACAAAACUUUCUUUAGUCGGGUUCAAAUUAAUUGAUCACUUUGUUUGGUGAUGAUGAAUUGGAUGUCCAAUUCAUGAGUUUCAUGAUGAAGAGGACGAAAAACAUUAUUUUUUGAUUUAAAAAAGACAAACAAUUAUUUCGAUGGUCAUUUUAUUAUUAUUUUUUUAAAUAUCCAAAUGGUAGAAUCUUACAGAAUUAAGGUGCUUGACUUCUUUAUACAGAAUUACAAAGCGAAAAAAUAAAGAAAUAAAAUACUCAUCGUGCAAGUGAGAAGAGAUUGGGUUGUUGAUACAUUAAAUAAAAGAACAAUGAAUUAAAAGCAUAACAUUUCAAUAAUUUCAUUCUCAAUCAUAUCAAAAAUAAAAUUUACUGUACAUUGUUGUUCGGUUCUGCAAAAAAAAAAAAAAAAGGAUUUGCGGUUUUGCUUGAGUGUAAUUUUCGUUAAUUACAGUUUGAUUUGAAGGGUUAAGCGCACGUUCGGGUUUCUUUUAUGUAAUUUAAAUCAACAUUGAUAUAACAAAUGAGCUGAGUACGAUGAUGAAGAAGAGGAAGAGGGGUAUCAUCAAUUUAUUAUCAAAUCUUUUCUCAUACAUCACUUUAUCAUUAUAAGCUUUUGACAAUUAUUUUUAUCAAUCGGGGUUCUUGACUUUUUGUUUGAAGUCUAAAGCUUAAUAAUUUUAAAGCAUUUACCAUUUUUAUUUUGUUUUUUUAAUCACUUAUGUCUGAUUAUAAGAUGUUUAGGUAUGAAUAGAAAAAGUUAAAUAUUUUAACUUUUAUCUGAAUGACAAAAUAUAUAAAUGGAUUUUAAUAUUCUCUCUUGUUAAUACCCCUAUUCGAUAAAUUUAUUUCUUGUUAUAUAAAUUAUUGUUUUAUUUUUUUAUUUUUUUAUUUUUUUAUUUACCCCUCUCUUUUGUUAUAUACAUGCAUUCAACUAUCAUUUUUUUUUCUAUGAAUGAGAAUUUUAGACAUAAUAGAAAUUUAGGUGAGUAUGUUUUAUAAUAGAUCUAUCUCUUUGUAUUUACAUUUACUAUUUUAUAAUAAAAUUUUGAAUUUUAUUUACUACAUUAAUUUUAAUUCAAAUGAUAAAGCAAUUCUUGAUUGACUUAUAUAAUUAACAAGAAAAAAAUAUCAAUAUAAAAUACAAAAAAUAGCAUUAUAUUCAAUACUUUAAUAAUCUCAUUCCCAAUCAUACCGGAAAUAAAUUUUUCUGUAUAUUUAUGAAAUAACUAUUGAUUUUUUUUUUUAAAGGUAAACAUCUUUAUUUUCCUUGCACACGAGCCUUCUUUCUUUUGCUUUGGCCUUUACUGUUGAUUUCAAGGUCAUAUUCAAUCUCAAUCUUCUGUAGGUUUGUGGCUGUUUUAUGAGUUACGAUUUUUAUAGGAUUGCAUGUAAAUGACAUAUUUAUAUACAUUUUUUCUUUUCGGUGAAGAUAUUAAAAAUUUAGUAUUUGUUACCAUGUGAAAUGAAAAUAGUCCUCAUUUCAAGGAUUAAUGGGCCACUAAUUUCGUCUUCUUAAAAGAUAAUUAUUUGCAGCGAGAUAAUUGGAAGCUCGAAGAUUUCUAUAUUACAUAGCCAAACCUAAGUGAUAAGAAUUCCCAUAUGAGAUAUAAUUUUGGGAAAAAAAAAACCAAUUCUAGUUAAAGAUAAAAAAUUUGUGCUCCUCACAAAAACAAUAAUUCAAGCCACACAAUUUUUCUUGUUUUAUUUCAAAAACAAAAUUGUGUUCCUCACAAAAACACUUCAACAUCUGGAGAAAUUUUAGAAUAUAUCUGUUGUAACAUGUCAACCAUACAACAAACAAAUAAUUUCAUGACAUGUAUGUAUUUAUUUUAUAAGCUAUCAUUCAAGUGGUGGUUGUAUUAAACUCAAUUACACAUGUCAUGCAUGUAUUAAUUGGUUGUAAUACAACAGAUGUAUUAUAGAAUUAUUCCAACAUCUGUGGUCUAGUAAAGGGAAAAAUCCUUCACUCUUUGACGUGUCCCCAGGGCAAUGUAAGUUGACUUUACAUUAAAAAAAAAAAAAGAAACAUUGUCAUAUAGUUAAGAAAAACGUAAUUUUGACAAGUGCAAGAGAUGGGUAGGACUCAUUUGAUGCAAGAAAAACAAUGAGUAUACGCAAAGAGCUUUAUUACUCUGCAGCCAAUACUUUGAUGAAUGUGACAUUAUUGGUUUGUAUAAUUUUUUGGACUAAUAUUUUAUCUCAAUUUUUUUAAAAAAAUAUAAUUGCAAUUUUCAAACACGAUUAAUCCCAACAAUUUAUCCAAAAAUUUGAGUUUCAAUAAAUGUAGCAUUUAUGAUAGCAUGGCUAAUUUUUUUCAACCAACACUUUAGAUAAAUGAUAAAUCAAUAUUUGACAUGUUACUAACUUACUACAAGAAGGAAAUUAUAGAAUAAUUUUUUGAAUUAGCAGAAUUAUUUUACGAUAAACCUAACACAAUCUAAUUUAAAAAUAAAGUUAUUCUUUAAAUUUCCCGUUCCUAUUCCUACUUUUCUUGUUAUACUACUUUGGCACCGGUGAAGCCUUGAAUUAUCAAACAAAAAGCAAAAAACACUUCAACAACUGUUGUCCCACUAGGCAUUGUUAAAUUCAUACGAUAAAAUGAGUACUUGUAUUAAAAAACAAUGAGUCUCAUUGUGUCCUCUUUCAUUGAUAUAGGCAAUUUCCAGUCAAUUUGUGGCACCCUUACUGACACGUAAAAAACUUACUUACCCCUCACCCAAUACUUUUAUGAAUUUUCAGGACUAGCAAAAUUUUCAAAUUUAAAAGAAAAAAAAUGCAGAAAUAUAAUUUCAAUUUAUCCAGAUAUUUGGGUUUCAAGGAACAUAGCAUUUAUUAUAUGUCAUGUUAAUAUAGAGACUAAUUUUUUUUAAAAAAAAAUUGAAUGAAUAAAAGUAUUUUUUUGAUAAAAAUUUCACAAUCAUAUUUUUUUAAAAAAGUUUUUUUAAAAAAGAAAAUUCACUCCUCUUCUUACAUAAUUUAAUAAUUUAACAUUAUAAAUUAAUCUUUUUAAUCAAAGUAAUAAUCUCUCCUUCGGUGUGCGAAUGCUAAAAUUUAAUAUUAUAGUCGUUGAUGAUAUUUGCGUCAAAUUCACGUGAAUAAAAUUUCUAACAGAAUUAUGAAAUUCGUUACUAGAAAUUUGUAUAAAAGUAGUGAGAAUAGAAGGUUUGAUCAAAGGAAAUUAAUAUAUCCCUAUCCGAUGCAAAAAUUACAUUCUAUUUUCCAAUUACUAAGGUCAGCCUUAACGCAUGCCGGUCUUUUUCUCCUCUACUUUCUAGAAAUUUUGGUUUCACUAUAAAAACUCGGUAUAUAACAAACUUAUGAGUGUUCUUGCAUUACCAAUCCAAUUAAGCACACGCUUACAAUCUAAAAUACUCUCAUCUCAUGGAAAGAGUUCAUUCUCUCAGGAUGAUGAGCAUAUUUCUCCUACUCCAUUGUUUGAUUAUUAUUUCCUUAUUUAUCGCAGCAACAACAGCCACCACAAGUUCUACUAUCACAGACCGAGAUGCUCUGUUAGCCCUGAAAGCUCACAUAACUCAUGAUCCGACCAAUUUCUUGGCCAAGAAUUGGAACACAAGUACUCCUGUCUGUAAUUGGACAGGUGUCGCUUGUGACGUCCAUAGCCAUAGAGUCACAGUCUUGAAUAUUUCAAGCUUAAAUCUCAGAGGCACCAUCCCAUCUCAACUUGGGAAUCUUUCUUCUCUGCAAUCACUCAAUCUCAGUUGUAACCGACUUUCUGGUUCCAUUCCCUCCACCAUCUUCACCAUAUACACACUAAAAAAUGUUAGUCUCGGUAAAAAUAAGCUCUCUGGGCAAAUUCCUACAAAUAUUUGUAGUAAUCUUCCUUUUCUUGAAUUUCUUUCUUUGUCCCUAAACAUGUUCCAUGGCGGAAUACCGUCCACUCUAUCAAAUUGCACAUAUUUAAGAACCUUAAGUUUGGCAUACAAUGAUUUCUCGGGAGCCGUACCUAGAGAAAUCGGUAACUUGACCAAACUUAAGGUAUUAUAUAUUGGCGCGAAUAGACUCCAAGGUGCGUAUGAUGAUGGAGUUUAAUUAUAAAAAUUGUUCCAUGAGUUGUAAUAUGAAUAAUGUUCCAUAAUACACUUCUGAGCCCGAAGUCCUUUCUUUUCCUCCUUGACUCUUCUAUCGUCGAGCUAAGUGACUCUGUCAUGCCGCUUCAAGUAAUACACACGUUGAUUAAUUUGCAGGAGAAAUUCCUCGAGAGUUUGGCAAUCUUACCGAAUUGGAGCAGUUUUCGUUACCAACAAACAAUCUCCAAGUUAUGAUUUUAAACUUUUUGCAAUUUUAUUCUAGCUCUGCUUGAUUCUGUAUUCAUUCGUUUGUUCAUUAUUUAUGCUAUGAUUUAUUGUUUUUCUUUCAGAUAGAGAUAAAGCUCCAUGUCUCCCCUCACUCAUUUCGUUCUUUGAUUUAUGCACAUAAAAAUAAAAUAAAAAUGUUUUGUAAUUUUCUUUUGUCAUAUUGCCACUUCCCUUUUGAAGCUCCCAAUUAAGUCGAUGAAAAUGAAUGAUGUUUCAUUCGUAUUCUUGUCAGCCUAAUUCUUAUAUAAUUGAAGAGUAAAUUGUUAUUAUGAUAUUCGUCAGCCAAUAAAUUCUUUUUUUUUUUCAAAAUAUGAGUGAUCAAAUUGUUUGCGCAUAUAUAAUUUUACUUAAUUUGCAGGAGGUAUUCCACAGGAAUUGGGGAAUCUUGCAAAAUUGGAGAUUUUACAGCUGUUCCAGAAUAACUUGACCGGUAACCAUCUUUACUAUAUAUAUAUGAGACAUCUUCUGCUUCUUAAUUAAAAGAUUUCAAGUCUCUCAUUAUAAAUUCUCAUAUGAGGAUAUGUCAUUACUACAAUCUAACAUUAUUCCCUUUUUUUAUUAGAAAUUAGUUUGUGUUAAUUCAAAAUUUUGUAACAUGUAAAAAAAAUUAAAAACACGUGGAAUAAAUCAUCAAUCUUUCUUCUUUAUUGAAUUUGGAUUUCUAAAAAAUUAUCUUGACAAGUAUGCUUCACUAAUGAUAUGCAUGUGUGACAACUUCAUAAAAUAUUUUACAUGGAGUCAUCAAUUAUCUUUAAAUAAUUGGAGAUGCCAUCAGUGAUACAUAAUUUCUUAACAAGCACCAUAUCAAAAGAAAUCAACAAUUUUAUUAAUCUUAAAGAGUUACAUCUUCACCGCAAUUAUGAUAUAAAAUUUUAGUCAUCAAUCGCAUAAUAUUUUACCUUAACGGAUGAUGUUCAGUCUUGGAAUUUAUAAUACCUUGAAGGUUAGUAGCUUUGAAAAUAAGAACUGUUCAUUUGCUAAAAAGUUAACUUAGUAUUUAAGUUUUUCAAUUGAAAAUUUUGAAAAAAGUCUUGAGAACUGCCCUCCUUAGUAUUUCAGCUGAUAAAUAUGAAAAAUAGGCUAGAAGAAAUAUUGUUGUGUGUGCUUAUUUUACUUGGGCUUUGGGCUUGAUUACAAGGUCGAGCACUAACACCUGUCAUAAUAAUAGGCUUUUACUUUCACCACACGUUCAAUAAUUUCUUAACCUUCCGAAUUAAGUUAUAGCAAUUUAUAUAUAAAUAACUAAAGCAUACUAAAGCGAGCACAAAGUACUCAUGACUUAGGCUUACUGUGUUACCUAUUACACACGGUCGAACACUUACAUCUGUUAGAAUAACAAUAGCAUCCACGGAUCGACUAUCAGUGAUCAAAUUGAUUGCACAUAUGUAAUUUGCAGGAGCAAUUCCACGGGAGUAGGGAAAUAUUACAGGAUUGGGGAUCUUAGAGCUGCCUGAUAAUUUUUUAACCGGUAUCAUUCCUUCAUCUAUCUACGAAUUGCUUUUCUCUAUUAAAUUCGGAACUGUCAUUUAAUAACUUAACAGGUAACUUCCCUUACAACAUGUCUGUGUGACAUGUUUUGCUUUGAAAUUAAAAUAUUUCACGUCUCUCAUUAUAAAUUCUCAUAGGCGGAUGUAUUGUUACUACUAUUUAACAUUAUCUCAUUUUUUUAUUAGAAAUUAAUCUGUGUUUAUGCAAAAAAAUUUAGCAUCUAAAAAAAGUACAAAAACACAUGGAAUAAAUCGAAAAUCUUUCUUCAUUACUGAAUUCGGAUUUCUAAAAAAUUAUCAUGAGAACUUCAUAAAAUAUCUUACAUGGAAUCAAUAAUUAUCUUUAAAUAGUUGGGGAUGCCAUCACUAAUAAAUAGUUUCUUAAAAAGCAUCAUACUAAAAGAAUUCAAUAAUUUUAAUAAUCUUCAAGGGGUACAUCUUCGCUGCAAUUAUGACAUAAUUUUUUAUCUAAAUAUAUUUUUAGUCAUCAAUCGCAUAAUUUUUUAUCUUGACGGAUGAUGUUCAAUCUUGGAAUUUAAAAUAUCUUGAAGGUUAGUAGCUAUGAAAAUUAGAAAUUUUUUAUUUGCUAAAAAAUUAACUUAGUAUUUAAGCUUUUCAAUUGGAAAAUUUGAAAUAAAUGUUGAGAACUGGCCCUCCUUAGUAUUUCAGCGGAUAAAUAUGGAAAAUAGGCUAGAAAAAAUUAUUUUAUUGAAAUAAUAGUUAAAAAUAGAGACGUACAGUACUCAUGACUUAGGCUUGCUGUGUACUUUUUUUACUUGGGGUUCGGGCUUGAUUACACACGGUAGAAUACUUACACAACUCCCCCCAUAUAGGGUUUUACUUUCAUCCCACAUUUGAUAAUUUCUUAACCUUCCCAAUUAGAUUAUAGCAAUUUAUAAAUAAAUAAAUAACUAAAGCACACUAAAGCUAGCAUUGAUGGACAGAUGAGUGGUGUCAAAAGUGUAUCUGUUUUUAUUAGGGUUGGCAAUUUAAGGGCCUGGGCCGGGCUUUGCCAAGCCCAGGACCAGGCCCAUAUAAUGUUAAAUAAGUUCAGGGCCUCUCAAAGCCCAUCCAAGUUGGGCGGGCCGGGCCUUGACCGGCCUCGGGCCGGGCCCGGGCUUUUAUGAAUUUUCAAAUUUUUUUAAAAAAUAAAACUAUAAAUUUUCAAAACAUAAUUAUCCAAUACAUAAUACUACAAUAGGCUAAAAACUUAAAUAUAUUUCUCUAAUACAUGAUUAGCCAACACAAAAUAUAAAAAUACUAACAAUACAAGUACCGUACAUAACAUACAAAUCAACCACUAAUAUAAAAAAAAAAACUAAUAGAGAUUUACCAAUUUAGGAAUUUUGACAUUUUGUGACAAAACCUUUGCCCUUUCCCUUUGCCCCAUUUUUUUAUUGUUUUGUUUAAUUUUUUUUUUCAAUUUUAUAAUAUAUUAUACAUUUUUUUUAAAAUAUAUAUAUAUAUAUAUAAAGCCCUUAUCCAUAAUAUAUAAUAUAUAUAUUAUUUAUUAUAAAGCCCGGGCUUUUCAUUUAGGCCCUUGACUGAGCCCAUAUGUUAUGGGCUUUAUUAAUUAUGAGCCCUUACCCAUACUUUCAAGCCACGGGCCAGGCUUAAAGCCCGCGGGCCUGGGCCGGCCCGGGCUUUUCUGCCAACCCUAGUUUUUAUGUAUUAUUGUUCCCUGAUACAAAUUUGAAUAAUGGAAAAUAUAAAUUUAAUAUUUUAUUUAAUACUUUGUUAACAUUUUAUCUAUAUAUAAUAAAUAAACUGAAACUUGUACUUAAAAAAUUUUUUGGUUACGCAUAUUCAUUUCAUGAUAAAAAAAAUGUCUAUUUACACUAAUUUACCAUUAUCAAUAAAAUGCUUUGAGACAAAUAAUCUAAUUUAUAUUAGUAUAUUUAAAAUACUUGCAUUUAUUAUAUUUUGAAAAAACAUUAUUUGCAAUUAUUUUAAACCUUUGAAUUCAAAUUUUCUUAGUUAUUAAAGUCAAAGGGUAUAAAUGUAUAAUAGUCAAAAACAGAUUUGUAUGAUCAUUUUUCAAUGUAUAAAUUUUCUUAGUUAGUAGGCAAUUAAAAUUUGUUGAUUUACUCAUAAAUAAAUUUAGUGUUUAGCAUUUCAAUUUUGGAAAACUUGAACUAAAUGUUGAUAACUUCGAAUCCAUCGAGCCAAGUUUCGCUUCCUUGACACACAGACCCAUUCGAAGUUCUAUUCGAAUUGAGUUUCCAAGUGCUUAGAAAAAGCAGUUCUUUUCCAUGUCGCUAUAAUUUAUUCACAAAAGAGUUGAUUAGCGUCGAUGUUGCUUCAGAGUCUGAGACCAUGUUAAUUUAUUUUACUGAAUUAAUUUAUUUUAUCUUGCUGUAACUGAAAUACUACCUUUUUUUUUUUUUUGCUAUAACUGGGGCUUGAUUAACUUUAAUAAUAGCAGCCAUAGACUUAGGCUUUUUUACUUUUCACCACACAAUUUGAUCUUUUAAUUCGUUUUAACCACAUAAUCUAUCUAUCUCACACCUAUUGCUUACUUAAAUCGCAUACAUAUUUUACCUACUAAUUUUUACAAACAUUAGUGAAAUAUAUUUUAUUACAUUUUGCUCGUAACUGCUCUAGUUGUGCACUAUUAAUACUUAACUCUCCCUUUUAAUUUAUCGUGCAAUCUAUCAACCACUAAAAUUACAUAUAUAUUUUACCUAUAUUUUGCCCCAAAAAAUAUAAAAGUAAUAGAAAAAGAAUAUGUGUAGCAAUUUGUAUGUAACUAACAAAGCAUUGACGGUGUGUAGCCUUUCAAUACUUCAUGAGUGGCUGUUCUUGUGUGUUAGUACUGGUAAUAAUUGUGUAGUGUAUAAAUGACCUUUUAUUAUUAAAGCGCGUCUGUUGUUAGAUAUUAUUUAUUAUUUGAAAAAUAAUAUGAAUAUAAUUCUUUCAAAAUACAGGGGAGAUACCAACUGAAAUCAUAAUCUCCGUAAUCUGGAGGAGUUGGACCUUGCUCGAAACAAAUUAGUUGGUAUUGUCCCAGCUGCAAUCUUCAAUGUGUCAACACUCAAGCAUCUUGGUCUUCAAGAUAAUUCUCUCUUGGGAUGUCUUUCGUCCAUCGGAGACGUCCGACUUCCAAAUCUUGAAGGGCUUUAUUUGUCGGGUAAUAAUUUCAGUGGCACAAUUCCUAGUUUCAUCUUUAAUGCUUCUAAGCUCUUUAAGCUAUCGUUGCAAAGGAACUCAUUCUUUGGUUUUACUCCCAACACAUUUGGCAACUUAAGAAACCUUAAGUGGCUAUCUUUAUAUGAUUCUUAAGUGGCUAUCUUUAUAUGAUAAUUAUUUGACAUCUUCAACUCCAGAAUUGAGCUUUCUGUCCUCGUUGUCAAAUUGCAAGUGUUUAACAUUUAUUGACUUAUCAAAUAAUCCACUAGAUAGCGUUCUUCCAAAGACAUUUGUCGGUAAUGUUUCUCAUUCUUUGGAAUUCUUUGUCAUGUCCUAUUGUAACAUUAGUGGCGGCAUCCUUGAAGAGAUCACCAACUUGACCAAAUUGACAACCAUUAUUUUAGGAGGCAAUAAAUUGAAUGGAUCAAUUUCGAUUACUCUCGGCAGGUUACAAAAGCUUCAAUAUUUGGGUCUUGACGAUAACAAAUUAGAAGGAUCAAUCCCAGACAGUAUUUGUCGUUUAGCUUAACUGUAUGAUUUGGAGUUGGGUGGUAAUAAGCUUUCUGGAUCAAUCCCUGCAUGCUUCAGUAAUCUGGCUUCUCUGAGGAAACUGUCGUUGGAUUCCAAUGAGUUAACUUCUAUUCCCUUAACUUUUUGGAACCUUAAGGAUAUCUUGUACCUCAACUUUUCGUAAAAUUUUUUGAUUGGUCCACUCCCAUUAAAGGUUGGAAAUUUGAAGGUUUUAGUUGGAAUUGAUUUUUCGAUGAAUAAUUUUUCAAGCGUUAUCCCAAUAGAAAUUGGAGGCCUACCAAAUCUAGAAUAUCUCUUCUUAGGAUAUAACAGAUUGCAAGGAUCGAUUCCUGAUUCAUUCGGUGAUUUGAUAAGCUUGAAAUCCUUGAAUUUGUCUAAAAAUAAUCUCUCAGGGGCUAUUCCUGCAUCUUUAGAGAAACUCUUAUAUCUUAAAGAUCUAAAUCUUUCUUUCAACAAACUAGAAGGAGAAAUUCCUAGGGGAGGGUCUUUUGGAAACUUCUCAGCUGAAUCAUUUGAGGGAAAUGAAUUAUUAUGUGGUUCACCCAAUUUACAAGUCCAGCCAUGCAAAACUGGCAUCCACCACACAUCAUCAAAAAAUUCUCUUCUCUUGGGGAUUGUCUUGCCAUUGAGUACUACAUUUAUGAUAGUAGUCAUUUUGUUGAUCCUAAGAUAUCGACAGAGAGGGAAACGACUAUCGAAUGAUGCUAAUAUGCCAAUAGUAGCAACAUGGAGAAUGUUUUCAUACCUAGAACUCUGUCGAGCAACAUACAAAUUCAGUGAAAACAAUCUAAUCAGCAAAGGUGGUUUUGGCUCUGUUUACAAAGCAAGACUUGGGGACGGGAUGGAGGUUGCUGUGAAGGUUUUCAAUUUGCAAUGUAGAAGAGCAUUUAAGAGUUUCGAUAUUGAAUGUGAAAUGAUGAAAAGUAUUCGCCAUCAAAACCUUAUCAAAGUUAUUAGCAGUUGUUCAAAUGAAGAGUUUAAAGCGUUGGUAUUAGAAUACAUGCCUCAUGGAAGUUUGGAGAAGUAUCUGUAUUCAAGUAACUGCAUUUUGGAUAUUUUUCAAAGAUUGAACAUAAUGAUAGAUGUUGCAUCAGCUUUGGAAUAUUUGGACCUUGGUUAUUCAGCUCCAAUAAUUCAUUGUGACUUAAAGCCCAACAAUGUAUUGUUAGACGAUAAUAUGGUUGCUCAUUUGAGUGAUUUUAGCAUUGUAAAAUUGCUAACAGGAGAAGAUCAAUCUAUGACUCAUACACAAACACUUGCAACAAUAGGCUAUAUGGCACCAGGUUUGUUCAAUAUAAAUAUUUUCUAUUUCUCAUAAACUUCUGAUGGGUGUCGAAGCCAACAAAAAUAAAUUCCUACUCUAAAUAAAUUGUGUAUAGUGAUUGAGCAGGGUCGUGUCGACAGAGAUCGGUAAUUAUUUAAAUCCUUUUGAAACGUAAAACGUAAAAUGGGGGAAUUGUUGACAAUAAUAAAAAUCAAAUUAAAAUAACAAGAAUGCAAAUUAAAGUUGUAAUUCAAAUUAGAGAAAGCUCUGGUUGAAGGAAUUAACUCAGCUUGAUUCGACUACUGAUCAUUGAUUCAAAUAUAGAUUAUUAUUACUUAUGAAUAGACCGGUUAUAGCUACUGAGACCCUCUAAUAGCCAAUCUCUCCUUAACUAGUCGAUAACCAAGGUACGACCGUUGGUUAUUUCCCUAAUCAAUAGACAACCCUAGAUACGAUCAUAGGAUUUAAUCAAUUGACAGCCUAAAAGACCAGAGAGACCCAAAUCCUAAUCAACACAUACGAUGAUUCAUUUAAAUUAGAUUGUUUAUUCUCAUAACACAACUCACUGCUAUGUUAUUUGUCACAAACAUUAAAAUCUUCAUACGAUGAAUCCUUUAAUUAACAAUAGAUUAAGUUGAUAAUUAAAUAGUGGCCAAUUACCUAAUUAACAAACAUAAUCAUAAAAAUAAUUCAGAGAAUAAACAAAUACCCAAAAAGCAAUAAAACAAUUAAAGCAUAAGAAAGAUCUCACAGUAGUGAUGAAUCAAAGCUUCAUUAUCCUUCAACAAGAAAAAUAGAUUUAGUUCUUCACAGAGAGAAGAGAAAAGUUUAGAUCUAGGGUUUCUUUCCUUUUCUCCAAUCCCUUUUUUCACAAUAGAUUCCUCCUUAAAUACUUUCUCUCUCUUCUCAUUUAGAGUUCUAUUUAAAAUAAAAUACUAAUAUCUGAAAUAUUAAAUUCGUAAUUUCAAAAAUAACCAAAAAUACAAAACACGUUAAACUAAAAACUGCAGGUCCGCAGUUGACAGCACGCGCCCACACCUUAUCAAUAAAGUUCUUCUGACUCUCUAAAUUUCUCGAAGAGAACAAUCAUCUUUAAACAUCAUCUUAUAGCUCAAUUUUAUCACAAAUCAAUAGAAUUGCACCUACAAAAGUAAAACACAAGUAAAUCAUUAUUAUUAAGUGCAAAACAUCGAUAUUAAGGGAAGUAAACAAUGCAAAACUAGUGCAUAAAUUGCACUCUAACAAAUUCCCCUACACCAAGAUGAUGCUUGUCCUCAAGCAUAUAACUUAAGACUAAUCACAAAUCUCCACUCAAUUUUCAUCUCAACUCAUCCAAAAACAAUUUUAAGCAAGCAUACCUCAAGAAUUUAAGUCGAUCAACAUUCGAGAGCCAAGGAUUUUAAAGCAUAGAAUCUCAUAAGCUAGAAUAAAAACAUUCAACCAUCAAGAAGAUCCAUUCAAAAUUCAAGUGCAACAAGAUUUAAUAGCCCUCUCAUUGACUUCACUCGAUGCACUCAAAGUGUUUAGGGUGUCAUUUAUGCACUCAAAUCAAAUCAAAGAAUGCUAUUACCAUAAGCUUGCUUAUAUAUCAUAUCUCAAUCCACAAAACAUGAAUUAAAUGCAAAAAUCUAAGGGUCUUAAAAAGGUUGUAACGGGGUUAAAUGGGUUAAAUGAAAAAGAAAGGUCUAUGAAAGAAAAAAAGAUUAAAAUGAGAAGAAUGAACUCAUUGAAUGAACUUCUGAUAUCAAAAUGCUUAUUUCUACUCAAGUCACCAAGAAUGUAAACUUUUUUUUUCGAUUUUUCUUUUUCUUUUUUUUUUUUUAAUCAAACAAAAGAAACGAACCUUGCACAAUUUAAUUCAAGCAUAAUGCUUGUUGAUCUAAUUGAGAAACUUUAAUACAAGGUAGAAAAAGCAACAAAAUAUAUCCAUACAAUGAGUCCAAAAAUCUCCUUAAAUUGAGGCUCAAAAAGGAGAAAAAUGGUUAAGUAGACGGAGAGAAUUAGAUGGGUAAUGGUUAAGGCUCAAACAAAGAUAGCAAAUAAAGGUCUUCGAGUAGAGAAAAAAAAAUACGAGAAUAGAAAAUUGGAAAAUGGUUUGCCCUUAUCAUUUUAAUGCAUAAAAUCCCGUAAUGCGGCUUCAACAUGCAUAACAAAGCAAGUUCUAGAAUAAACAAACUAAGAUUGAUAUUCACAUAACAAAAAUAAUUAGAGCAAAGUGGCUGCUCAUAGGCUCAAAUCCUCACAAAGUUGGUAAAUUUUCCAUCAAAUCAUGUACACUCUUCAAAUGAAUCAACCAUCAAUAGUGGUGUAGAAUGAGAAGAAGGUAUGAGUGAGAUAUAAAAGGAAAGGUAAAAAGGAUAAUAAGCGAGAAAGAUGUAUGUAGUAAAAAAAAUGAAAGAUAAAAUGUGAGUGAUGAAAGAGUAUGAUAGAGAAAAAAAAUAGAUGUAAAUAAUUUGAGAUAGAUGGGAAAAGAGUAGUGAGAGAGAAGGGAAAAGAAAAUUAAUAAUAUAUGAAGCAUACUAACUCCAAAAUCAUUUAAGGAUGAGUAGAGUGAAAAUAGUACUUCUAGACAUCAAUAAUGUAAAAAUCCCUCCCCAACACCAAGAACUUACAUUGUCUCCAAUGUAAGAUAAUCAAAGCUCACAUAAAAAUUAAAGCGUAAGGAUAAAAGAUUAAAGGCAAAAAAAAUUCCCUGAAUUGUGAGCUUUGAUCCACAUAAUGUCUAUGGGCUUGGCAGAAAGGGUGGGGUAAAUCCCAUACUCUCGAAGUAUGCGGCCAAAUUCUGCUCCAUCUUGUUCAGCUUGUGCUCCAUCUUCUCUAACUGAAUGCUGGUAGUGCGGAUGUAGAAGGAAUAGUUGGCGGGCCAGCAGUGUCGUCUUCAAACUCGUCAUUAGAGGUAACACCACUCCUAGCAUAAAGCUUCUUUGGAGGUUGAGUGGGUCUUGGUUUAGUAAACUAAAAUCUCCCCUCCUUGAAUUCGACGACACCUGUUCUUUGAAACACAGACAUAUCCAAAAAUUCCUUUUUGCAAGCAGGAUGCAAAUCAUUAUUGUCAGGAUCAAGCACACAUAGGUUUAUAGCUAACAGAGUAAUGUAUGGACCAAGAAAGAAAGUCCGAUACCGUUUAAGCACACUUUGAAAUUUAUCCGCUAACCAAAAACCUAAAUUAGGCCUCACAUCAUUUAACAUGCACCAGAUAAAAUAAAAUUCAGUUUUAGAGAAAACUCCUGAGUGAUCUUUCUUUCCUAAAAAAUUAUAUGCUAAGAAUCGAUGCACACAUUUCAAAACAGGAUCACGUAAGAAAUAACUCUUUGAUUUACUCAGGUCAUAGGCAUUGUGAUCAACACAUAAAUUACGCCAAAGACCAUAAGGCUCAAAAUUGUCACUAAAGUCACAAGUUGUUCCUAAAUAUGCAUCACUAGAAGAAUAAUCAUCAUCAAGGAAUCCUAAAGCUAGGUUAAAAUCCGUGAUAGAGGUGAAAAAUUUUGUCCCAUUAACCUAAACUUUAUGACAUCUGGGGUAUGCAAAGUAAAAUCAUUCGGUAUAUUAAAUUGAAAAGUCGCAUAAGACUCCUUAAUCAACUCAACAUAACCCAAACAAUCAACAUCAACAAACUUACGCAACCCAAUCUUAUCUAUCAAAUAAUCAAAAUUAUCCUUAACAUUCAAUUUUUCAAGAGUCGGGUAAUUAAUAUACUUAGCUGGAAGUAUUUUGCACGUGGAAAUAUCUUUGUAUCUCUCUUUCUCUUGUUGAGUCGCGAAUGCAAGGCAUCCUCCGAGAUUGGAUUCCGCAAGUGGCAAAACACUCAUGCCUUUUUCAUGUUUCGAUCUUUGUCUCAUGGCUUGGCGUGAAUCUGAACUUGUGUUCCAUGGAACCGGAAUGCGAGCGACAAUCUUAGAUUUCUUUGUGACGGGUAUCUUUUUAGAUGACUUGGAAGUAGAUGCUUUCCUCUUCGGCAUUGUUACAAUAAUUGCACUCACGGAUUUCGAUUUACCCGGCUGGAAUACAGGGCGUAGGCUGGUUGCGUUGCACUUGCUGCUCGACUGGAGCUUGCUGCGCGGGUUGGGGUUGGUUGCGCGCGCAGCUGGUUUUGCAUGCUGGUGAUGCUAGUUGCGUUGCGUGCGCGAGCUGGAGACUCUGGAUCUGCGUUACGAGGCGUGCUCGUCUGCUGUUCGUUGGGACUGUGUUGCGCGCGCGGGAUUGAUGCGCUGCGUGAUGGUGAUGGCCAAAGCUUGCUGCGCGCGGGCUGGUUGUGUUGCAGGUGGGACUGAUACGACUGCUGCUGGUGAAAACAAUAAUCAACAGUGAAUUUUUUUUUUAAUUAGGGAAUUGUAAAUAGUGAUUUGUGGUUUUUGCUUUUUUUGUUUUUUUUCUUUUUUUUUUAAAUAAAUAAAUAAAAUAUAUAUAUAUAUAUAUAAAAGAAAGAAAAAAAGGAAAAAAAAAAUAAAUAAUUUUUUUUUAAGUGAUGAAUCACUUUGAGUCACUAAAAAUUUCAGACGUACUUUUCUAAUAAGCACGUGGGCACACCUUAAAACUAUUUUACUUUAAAAAUUAUAGAAGUACUUAUUAGUUAAGACGUGGGCACGCCUUAUCAAAAAUUUUCUUCUGACCAAAAUAAGCAAACACAUUAAUUUUUUUUUUAAAAAUCUGAAUCAAAACUAAAAGAAGACAUAACAAAAACCAAAAUAAAUAAAUCAUUUGGGUUGCCUCCCAAAAAGCGUCUUUGUUUUAUGUCUUUGGCUAAACACAUUUAUGCAACAAUCUCCAUAAUUGGGACUCUCGAGAGCCACAUCCUCCACAAUAUUCACCGAAAAACCUUCAUAAAAAGGUUUUAAGCGAUGACCAUUAACAUUCAAAACUUUGUCAGAGGUCGGACUCCGAAUCUCAACUACACCAUGAGGAAAAAUAUUAGUAACAAUAAAAGGUCCAACCCAGCAAGAACGUAAUUUACCCGGAAAAAGUUUAAGCUUAGAAUGAAAAAGAAGAACUUUUUGACCAAUAGAGAACUCCUUUCUCAAACUCAUUCUAUCAUGAAAUGUCUUCGUCUUUUCCUUGUAAAAAACUUCAUGCACUAUAGGGUUAAUAAUAUCCACAGAAAAUACUGAAUGUUCCUCACUAGGAUAUUUCAUGGCAUCAUUCAUAUUGAAUUUUAUAACCUCUCCAUCAAACUCCAUAGUGAGAGUCCCUUUAUGUACAUCUAUUUUAGUCCUAGCAGUCUUAAGAAAAGGUCAUCCUAACAAAAUUGGGACAUAAUUAGAGGAGUUAUCAUCUUCCAUAUCAAGUACAUAAAAAUCAGCAGGAAAAACCAACUCAUUAACUUGUACUAAGACAUCUUCUAAUACCCCAUCAGGAUAUGCAUUAGACCUAUCAGCUAGUUGAAUUAUCACGCUAGUUUCUUUUAAUGGACCAACAUUCAAAGAUGAAUAAGUGGAACGAGGCAUGACAUUAAUAUAAGCUCCUAGAUCUAACAUAGCCUUUUCAACUCUAACACUACCAAUUUUACAAGGAAUGGUAAACAUACCUGAAUCCUUGCACUUAGGAGGUAGUUUCUUUUGGAGAACUGCUGAAACAUUCUACCCCAUGUGAACUUUUUCAUCUCCUCUUAAUUUUCUCUUGGAGGUGCAUAGUUCCUUAAGGACUUUAGCAUAUCAAGGUAUUUGUUUUAUAGCAUCUAAUAAAUGAAUAUUUACCUCAACCUUGCAAAAUGUCUUAAAGAUGUCUUUCUCUUGUUCCUCCUUCUUGGAUUUUACAAACUAGCUUGGAAAAGGAGGAGGUAUCACAAUAGGUAGGGGUUUCGUUCUGGUGGGUUGCGCAUCUUGAGAUUUAGGCAUCAAUUCAUUCUUCCCAAGCUCAUCUUCUACAUGCUUUGUCACUUUCUUACUAGGCUCUUGUAACUCCUUCCCGCUUCUAAGGAUGACAGCACUAACGUUUUGCUUUGGAUUCACCUCAGAUUGUGAAGGCAAUCUCCUUAAUACUUGAGACUCCAGACGGCUCACUGUAGUCGCCAAUUGACUCAUUUGGUUCUCUAAAUUCUGAAUGCUUUCUGUAGUUGCCUGCUGAAAUUGUUGAGUGUUAGUCGCAAGUGAUUUAACAAUUUCUUCAAGAGAUAUACUUGACUUGGAGUUUGACUGUGGAGGUGCUGGUUGUCUUGGUGGAUACUGUUGUGGGAAUCCUGACGGUCUAACUCCAUAGCUGAAGUUGGGAUGAUCCUUCCAUCUCAGAUUGUAUGUUGUGCAUAAGGAUCAUACCUCCUCUGAGGCAUGCCUGGAAAUCCUCCAACUGCAUUGGCUUGUUCAACGGGUUCUUCUUGAAGUGUAGGACACAUAUCAGUUGAAUGACCCAUAUUGGAACAAAUGCCACAAGUCUUUACCUGUUGCAUAUUAUCUACAAUAAACUUUUCUACAAGAGAAGUAAGUUUAUCUAAACGUUGUUCAACAGAAGAAAUAUUUACCUCAUUCACCGUUCUUGAAGUGGCAUCUUGCCUGCUGCCAAAUUGUUGUGCAUUGGCAGCCAUAUUUGAGUUCAACUCCCUUGCUUGAGUAAGGGUCUUAUUCACCAACACACCUCCACUGGCAACAUCUAUCAUACUCCUAUCCAAUAAUGAUAGUCCUUCGUAAAAAUAUUGAAUAAGAAGUUGAUCAGAAAUCUGAUGCUGAGGACAGCUGGCACACAAUUGUUUGAAUCGCUCCCAAUACUCAUACAAAGUCUCCCCAGGAAGUUGUCUAAUCCUACAAAUAUCUUUUCUGAUGUUGGCAGCUCUUGAAGCAGGAAAGUACUUCUCGAGGAACUGCUUCUUUAAACCAUUCCACGUUGUAAUCGAUCCAGGAGGCAAGUAGUACAACCAAUCUUUAGCUAGCCCAUCUACAGAGAACGGAAAAGCACGCAACUUAAUCUGCUCUUCAGUCACGCCUUGUGGCCUCAUACUUGAACACACAACAUGAAACUCCUUAAGAUGUUUAUGAGGAUCUUCACCUGCAAAACCAUGAAACUUGGGUAAUAAAUGAAUAAGACCAGACUUUAAUUCAAAAUUUACCUCCAAGUCUACAUAUUGAAUGCAGAGUGGUUGUUGAUUCAAGUCUGGUUCAGCUAACUCUCUAAGAGUUCUUUCUACAGGUGCAGGUCUAUCCAUCACUUGUUCUUCUGAAUCGCUAGAUGAUUCAACUAAAUCAAGUAUUGUAUCAAUUUCAGAAAGCAAAGGCAACGAGGAUCGUUGCUUAGCUCGCUUUGUCUGCUGUCUCAACUGGCGAGCUGUCUUCUCAAUUUCAGGAUCAAACGAAAGUGUACCUGUACGAGAAGAACGAACCAUACACCAAGUAAAACGUAAAAAUGAUUAAAUAAACGACACCAAUCCCUGGCAACGGCGCCAAAAUUUGAUGGGUGUCGAAGCCAACAAAAAUAAAUUCCUACUCUAAAUAAAUUGUGUAUAGUGAUUGAGCAGGGUCGUGUCCACAGAGAUCGGUAAUUAUUUAAAUCCUUUUGAAACGUAAAACGUAAAAUGAGGGAAUUGUUGACAAUAAUAAAAAUCAAAUUAAAAUAACAAGAAUGCAAAUUAAAGUUGUAAUUCAAAUUAGAGAAAGCUCUGGUUGAAGGAAUUAACUCAGCUUGAUUCGACUACUGAUCAUUGAUUCAAAUGUAGAUUAUUAUUACUUAUGAAUAGACCGGUUAUAGCUACUGAGACCCUCUAAUAGUCAAUCUCUCCUUAACUAGUCGAUAACCAAGGUACGACCGUUGGUUAUUUCCCUAAUCAAUAGACAACCCUAGAUACGAUCAUAGGAUUUAAUCAAUUGACAUCCUGAAAGACCAGAGAGACCUAAAUCCUAAUCAACACAUACGAUGAUUCAUUUAAAUUAUAUUGUUUAUUCUCAUAACACAACUCACUGCUAUGUUAUUUGUCACAAACAUUAAAAUAUUCAUAUGAUGAAUCCUUUAAUUAACAAUAGAUUAAGUUGAUAAUUAAAUAGUGGCCAAUUACCUAAUUAACAAACAUAAUCAUAAAAAUAAUUUAGAGAAUAAACAAAUACCCAAAAAGCAAUAAAACAAUUAAAGCAUAAGAAAGAUCUCACAGUAGUGAUGAAUCAAAGUUUCAUUAUCCUUCAACCAGAAAAAUAGGUUUAGUUCUUUAUAGAGAGAAGAAAAAAGUUUAGAUCUAGGGUUUCUUUCCUUUUCUCUAAUCCCCUUUUUCACAAUAGAUUCCUCCCUUAAAUACUUUCUCUCUCUUCUCAUUUAGAGUUCUAUUUAAAAUAAAAUACUAAUAUCUGAAAUAUUAAAUUCGUAAUUUCAAAAAUAACCAAAAAUACAAAACACGUUAAACUAAAAACUGCAAGUCUGCAGUUGACAGCACGCGCCCACGCCUUAUCAACAAAGUUCUUCUGACUCUCUAAAUUUCUCGAAGAGAACAAUCAUCUUUAAACAUCAUCUUAUAGCUCAAUUUUAUCACAAAUCAAUAGAAUUGCACCUACAAAAGUAAAACACAAGUAAAUCAUUAUUAUUAAGUGCAAAACAUCGAUAUUAAGGGAAGUAAACAAUGCAAAACUAGUACAUAAAUUGCACUCUAACAACUUCCUAAUAAGUUAUUUAUAUUUCAUGAUCUUGAUUAGAUGAGGAAAUUAUUAUUAAUGAUAUAUCUUACUAUGUAAUUGUUGCAAUUCAUAAAGUAUGGAAGAGAAGGACGAGUAUCCGCAAAUGGAGAUGUUUAUAGUUUUGGGAUUAUGUUAAUGGAAACAUUUACUGGGAAGAAACCCACAGAUGAAAUGUUUAAUGGAGAAAUGACAUUAAAGCAUUGGGUUAAUGAUUGGCUACCCAUUUUCACUAUGGAAGUUGUUGAUGCUAAUUUGCUAAGUCAGGAGGACAUACAUUUUGUUGCAAAAGAGCAAUGUGUGUCAUUUGUCUUCAAUUUAGCUAUGGAGUGCAUUGUGGAAUCCCCUGAGCCAAGAAUCAAUCCAAAAGAAAUUGCAGCAAAACUCUUAAAAAUUAGAGACUCAUUACUUAGAAAUGUUGGAGGCAGAUGUAUAAGACAAUCAAAUUUAAAUUGAUUCUACCCCUCAUUCAUUGCUUGCUAUCCUUUUCAGAGACUUGAACAAUUAUCCUCCAUAGAAGUUUUGCUGAUAUGUUUUGUUAUUGCUCUUGCUCAUGUUUAUUUCUCUCUUUCUUUAAUUUGCAUGCGUGCAUUUUAGUUCUCUUCCAUGUUCGUGUUGGUUUAUAUGUAGUUUGUUUUUUGGGAUAUGGUUUAUUAUGGCCUCACCCUAAUUAGAUGUAUCCUUUUGAUUUUUAUCAAUAAAGCUUCGCUAGUACUAUCGAGGUUAAUCGAAAGAAAAUUUUCAAUUGAUUUUCUUUUCUUUGACUAGUACUGGAAAUUCUAAUCUUUAUAGUGAAUAACUUCAAUAAUAGAGUGUAAGAGUAUUAGUAGUUGUGGUUGUUUCUGAACCUAGAGUUAGAGUAGUUUAACAGCAACAAAUAGGUCUCUUGUAUUAUAGCCAAAAUUCUUUUCAUUAAUCUUAUUUGUCUACAUUUUCUCCUAUUUUCUUCUUUAAUCUUCGCUCAAGGUUUCAUGCUUCCAUUUUGAAAUGUGAGAUUGUUUGUCAUCCAUUUGAUAAAAUGGAUAUGAGAGGAGCUUUCAAUCAUUACCUCCACCAAAAUCCUUACAAUGCAACUUUUAAAUUUAUUUUUUAAAAUACGUUCAGUUUAAUUUAUAAAAAAUAAAUCCAUUUGUUAAAAUUAAUUUUUUUCUCAUAAAUUUCAACCUAAAAAAUAUAUUUCUUUUAAGUUUUUAUUAUAAAAUACAUACAAGUUCUAAACUAUUAAAUUAUUUUCUUCUUAUUAUAUAGUUUAUAUUUCCAUAACUCUAAACUCCUAUAAUUUUUAAAAAAUAUAUUUUUUAAUUUAAAAUAUGAAUAUAAAAUAUAGAAUGGAGUGGGUAUAAAAAGUUUUGUUAAAAGAAUAAUUCAUUCAAGUAUUUAGCUGAAUUUUAAUUUAAAAUAAGAAAUAAAUUAAUUUAUUUUUUAUUAGUUAAGUAAUUUCAAUUGAAAAAGAGCUUAUAUUAUGGACAUAUGAUUAAAAUUGUCAUGAAUUAAACAUUUUCAUAUAAAUACUAGUGAUAAUUACGGAGAAAGUACGAUGAACCAAAGAAAACUUGAAUAGAAAUACUCCAAUGUAAUUUUACACAUGCAAAUUAUGAACCAGUGAUCUUUAGAGCAUCAUAAAAUUAUUUUAACACAAUUAGUUAGUUUGGAAAAUUGCCAAUAAUGUUUAAAGUGGGAUUGAAAAGAUUAUACUACAAAUAUAAGACAUGAUAUCAUUUAAGAGCUUACAGAUUAUGAGAAAUAUAUUGAUCUUACAAAUAAUAUAAAAUAUGUCAAUUAGAUUGAGUCUAUGCAAUAAAAGUUUCAAAUUAAAAAAUAAACCUUUAUUUUCUUUUAAUCAUAAGUGUGAUCUUAAUUAUUAAAGUCAUUCAAUGUCCAUUACUUAUUCAUUUUUUUAAUUAUCUAAAUGACAUUGAAAACUCUACUCAAUAUUAAUUCAUUCUAGUGUUUUGUUUUAAAGUAAUCGAAAAUUGCAAAUGAAACAAAUGCUUGAAAUCACAAACUGCCUAAAAUUAGAUUUUUAUUUCUUAAUGUUUUAGUGACUUUGAUCUUGAUAUUGAAAAUUUAUUUGUAACUUAUAUAAAGGCCUCGAUUUUAUCAUAAUUGAUUAGUAAGGCUAUGUACGGGAGCAUGGAUAAAUUUUGAGAUUGGAUUAUAUUUUUGGAACUAAAAAAUUAAUUUCAUCCAAUGUUAUGUAUAGCUGUCGGGACUAGCAAAUUAGUCUAAAAUUAUUGAAAUUAUUAGUCUUUUACAUUAUAAUUUUUUCGUUCCCACUUUAAACGUUAUUGGUAACUUAAAUCAUUUUUUAAAUUAAAUAUAAAGUUAAUUUAAUUAAAUAUAAUUUAAUUAAAUAUAAAAAUUAAUUUUAUAAUUUUUUCACCUAGAAUUUUAUAGUAUAUUAAAUACUAAAAUUAUAUUCGAUAAUGUAUUAUCAUUUAUUUAAUAAAUAUUUAGGUUUAUUAGUGUAUCAUAUUAUUAUUUAAAUUAAUUUUUUAUUUUCAUAUAGACAUAAAUUAAUAUUUACUAAUUUAAAUUUAUUAUAAUUUAUUAAAUAAUAAAAGCUAAAUGAUUGUAUUUAAAAUAUAAAUUGUAUUUUAAUGUAUUAUAGCCUAAAUCUUACCCCUAUGAAUUUAUUUUAUCCAUCUUUUAUUGUAUUAACCACAUUUAUAAGGCAGUGCGAUGCAACCGAAAAUUAUAACCAAACAUGAGUUAGUAUGAAAAUAAUAUUUUAGUACAAUACAAUACAAUGUAAUAUAAGCAAACAAAUAGAUAUUUAAUUGAAGCAAAAAUUGCAUAUGGUUUGUCGUCUCUCAAAAGACAGCAAAGAAACCAAUAUGACACAUUGAUUUUGAAUUUGUUGUUUUUCGUGUUAUGAAAAGGAAAAUGCAGAAAACUUAUUUGGUGAGCUUAUUUUGGUGGAAAACUGUACAGUGAUUAAAAACAAAAAAAUUAUCAUUUUCCAAUGUUUACAAAGAAAACAAGAGACAUUUUAUUUCACUUUUACUCUCUGCCAAGGGUCUCACUAUCUUAACUUUUAUAAGAUAGUGUAAUAAAUUACGUGGGCCCAUUUAAUAAAGAAAUAAUCUAAUAAAUAAACUAAUAUAACAAAUAUUUAAAAAUAAUAGCAAUAGUUUAUUCCAUACCUUGCAGCUUAACUACUUAAUAGAUUACCCAAAUUGUUUUAAAUAAAAAGUAAUAUCAUAUAAUUAUUAUACUAAAUUAUUACAUUGUUCGACCCAAUAUGCAGUUAUUUAAAAAUUAUUACAAAUUUUCAUACACUAAUGAAAAUAUUUCAAUAAUAAAGUUACUUCUUGACAGCUAAUAUAAAUAAAUAUAUGAUAAUUAUGAAAUAAUUUAAAAUUUUCUCAAUUACUAUUAUCUUAUAAGUACAAUUUAUUUACAUAAUUAAAAGUUUUUAAGAAAUCAUUAAAAUAUCAUCGUACCUAUAUGCAUUUAUAAUAAUAUAUAAUACAUCAUAAUAUAAUAGCUAAAUAGAUAAAUUAUUUAAUGACAUAAAAUAUAUAUUUAUAUUCAUUGUAUUAUAUUAUUCUUUCAUAAUAAUUUCAUUAAAUAAUUCCCUAUUCUCUCUCUCUCUUUUUGUCUUCAUUUUUUCAGAUAAGCAACCAAACAUCUUUUCACCUUUUUUUAUUUUCAAGUACUGUUUUUAAACUAAGGUACCAAACAUGUUUUUAUUUUUAACAAAAACUAAUCAUUCUUAUUUCAUAAAAUAAAUUUAAAAACACUAUUUAAAAAAUAAUACCAAAUGCACCCUUAAAAACUAUGAGAAAUAUACUGAUUUUACAAAUAAUAUUUAAUAUGUCGAUUAGACUGAAUCUUUGGAAUAAAAAUUUCAAAUUAAAUACUAAACCCUUAGUUCCCUUUUAAUCGUAAUUAUAAUCUUAAUUAUUAAAGACAUUUUAUUUUGUGCUUGUCUUUUUUUAUUCACUUUUUUUUUAAUCAAAAAUAUUGCUCUGCAUGCAAGUCUUUGGUCGCGGGCCUAGGUGUCCCAAACAUCCAGCUGACAGCGACGUUUCCACUUUGAUUAUCCGCACUUCCCAGAAGUCGCAAGGAAAGACCGAUUGAGUAGUUUGAUUGGUUUGAAGAUUCAUGAGACUGCUUUUCACUAGAAUUCCACGGCCUCAUUCAUUUUUUUUUUUAAUAAUCUAAAUGACAUCGAACACUCUACUCAAUAUAAGUUUAUUCGAAUGUCCUGUUUCAACCUAAUCGAAAAUUGCAAAUGAAACAAAUGCUUGCUAUCACAAACAGCCAAAAUGGAAUUUUUGUUUUUCAUUGUUGUAAUGACUUUGAUCUUGAUGUUGAAAAUUUAUUUGUAACUUAUAUAAAGGCUCAAUUUUAUCAUAAUUGGUUACAUCCAUAUGCAGCUUAUAUAAUGUUUAUUACAUCCAUAUAAUCUUUCUUAUAUAAUGUUUUUGUUACAUCCAAGAGAAAGACAGUUACGCUUAGAUCAGUCUUAUUUAAUAGAAUUAUAGGAUAAUAAAAUUGGUUUAAAGAAAUGUGAUUCUUAACUCUUGUAAUUAAAGUUAGUGUUCUUUGAUUUUAGUGGUGUAGGGCUUAUAAGUCUAUGCAACAAUUCUUGGUGAGUUUGAUUCAAUAUACGAUCAUUUUCAGUUCUUUAAAGUCUCAUAAUUAAAAAUUCCGAAAUCAUAAUUAGAAUUUACAAACAAGUCAAAGUGAGUCAAAGCAAACCUAGAAAUUUAAGGUCUAUCAUAAACUUUUGACAAAUUAAAGUUAAGGUGAUUAAUUAAAUGCUAGACAAAACAAAACCUAUAAAUUUACCUUACCACAUGAUGAAGCUAUUUCAAAGAUCUCAAAUUACACACUAAUUAAUAAUUAAUCUACAUUUUUUUCCGUUGUAUAUCGUUGAAACUUCUAUCUUCACAACAUAUUGUUCUUAAUUGGCCAAAUGUAUUUUUGUCUAGAAAUUUGCUAUGAACAAAUUUCAGAAUUCAUCAGAGAUAAUACAAACAACUAAUGUAUUUAUAAUAUACAUAAUUAAACUUAAUAUAACCAUCACUUACAUGAUAGUUUUUCAAAAUAAAUAAACACAUAUUAUAACAUAUUUAUUUAUUAUAUAAUUAAUAUAGUACCUUUAAUAUAUUGUAGAAUUUCUUCUUCCUAUGUUACAGAAAAUGUAAGUAACGGACACUAAUUUAACAAGAAACGUAUAUAUAAGUUUGCCACGUGUAGUCUCAACAUGUGUGUAAAAACCGAAUUAACCGGUUUGCAUUCGACAACAAAGGAAAAUAUUACUUGUUGCUGAUCGAUUGCAUAAUAUUUUAAUUCGACAUGUCUGACUGCUUUGCCAGCUCGUGUGAUAAAAUGGAUAUGAGUGGAUCUUCAAUGCCUCCCGCAAAAUCCUUGUAACACCACUUCAAAAUUUUAUUUUCUAAAAUACACCGAGUUUAAAUUAUAAAAUAUAAAUCUGUUUAUAAAAAUUAAUCAUCUUUCCAUAAAAUUUCAACCUAAAAAUUAUUUUUCUUUUAAUUUUUAUUAUAAAAGGUAUACAAACUCUAUUAUUAAAUUGUUUUCUUCUUAUGAUAUAGUUUAUAUCUCUAUAACUCUAAACUUGUGUAAUUUUUUUUUAAAAAUAUUUUUCAAUUUAAAAUAUAAAAUGGCGUGGGUAUUAAAAAAUUUGUUAAAAGAAUAAUUUAUUUAAGUAUUUAACUGAAUUUAAAAUAAGAAAUAAAUUAAUUUAUUUUUGAUUAUUUAUGUAAGUUUCAAUUAAAAAAGAGUUUUAUGAGAAAUUGAGAGGGGAAAAUGAUAUUCUUAGUAAUAUUAUUAACAUAUGAUUAAAAUUCUUAUUAAUUAAACAUUUUCAUAUAAAAACUACUGAUAUUUAUAGAGAAAGCACAAUGAAGUGAAGAAAACUUGAAUAUACAUACUCCAAUAUAAUUUUACACAUGCAAAUUAUGAACCGAUGAUCUUUAAAUUAUCAUAAAAUUAUUUCAACAUAAGUAAUUAGUUUGAAAAUUUUCCAAUAAUGUUUAAAAUGGGAAUGAAAGGAUUAUACUAUAUAAGACACAAUAUCAUUUAAGGCGGCUUAGAAAUUAUGAGAAAUUUAUCGAUCUUACAAAUAAUAUUUAAUACGUCGAUUAGACUGAAUCUUUGGAAUAAAAAUUUCAAAUUAAAUAAUAAACCCUUAGUUUCCUUUUAAUCAUAAUUAUAAUCUUAAUUAUUAAGACAUCUUGUUUUUUGCUUGCCUAUUUUAUUAACUUUUUUUUAAUGAAAAAUAUUGCGCUGCAUGCAAGUCUUUGGUCGCCGGCCUACGCGUCCCAAGCAUCCAGUUGACAGCGAGGUUUCCACUUUGAUUAUCGGCACUCCCCAGAAGUCGCAAGGAAAGACUUGUUCGAGUAGUUUGAAGAUUCAUGAGACUGCUUUUCACUAGAAUUCCACGCCCUCAUUCCUUUUUUUCUUUUUUUUUUUUAAUUAUCUAAAUGACAUCGAACACUCUACUCAAUAUAAAUUUAUUCGAAUGUUCUGUUUCAACCUAAUCAGAAAUUGCAAACGAAACAAAUGCUUGCGAUCACAAACGGCCUAAAUGGGAUUUUUGUUUUUAAAUGUUGCAAUGACUUUGAUCCUGAUGUUGAAAAUUUAUUUGUAACUUAUAUAAUGGCUUCAAUUUUAUCAUAAUUGGUUUCUAAUGCUAUGUUAGAGGGCAUGGAUAAACUGUGGGAUUAGAUUAGAUUUUAGGACUAAAAAAUUAAUUUCAUCCAAUGUCAUAUUUAGCUGUCGUGACUAAUAAAUUAGUCCAAAAUUAGGAUAAGAUUUAUAAUAUUAAAUGAAAUAUUUUUGUUCUCUUUAUCACUCUUUUCUUUUUCAUUUAAAUUGAAUAUAAACAGUAAUUUCAUAAUUUUUUAUGUAGAAUUUUAUAUUAUACUAAAUAUCAAAAUUCUAUUCAAAAUUUAUUUUAAGUUGUAUUUACUUAAGAUUAAUUAUCUAAAUUUAAUCCAAUAAUUUAGUUGAUCUAGUAUUGAAUAUUAAACAUUAAAAAUUAUUCGAUUAUUUGUUUAAAAUAAAAUUGAAUAUUAAAUAUUGAAAUAAUUAUUUAAUAGCAUAUUAUAUUAUUAAUAUAAUUAUUAAUAAGAAACAUAUCAUUUAUUUGAUUACUAUUUAAAGAUAAACUUAAAUACUAUUUAAAAUCAUUUAAAUUUAACUUAAUAUAAUCCAAUCUAAAAUUGUACCAGACAUGCAUAAUACUAUAUAUAAUUCAGUCUAAUCCAAUUCAAUCUUAAUAAAUAAUACAAUCUAAUCUUGUGAGUCAAAAUUGGCCUAAGGUUACCAAUUGUGCAAUAAUCUUUAUAGCCCGUUUCCCAGCCACACACCCUUUUGUAUUAGUAUUCUCACAGCCGUUGGAAAUAUGGCUCGUAAUCUAACAAAUGACAUUAUACGGCUGUUACUUGCUAGUUUUUGUAAGGUGGCCAAGGCCUUUUAUCAAACACUAUAGGCCUUUUAGUGCUGAGCUAACAGAUUAGUGCUGUCUAUUUCUACAAACACAGAACUGCUAUUUGUUUGUCUAUCCCGUGGUCUCUUCGUUUAUUGACUUGAACUGUGAUAACUAAGGGGGCAUUCCUUUCUUCAAGAGAGUACUACCCAAUGGAGACGUUAAGUAUUAUUUUGUUUUUUUUUCGAAAUAAUAAUGAGUCAUAGUCAAUUGGAUUGAAUUAAUAAUGUUUGUGUCUGUGUGGUGUAAAUUGUAUAAGAAUGGAAUUUUUAUACAUAAAUAUAUUUCUCAUUCAAACUAACGCGACCAUAUUUUAACAAAUAAUUGUCUUGUAUUUCAUAUUAUUUAUUUUAUUAUAUUAUUUUCAUUUUAAUAUAUCAUCACGCUACUCUUCCCCAGUUUUCAUAUACACCAUAUCUGUUUGUGUGAGAUUAAUUUGUACACACUACAAAAAAGGCGGCCUGAUGCGAGGCCGGAUUUGACGAAUAUCUGAGCCGACGUAAAUGAUGAUCGUCUGUCGGUAAUUUGAUUACCUUUCCGUACUUUAUCAAUCAUUGAAUGAUUUUACUGGUUUAAUCGCUUGAUUGUUUGAGUAUGAUCGGUAAUUUGAUCGUCUGUCAGCAAGUGAUUCACCAUUCACUCUCCAAUUUUCAUUAAUUUAGUGUAGCAAAGCUUUAACUAGACAGGUAGAUAACGUGGUCAUGAAAACAUGAUUAAGAGUUUAAUGCAAUCAAAUCUACUUUAAUGAUUAUUUAAUGCACGGAGAUUUAACAUCAAUUAUCAUCACGUUAUUCUAACAACGAAAUUGCAGAGCUUGGAUCUUUACUCGAACAGUUUCACUGGCACUAUUUCUGACACAUUGGGCAAGCUGAAGGAAUUGCAAUUCCUGUAUGAUCAUUUCCCCAACUAUUAUUUGAAUAAUUAUUUAAUGCCGUUCAUUCCAGCUCUGUUUGGCUGUUAACUUUAUUUAGUUAUUUAUUUAUGAGGAGAUUCAUUUCUCACUUGAAUCUAGAAAUUUACGGAUCAAUGACAUUUUAUUUUUUCUUUUAUAUGACAGCUUGCAAUCCCUGGUGUGUACUCAUAGUGCCUUACAUGAAUAAAAAAAUGAUUUUUUUUUUUUUGGGGGGACAAUUGCAGUUCUGAUAACAACUAAAAUCUGUGUGGUCCGGUUACCAGAAAGCCUUGCCCCAGGUCUCUGCCAUUUUCUCCUCCACCUCCAUUUGGGGAAACUAAACUAUUUACUUUUUGCAAGUUUUUCUUGAAAUAUAUAUUUUUGAGAAGAAAACCAACAAUACAUUUUAUGAUUUGGGCUGUUUCAAAGAUCUUUGCUUGAUAUCUCUGCUACUGGUUUUCAGCAGAGCGCCCAAAAUAAUCAGUGCACGCACCAUAUGCUUUAUUAUUAUCAGCAAAAAUCACUGCUGAUAUGUUGGGAUCGACUUUUUUAUUUGGGAGAGGAAGCAUGCUUGAAAGAGUAGAGCGGUGCAUCUUGUUCAAACAUGCACCGUAGAGCCAAUUCCAUUUUAUGAAAUAGGAGUUAGACUGAACAACGUUAUGUCUUCAUUAUCAUUUCAGGAGGAAAUAGAUCAAAUACAGCAAUUGCUGUAGGAGUUGAUGUUUGUGCUGCUAUAUUUUCUUCAGACUCUCAUACCAAGGAAAAAUUUAGCUUCAAAGAAUGGUAUGAUGCUUUGAUUUAUGAAGUAAUUGUUAUACAUUUUGUACCUUCCAUACAUUUUGCUCUGUUAAUAUUAUUAUUUGAUAACAUGCUUGUCGAGUUGCACAGCGUUUAGAAUUUUGAGAUUAAAUAGAGUAUAAAUGCUAUCCAAAUGCACUCCUUUCAUUUUAUACAACUUUGAUUGAUCAUUGUUUCUAAUUUACCUCAGGCAUCAAUGGAGUCUGUCCGAGUCUCCUUUGCUGGGAAAUCAGUCAAAUGACAGCACAGGUGCAUAUAUUCCAAGAGCCAGUAAUGUAAUAGCUCACAAUUUAGCAAGACUAGCUUUGGAGCAAUCUGAAGUUGUACUUUGGAUGGAUAAUAUUCCAGCCCAACAUUUGUAUUUAUUCACUAGUUUUUUUUUUUUUUUUGAAGAGAAAGUAAAGCUUUCUAACUAAACAAACUUAGACAGUAACAAUAUGAUUUGAACUGGAAAGUCCUCCAGCCAAACUACAGGGCUUUCAAAAUCUAAGGCUACUUUGGCCAAUGAGUGAGCUGCUACAUUACAGUUUCUAGGAACGAAUUGAAUUGAUGCUCUGCUCUGGUUCUUUAGACAUGCUUGAAUCUCUUCCACUGCCCAGCAAAUUUCUGCCAUGCUGCUCUUCCUUUGCAGUGAUAGCUCCACCACUUCUAAAGAAUCUGACUCUAUAAUGAUUGGAUUACAUUUUGCUUGGCAGGCAACUUGAAUUCCAAACAACACGGCUUCCGCUUCCAUACAAGCCACAUCACCUCUGAAUCCAGUGCUCUGAACUGCUGCAGCCAAAAUUUUCCCGCUUGAAUCUCUAACCACUACACCUAGCCCAGCCUUCGAAUCUGCCAUUUGAAUUGCUGCAUCCACAUUCACUUUAUACCAACCAAUUGGAGGGGGAUUCCACACCUGUUGAUUAUUAUUGUGCUGACUUGGAACAACUUGGACAUUUGGACACUUAAUUCUCAAGUACGACUCUACAGUUGCUGCAGCCCCGGCUGCUGUCAUUUGGGGAUCUUCUUGCUUACCUUCAUUUACCACUCUAUUUCUUGCAUACCAGAUAGCCCAACAAGUUGCAAUUAUCAGCCCCAAAUCAUCUUUUUUCCUCUUCCCGGCUAAAUCUUGAAGAAUACUCAGCAUAUCCUGGUGAGCCAUUAGCUUUAUAUCCUCAUAAAAUUCUGUCAACUUCCACACCUUCCUAGUAGCUCUGCAUCCCACCAAUGCAUGAAAGACAUCACUAGUUGAAUGCUUAAAAGGGAGACAUUUUUAUCAAAAAAAGAAAAAAAACUUCAAUUGAGUUGCUAUCUAUUUAACUUUGGCAAGUGAGAGAGAGGGAUGGGACUGUCCAAUUAAAAUUAAGUUUCAAAUGGUAAUCCCAUCAUUGUCGUCUCAUGUUUGUCAAAUUCAAAUUUGAAAAUAUCACCAUGUUUGUAUGGUGAUGUUGUGGGAUUGUCUCGCCUAGGCUUUUAGCCUUACGACCUCCUUUAUUAGAAAAAAUCUUUGGUGUUCUUACUCAAUGGUAGAAUCAAAAUUUUACUUCAAUGGAAGCCAUAAUGAUUAAAAUAUAUUCUUAUUAAAUUUGAUCAAUUACUUAUUUGAUGUUGCUCUCUCUAUCUACAUCUCCUUCUUUAUGAAAAAAAUUAUUGUAAUACAUGAAAGUAAAUAUUGCAUUGAAUAAAAUGAAAUUGUUCAAAAAUUAACAAAUUCAGCUUUAUUAUAAUCUAAAACAAAGUAAAUAGAAUAAUAUCCAUCAUGUAAAAAUAAAAAAAAAUUGUACCACUUUGAAUCUAUUUUAAUUUUUUUGGUCAAAUCUCAAAAGCACAAACCUUGAACGAUAAUAAUAUGUAAAAGCUAAUAAUCUUAUAAUAAAAAGUAAGAAAAAAAUAAAAUUGAUUUAGCAUGUAAGAAUAAAAAAAGAAAAAUAGAAAGAGAGAGAAAUUAGUUUAGGCUUUAAGCAUUGUUAAGUUCGGAGAAAAAUAAUAAUUAACUAAGAGUAAUUUUAUGACUUUUUAGAAAUGAGUGAAUUAAAAUAAUAAGUUAAAAUUUAAUAAUUAUCUUAAUUAAAAAAAUAGGUAUUGAAAUAAAAUUAGUGGAUUCAAAUAGCCCACCCAAAAUCUAAACUUGCAUACCAAUUAUUUUCUAAUUUACAUAAAGUUUUUCUUUAUGUUUGAUAACACUUGUUUCUCAAUUGGUCUAACGGAGAAACAACCAGCUAAAAAAUAAAAUGAAUGCAAUUAAAUGGAAAUUUGAAAAAGAGCAGUAUGUCACGGGAUGAGUGUUUUGCGCAGCUAACCCGUGCGGCACUUAGACAACUUUGCCGAAUGUUGCUAAGUAAGCCUAGAGCUUCUCGAACUAGAGAAGAGAGCAAUUGAGCCAAAGAAGAAAACUUGUAUUGCACAAAGAGAGAAUACAAUGCUUGAGUUGCUUACAAAGCUUGUUGGAUACAAAUGCCUAAUGCCAUCCCAUAUUUAUAGGGGAGGCUUGCCAAGCUCUAGAGAUUCUAGAGAAUUCUACCACUUCCUAGCUAUUUACAUGUGCUGGAAUUCUAUGGAGAAUUCUAGAGUUGCUUAGAACUUUCCGGAAUUGAGCCAAGCUAACACUCUUGGCCUUGUGUUGGCUCUCUAGCCCAAAAUUGUGAGCAAUUGGGCUAGCGAUUUGGGCGGUCCGCAACAAGUAGGUGACAUUUUUGUGCAAGCAAAAUUGCAUUCUGUUUGUGGGAUCCUGGAAAAAGUAAAAGAGAAAACACAGAAUGACACUGAUAUUGUGUUCUUUAAUAUUUUUCUAGUUGCUUCCAUGGCAGAUUCUCAUUGGUCCAUUUUUCUUUACGCCUUAGAUUCUAUGAUUCAAUUUCAAUCAAAUACCACAACCAAAAGAAGCUUUUAAGCCUGCAGCUGAAAUAGAUGGCACUUUAAUUUUCAGCUGAACAUAUAUAUGGUAAGAUUAUUAUUAGUAUCGAGCUUGAUGAGGCUAUAGAAAAUUCAAUAUCGAGAUCGGAUAAGGGUCCAAUAAAUUAUAAAAAUAUUGCAGCUCAAAGCCCAUAUGAUCAUGGGCCACUACUUGCUCAUGCUUUGAAUUAAAAUUUUCUAACGAAGUGACGUUGGAAGCCGAAAUGGGCACAUGAUGAAAUGGUGUUCAUCAUAUAUUGAGCCCAACGGGACAAGAUCAUCAUUUAAUUGCCUCCUCCACUUGUCGAUAGAUAUUUGCCGAAUUUUUCUAUUUAAAAAAAUAUUAUACUGGUCAAUAUAAUUAGAAGUUUUACAAAAUAUAAAUAUAAUUUUAAAAAAAUUUAUAUUUGUUAAUUUAAAAUUUUCAUUUGGUGGUUAUGUUUGAGAAAAAUCUUAGAGAUACUAAGAUAUACUCUCUUAUUAUUUAUUAAAUUUAGGUAUUUUGACAUAUUAGUAUUCAGUAUUUUUUGGUAAUUAGCUGAGAAGUAUAUGUGACAAAAAUUUAACACAUGAAAGAAUACACAUCGAGAUUAUCUAAAAUUUUCCAUUGACUUAGUCAACUCUCCAUUAAUUUCAUUGACUUGGUCAACUUAUGAUCUAACUUGACAACUUGAAAAUUAAAUUAUGCUAGUACUUUUGUAAAAUUAAAAUUUAUCUUCCAAAAUUGAUAAAUACCGUGUCACUUUGUCAAAUUACUUAGGGUAAAAGUUCUAUAGCUAAAACAUUUAAGAUGAGUUAUAUGCUAAUUGAGAAGGACAAGACACAAAAGAAUUCAAUGGGGCAAAACUAUGUUACAACUGUGGUAUGGUACCACAGUUGCUUUCAGUCGGUAGAUCCACAGUUGUACAGUUACAUUAGUUAGAUCUAAUGGUUGAAAGUAACUGUGAUACCAUACCAUAGUUGCAACAUAGCUGGACCCAAUUCAAUGAAUGCCACGUUAAGUAACGUUGCUUACUCUUAACAAAUUAUUACAAACGUGAUUCAUGAAACUUGACUUUGUGUAUAAAGACGACCUAAAGAAACAUGCCAGGGCAACAAAUAAAGUAGUCCAAACGUGAUUCAUGAAAACUUGAUAGGCACUAUUUAAAUAGUAUUAAUAUGGCAACCAAAAACAUGCGAGCAAAGUAGACUUUCUUGGACGAUCCAUGCCAAUCAACAAAUAAAGUAGCCCAAACGUGAUUCGUGAAACUUGACUUUCUGUCUAAAAAGGCCUAAAGAAACAAGAUCAAAAUUCCAUGCAGAAGCAAUAUGGUGGGCACAAUGCACUAUUUAAGCCAUUUUUCAAAACUAAGUUUCUUCUUUUUCACAUGCACUAUUCAAGCAAUUUUUCAACAUUUUCUCAUUCCCCUAAAAGCUAACACGCAUGCGUGAAUCAUGUGCCAAUCAAUUUCUUGGCAAAAAUUGGAACGCAAGAACCGGUUCGAGCAUAGGGACAUUUUCACGAUUCAAGAUUCUCAGCAAGACGGCGAGACCAACGUGCAUCACUUUUGGAAAGUAAUUUAGCAAGUUCCAAUGCCUUAGCUGAUUAAUGGCUUGACCAUGUCACGAUUGGUCCCCUAAAAGCUAACACGCAUGCGUGAAUCAUGUGCCAAUCAAUUUCUUGGCAAAAAUUGGAACGCAAGAACCGGUUCGAGCAUAGGGACAUUUUCACGAUUCAAGAUUCUCAGCAAGACGGCGAGACCAACGUGCAUCACUUUUGGAAAGUAAUUUAGCAAGUUCCAAUGCCUUAGCUGAUUAAUGGCUUGACCAUGUCACGAUUGGUCCACAUUAUGCACAUGGCAAGAUCAAACAAAAUAUCACAGCUGGCUCGACGACUACCAGCCAAAAUAAGAAGACAAUUACGGCCAGUUACAUCAUUAUUGCUAGUAAACUCUUUACGAAGGAAAUGUGAAUAUCCCUCCUAAUCACUUUCUUAUAUUAUCAUUAUUUUGUACAUAUGACAGAACAUGUUCUCCCAUGUAAAGAAGUCAAGAAAAUGGUUUUAGUUUUCACAUCAAUAAUGGAAUCCAAAAUCUUUCACAGCUUGCUUCUCCUUUGGACGCUUGAAAAACUUUCUUACCUGGCUAAAACUGUGAGAAUUGUUCAAACUAAUUUGAUUGAUAACUUUCAGACACAAAAAUGUAUAUGAAUGCUACAUUUAAAUGUGAAACAAAAAGGAGUACUUAUAUUAAAAAACAAUCAGUCUCAUUGCGUCCUCUUCCAUUGACAUAGGCAAUUUGCGGUCAACUUGUGGCACCCUUAUUGACACGUAAAUAACUUACUUACCCUGCAGCCAAUACUUUUAUGAAUUUUUAGGGUUGGUAAAUUUUUCAAAUUUAAAAGAAAAAGUACAGAAAUAUAAUUUCCAUUUAUCCAGAAAUUUGAGUUUCAAGGAACAUAGCAUUUAUGUUAAUAUAGAGAAGAAAUUUUUUAAAAAAAAAUUGAAUGAAUAAAAGUAUUUUUUGAUAAAUAUUUGACAAUCAUAUUUAAAAAAAAAAGUUUUUUUAAAAAAAAAAAUUCACUCUUCCUACAUAAUUUAAUAAUUUAACAUUAUAAAUUAAUCUUUUUAUUCAAAGUAAUAAUCUCUCCUUCGGUCUGCAAAUGCUAAAAUUUAAUAUUAUACCAUAUGAUGUAAUAGCAAAUCUGCAUGAAAUCUGCAUUUAGUCAAUAACUAUGAAAUAUCGAUACGUGUUUGAAAAAACUCUUAAAAAUCGGUUUCCACCUUCAUUAUUAUAGCUCUUGUAUAAACCAACUUGGCAACAUAUGAUUGAUUAAUAUAAGAAUAAAUAUUUAUUAAGUGGGUUCUACCAUGUUUUUAAUUCACCUAAUGAUAAUAUGUCACAUCAAUUUGUACAACAAUAUUUGUGACUAUAUCAUUACUCGUUAAUUAAUAUGAACACUAAUUUAUUCUUCUUGAAAGAGAAUUACUGCAGCGAGGUUUGAGGCUCAAAGAGUUCUCAUUUAGCCAAACAUAAGAGAUGAGAGUUCACAGGAGACGUAAUUUGGAAAAUCAAUUCCAUCCAAUAGGCAAUAGGUCUCAGUGGGUUUGACUCAGUAUACGAUUAUUUUCAAUUUUUUAACGUCUUGUAAUUACAAAUUCCGAUAUCACAUUAUAAUUUUCGAACAAAUCAAAGUGAGUCAAAUCAAAUUUAGAAAAUUGAGAAAUUUAAGAUGAUUAAGUAAAUGCUAGACAAAAUCUAACUUGUAAAUAUACCUUACCACAUGAUGAACGUACUUAAAGAUCUUAACUGAUUGCUAACCAAUUAAUUGUUGUUUUACAAUUUUUAUAUAUCCUUUCUUUUCCCUAAAACUUCUAGUUUCCUAACAUAUUGUUCUCAAUUGGUCUAAUUAUAAUAUAAUUUUUUUAAAUAUAAAUAAAAUGAAUUUAUUUACUGGAAAUUUGAAAAAGAGGCACUUAUCUAUGCAAGCAAAGUUGCAUUCUGUUUGUGGGGACCUUAAAAAAAAGAAAAAAGAAAAAAGCAUAAUGACACACUGAUGACGACAAUCCUGAAGUAUUUGUUUUCUUUAGUUACAGUUUGGUUUGAAUGGUUAAGUUCAAGUUCGAAUUUUCUUUACGUAAUUUAAAUUAAAAUUGAUAGAACAAAUGGGCUGAUCAGUAAGAUGAUGAAGAAGAAGAAGAAGAAGAGGGGAUGUCUUUGAGGAUGAAGAGAAAGAAAGUUCUCGAAUAAAAAUCCGGCUUUAUGGAAAUUAAAUUAAAAGCUAUUAAGCAUUGUAAAUUACUUAACAGAUUAAUGCUGAGCUAAUCAAGUUUGUUUCUGAAGAUGAUACCUUUAAAUCUCUUGUAGUUAAAGAUAAUUAUCAUAUCACCAUAUCAAAUGGACCGAAUUCAAUCAAGUGAAAUCUAGAAAAUAGAGCAGCUCAUAGAUGUACGUGGCUAAGUCGGGGUUCAUUUGGAAGUACUUGGUCGAAUUGCGACUUGCAUCGGAGGCUUCGUUUUAGAAGAGUGCAGAGCAGCCGCCUUGUCCAUUUGGCACGCCAACGACUUUCUAUUGACCAAUAAUUUUGAAAGCGAUAUUAUUAAUUUACCAUCUAAUAUAUUUAUGAUAUUAUCAUUUUACUAUAAUAUUUUUUUGAUAUUAUCAUUUUACUAUCAAAGUUUUUUGACAAUUAUUUUGUUCACUUAAUGUUUUAGUUUUUGUUAUUUUACUAUCAAAAAAUGGUAAACGCACCCCUAGUAUCGGUUAUACACAAAAAUGGUUACCGAACUGUCUUGUUUCUCAUUUUGUUUAAUUUUCAUAAUUCGACUCACGAUUCAAACGUAGGUGAAGAGGUCUUUUGGGAAAAAUCUGGUCUUCCAUUUACUAGAAUAAGCUAUGUGUGAUUGUUUGACCGCAUAUGGCUUUCUGUCCAUCAGCUAAUGCAUAUUCUGCAUUUUAUGAAUAUCAGAGCUGGUAGAUUGAAAAAUGGACCUUAUUACAUGUCAUAAGAUACUUUGCUCAAAGCUGCAAUUGGGCAACGCCGUGCUGUUCGUAUCGGCCAAGGCAAGCCAUUUACUAUUCUUUCUAAUGGAGCAAAAUACGAUGAUUCUUACCUGCGUAGAGAAUUAGAAAAGAAAAGGAGGAUUACUGAUCCACAGAGCUGUCAUUUACUAGAAGCACAUAAAAUCUUACACUUAAUUCAUUAACCAUAUGUAAUGUUCUAAUGAUACUUAAGUAUUACAUAAAUUAGCCUUUCAAAAUUUCACUUCGAAAAAAUCCAAGGUUGUGAUGUGUCUGUAUAAAUUCGCUAAUACAAGUUCUCUCUAUUCCCAAUUGUUUUAAACUCUGUUCUGAACAGAGCAUGAAAGGAUAUAUUCGUUUAUCUAGUUAUAUUUUUUAUGCUCUCACUUCACUUGAUUCACCUUCUCCAUCUUUUAAAACAGUUGUAUAUGUCGGAGUAUCAAGUUCAUCACAAGGAUCAUAUUAUGGCCUAAGGAAGGAGCACAGUUUAUUGUCUGCACUCAAGCUUAGCAGAGUAUUUUGGGAUUCAAGAGUGUUAGUAGGCCGUUACAGAUGCCAUGCUGGCAAGCGUGCUAUGACUGAUUGCUAUUUGCACGUAAAAUUUGCCCAAAACAAAUAGAAUGAGAAUACUUGUACAAAAGGAUAAGAUUAAUAAAGUGAAUAAAUUUUAUCUUUUAGUGAAUGCUUCUUGUCUUUUAGAAUUUCAGUGCAUUUUCGUGUGUAAUUUUAUGUGCAAAUAGCAUUACUCAUUAGUAAUUAGUCUAGAGUGUUCUAAUUUCUUCUAAUAAGUAGCUGAUUUGAGCUUAAGACUUGUAUUUUAAGUUUUUAUUACUUUCUAAUAAAGAUUUUCUCCGUUCUUUUUUACUUUCACUUUCUCUUCCAUUUUCCCGACUCCCAAACACCACCAAUCCUUGAUUUUCUAGAGUAUAGCUAUGCAGUUCUACAAACACGAAACUGCUGUUGGUCCAAUUACUUUCAAGAAACAACGUACUCUGUGGUUUAUUGACUUGUGACAUGGGCAAAUUAGUCACGGUCCGAUUGUCUCCUCUUCCACUUACUGUCAAUUCAUGACUUUGGCACACAGUAGACGCCAGCUGCCUGCUCCAUUUGACGUGCAAAAAACUUUCUUGAGUCAUGUAGUUAAGAGAGACUUAAUUUUGAGAAGUGCAAGAGAUUGGUGGGACUCAUUUGAUUCAAGAAAAACAAUCAGUCUCAUUUGAUACGCAAAGAGCUUUUCAACUCUGCAGCCAAUAUUUUGAUGAAUGAGACAUUACUGGUUUGUAUAAUUUUUUGGAUAUUAUCUCAAUUUUACUUCUGUAGGUUUGUGGUUUGUAUAUUACCUCAAUUUUUAAAAAAAUGUAAUUGCAAUUAUCAAACACGACUAAUCCCAACAAUUUAUCCAAAAAAUUUUGUUUCAAGAAAUGUAGCAUUUAUGAUAGAAUGGCUAAUUUUUUCAAUCGACUUUCUGGAUAAAUGAUAAUUUUUUGAUAGAAAUGUUAAUUACUUAUUACAGGAAGAAAAUUAUAGAAUAAUUUUUUGAAUUAAUAGUAUUACUUUACGAUAACACUAUCACAAUCUAAUUUUUUUAAAAAUAAAGUUAUUCUUUAAAUUUCGCAUUACUAUUCCUACUUUUCUUGUUAUACUACUUAAUGGCAAAAAUAGUUCAUACGAUAAAAUGAGUACUUAUAUUAAAAAAAACAAUCGGUCUCAUUGCGUGCUCUUUCAUUGACAUAGGUAAUUGGCGGUCAACUUGUGGCACUUUUAUGAAUUUUCAAGACUGGUGAAUUUUUCAAAUUUAAAAGAAAAAAAUACAGAAAUGUAAUUUCAAUUUAUCCAAAAAUUUGAGUUUCAAGGAAUACAGCAUUUAUUAUAUGUCAUGUUAAUAUAGAGAAGAAAAAUUUAAAAACUUCUUUUUGGAUGAAUAAAAGUAUUUUCUGAUAAAUAUUUCACAAUCAAAUUUAAAAAAUUUCACUCCUCUUGGUACAUAAUUUAAGAAUUUAACAUUAUAAAUUAAUCUUUUUAAUCAAAGUAAUAAUCUCUCCUCGGUCUGCAAAUGCUAAAAUUUAAUAUUAUAUCCAUUGACAAUAUUUGCUCCCAAUUCACGAAAAUAAAAUUUCUAACAGAAUUAUGAAAUUCGUUACUAGAAAAUUGUAUAAAAGUUGUGAGAAUAGAAGGUUUGAUCAUAGGAAAUUAAUAUAUCCCUAUCCGAUGCAAAAAUGAUUGUAAAGAAAAAAUUACAUUCCAUUUUCCAGUUAUUAAAAUAAUUCUAAAAUUGCUAGGAUCACAAAGGAUAGGCUUUGGUUGACUGAGGUCAGCCUUAACGCAUGCCGGUCUUUUUCUCCUCUACAUUCUUAGAAAUUUUGGUUUCACUAUAAAUACACGGUAUAUAGCAAACUUAUAAGUGUUCUUGCAUUACCAAUCCAAUUAAGCACACACUUACAAUCUAAAAUACUCUCAUCUCAUGGAAAGGCUUCAUUCUCUAAGCAUUAUGAGCAGAUUUCUCUUACUCCAUUGUUUGAUUCUUAUUUCCUUAUUUAUCGCUGCAGCAACAGCCAACACAAGUUCUACUAUCACAGACCGAGAUGCUCUGUUAGCCCUGAAAGCUCGCAUAACUCAUGAUCCGACCAAUUUCUUGGCCCAGAAUUGGAACACAAGUACUCCUGUCUGUAAUUGGACAGGCGUCGCUUGUGAUGUCCAUAGCCAUAGAGUCACAGUCUUGAAUAUUUCAAGCUUAAAUCUCACAGGCACCAUCCCUUCUCAACUUGGGAAUCUUUCUUCUCUGCAAUCACUCAAUCUCAGUUUUAACCGACUUUCUAGUUCCAUUCCCUCCGCCAUCUUCACCAUAUACACACUUCAAAAUGUUAGUCUCCGUAAAAAUCAGCUCACCGGCACUUUCCCUUCUUUCAUCUUCAACAAGUCUUCUUUACAACAUCUUGAUUUUAGUUUCAAUACAUUGUCUGGUGAAAUUCCUGCCAAUAUUUGCAGUAAUUUUCCUUUUCUGGAAUAUCUUGCUUUGUCCAACAACAUGUUUCAUGGAGGAAUACUGUCCGCUCUAUCAAAUUGCACAUAUUUGCAAAAAUUAGAUUUGGUAUACAAUGAUUUCUCGGGAGCCGUACCUAGAGAAAUCGGUAAUUUGACCAAACUUAAGGAAUUACAUCUUGGCCGCAACAGAUUCCAAGGUGCGUAUGAUCACGGAGUUUAUGAAAAUUGUUCCACAAGUUGUAAUAUGUAUAAUGUUCCAUAAUACAAUUUACACACGUUGAUUAAUUUGCAGGAGAAAUUCCUCGAGAGUUUGGCAAUCUUGCCGAAUUGGAGCAGAUGUCGUUGGCAGAAAACAAUCUCCAAGGCAUGAUUUUAAACUUUUUGCAAUUUUAUUCUGUAUUCAUUCGUUUGUUCAUUAAUUAUGCUAUGAUUUAUUGUUUUUCUUUCAGAUAGAGAUAAAGCUCCAUGUCUCCCCUCACUCAUUUCAUUCUUUGAUUUAUGCAGAUAAAAAUAAAAAAAUGUUUUGCAAUUUUCUUUUGUCAUAUUGCCACUUCCAUUUUGAAGCUCCCAAUUAAGUCGAUGAAAAUGAAUGAUGUUUCAUUCUUAUUCUUGUCAGCCUAAUUCUUAUAUAAUUGAAGAGUAAAUUGUUAUUAUGAUAUUCGUCAGAAAAUAAAUUCUUUUUUUUUUCCACCCAAAUAUGAGUGAUCAAAUUGUUUGCGCAUAUAUAAAUGUACUUAAUUUGCAGGAGGUAUUCCACAGGAAUUGGGGAAUCUUGCAAAAUUGAAGACGUUACAGCUGUUCCAGAAUAACUUGACCGGUAACCAUCUUUACAAUAUAUAUAUGAGACAUCUUCCGCUUCUUAAUAAAUAGAUGUCAAGUCUCUCAUUAUAAAUUCUCACUAUCUAACAUCAUUCCGUUUUUUAUUAGAAAUUAGUUUAUGUUAAUUCAAAAUUCUGCAGCAUCUAAAAAUUAAAAACACGUGGAAUAAAUAAUCAAUCUUUCUUCUUUACUGAAUUUGGAUUUCUCAAAAAUUAUCUUGACAAGUAUGCUUCACUAAUGAUAUGCAUGUGUGACAACUUCAUAAAAUAUUUUACAUGAAAUCACUAAUUAUCUUUAAAUGUGUAUAUGCUUUUAUGUAUUAUUAUUCUUUGAAACAAAUCUGAUUAUAAUUCUUUUAAAAUACAGAUGAAAUAGCAAAUCGGAAAAUAUUUUACUGCGAUAAGAAUUCAUAUAUUCAUUGUAGUAGCACAUAUAAAAUAGACUAAAUUUUGUUCCAAAAUACAUUUUUAUCUUCAUAUAAAUUUUACAUUAUUAAUUUAAAUUAAUAUUAAACUAUGUUAUUUCUUUCACUAUAUUAUUUUAUUUACACAAUGAUGUGACUAUUGGAAUUAAUAAUACUUAUAAUUACUUUGUAAAAAUAUAAAUUUAAUACUUUGUUAACAUUUUAUCUACAUAUAACAAUUAAAUUGAAAAUUGUAUUUAAAAAUUUUUAGCUACGCAUAUUCAUUUCAUGAUAUAAAAGUGUAUAUUUAUACUAAUUUACCAUUAUCCAUAAAAUGUUUUGAGACAAAUAAUCUAAUUUAUAUUUGUAUAUUUAAAAUACUUGCAUUUAUUAUAUUUUUAAAAAAAAAAUAUUUGUAAUGAUUUUAAACCAUUGGAUUCAAAUUUUUGUAGUUAUUAAAGUCGAAGGGUAUAAAUGUAUAAUAGUUAAAAACAGAUUUGUAUGAUCAUUUUUCAAUGUAUAAAUUUUCUUUGUUAGUAGGAAAAUUACAAAUUGUUGAUUUACUCAUAAAUAAAUUUAAUGUUUAGCAUUUCAAUUUUGGAAAACUUGAACUAAAUGUUGAUAACUUCGAAUCGGUCGAGCCGAGUUUCACUUCCUUGACCCACGGACCCAUUGAAAGUUCUAUUCGAAUUGAGUUUCCCAGUGCUUAUAAAAAGCAUUUCUUUUCCUUGUCGCAGUAAUUUAUUCACAAAUGAGUUGAUUAGCAUCGAAGUUACCUAAGAGUCUGAGACCAUGCUAGUAGGAGAAAUUUGAAAAGAAAUUAUUUUACUGAAUUAAUUUAUUUUAUCUUGUUGUUGUAACUGAAAUACUACUUUUUUUUUUGGGCUAUCACUGGUACUUGAUUUACUUUAAUAGUAGCAGCCACCGACUUAGGCGUUUUUUACUUCUCACCACACAAUUUGAUCUUUUAAUUCGUUUUAACCACAUAAUCUAUCUAUUUCUCACCUAUUGCUUACUUAAAUUGCAUACAUAUUUUACCUAGUAAUUUUUAUAAAUAUUAGUCAAAUAUAUUUUAUUACGUUUCUCUCGUAACUGCUCCAAAUGUGUACUAUUAAUACUUAACCCUCCCUUUUAAUUUACCGUGCAAUCUAUCUACACUUAAAUCACAUAUAUAUUUUACCUAUAUUUUACCCAAAAAAAUAUAAAAAUUAAAGAAAAAGAAUAUGUGUAGCAAUUUGUAUAUAACUAACAAAGCAUUGACGGUGUGUAGCCUUCCAAUACUUCAUGAGUGGCUUUUCUUUUGUGUUAGUAUUUGUAAUAAUUGUGUAGCGUAUAAAGACUCUUUAUUGUAUAUGCGUGUCCGUUUAUAUAUAUCAUUUAUUAUUUGAAAAAUAAUCUGAAUAUAAUUCUUUCAAAAUACAGGGGAGAUACCACCUGAAAUCGGUAAUCUCCGAAAUUUAGAGGAGUUGGACCUUGGUCAUAACAAAUUAGUCGGUACUGUCCCAGCUGCAAUCUUCAAUUUGUCAACGCUCAAAGAAUUCUCCAUUCCAAAUAAUUCUCUCUCGGGAUGUCUUUCGUCCAUCGCAGACGUCCGACUACCAAAUCUUGAAGUGCUUAAUUUUUGGGGUAAUAAUUUCAGUGGCACAAUUCCUCGUUUCAUCUUUAAUGCUUCUAAGCUCUCUGCACUAGAUUUGGACGGCAACUCAUUCUCCGGUUUUAUUCCCAACACAUUUGGCAACUUAAGAAAUCUUAAGUGGCUCAUUUUAUCUGAUAAUUAUUUGACAUCUUCAACUCCAGAAUUGAGCUUUCUAUCCUCAUUGUCAAAUUGCAAGUCUUUAACAUAUAUUGACUUAUCAUAUAAUCCACUGGAUAGCAUUCUUCCAAGGACGUCUGUCGGUAAUCUUUCUCAUUCUUUGGAAGAUUUUGAAAUGAACAAUUGUAACGUUAGUGGUGGCAUUCCUGAAGAGAUCAGCAACUUGACCAACUUGACAACCAUUGAUUUAGGAGGCAAUAAAUUGAAUGGAUUGAUUCCAAUUACUCUCAGCAAAUUACAAAAGCUUCAAGGUUUGGUUCUUUAUGAUAACAAAUUAGAAGGAUCAAUCCCAGACGAUAUUUGUCGUUUGGCUGAACUGUAUGAAUUGGAGUUGGAUGGCAAUAAGCUUUCAGGAUCAAUCCCUGCAUGCUUAAGUAAUCUGAUUUCUCUGAGGAUACUAUCGUUGGGUUCCAAUGAGUUAACUUCUAUUCCCUUAAUUUUUUGGAACCUUGAGGAUAUCUUGUACCUUAACUUUUCUUCAAAUUUUUUGACUGGCCCACUCCCAUUAGAGAUUGGAAAAUUGAAGGUUUUGGUUGGAAUUGAUUUUUCGAUGAAUAAUUUUUCAGGCGUUAUCCCAACAAAAAUUGGAGGCCUAAAAAAUCUAGAAUAUCUCUUCUUAGGAUAUAACAGAUUGCAAGGAUCAAUUCCUGAUUCAUUUGGUGAUUUGACAAGUUUGAAAUCCUUGAAUUUGUCUAAUAAUAACCUCUCUGGGACUAUUCCUGCAUCUUUAGAGAAACUCUCAUAUCUUGAAAAUCUAAAUCUUUCUUUCAACAAGUUAGAAGGAGAAAUUCCUAGGGGAGGAUCUUUUGGAAAGUUCUCAGCUGAAUCAUUUAAGGGAAAUGAAUUAUUAUGUGGUUCACCUAAUUUACAAGUCCCACCAUGCAAAACUAGCAUCCACCACACAUCAUGGAAAAAUUCUCUUCUCCUAGGGAUUGUCUUGCCAUUGAGUACUACAUUUAUGAUAGUAGUUAUUUUGUUGAUCCUAAGAUAUCGACAGAGAGGAAAACAACCAUCGAAUGAUGCUAAUAUGCCACUAGUAGCAACGUGGAGAAUGUUUCCAUACCUAGAACUUUGUCGAGCAACAGAUGGAUUCAGUGAAAACAAUCUAAUUGGCAAAGGAGGUUUUGGCUCUGUUUACAAAGCAAGACUUGGGGACGGGAUGGAGGUUGCAGUGAAGGUUUUCAAUUUGGAAUGUGGAAGAGCAUUUAAGAGUUUCGAUGUUGAAUGUGACAUGAUGAAAAGUAUUCGCCAUCGAAACCUUAUCAAAGUUAUUAGCAGUUGUUCAAAUGAAGAGUUUAAAGCGUUGGUAUUAGAAUACAUGCCUCAUGGAAGUUUGGAGAAGUAUCUAUAUUCAAGCAACUGCAUUUUGGAUAUUUUUCAAAGAUUGAAUAUAAUGAUAGAUGUUGCAUCGGCUUUGGAAUAUCUGCACUUUGGUUAUUCAGCUCCAGUAAUUCACUGUGACUUAAAGCCCAGCAAUGUAUUGUUAGACGAUAAUAUGGUUGCUCAUUUGAGUGAUUUUAGCAUCGCAAAAUUGUUAACUGGAGAAGAUCAAUCUAUGACUCAAACACAAACACUUGCCACAAUCGGCUAUAUGGCACCAGGUUUGUUCAAUAUAAAUAUUUUCUAUUAUUUCUUGUAAACUUCCUAGUAAGUUCUUUAUGUUUCAUUAUCUUCAUUAGAUGAGGAAAUUAUUAUUAAUGAUAUAUCUUACUAUGUAAUCGUUGCAAUUCAUAGAGUAUGGAAGAGAAGGACGAGUAUCCGCAAAUGGAGAUGUUUAUAGCUUUGGGAUUAUGUUAAUGGAAACUUUUACUGGGAAGAAACCCACAGAUGAAAUUUUUAACGAAGAAAUGACAUUAAAGCAUUGGGUUAAUGAUUGGCUACCCAUUUCUACUAUGGAAGUUGUUGAUGUUAAUUUGCUAAGUCAGGAGGACAUACAUUUUGUUGCAAAAGAGCAAUGUGUGUCAUUUGUCUUCAAUUUGGCUAUGGCGUGCACUGUGGAAUCUCCGGAGCAGAGAAUCAAUGCAAAAGAAAUUGUAACAAAACUCUUAAAAAUUAGAGACUCGUUACUUAGGAAUGUUGGAGGCAGAUGUAUAAGACAAUCAAACUUAAAUUGAUUCUACCCCUCCUUCAUUGCUUGCUAUCAUUUUCAGAGACUUGAAUAGUUAUCCUUCAUACAAGUUUUGUUGAUAUGUUUUGUUAUUUCUCUUGCUCAUGUUUAUUUCUCUCUUUCUUUAAUUUGCAUGCAUGCAUUUUCGUUCUCUUCCAUGUUUGCAUUGGUUUGUAUUUAGCUUGUUUUUUGGGGUAAGGUUCUUUAUGCCCUCCCCUAAUUAGAUGUAUCCUUUUAAUUUUUAUUCAAAAAGUUUCGCUAGUACUAUCGAGGUUCAUCGAGGUUAAUCGAAAGAAAAUUUUCAAUUGAUUUUCUUUUCUUUGGCUACUAAUGGAAAUUCUAGUCUUUAUAGUUAAUAACUUUAGUAGUUAUGGCUGUUUUCUGAACUUGGAGUCAGAGUAGUUGAACAGCAACAAACAAGUCUCUUGUAUUAUAGGCAAAAUUCUUUUCAUUAAUCUUAUUUGUCUACAUUUUCUCCUAUUUUCUCCAUUAAUCUUCGCUCAAGGUUUCAAGCUUCCUCUUUGGCAAAGGAAAAUGUUAUUUGCUACUGACCGAUUGCGAGUAUUUCAAUUUGACAUGUGAGACUGUUUUGUCGGCCAUUUGAUAAAAUGGAUAUGAGUGGAGCUUUUAAUCAAUACCUCCACCAAAAUCCUUAUAACGCCACUUUGAAAUUUUAGUUUUUAAAAUACAUUCAGUUUAAUUUAAAAAAAAUAAAUUCAUUUGUUAAAAUUAAUCUUUUUCUCAUAAAUUUCAACCUAAAAAAUAUUUUUCUUUUAAGUUUUUAUUAUAAAAUACAUACAAGUUCUAAACUAUUAAAUUAUUUUCUUCUUAUUAUAUAGUUUAUAUCUUCAUAACUCUAAACUCCUAUAAUUUUUUUUAAAAAAUAUUUUUCAAUUUAAAAUAUGAAUAUAAAAUAUAGAAUGGACUGGGUAUAAAAAGUAUGUUAAACGAAUAAUUCAUUUAAGUAUUCAACUGAAUUUUAAUUUAAAAUAAGAAAUAAAUUAAUUUAUUUUUAUUAGUUAAGUAAUUUUCAAUUGAAAAAGAGCUUAUAUUAUGGACAUAUGAUUAAAAUUCCUAUGAAUUAAACAUUUUCGUAUAAAUACCAGUGAUAAUUAUAGAGAAAGUACGAUGAACCGAAGAAAACUUGAAUAUAAAUACUCCAAUGUAAUUUUACACGUACAAAUUAUGAACCAGUGAUCUUUAGAGCAUCAUAAGACAUGAUAUCAUUUAAGACGGCUUACAAAUUAUGAAAAAUACAUUGAUCUUAUAAAUAAUAUUUAAUAUGUCAAUUAGACUGAGGUGGCGUUUGUUUUUUAACUUAAUAACUUAAAGUGACUUAACUUAAUUAAUUAAGUUAAUUAGAGGUGUUUGUUUUAUAACUUAAUGAGACUUUUUAGAUAAUUUUGACUUAAUAAAAUAAGCCAAUUUUUUUGACUUUUUACUUAAUGGAGAAAUCUGAAUUAAGUCAAUUACUUGCUAAUGUCAAAAAUAUCCUUAUUUUAUAAUUUAUUUUUCAUGUCUAUCCCAAACUCACCCAUAGACAUUUACCUCAUAUAAAAAUAUCUCUAUUUUUUCUUUCUUAUAUUAUAUACAAUAAAAUUUAAAAUUUAUGGUAUUUUAUAUAUUAAAAUUCUAAAAUAAUUAUGUAUUCACUUGAAUAUAAUUUUACUUAUAAAUGUUAAAAUAUUGUGUUAUUUAAUAUAUUAUUUAUUUGACAUUCAAAUUUAAUAAGGAUACAAAUGUAAAAGUACAUAUUUUUAGUUUUUUAAGUCGAAAAAACAAACAACUUAAUAUUUAUUUUCCGAGAUUCAGACGAAAAAACAAACAUAUUAUUCAGAUUCAGACAUUCAGAUAUAUUCAGAAUUCAGACUAAUUCAGGUCUAUUCAGAUUUCAGAUAAAAAAAAAACGCCACCUGAGUCUCUGCAAUAAAAUUUUCAAAUUAAACAAUAAACCCUUUAUUUUCCUUUAAUUAUAAGUGUGAUCUUAAUUAUUAAAGUCAUUCAGAUGAAAAAUGAGAAGCUUGAAGCUUCUCUCGGUUAUUUACUAUAUUCUUAUCUCUUUUCUUUUGUUGCAUUUUUCUUCUGUCGUUAUAAAUUAUUUUUUUACAGAUAUACAAAUAGAAACUAUAUAAAUUUAUAACACCUUAUCAGGGGGUUUUUAAUUAAAUACCCUUUAAUAGUUUCAAAAUUAUUGAAAUACCCCCUCCCUUUUUGGUUUUCAUGGAUACCCUAACAAAUGUGAGUAAAGUCGGAAAUACCCUUAAUGAAUGCAUCAAAUUCACUCAAUGAAUUGUCUUCAUAUUCCUUUCCUCAUUUCUUUCACCCAACUCCAUUUUUGCUGCCGAUUCUUUCAAAAUCUCUUAGAAUCUCUCAAAAUCUCUCAUAAUUUCUUACACAAAUACAAUUAUGUAGUCAUUUCUUUAACACCCACUCUUUCUUUAAAGGUGCAUUGCUUAUUAAACAACCCAAUAAGGUAUGUUAAUGUUGUUGGGUUUUAAAUUUUUUAAUUUUUAGGAAAAUUUAGAAAUUUUCCUCACAUUACAAUGUUUUAUUUUCACCAUUUUUUCUUAUAUGUAGAAAUAUAUGCAAUGUAGGUUGUUUAAUUAUUUUUUUCAGCAAUAAAACUUAUUUAUGGCGAAAAUGUUUCGCGUCGUGCAUUCUUUUGAUACCGUGUACGUCAUAUAGUUAGUCAUGUAGGUCAUGUACUUACUUGUAUAUGAAAUUUGAUAUUAUUAUUUUUAUUGUAUCAUCAGAUAUGGUUUUGGUACGUGUGCCUAUUCUCUUCAAUGGUGAAUGAAUUGAGCAAAAUGACGAGUAUAAGUUCAAAGGUUUCAAGGCUAAAGGGAUAAUGAUACCACGAUCGACAAUAUAUGCCGAAUUGAUGGAGAAGAUAGUUGAAGUUAUUGAUAUAGAUACUUCGGAAUUCGAAAUCACAAUGAAGUUCAAACUUAAGACAUCUGAUCCUAUGCCACCAGUUACAAUUCAAACCAAUGAUGAUGUGGAAUUUUUCUUAGAGGAAGUAGCUAGUGGAAUGAAGUUUAGAAACCCGCUUUGCAUUACUUUUGAACGUAGAUCAAAUCGUGUGUUCAUAAAUUACAGCAAAAAAAAAAAAAAUUGCAUAUUCGACAAUUUGAGAAAUGAUGAGAUUAAUUAUUAUAAAUAAACAAAGUUAUCAGUUUACAAUGUCAAUAUUUGGAUAUGAUACACUAAUGGAUAUCGUAAUUAAACAUAUUACAACCAUUUAAAAAGUUUUUUUUUUUUUUUUAUCUUCAAACUGCUUUCUUCCUCUGCCGAAGCAUACAUGCAUACAUGAGGAAUGCCUGCAUAUAAUAAAUCCAUGAAAUCAAUUAGAAACAACUCUUAAAUCAAAGGCUAGUUGAAAACACAGUCGCAAGUGUGGCAAUACUCGGGUUAUCAUCAAAUGUUGUCAGAAUCUGCACAGCAGCAAAUAUUAAUAACUUUACACAAUUUGUACGUAGUUAAAAAUAAUAACAUACUUAGUUAAAAAUAAUAACAAAAUGAACCUUCACAUUAUUCUUAUUGGUUCUAACGAUGACAAAUUAGUAAUUUUCAGCUUUCGGUUUGCCACAUUUCAUUUUUUCCUGAAUACUUUUCGUUGACAUUUUCUGCAUAGCAACAAAUAUAAAUUCUUAGCAAAAAUUAAGUCUUUAAACAACUAAGUUAUUAUAAUGAAUUAACAACAGUGAAAAAAGUCGUGUAAUUUUGAGGUCGUGUAAUACAUGAAGGUCGUGCAAGUGCAAUACAUGAAGGUCGUGUAAUACACAACCUUGAAUCCUAAUAACCUGACACGACCAAAUCGUGUGUUACAUAAAAAAAUUAUAAUCGGCACAAUCCAUCAAUUUUUCACAAUUUGCAUGCAGCAAAACAACUAGAAAUUUGUUUUUGAACAUGUAAUGAGAGACCCGCAACUAAUUAAUCUAUUUUUUCUAUAUAAACCCUAACUUUUUUUUUCCCUGAAUAUCAACAAGAAAACUAUUUAUAGAGAAUUACUUACCUCAACUAGUUAAAUUAUGACCAUUUUGCAGUAAAGAAUCAGCUCUCGCCGCCGAUUAUGUGGCGACGAACUAGGCUUCUCUUUCUCAGUUGUGGUAGCUUCCCCUUCUCAAGGUUAGUUUGCUCGUGUUGAAGUUCGAUUUACCAUGUAUGGAGAAUGAAUAUUUGUUUCGGUAGAUGUGAUGCCGGUGAGUAGGGAUGGCAAUGGGGCGGGGUGGGGGUGGGGAUGCCUACCCCAUUCCCCACCCCAUUAAAAAUUUUUGCCUCCACUCCCCACUCCAUUCCCCAAUAAAUUUAGUGGGUUGGGGAUGGGGAAUCCCCACGUGGGGAAUGAUUCCCCCAUCCCCACCCCAUUCCCCAUUUACUUAUUUUAUAGUAGAUAUAAAAAUAUGAUUUCAGUAAAUUAAAAAUUAGAGACUUAAAAUAAAAUCAUUAUCAUAUUAUAAAGUAUUUAAUUUUUUUUUUAAAUCUCUAAAAGUUUGAAACAAUAUCUUAAACUGAUAUUAAAAGUGAAAAAUAUUUAAAGAGAGCAGCACCUUAAAAGAGAAAAGAAAAUAUAAUAAUAUUUUAAAAUUAAAAAAUAUUGUAGGGUUUUCUUUUACUAUCAUGUUUAUAUUACAUAAAAAUUAAAAAAUUAUUAAUUGACAUUAUAGUUGAUAAAAUAAAAAUUAUUAACAUAAUUAUAUAUAAUGGGGAUUGGGGUGGGAAUGGGGUGGGGAGUGCAAUACCAAACCCCACCCCGUUAACAAUUUGGGGAUUAUUUUUCUCCCACUCCCCACCCCAUUCUCUAAAAAUUAUUAAAAAUUUUUCCCAUUUGGGGUGGGGCUCCAUGGGGCCCCAAACCCGUGGAGGAUUUUGCCAUUCCUACCGGUGAGGGAAUUGCAGAGGUGAUGCCGAUGAGGGAAUUGCAGUGUUUAUUUGUUUGAGUUUGAUAAUGGAGGGAAUUGCAGCAGAUGAGUGUUUGUUUGCUUCAGUAGAGAAGGGAGAGGUGCUGUCCGUUGAGUUGAAAUGUUUUAAAAUGAGGAUACCUUAGUAAUUUCCUAUCAGUUUUUAAAGGGUAUCGAUGAAAAUUUUGGCAAAAACAGAUUUUUGGGUAUUAAGAUAAUUUUUGAAGUAUGGAGGUGUACCGGGCGCAAUUGGCUCCCUUAUCAGUGCGGUUAAGCCGAAUAAUAUAUCAAAACGAAGCUCUCCAUAAGCUGAGCUUUCUGCCACAAAAUUAUUGUUAUCGGAGUCCCUAGGCGUCGACAAUUGCCACCGAAAAACUUUGGUUUUAAGGGAUAGAAAUGCAUCACGAUCGGGUCGGGUCAAUCCGAAUUCCUACCCGAUUGUUGAGCCUGAUUCAGGCCACAUUACUGGCCGUGGAGGGUACCAAUCAAACCGCCAAAAGUCACCUGUCAUUCUCCAAGUCAUCAUGGUUGCCGGAAAUGACUGGAAAACCGCCGAACGAAGCUCGAAUAUCCGCAACAAAUCGACCCAAAUCGGCAUGAUAUCGCCGAUUUCAGGCCACGCCACCACCUGGGCUUUACUCCUCAUGUCGUCCUCUUUAAUAUUUGACUGAAAACCGGUGCCAAAAGCCACUGGUUUGCCACAAAUCAAGCCACCAAGUUUCACGAUCGUUGGGGCCCGAUCCACUGCCGUAGCAGCGCGUCGGAGCUCACUGUCGGUAUCUUUGGAUUCAGCACGACCUGAAGUCUCUAUCUCGAGCUUCUAAGCCACCGGGGCUUGAUUUCCGGGCACCGUUGAAUGGUUAGGGUAGUUUGGUAAUUUCGAAUUUUAAGGGCAUUCUGGUAAUUUCAAAUUUUCGAGGUUAAUAUCUUUUAGAUCCCUAAAAGUUAUUUAAAUUAUGAUAAAAUCCACAUAUAUUUUUAAUGGUGUUAAAAAAAAUUAGGGAAAUUAUCAGACAUAUACCUUUAAAUGACACUAGUAUCAAACGUGUUACAACACUUUUCAAGUGUAUAACUCGUAUAUCGUAAGUUGACAAAACACUUCUGCCGUCCACCAAUCCGUUAACUACCAUUUACAAGCGCUGACAUCAUAAGGGUAAUCUAUUUUUUUUAAAAAAUGACAUGACAUCUCAUUUACCUAGUAAAAAAUGACAUGUUAUAUGAUAUAUAUUGAUAAAAAUGACAUGUCAUAUGAUAUAUAUUGAUAAAAAUGACAUGUCAUAUGAUAUAUAUUGAUAAAAAUGACAUGUCAUCCCAUUUAUCGAAUAGUUGUUCAUAAUUGCUAAAAAAAAAAAAGCUACUUUACAACCGAAUCUACUCCUCCAAACUUAACCUAAAUUUUUGAAGAUUUACUCCUCCAAGCUCCAACUAAAAUUUUUUAUGGUAUAGUAUAUAUAAUUAUAAAUAAUAUGUUGUUAAUAUUUUUUUAUGGUAUAAUAUAGAUAUUUUUUACAAAUAAUUGUUAAUAAUAUGUACCAUUAAUAAUUCAUAUAUUUUUUAAUAAAAAAAUGUAUUGUUAUUAAAAAAAUUUAAAAAAAUUGUGUAUUGAAAAUUUAUAUUAAUUUUUUAGGUAAAUUUAUCUUUUUACCUCAUUUUGAGUUUUAAGGGCGAAAUAGUCAAUUUGCCAUAAUUCUGUUAACUUUCUAACGGAAGUUAACGGAUUGGUGGAUGGCAGAAGUGUUUUGUCAACUUAGGGUAUAUGAGUGAUACACUUGAAAAAUAUUGUAACACGUUUGAUACGAAUAUCAUUUAAGGAUAUAUGACUGAUAAUUUUCCUAAAAAUUAUUAAAGUCAUUCAAUGUACAUUACUUAUUCAUUUUUUUAAUUAUCAAAUGACAUUGAAAACUCUACUCAAUAUUAUUUCAUUCAAAUGUUUUGUUUUAAAGUAAUCGGAAACUGCAAAUGAAACAAAAUAACAAAUGCUUGAAAUCACAAACGGCCUAAAAUUAGAUUUUUUUUUUAAUGUUACAGUGACUUUGAUCCUGAUAUUAAAAUAAUCUGAAAAUAAUUUGGAAUUUUGGGGAUUUUGAAAUUUUUUGGUUUUGUUUGAGUGCAAUUUCCUCUAGUUACAGUUUCAGUAAGAAGGGUUAAGUGCAAUUUCGAAUUUUUUAUAAAAUUUAAAUUAAAAUUCAUAAAAAGAUUGGGCAUCUAAUCCUAAAUUGAUGGCUAGCGAUACUACAACGGCGGCUGCAGCUCCAGAAAAAGCAGAGGCGGUGGAGGAGUAUGAUAGGGAUCCAGAUGAAAUGAAACGCUCUCUUGUGAUGCGCAGAAGGGAAGCCACUGAUGAGGAGGAGGCGGAGGAUGAGAGAGAUUCAGAGCUUCCAAUCGCUCAAAGUGUGCAUAUUCCUGCGGGAGAGGCGGAGGCUGUGGAUAAGUAUGAGAACGAUCCAGAUGAAGUGAUACACUCUCUCGUUCUGCACAGAAGGGAAACAAGCGAUGAGGAGGAGGAGGAGACAGAAUUUGAGCGUCGAAUGAAUUGAAGGCUCCAGAUUCACUCUUACGAUGAAUCUGAUGGCCAAGGUGGUGCUUCAGCUGAGUAUGAUGAUGAUGAUGAUGAAGACGAAGAGGAACAUGACAGAAUUAGAAGAAGAUGAUGAAGAAGGGGAUGUUUAUGAGGAUGAAGAGGAAGAAGAAGUUUAUGAAGAAGAGGAGAGGAAUGACGGGGCGGUUAAAGUCAAAGGAAUAGAGGGUAAUGAUGCAAGAGGAGUACGAAGGGGGCAGUGGAAGUGAGUAAAAGGAAUAAUGAUAAUGGCAAUGGUGCUAAAAGAAUGAUGUAGUGGAGGGAAUGGAGGAAGAGAAGGAGAGUAAUGAGCCUUUUGUCUCACGUUAACCCUCACCUCUGUUUAUUUCUCUUUCUUUUCUUUUAACCCAAUUUUUACUUCAAUCUUCGUUUUUCUUCUUCCCCCAAAAUUAAACAGCGAUUACAUUCCUCAACAGCUACAAAGAAAAAAAGCCACGGCACUUUCAAGAUACCGAAACAUACCCACAUUUACUAAACAAAAGAGAUUUAAUUUAAAAAAAAUUGCAGAGCGGAUUAAGCACUGACCAAGUGAAAAGCUGACCAAGCGAAGUAAGAGCAAUAGAAUGAACUCCACCAAGAGCAAUACAACGAACAUGAUCAUCCAAAUAAGGAUUCAAAGUAGGCACAAACGCAGCAUCCUCAUGCCCAAAUCCAAGCCGCCCGCCAUCUCCUUUGCCCCAAAUCCACAACUUCCCGUUCACCACCAACCCAGAAUGAAACAACCCACAUGAUGAAGAAUUUGAAAAGCGCUCUGAAGAAGACGAAUCACGAGUUCUCAGAGGUAAAAUUCCUGAUCUUUCUAUGUGGUUAACUCCUGAAUCAGUCGAUUCUUGGUUUCAAUUGGUUCACUGAGUUAGGUGAUUUUGUCUUACGUCUGAUGCAGGGAAGGAGCUUGGCUGAAGGUCACAACUCACGAGUUCGAUUUUUGCUUUUGGCUGAAGGUCACGACGAGCAGCGGCCAGCGGGAACAGAAGAAGUUAUGACGAGCAGCGGCCAGCGGGAAGUCGGGAACCGAAGAAGACAGAAGUCAGAAGUUUAGAUUUAGAUUUUAGGCUUUUAGGUUUUAACUUUAGCUUUCAAAUCGGUUUAUUUGUGAUUUCGGUUCGGUUUUGCGGUUUUUUUUAAAUCAAAAACUGAACCGAUUGGUUUUACUGGACCCUUUUUUAUAUUACUAUUUCGGUUUUUUAGAGGUAAAAAAAUCGCACAAAAACCGAACCGAACCGAUCGAUUCGAUUUUUAAUUAAUCAAUUUUUUUUGCCCAUCUCUACAGCUAGGUACGUAUUGGUGUUUGUGGAUUUCUAAAUGCUUUCUGUCAAAUGUGACUAGAUUAUUAUUAGAAGUCUAUGGAUCUUACACUUAAUUAAUUAUAUAUCCAUUUAUAAUAUUCAAAAUGAUAAUGUACUAUUGCUUAAAAUUAUGCUUUCAAGACAUCAUUAUGAAAAUCCAUGGUUGUAAUGUGUUUCUAAAUUCAGUAAUACAAGUUCUGUCAAUUACUGUUGGAUGCAGUGACCUGAAUAGUUUAAUAUUCAUUUGCAGAAAAAAGUUGAGAAAGAAAACUAAAAAUUUCCAUGCGUUCUGCUAGAAAUUUAAUUAGCUUCAUUUGAGCAUUAAUUGCCGGCAUGAUCUCUUAGACUUCUCUUGCAUUGAAUGAAUGAAUGAGUGCUAAUCCAUGCAAAGACUUCCAUGCAUGCACAAUGAAUGCUAAAUCUAAGGUAUGGUAAAAUGUCAGCAAGCUUGGCCCAAAUUAUCAAGCUGGUUUGGUGGCUGCUAGAUUUGUUCAUCCGGAUUUUGGACCAUUUUCCUUGACAAUGAGAAAAGCUCCAAGAUCUGUAAAUUGAAGACUCACUGAAAGCUCCAAGUUUCAGGUAACUCUUGAGUUGUGUGCUGGAGUAUUCUCUAUUGUAUUUUGUUUGUUUGUUAUUUAUUUGAUGUAUUGCUAGCAGGGAUCUUAGGUGGGAACCAAAAAUUCUCAAUAAUUAUCAAUUGUUUUAAACUCUAUUCUGAACCGAGCGUGAAGGGAUUCACUUAUCUAAUUAUGUCUUUUAUGCUUUAAAUUCAGUUGAUUUCAUCUUUUCCGUCACCUUUAUUAAAGUUGUAUAUGUUGGAGUAUUAGGUUAAUCAUAAGGAUCAUAUUAUGGCUAAGGAAGGAGCACAGUUUAUCAGCUGCACUCAAGUGUAGCAGAGUAUUUGGGGCUGAUGCUACAAUACCUGCAUGUAUGUGAUACAUGCAUAAAAGAUGACCGUUGGAUUGAAUAUAAUGAAUCCAACGGUUGAGAUGAGUUUAAUUAACAAAUAAUUAAAAAUUUUCACAAAACCUGAAACCUAUAGAAACGGUAACAGGCACACAUCCCAACUGGCUAUAUAUAUUUGUGGGAAAAAAAAAAGAAAAAGAAAAAGAAAAAAGCUCUCACCUCACGCAAAGCUAGUUCUUCUCUUCUCUUCUUCUUCGACAAUGGUGAACGGCACGAUGAACGGCGGCAUAGCUAAUUAGUAAUUCCUCUCCUCUUCUGCUUCCACAACAGUCAACGGCGGCAUAGCUUCCACAACAGUCAGCGACGGAUUUGAUUUUCAGGUAUUUUGGUUAACUCUAAACUGAUUUCAUAGCCUUUCAAUUCUUUUUUUUGCUAAUUUUUUUCUUUUUUUGCCCACGCUGCAGAAUCCUUGUCAGUAAACAAACCCUCACAGCCACCAGCCACCACUGACAUGCAUGAACGUCCAAUCUCUUAGCCGCAAUCGCUAUUCUUUGUCGACGUCGCGAAGAAAUUGGGUAUGAUGUUGUUAAUCAAUUACACAUGCUACCAAAAAAUUGUAAGAACCAAUUUUUUAAAUUUUGUUAAUAUGAUUAUGAAAUUGGGCUUGCUUUUGUGUGAAAUUUUAGGGUUUGUUUGCUUUUGGAUGAAAAUUAAAAAUCAGAUUUUGAAAUUGUUUGUUCCUCAUUUUGUUGAGAUAUAUCUUGUCUUCGUUUAUUGAUUUGUGCAUGUCUGGAUAGAUAUGCCAACCUAAUCGAAUGCUUAUUAAAUUCAAUGAAAUGUGAUGCAUGGCCUUAAGCUUGCGGUGAAUAGCUUUAUUCGACAUAUAUAUUUUGGAAAUUAGUUUUCUUUUGUUUGAUUUAUUUUGCUUUAAAAAAAAGAGCCUAGUCAAAAUAAGUUUAUUUAAAAGUGGAUGGCAUUUGAUUAAAAGAAGAGGUAAGAUUUAAAGCCCUCCAAGUGUUUGAUAAAAUAUCUAAAUGAAACUUCAUGUUCUUAUUUUCCUUUCGCAACUGACUUAGGUUCUUCGUAAUCAAGGUGAAGGUGCUAUAGUGUUAGUAUUGGCACCUACUAGAGACUUAGCCGAUCAAAUUCAGGAAGAGGCUUUUAAAUUUUGGUCGUGCGCAAGUGUUAUAAAUACUUGUGUUUAUGGUACUGCUCCUAAAUGAUCUCAAAUAUUCGAAGAGGUGUUUUGAAUUCUUUUUUGGAGAAUUUAAUUGUUUUUAGAUUAAAAUUACAAGUCAAGUAUUUUUAUUUGGUGUAUCUUCCUCUUUAACUACAAUAUGAAAUUGGAGAAUUUGAUAGAACUUUAAUCAUUUGUCUAUACUUUACUAUUGCUUAAUUGUAUCAUAAGAGUGUGUUAAUUUGCUCUGUAAUUCUUUCAAGAUUCUUGAGCUAUAGUCUUUAUAUUUAUAAUUUGUUUUGAUAAAUUUCUCUUGGUUCUUUAAUUUUGAUCUAUUCCCCACUUUAAAGAUAUUUUAUUUUAAACAUAAGAUGUCAUUAAUUAUAUUGAUUUAAUCUUACAGGGUGAUGAGCUAAAUUAAUUAAUUAUAUUAUAUGUAGAUUUUAGUUUGCUCAAUAAUGGUAUACUAGGAAUGCAGUUUUAUUUUAAGCAUAAUAUGCAAUUUGUUUUGCUAUUGUUUAUGCAUAAAAACAGCACCUGAAAGUUUCCAGGUGCUGCUUAGCUGCUGUUAUGUAAUAAACAUAAACACAACACAUGGAAACUUUGGGGUGUUGUUUAUGCACAAAAAUAGCAUGUAGAAGCUUGAGGCGCUGCUUAGCUGCUGUUAUGUAGCAAAAACAAAACAUGGAAGUUUCUAGGUGCUGCUUAGCUGCUGUUAUGCAGCAAAAACAACAGCCGGAAGUUUCUAGGUGUUGUUUUGUUGCUGUUUGUGCAGAAAAACUACACUUGGAGAUUUCCAGGUGCUGGUUAGCUGUUGUUAUGCUGCAAAAACAACACCAGGAAAUUUACCGGUACUGUUUUACUAAUGUUUGUGUAGAAAGACUUUAACUGUUGCUUUAUAUACCUAUAAUUUGUAUUUCAAUAUGAUCUCCAUUUUGCUUUUAUUGUUUAAUUUUUAAAAUGGGAAGAUUCCCUUGUAUUUUAUCUCAAAUGCAAUUUUGUCUAGUAAUCGUUCUUGGGAUUAUAUCUUCUUUUACUUGUUUUUAGGGUGCGGCUCUCAGUUUCAAGUACUACCAACAUUGUUUCCCUUCCAUGAAAGAAUCUGUAGUUUUACCCAGUUAUGAACUGAGUUAGCCAUUGGUUAUUAGCAGUUUCUGGACAAGGAGCAAGAAGAUACCAAUGAGGACCUGGAUUUCAGAAGCAAUUCUCUUAUUUUUCUUUUAUUUUAAAUCAUUAGCAUUUUCUUUUUCUCGUUUGGUUUCAGAUAUUGGUGGUAUUGGGUAGUGGGUUUGUUUCUCGAAUCAUCAUGAUACCAAAUGUAAUUGCAAACAGCAGGGUCUAAAAUUUAUACGACCUGAUGAUUUGUCCUAUAUUUUUUUACUGAUGUUUGCUUAAUUUUCUUUUCCUUUUUGUUUUUUUAAGUGAUCUCCAUAAUUAAUCAAGAACCAAAAUAUCAAGUUUGUUAAUCUUUUAAUUUAAUAGUAUUUUGAGAAUUAUUGGCUUCCAUCUUACAUUAAAAUAAUCCCUCAAUGAAAAAUCAUUGUUUUAGCAUUAAAUUUAAUUUUGCAAUAUGUAAAUUACCAGAAUAAAAUUUUCAAAAUUAAAAAUUUUUUGUUAGAAGAAUUAUAAUGUUAUAUUUUAUAUAUCUAAAAAUUAACCAAAAAAAGUUUGUGUAUUUUAAAGUUAUAAUAAAUGUACCAUUAAAAAAAUCUAUAUCUAUCGUAAAAUACGAUUUUAUGAAAUGAGUUAUUAUGAAAGCUUAUGGACAAAAUAGAAAAUAUUUUAGAAAUUAACAAGUAUUAUUUGAAAUUUUGGAAAAUAGGUUUGAUUGAGUUUCAUAAUGUUUUUAAUAAAAUUGUAAUUUUUGGGGCACAAACGGCGAACUGCUAACACUUAAAUUGGCUAAUUGAUUCCAAUUUGGAGAGUUUUCAGAAUUAAAAAGGCGAACCACUAACUUUAAAUGGCAAAACGACUACGGUUGGGUGAGUUUAUUGUAUGGUGUGCGUUGAUCAUCCCCGAUCCUCCGAGUAAGAAAAUGUGCUAGUUCUUCCAUGUAAUAAGAAACUUAGUGGUAUUUGGGUUGGGUUUUUAAAGCAUUUAAUGUCACCAUUAAUGAAAGGAUUUGGUUGGUUUCUGAGUUGGUGUACAAAUAAAUUAACUGCGCUCAUAUGUUACGUAGAGCUAAAUCGACUAGUCUGUAGUGAAAAGGCGGUUAGCCAUUUGGAGUUGCAUGCUCUCUGGAAUGAAAGAGGCUAGCCUCUUUGUAGGAAACAAGUAGCCCUUUUCACGCCAGAGAGCAUGUUUCUCGAAAAGGGCUAGCCGUUUCCCACGAAGAGGCUAGUCCUUUCACUUCGCAUGCUCUCUGGAAUGAAAAAGGCUAGCCUCUUCGUGGGAAACAGCUAACCCUUUUCACUCCAGAGAGUAUGUUUCCCGAAAAUGGUUAGCCAUUUCAAUAAAGAGGAUGGGCGUUUGGAGUUGUAUGCUUUCUGGAUUGAAAAAGGUUAGACGCGAUAAAGCAAACGGCUAGCCCUUUUUACUCCAAAAAGCAUUUUGAUCGAAAACGGCUAGCCGCUUAUUUUAAAGAGGCUAGCCGUUUUCGAUCCAGAAUCUGUUACAUUUGUAAUGGCUAGCCUCUUUAACAAAAUGGCUACCUGUCUCCCUCACUAUUCAACUUCAACCCACGACCACCUCUCUCACCGUCGCAUGAAAUUCACGGCUUCUUCAGCCAUUAACGAGAAAAUAUACAACUCCUCAUCAUUUUCCUUCAUUUACGCAUCUAAAUUUCAUUAGCUAAAUACUCUUUAACCCUAUUUCACCGAAAAACCCAAUUAAAAACCCUAGGUUCGGCCGAGGUUGUUUCUCUAAAAUUGAGUCCUUGUUCACUUCUUAUUGCUGAAAUUACUCACCCACAUUGAUUUUAAACCCAUUUGCGUGCUAUUUAAUUGGUUCAUCUUGACCCAAAACACAAUAUUUGUUAUUCAAAGAAAGAUUUUGGUUUCCAUGGCAGGUGGUGAAACUUCUCGGGGGAAGCAAGGGAAACUAAAGGAACAUUACAUCAUUAACUUGAAACAAGAGAUAAUUUUCAUGGCAGGACCAUUAACUUGAUACCUGGACCACUAAACUUGAAACCUAGGGCAAUAAACAUGAAACAUGAGAUCAUUAACUUGCAACCUGAAAAUCAUUUACUUAAUGGACUAAUAAAUAUGAAAUCAUGACCAUUAACUUGAUACAUCGGCUAUUAAACAUGAAACCAAAAGAACUUGAAACUUAGGGCAAUAGACAUGAAACAUGUUAUCAUUAACUUGCAACCGUGAAAAUCAUUUAAUUAACGAACUUGAAACUUAGGGCAAUAAACAUGAAACAUGAGAUCAUUAACUUGGAACCUUGAAAAUUAUUUAAUUAAUGGACCAAUAAAUAUGAAAUCAUGACCAUUAACUUGAUAUCUAGACCAUUAAAGGUGAAACCAAUGGAACUUGAAAAUAAUGGCAAUAGACAUGAAACAUGUUAUCAUUAACUUGCAACCAUGAAAAUCAUUUAAUUAAUGAACUUGAAACUUAGAGUAAUAGACAUGAAACAUGAGAUCAUUAACUUGCAACCAUGAAAAUCAUUUAAUUGAUGGACCAAUAAACAUCAAACUGUGACCAUUAACUUGAUACCUCGACCGUUAAACUUGAAAUCAAAGGAACUUGAAACUGAGGGCAAUCAACAUGAAACAUGAGAUCAUUAACUUGCAACCAUGAAAAUCAUUUAAUUAAUGGACCAAUAAACAUGAAACCUUGACCAUUAACUUGACACCUGAACCAUUAAACUUGAAACCAAAAGAACUUGAAACUUAGGACAAUAGAUAUGAAACAUAUUAUCAUUAACUUGCAACCAUGAAAAUUAUUUAAUUAAUGAACUUGAAACUUAAGGCAAUAAAUAUGAAACAUGAGAUCAUUAACUUGCAACCAUGAAAAUUAUUUAAUUAAUGGACCAAUAAAUAUGAAAACAUGCCCAAUAACUUGAUAUCGGGAACAUUAAACUUGAAACCAAUGAAACUUGAAACUAAGGGCAAUAAGCAUGAAACAUAAGAUCAUUAACUUGCAACCAUAAAAAUCAUUUAAUUAAUGGACCAAUAAACAUGAAACUAUGACUAUUAACUUGAUACCUCGGCCAUUAAACGUGAAAUUAAAGGAACUUGAAACUUAGGACGAUAAAUAUGAAACAUGUUAUCAUUGACUUACAAUCAUGAAAAUCAUUUAAUUAAUGAACUUGAAACUUAGCGCAAUAAACAUGAAAAAUGAGAUCAUUAACUUGCAACCAUGAAAAUUAUUUAAUUAAUGGGCCAAUAAACAUGAAACCAUGACCACUAACUUGAUACCUAAACCAUUAAACUUGAAACCAGUGAACUUAAAACUUAAGGUAAUAAACAUGAAACAUGAGAUCAUUAACUUGCAACCAUGAAAAUUAUUUAAUUAAUGGACCAAUAAAUAUGAAACCAUAACCAUUAACUUGAUACCUGAACCAUUAAACGUGAAACCAAAGGAACUUAAAACUUACGGCAAUAAACAUGAAACAUGUUAUCAUUAAUUUGCAACCAUGAAAAUCAUUUAAUUAAUGAACUUGAAACUGAGGGCAAUAAACAUGAAACAUGAGAUCAUUAACUCGCAACCAUGAAAAUCAUUUAAUUAAUGGACCAAUAAACAUGAAACCAUGGCCAUUAACUUGAUACCUGAACCAUUAAACUGGAAACCAAAGGAACUUGAAAUUUAUGGCAAUGAAUAUGAAACUUGAGAUCAUUAAUUUGCAACCAUGAAAAUAAUGAAAUUAAUGGACCAAUAAACAUGAAAUCAAAACCAUUAACUUGAUACCUAUACCAUUAAACUUGAAAUUCUUUUUUUAUUAUUAUAAAAAUAAUUUUUUAUUUUUAUGUGUCCUUUAAUAUUAAAAUAAUAAUUAUUUUAUUAUUAUUUUAUUUAUUAUAAUUGAAUAUUAUUAUAUUUAUUAUUAUUUAAUUCAUUUAAGGGGCAAAAACCGGUUGCUCCCAGUUUUUUUUUUUUUUUCCAUUGCUCUAUUUUCUUUCUUUUUUUAUUGCUUGCAUGUAUCACAUACAUGCAUGUACUGUAGCCGUGCCCAGUAUUUGGUUGUUACAGAUGCAAGGUUGUUGCUGUGUAAUUGUCAUUUGAGCUUAGAACCUUUGAGCUUAGAACCUUUAAAGUGUAUCAUACGUUUCUGUUACUUCUAAUACAAAUUUUCUCUAUUCCUUUUUCUUUCACUUUCUCUUCCAUUUUCAUGAUCGCCAAACACCAUCAAUCCAUGAUUUUCUAGAGUAUUAGCCGUCUAUUUCUACAUACAUAGAAUCAUUGUUUUAAGAAAUAAAGUACUCUGUCCUGUCCCCGUGGUCUCCUCGUUUAUUGACUUCUGAACUAGGCUAAAUAAAGGGCAAAUAAGAUAUUAGACCAGUGGGCCUAACGUGACAAGUUCUGGAAUUGUUUGCCUCUUUCUUUUCUCCACAAAUCUUUGGUUAAUUUUUAUGUUCCCUCAACUUUUUUCCCCUUUAGCACUAGAAUUCAUUUUUGAUACUUUAUGCAAAAAUUAUGAGGAAAAUGAGUCACUUUAGAACAUCAAUAAAUUUUUUUUACAUCCAAGAUAAAGACAAUUACACUUAGAUCACUCUUAUUUAGUUGAAUUAUAUGUAAUAAAAUUAGUUCAACAAAAUCUAACCCGUCAAUAUUCCAUAUCAUAUGAUUAACGUAUUUAAAAAAUCUUUAUUGUUCGGUCGCUUGUUUUAUAAUUCUUUUAUAUAAUAUCUUUGAAACUCAUCAUAUUGUUCUCAAUUCGUCUAAAUUAUUUUUUUCUUCAAACACUGCGGCAACAACCGGUAUAAAAUAGAAUGAACUCAAUUAAUGGAACUUUUUCUAGAUGCUUUCAUGGCAGAAUCUCAUUGGUCUAUUUCUCUUCGCACCCUAGGUUCCUCUAACAAACCUGCCUCUUAACUCUCAUGUCCGAAUUUAAACUUAAAAGAUGUUCCCCAUCCCACGUGUCCCCGAAUCUUCGUAUUUCCAAACAAACCCCUGCCAAAUUGAGAAGAGGAUGAUUCCUACAAAGCCACGUAAGUCAAGUGAUAGGAUGGCUUUUAUUACAAACUGUAUGAACGUUAUGGCCAUGGGACAUUGGAUAAAGCCAAUGGAAUGAAAAGCAAAAUUACCGACUAGACUAAAAUGAAAAUCCAACCAAUUGAAUCGGUUCAGUGUCACUGUAUAUAUAUAUAUAUAUAUAUAUAUAUAACACAACACAACUAUCAUAUUAACGAGGCACUGUUAAAUUCAUUCCGUGAAUAUUUUUCUUUCUUUUCAAUGAAUGUUUAAUAUGACAAACAAUUUGUCCCAUUGAGCACUGUUUUAGUCAUCAAUGAAAAUGAAUACUUCUAUAACAAAACAAUAAUUCCCUUGUUUAUUUGACACGCAAAGAAUUUUCUUGCUCAGCUCGGCGGCCAAUCCUUUAAAAUUUGUUGAAAUUCAGUUAAUUGAUGAACGAGACAUAACCGGUAAAUCGUUUAAUUUGUAUAAUUGAUAAAAAUUUGAACUUCAAAUGAUAUAGAUAGAAUGAUUAAUUUUUUUAAUAUUUAGAUAAUUGAUAUAUGUCAUGUUACUAUGAGUAAAAGAAUCAAGUGUCUGAUAGAAAACACAAUGUUUAUAUUUGUAUUAAAAAUUUUAAGUGCGAAUCUAUUUAGUGUAAGUUAGACAUAAAAAUAGUUACCAACUUGUCUUGUUUCUCAUUUUGUUUAAUUUUCCUAAUUUGAAUAACGAUUAAUUACGAGUCAAGGGUUUAUUAGAAAAAUAUGGUCUUCCAUUUACUAUAAAAUUAUGAAUACUUUGGCAAAUAAGAUAAUUAUAAACACCAUUUUUGAAAAUUCAUGGCCAUGGUUGUGAUGUGUCUUUAUCAAUCACACAUACAAAAGUUAAUCAAAAUUAUCGAUUGUUUUAAAUUCUGUUUUUAACAGAGCAUGAAGAUGUCAAUUAUCUAGAUUUACUUUUUAUGCUUUGACUUCACUUAAUACAGGUUCUUCCUCCUUUAUCUGUAUGCCAUGCCGGCAAGUGUAUUGUACAGAUUUCUAGAGUAUUACCUGUCUAUUUUUUUCACCGAUGACGAAGCUAAUUAUUAGUAAUCAAUCUAAAGUCUACCUAUAAAUACAAUAGGUUGCUUAGGUGGCACCAAUAUCCUAACUUUAUGCCAUGUUUCUGGUGUGUCUUCACAAAUUCACCGAUACAAAUUAAUUUCCACCAAUAUUACCAAAUGAUUGUAUUUUACGUUUCUAUUUACUUGUAAUAAAGAUCUUCAAUUUUAUUGGUUACAAAAUUCUCUAGGAUUGCAUGUACAUUAUACUUUUAUAUACAUAUUUUCUUCUUUCUCAUUCGUUUUCUGGGUGAACAUAUUAUUUUCGUCAUCAUCUCUAUAACAAUGAAGUGAAAAUAGUCCUCAUUUAAAGUAUUGACAGCAAUGUUAUACUCAAUAUAACGCAUAAAGCACGCAUAAUUUAAUUAAUGGGGUAGCUGCUAGUACCUUCUUUAGAAGAGAAUUAUUGCAGCAAGGUAAUUGGAAGCUCAAAGAGUUUCCGUAUUAGCCGAAUCUAAGCGAUAAGUGUUUCCAUGUGAGCCAUAAUUUGGGAAAAAGACCAAUUCGAGUUAAAGAUCAGAAAACAGACACUGUCAACAAGCAUUAAUAUCAUUUGAUGCAUGAAAGACAGUUAGUCCCAUUUUUUUGUCCGGUUUACUUGAGUUGGGCAAUUUGCCGUCAACUUUUCUCAUCCACGUCAGGUAAUGUGGCUUUUAUUUGGUAUGAAAAAGCCAAUGCUUUACGAUAAAACUGUCACACACAUAUUAUCCAUCUGUAAUGUUCAAAUGACACUGAAGUAUUACCUAAAUUAGGCUUUCAAAAAUUCAUUUUCAAAAACCCAUGGUUGUGAUGUGUCUCUAUAAAUUAAGAUCUAUCUGUUACCUACUGUUUUAACUCUGUUCUGAACAGAGCUUGAAAGGGUACAUUCACUCUUUUAAAACAAUUGUACUAUAUGUUCUGAACAGAGCUUGAAAGGAUUAGCAAUAACUACUGUUUUAUCCCUCUUUUUAAAACAAUUGUUCACUAGCUGCACUCAGUUGACAGAAUAUUUUGGGAUUCAAGACUGUUGGUUGUUACGGAUGCAACUUGCAAGGCUGUUGCCAUGCUGGCAAGUGUGCUGGAAAAUCAUGAGUUUGAUGAUGAAGAGGACGAAAAAUAUUAUUUUAUUAUUUAAAAUAAGACUAUCAAUUAUUUCCAUGGUCAUCUUUUUUUUUUUUAAUUAAUUGGCCUAAAUAUUGUAUUUUUUGUCAGGAGUCUUGCAAUGUUGCGUAGCACCGUAAGUAAGAAGAACUAGUGAACUUUAAAGCAUCAUAAAAUUGUUUCAACAUAAGUAAUUAGUUUGAAAAAUUGCCAAUAAUGUUUAAAGUAGGAACGAAAAGGUUAUACUAUAUGAGACACGAUAUUAUUUAAGACAGCUUACAAAUUAUGGGAAAUGUAUUGAUCUUACAAAUAAUAUUUAAUAAGUACAAAUUUCAAAUUAAAUAAUAAACCUUAAUUUCCUUUUAAUCAUAAUUAUGAUCUUAAUAAUUAAAGUCAUUCAAUCUUAAUCACUUUUUCAUUUUUUUAAACUACCUAAAUGACGUUGAAACUUCUAAUCAACAUUAAUUUUUUUGAAUGUUCUGUUUCAAAAUAAUUGAAAACUAUAAAUGAAACAAAUGCUUGCAAUCACAAAAGGCCUAAAAUGGGAUUUUUAUUUUUUAAUAUUGCAAUGACUUUGAUCUUGAUAUUGGAAUUUAUUUGUAACUUAUACUAAGUCUUCAAUUUUAUCAAAAUUAGUUUCUAAAGAUGCAUUUGCCAUACUGUGUAGUUGUAUUGUAUGAUGAUAUAUUACAUUAGGGUGCAUUGUAUUGAGCUGUAAUGCAAUACUAUUUUAUAUUAAUGUUAAAACUAAAUCAACCUUAUUUAAAUUUAUUAAUAUUUUAGGUUUUUAUUAGUAAUAUCUGAAAUUAAGUAUUAAAUAAUUAUUUUUAUAAUAUACAAAUUAUUUAAUAAUAUUCUACUAUUAAAUAAUAAAAUAUUACAAUAUUAUGUUAUAUUAUUAACAAUUAUUCUGUUAUAAUAUAAUUUAUUUUUAUAUAUUAGUUAUUAUAAUUUAUUAUAAUCAUAUUAUAAUAAUAUUAUAUUGUAAAAAUAUAAUACUAUAUAAUUGUAUAACAGAAUAUGAAUUAAUUUAUAAUUUAACAAUAAAUUAUAAAUUUAUUUUAUUUAUUAAUGUCAAAUAUAAUUGUACAGGUGUAGAAUUAUGAGGAGGAGGUGGAGAAAGAAUUUGAGCGUCGAAUAGGAUCUACAUGUACUCUUAAGAUGAAUCUGAUGGCGAUGGUGCUCCUUCAGCUGAGUAUGCUGAUGAUGAAUUAGAACAUGACAUAUAAUUAGAAGAAGAAGAUGAAGAGGAAGAAGUUUAUGAACAAGAGGAGAGAAACGAUAGGACAGUUAAAGUCGUUGGCUGCAGACUAUUAGAAGGUUGUUACAGAUGUAACGCUGUUGCUGUGUAACAGUAUGCCAUGCUGGCAAGUUUGCUAUAACAGAUUGCCAAGCUGGCACUAAUUAUUUUAAACUAAUAUUAGUAAUUAGUCUAGAGUGCUCUAAUUUAUUUUAUUCUAUAAAUAGCUCAUUUGAGCUUUGAACCUGUAACGUGUACUGUACUUUUCUAUUACUUCUAAUAAAGAUUUUCUCUAUUCUUUUUUCUUUCACUUUCUCUUCCAUUUUCCCGACCCUCAAACAGCGUCAAUCCUUGAUUUUCUACAGUAUUAGCUGCCUGUUUCUAUAAACAUAGAACUGGUCGUUUUAAAGGGCAAAUAAGAUGUUGGGCCAAUGGGCCCAACGUCACAGAUCUUGAAUUGAUUGUCUCUUCUUUUCUCCAUAAAUCUUCACUUAAUUUUUAUGCUCCCUCAACUUUUUUCCCCUUUUUGUGCUAAAUUUAUUUUUUUGAUACUUUAUGCAAAAAUUAUGAUGAAAAUUAAUUAGUUUAGAACAUCAAUAAAUUUUUGUUACAUUCAAGAUAAGGACAAUUACACUUAGAUCACUCUUAUUUAGUUGAAUUAUAGGUAAUAAAAUUGGUUUUAACAAAAUAUGAUUCUUAACCCUCGUAAUUAAAGGCUCGUGUUAUUUAGUUUAGUUAUAACACCAUGCAACAGGUCGUCUUGGUGGGUUCAAAUUAAUAUACGAUCAUUCUCAAUUUUUAAUAGUUCGUAAUUACAAAGUCCUAUAUCACAAUUAAAAUUUGCAAACAUGUCAAAGUAAGUUAAAUCAAAAUCUAUAAAUUUGAGGUCUACUACAAACUUCUGACAAAUUAAAAUUUAAAAUGAUUAAUUAAAUGCUAGACAAAAUUUAGCUUAUAAAUGUUCCCGACCACAUGAUGAAUGUACUUAAAACAUCCUAAUUCGUCACUAAUUGAUUGGUUGUUAUUUUUUCAAUUUCUUUUUAUAUAUCUUUGAAACUUCUAGUUUCGUUACAUGUUAUUCUCAAUUCGUGUAAAUUAUUAUUUUUAAAUAUUAGAGCAACAACCAGUAUAAAAAUAAAAUGCACUCAUCUAAUGGAAAUUUUUCUAGAUGCUUCAAUGGCAGAAUCUCAUUGGUCUAUAACUCUCACACCUUAGAUUCAAGAUUCAAUUUCAAACCAACGCCGAACAAACAGUUUAAACCUUAAUAAGUCUGUGGCUGUAGCCCAACAAACCUACUUCCGGCUCACCGAAUAAUCAUCUCUUACGUCGGAAUUUAAACUUAAACAAAGCUGCGUCCCACAUGUCCCCAACUUUCUUCAUAUUUCCAUAAAACCCCUACCAGAUCCAGAUAAUUACCUUCACUCUUCUCGUAUAAAUAGAGAAGACAACGAUUCCCGCAAAGCCAGGUGAGUCACGUGAACGUUACGGCCAUGGGACAUACGGUUCUCAAUUGGUCUAAUUAUACUGUAAAUUGUUUUUUAAAUAUAAAUAAAAUGAAUUUAUUUAAUGGAAAUUUGAAAAAGGGACACUUAUCUACGAAAGCAAAGUUGCAUUCUCUUUGUGGGGACCCUAAAAAAAAAAAAAAAGAGAGCCAGAAUGAUACACCGAUGACGAUAAUCCUUAAGCUUAAGCAUUAAUUUUCUUUGCUUACAAUUUGGUUUGAAGGGUUAAGUUCAAGUUCGAAUUGGUACACUGAUGAUGAUGAUGAUGAAGAGGGGGAUGUCUUUGAGGAUGAAGAGAAAGAAAGUUCUAAAAAAAAAAUACAGCUUUGUGGAAAUUAAAUUAAAAGCAACUAAUUAAGCAUUAUAAAUUACUUAACAGAGUAAUGCUGAGCUAAUUAAAUUUGUUUUUGAAGAAGGUAUCUUUAAAUCUCUUGGAGUUAAAGAUAAAUAUCAUAUCACCAUAUCAAGCGGACCAAUUAAAAAAUAAAUUUAAAUAUUAUUUAAAAUCAUUUAAAUUUAACUUAAUAUAAUUCAAUCUAAUAUUGUACCAAACAUGCACAAUACUAUAUAUAAUCCAGUCUAAUCAAAUUCAAUCUUAAUAAAUAAUACAAUCCAAUCUUGCGAGACAAAAUUGGCCUAAGGGUACCAAUUGCGCAAUAAUCUUUGUAGCCCGUUUCCCAGCCACGCACCCUUUUGUAUUAGUAUUCUCACAGCCAUUGGAAUUAUGGCUCGUAAUCCAAUAAAUGACAUUAUAUGGCUGUUGCUUGCUAGUUUUUGUAAGGUGGCCAAGGCCUUUUAUCAAACACUAUAGGAUCAACAAGUACAAAAUGAAUUCAUUUGGGAUGAAUUAUGAUGUAUUGCAUUAACAUGCAUUAUAUUAAGUUAUAAUGUUAUAUUUUGAUAUAGUAUAAAUUGUAUUAUAUAAGGUAAUGUUUUAUAUUAAUGUUAAAACUAAAUUAAUAUUAUUUAAAUUUAUUAAUAUUUUAGGAUUUUAUUAUUAAUUUUUUAAUUAAGUAUUAAAAAUUAUUUUAUAGUAUAGAAAAAUUAUUUUAUAGUAUAUAGACUAUUAUUAAAUGAUAAAAUAUUAAAGUACUAUGUUAUAGACUAUUAUUAAAUAAUAAAAUAUUAAAGUACUAUGUUAUAUUAUUAAAAAUUAUUAUAUUAUAAUAUAAUUUAUUUCUAGAUAUUAAUUAUUAUAAUAUAGUAUAAUCAUAUAAUAAUAUAAUAUAAGUUAAUAUUAUAUUGUAAAAAUAUAAUACUGUACAAUUAUUUAAUAUAACGUAAAUUAAUUUAUAAUAUAAUAUUAAAUUAUAAAUUUAUUAAAUUAAAUUAAAAUACUUUUUAUGUAUUUAAAGUAAAAUAAUUAAAAUAAUUUAUGUAAUAGAAGUAUGAUAAUGUAUUAUCAUUUUCUCAUUAAAUAUUUUAGGUUUAUUAAUUUGUUAAAUUAUUAUUGAAAUUAAAAUUAAUUUUUUAAAUGUAAAUAUAAAUAUAAAUGAAUGUUUAAUAAAAUCUACUCCUAGGGAUCUAUUUUAUACACUUUUUAUUCUCUAAAUCACGCAUAAUGUAGUUGUAUAAUAGAAACUGGAUAUUUAAUGGAAGCAAAAUUGCGCACGGUUUGUGGGUCUGUCAAAAUAUGAUAAAAAGACCAACAUGAUACACUGACUCUGUCCUCUUUAAUAUUUUUCUAGAUGCUUCCGUGGCAUAAUCUCAUUGGUCCAUUUUACUUCACGGCUUAGAUUCAACUUCAAAAAUCAAUUUGAAGCACACACAACAAUUCAACAAAUAUAAUAAGCGUCGAUAAACUUGUAGCUGACUGGCUGUGGCCAAGCAAAAAUGUACCUCAUGGUUACCGAAGGGUAAUUAUUAGAAAUCUCCCCUAAGGUUUGGCGUAUUUUCAGUUUGAUAGAUUGUAUUCGUGUAUUUUCAAAAACCUCCCCUGACAUUGAUAUACUGUUAAUUUGACCGUUUGUUGCAUGAUAAAAUGACAAAUAUAACCCUAAUUCAAAAAAGGGUAAUUAUCAUAAAAUUCUGUUGUAGCCUUAUAGGAAUAGAAUUUAAAAUUCUGUUGCAUCUCCUGUACCAAAUACUAAUUUGCUGGCUAUAUAUAUGGGAAAUGGCAGCUUCAUCAUCUCAUUUCUUUGACGUGAGUAGUGUAACAUUAUCUAAAUUCAAAAGUAUUUCUAUCACUUGUGUAAAAAACAACCUACUAAAAAAAAAACAAAAUCUUCACCAAGAUUGAAAGAAGUUUGAUGAAGAAAGCUAAGCAAUGAGGCAAAGUGCAAAAAGCUUCCUUCUAAUUCUGCGAUAUUUGACUCAAAUCUUUUCUUUGUUUCAUUCAUCAAAGUCAUUUUGGAAAGUAACAGGGAUGAUUUGGUAUUUUCAUUCCUUGGUGCCAGAACAAACAUGCUAGUACGAACCAACAAUUUUUUAUUUUCAGUAUACAAACUAUGUUUUUUGAAUUAGGGGAGGCAUCUGAAUUAUCCUCACCAACCAAAUUAUACGAAACGGUAUACUAAUGUUAGGGGAGGCAUCUGAAAAUAGGUGAAUACAAUCUAUCAAACUGAGAAUAUGCUAAACUUCAGGGGAGGUUUAUGAUAAUUACCCGGUUACCGAAUCAUAUCUUACGUCAGAAUUUUGAACUUAAACAAUGUUCUCAUUCCACGUGUCACUCUCUAACCAGUCCCCAAACUUUUAUCAUAUUUCCAAAGAAACCCCUACCAAAUCAAGGUAAUUACCGUCACUCGGCUCAAAUGAAUAGUCUCCUCGAUUCAACUGAUGACGACAUAUCCUCAUAGCCUUUAUUUAGAAGGGGAAAUUAUAAAAAAAUCCCCUCGUUCUCUAAAAAUAUGGGGUUUCUCAAGAAUAGCUAAACCUACAUCCCAAUCCUGAAAAAUCUCAAUUUAACCUCUCUAGGGUUUCGAUUGUUGAUGAUUCGCUUCAAAAUUUUGUAUUCUUUUAGUGGAUUUUGCUUGUCUCGUAUCCUUCAAUUGUUAGUUCAGUUCUGAUAAUAAUUUCGAAAUUUUUUAUACAAUAUAAAUUAAUUUAAAUUAAAAUUGAUAGAACAAUUGGGCGGUUAAUAAUUAAUUGAUGGCUAGUGAUACUACAACGGCGCCCGCGCCCGCAGCUCCGGAAAAAGCGGAGGCGGUGGAGGAGUAUGAUAGCAAUCCAGAUGAAGUGAAACGCUGUCUUGCGACGCGCAGAAGGGAAGCCAGCGAUGACGAGGACGUGGAGGACGUGGUGGAGGAGUACGAGAGCGAUCCAGAUGAAGUGAAACACUCUCUCGUGAUGCGCAGAAUGGAAGCAAGCGAUGAUAAGGAGGAGGAGGAUAAAGAAUUCGAGCGUCGAAUGAACCGUAGGGUCCACAUUCAUUAUUACGAUGAAUCUGAUGGCCAAGGUGGUGUCCUGCUGAGAAUGAUGAUGAUCAUCUCUCUCGACCAGUUCAGGUUCAAGGGAAGGGUGCUCGAGGGGUACUUGUCUUGUUUAUCAUUUUUGUUUAAUUUUCAUAAAUUCAACGACCCACAAUUCAAUUAUGAGUGAAGAAUUUGUUAAAAAAAUGUGGUCUUCCAUUUACUAUAACUAAGUCCGUGUGAUGUAAUUAUUUUUCUGUCACUUAAUGUCUUGAAAAUUAUGAAUACAUUGUAGGAUUUAGAAGGAUUUUAAGUUUUAAUGCAUAUGGGUUUUUUAUGUCCGUCCACUUAUGCGUAUACUGCAUUUUAUGAUUAUCGUAGUUGGUAGAUUGACAAAUGGACCUUAAUUACAAGUCAAAUAACCUAAAUACUUAUCGGCCAAAGGAAACCAUUUAUAGUACUUUCUAGUGAAGCAAAGUAAAAUGAUUCAUACUGGCAAAGAAAAUUAGAAAGAAAAGGAGGAUUACUGAUCCACACAGUGUCGUUUACUAAAAGUACGUUGAUCUUACACUUAAUUUAUUAUAUAUCCAUUUAUAAUGUUCAAAAUGAUAAUGUACUAUUUCUUAAAUUAGGCUUUCAAAACAUCAUUUUGAUAAUGCAUAGUUGUAAUGUGUCUCUAAAUUCAGUAAUACAAGUUAUUUCUGUUACUAAUGGAUGAAGUGACUUGAAACUUGCGUGGUCAUUAAAUGCUGGCAUAAUCUCUUUGACUUCUCUUGCAUUUGAAUGAAUGGAUGAGCGUUGCAUUUGAAUGAAUGGAUCAGUGUUAAUGCAGGCAAAGAUUUUCUGGACUUUCAUGGAUGCACAAUAAAUGCUACGUCAAAGGCCUGGUAAGAUGUCAGCAAGCUGGUCGAAGAUAUCAACCUGAUUUGGUGGCUGCAAGAUUUGUUCAUCCAGGACCGUUUUCUUUGACAAUGAGAAAGCCCCAAUGUCUAUAAAUUGAGAACUCACUGAAUUGUAGAGAGAGAGAGGAAAGUGAAUAACGGGAGAGGCAGUGAAAAGAGAGUGUGGGAAGAUUUGGGCGUAAUUGGGGUUUGGGUGUGAGAUAAAAUAAUCAGAGAGUGGUUGUAAUAAUUUUUUAUACGGUGAAAUUUUUUUGUCUCGUUGUUUUUUGCAGUGGUGGUUUUUUACUCUAAUAAAAUAGUCUUCCAAGUAAAUUUUGUGUGUUAUGAUUGGGAUAUUCACCAUUUUAGUUUUCUAUUUAUUAUUUGUUUUACAUAUUGCUAGCAAAAAUCUGGGGCGGGAACCGAAAAUUCCCAACAAUUAUUAAUUAUUUUAAACUCUGUUCUGAACAGAGCAUGAAGGGUUUCACUUACCUAGUUACGUUUUUCAUUCUUUCACUUCACUUGAUUUCAUCACAAGGAUCAUAUUCUGGCUAACGAAGGAGCAAAGUUCAUUGGCUGCACUCAUGUGUAGCAGAGUAUUUGGAUUCAAGACUGUUAGAAGGUCGUUACAGAGUAUUUGGAUUCACUCUCCAAUUUUCAUUAAUUUAGUGUAGAUAACGUGGUCAUGAAAACUUGAUUAAGAGUUUAAUGCAAUCAAAUCUACUUUAAUGAUUAUUUAAUGCACGGAGAUUUAACAUCAAUUAUCAUCACGUUAGUCUAACAACGAAAUUGCAGAGCUUGGAUCUUUACUCGAACAGUUUCACUGGCUCUAUUUCUGACACAUUGGGCAAGCUGAUGGAAUUGCAAUUCCUGUAUGAUCAUUUCCCCAACUAUUAUUUGAAUAAUUAUUUAAUGCCGUUCAUUCCAGCUCUGUUUGGCUGUUAACUUUAUUUAGUUAUAUAUGAGGAGAUUCAUUUCUCACCUGAAGCUAGAAAUUUACGGAUCAAUGACUUUUUAUUUUUUCUUUUAUAUGAUAGCUUGCAAUCCCUGGUGUGUGUUGAUAGAGCCUUACAUGAUUACAAAAAUGAAUUUUUUUUUGGGGGCCAAUUGCAGUUUUGAUAACAACUAAAAUCUGUGUGGCCCAGUUACCACAAAGCCUUGCUCCAGAUCCCUGCCAUUUUCUCCUCCACCUCCAUUUGGGGAAAUUACCACUUACUUUUUGCAAGUUUUUCGUGAAAUAUUUAUUUUGAGAAGAAAACCAACAAUACAUUUUAUGAUUUGGGCUGUUUCAAAGAUCUUCGCUUGAUGUCUCUGCUACUGGUUUUCAGCAGAGUGCCCAAAAAUAAUCAGUGCACGCACUAUAGGCUCUAUUAUUAUCAGUAAAAAGCAUUAAUGAUAUAUUGGGAUCGACUUUUUUAUUUGGGAGUGGAAGGAUGCUUGAAAGAGUAGAGUGGUGCAUCUUGUUCAAACAUGCACCGUAGAGAAAUUAGUUUAGGCUCUAACCAUUGUUAUAGUAGAGAAAAAGAAAAUUAAUCAAGAGUAAUUUUAUGACUUUUUAGAAAAUAGUGAAUUAAAAUAAUAAGUUAUAAUUUCAUAAUUAUCUUAAUUAAAAAAAUGGGGGUUUGAAAUAAAAUUAGUGAAUUUAAAUAGCCUGCCCAAAAUCCAAACUUGCAUAUCAAUUAUUUUCUAAUUUACAUAAAGUUUUUCUAUAUGUUUGAUAACAUUUGAUUCUCAAUUGGUCUAAUGGAGAAACAACCAGCAAAAAAAUAAAAUGAAUGCAAUUAAAUGGAAAUUUGAAAAGAGCAGUAGAUGACAUUUAUGUGCAAGCAAAAUGCAAAAUUGCAUUCUGUUUGUGGGAUCCUGGAAAAAAUAAAAGAAAGGAAACAGAGUAAGACGCUGGUACUGUGGGCUUUAAUAUUUUUCUAGAUGCUUCAAUGGCAGAUUCUCGUUGGUUCAUUUUUCUUUACGCCUUAGAUUCUAUGAUUCAAUUUCAAUCAAAUACGACAAACAAAAGAAGCUUUUAAGCCUGCAGCUCAAAAAGAUGGCACUUUAAUUUUCGGCUGAACAUACAAAUGGCAAGAUUAUUAUUAUUGAGCUUGAUAAGUGGGAUAGCAAAAUCCGAAUUCGGAUGUGGGUGUAUUUGGAUUUGGAUCCGGAAAAAAAUAUGUAGAUGUGGAUUCGGAUGCGGGUAAUAUCUGCACGGAUUGCGGGUGAAUAUUCCGGAUAUUCAGAUCCGCAUAAUAAUAAAUUUGAUUUUAAUUUUAAAUUUAAUAAUUUACAUAAUAAUAUUAAAUAAAAUUCAAUUAUAAUUUAACAAUCAAUAAUUUAACAUCAAUUCAACAUAAAUAACAUACAACAACACCAUAAAUUCACAAACAAUAAUUUCACAAUAUAAAUCAAACAUAAAAAAUAAAAAAUAAUCUAUGGUAAACCGAUUUAUUAUAAUAUUCUCUAAUUAUUAUUAUUAUUUGUUUUUUAAUAUAUUCAUAGUUAAUGAAGAUUAUAGAGUUAAUUAUGCUUAUAAAUUUAAAUAAAUAAUUUAAUUUAUAUAUUUUCAAUUAAAAUUUAAUUACAUAAAUAAUUUAAUUAUAAAAUAAUUGAUAAGUGCAUAUUUUCCACAUAUUUUGCUUUUAAUUUCUCCAUCUUUUUCUUAUUUUGAUCUUAAAUAUUCUAGUUAUUUUAGUUAAUUUUUAAUUUAAUAGGGAAUUAAUUAAUAUACAUAUUUUAUUUUUUUAUAUAUUUGCUAGUUAUUUUUAUUUCUUAUUUUUAAUUCAUUGUAUUAUUUUAUUGAAUAGGAAAUUAAUUGGAGAUUGUGGAUAAUAAAAAGGCAUGAAGAAAUUCAAAUUGAGAAGGAAUGAAGAUUAAAUUGGAAGACAAAAAUCAAAGCAAUUAAUCCAAUUGAGAAAUGUUGAAUAAUUAAAAGAUUUAAUUUUUUCCAAUUGGCAAAUUGGAGUACACGUUCAUGGCAUUGCAAAAGUGGAAAGCAUUUAAACGGGCCCACAAUUGACUUUCAAAAGUUGGAAUUAAUGGCUUUGGGUGGCGUUAAAUUGGAAAAGGAUUUCAAUUAGAAUUGAAAAAGGAUUUCUUUGGAUUUGUUGGAGAAGAAUUCGGUCAACUAGCAUUAUAAAAAGAGAGCAGCUGCUGGACGGAAGAAAAAAAAAAGACAGGAGAGAGAGCAGGGGCUGAUCCAAUUCGGCAAGAAGAAGAAAAAAAUCAGCAGCCGGAAUUCAAUUGAAGAAAAACGCUGCCGCUUGAAUUAAUCUCCAUGAUUGGUUUUGUCAAUUCUCUUAUUCUCAAUUCAAUUAUGUUAGGCUAAAUUUUUAUUUGGUUGAGGGUGAAUUCAAAACCCUAAACAUGCUAUGCAAUUAAAUUUAAAUUCUAUCAUUCAAUUUAUUUAAUUGAGAUUGUCUAUAAUUAAUUUUCAUGGUUUAUUCUUGUUUUAUUUAAGUGGCCAAUUAGAUAGGACUUGAAUAAAUUUUAUUGCUAGAUUAAAAUUCUUGAUCCGUAAUUGUCUUGAUAUUUUAAUCAUUAGUAGCAGGUUGGAAUCAGUGAUUUCAAUUGAAGAACAUAACCUAGGUUAAAUAAUCCGAGCUUGUGUGUUUAUUGCCUAGAUCAACCUAAUAUCUUUCUCUGUUUAAUGCUUCCAUUAUCUUAAAUUUAAAGAGCUUGUUUUAAAUUAUUUAAUGGUUAGAGAUUAUGUGAAGAGCUUAUUUUGCCUAACGACACACUAAGGAAAGAUUGAGACUAACAGAGCUUAUUGUUGUCUACGGUUGAUAGUUUUAAUAUAAAUUGAUGGUAGAAUUGAUAUAUUAUGUGCAUGUUUGGUGGUGGCGAAUGAUCCUUUAACCAAAGUUUUCAUCAUUAUUAUUUCCUUCUCAUUUAAUUAGAGUUUUUAUUAAAUUCUUGUUCGUAGUUUUAAUUUCUUUAUUUCUUACUAUUUAGUUAAAAAUUCAUAAACCCCCAUUUUAUUUAUAAUUGGCAUUUUCUUUAGUUAGAUUAAUUUAUAUUAUUAUUACUAUUAUUAUUAUUACUAUUAUUUUAUUUUAAAUCUUGCUUUGGAGUUAAUAAUAAAUAUAACUAGCAUAGUCUCUGUGCGAUCGAUCCUUACUCGCUCUGUACUAAUUAUUUAUAUUAGUGGUAAGGUUUUAAAUUUGGUGCACCUUAACGACACUACCAAAUUUUUGGCGCCGUUGCCGGGGACUAGCGUCUAGUUUGUUUAUUAUCACUCGUUUUAUUUUUAUUUUUUUUUAUUUCUUUUCUCAUUUUAUUUAUUUAUUUUAUUUUAAUUAGUUAAUUUUUGUUCUAUAUUUAGAUUUUCAUGAGCAUAGAGGACAUUCGAUUGAAACUCGAACAACUUAGAGCAACCUCAUCAUAUUCAGAACUCGAUUUUGCCAUCCACAUUCCACUCCCGAAGACAGAACCAAGCAGCCCAGAACCCGAACCAAUGGCUCAGAAUAACAACCGAACACUUAAAGAGUUGGCAGCUCCUAACUUGGACCAGCAACCCUUAUGCAUUGAGAAUCCAAACCCUCAGGUAAACUUUGAACUCAAAUCUGGGAUGAUUCAUCUUCUUCCUACUUUUCAUGGUCUUGCAGGAGAGGAUCCAAAUAAGCACUUGAAGGAGUUCCAUGUGGUCUGCUCCACAAUGAAACCAGCCGGAGUUUCUGAAGAGCAAGUUAAGCUAAUGGCCUUCCCAUUCUCUUUGGCGGAUUCAGCCAAGGAAUGGUUGUACUAUCUUCCCUCCGGUACUAUCACUACAUGGAAUGAGAUGCGUCAGCUAUUUUUGGAGAAAUAUUUCCCAACAUCAAAAGCUGGCAGCAUUCGAAAAGAAAUUUGUGGAAUCCGACAGUAUAAUGGAGAGUCGCUCUACGACUAUUGGGAACGAUUCAAAAAGCUAUGUGCUAGUUGCCCUCACCAUCAGAUAAGUGAUCAACUUCUUAUUCAAUACUUUUAUGAGGGUCUACUACCUAUGGAUAGGAGUAUGAUUGAUGCCGCUAGUGGAGGAGCACUCGUGGAUAAGACACCAGAAGCAGCCCGAAAUCUCAUUGCUAACAUGGCUGCUAAUUCCCAACAGUUCAACACUAGGAACGAUCUACUGCCGCCACCUAAGCGAGUCAAUGAGGUAAGUACUACUUCUCUAGAAAAACAAGUUUCAAAUCUUACUUCUUUGGUGCAACAAUUAGCUCUAGGGCAACAAAUGAGACCGUGUGGCGUAUGUUCUAUGGUCGGGCAUGCAACUGAUAUGUGCCCUACUCUCCAAGAGGGUUCACAUGAGCAGACCAACGCAGUUGAGGGGUUCCUAGGCCAAUCAAGACAAAGGUAUAAUCCAUAUUCUAAUUUUUACAAUGAAGGGUGGAAGGAUCACCCUAAUUUUAGGUAUGGGAACCAACAACAAGGCAUUCCUAAUGUGGCACCAUCUCGACCACCGGGCUACCCCCAACAGCGGGUGCAACAACCUUAUCAAGAUCGGUCACCUCCACCUUCUCAAAAUCAAGGUACGUCUUUGGAAGAUCUUGUAAAAGCUCUCGCUACUAACUCUAUGCAAUUCCAACAGACUACCCAGACACAGCUCCAACAUUUAGAGAAUCAAAUUGGCCAAUUGGCCACAUCUAUGAGUAGGAUAGAGGCUAGAACUUCAGGAAAGCUACCUUCUCAACCAUAAAUUAAUCCAAAGGAGAAUGCUAGUGCUAUGUCUCUUAGGAGCGGAAAGCAAUUGGAACCAUUAUUAGCUAAGCCAUCAAAAGUGUCCACAACAUCAUCGCCCUCUGUGACAAUUCCUCCCCUGAGGCUCUUCCUUUAACAAGGAAAGACGAUUCCCACUCGGCAUUGCCAGUCGAUCCAUCUAGCCAGGUAAGUACCCCCUCACCUCGAAUUAAGACUCUUUCCAUUCCUCCACCAUUUCCUAGCAGAUUUAAACAAUCCAAGAAAGAGGAGCAAGAAAAAGAGAUCCUUGAGACCUUUCGUAAAGUAGAGGUAAAUAUUCCUCUACUUGAUGCUAUUAAACAAGUGCCACGUUAUGCAAAGUUUUUGAAGGAAUUAAGCAGCAACAAGCGAAAGUUGAGCGGUAACGAAAAAGUAAGUGUAGGAGAGAACAUUUCUGCUGUACUUCAAAGAAAACUUCCUCCUAAGUGCAAGGAUCCAGGUACUUUUACUAUCCCCUGCACUAUUGGCAAUACCAGAUUCGAAAGAUGUAUGCUAGAUUUAGGGGCCUCAAUUAAUGUUAUGCCAUAUUCGAUUUAUAACUCCUUGAAUUUAGGUCCAAUGGAAGAAACUGGUAUAAUUAUUCAAUUGGCUGAUAGAUCUAACGCUUACCCGAAGGGGGUUGUGGAAGAUGUUCUUGUGCAGGUCAAUGAAUUGGUCUUUCCAGCUGAUUUUUAUAUCCUUGAAAUGGACGAUGAAUCAUCGCCCAAUCCCACUCCUAUUCUGUUGGGGCGACCAUUCCUUAAGAUAGCCCGAACCAAGAUUGAUGUUCAUGAUGGAACCCUUACAAUGGAAUUUGAUGGUGAAGUGAUCCGCUUCAAUAUCUUUGAGGCAAUGAGGUAUCCUAGUGAUGUUCAUUCUGUUUUUGCCAUGGAUGAUAUUAAUACUUUGGUGCAAGAUUUCUUUGAAUUAUCCGGUAAUGACAGUUUUGAAAUUGCCAUAAGCAAAAAUCUUACGAAAGAUGAUUCUAAGGAACAUGCAAAUUUGAUAAAGUUGGAUGAUGAGGCACCUACCUUAGAACUUAAACCACUCCCAGAACACCUGCAAUAUAUUUACUUGGGUGAGAAUGAAACACUUCCAGUCAUAAUUGCUAAAACCCUCACCCCAGUUCAACAAGAAAAGUUAAUUAGGGUGCUUCGGGAUCACAAAACGGCGAUUGGCUGGACCAUUGCCGACAUUAAGGGAAUUAGUCCUUCCAUGUGCAUGCAUCGCAUUUUGCUAGAGGAAGGGUCUAAACCAACGAGAGAUGCACUUUGGGCAUGUAGGACCGCAUACAAAACUCCUAUUGGUAUGUCACCCUACAGGUUGGUAUAUGGUAAGCCUUGUCAUCUUCCAGUGGAACUUGAACAUAAAGCAUGGUGGGCUGUGAAACAAUGUAACAUGGAACUGGACGCCGCCGGCCAACACAGAAAGCUCCAAUUGCAAGAAUUAGAGGAAAUUCGAAAUGAUGCCUAUGAGAGUUCACGAAUCUAUAAGGAAAAGACUAAGGCUUUUCAUGAUAAGCAGAUCUUGAGAAAGAAUUUUGAAGUUGGACAGAAAGUUCUGCUAUUCCAUUCUCGCCUUAAGUUGUUUCCAGGUAAGUUAGGUUCUCGAUGGGUUGGGCCUUUUGUUGUUAUUAAUGUUUUUCAUCAUGGUGCAGUUGAGAUCAGGAGCUUAAAGACAGGUAAAGAGUUCAAAGUUAAUGGUCAUAGGUUGAAGCCUUACUAUGAAAAUUUUCAAACACUCAAUGUAGAGGAGGCUCCACUUUAUGAACCUGCGUACGUUGAUGAGUGAAACUUGAGAACCAGGUCAGGCUGAGGACAAUAAACCAAGCGCUUAUUGGGAGGCAACCCAAUGGUUGGAGAAAAGAAUUUGAGAGCACGCCAUAACAGAUUUGAUCUUUCUCCCUUUCAUUCUCAUUUACUUUAUCCACUAUGUUGAAUUUUGUUUGUUUCUGUUUGUGUGUCUCAUCUCCUUUCCCCAUGUUUAAUUCUUUUGUUAGUUUAGGCUUACAUUGAGGACAAUGUAAGAAUUAAGUGUGGGGGGGUGGAUUUCGAACUUAGUUUUUGUUGCUUUGUCUUUUUCUUUUUUAAAAAAAAAAAUUUGAAUAUUAGCCAGUGAUAAGAAUUUGAUUGACAAUAAAUAUGGUUCUUAGAAAGGGUUGAAUAUUACCUUAGUUUAUACUUGAUUCUUGUGUUGAUUUCCUCUUAAUUGAGAUUCUUUAAACCAUGAGCACUAAUAUCAAUUCUUUCAUAAUUUUGACUUAGAAUUUGAGAUUGACGCAGCCUGAGUUGAGAAUUUUAGAUUGAGUAAAUGACUGUUUGUCUUGAUUCUUAUCUCCACAAUACAGUGUAGUAUACACAGGCACCAUAGUCAGAAAUAGCUACCUAUAACCCUUAAGAGUGAAGCUAUCCUUGAGUAAUUUGGGCCUAUGUACCACCAGUAUGUAGAGGAUAAUCUACCAUGAGAAGAAGGCUACCUUAAGGGGUAGAGUGAAAGCUCCUGACUAAAAAAAAAAAAAAAAACCAAAAAAAAACCAAAAAAAAAAACAAAAAAAAAGAGAACUUCAAAAGAAAAUGCACACAAAUGCCUGUGAAAGAAAGAAAAUUUUUUUUUUGGAGAUCAAGAUGAUAAGAUUAGUUUGACCUACUCUUUUCUUUGUUCGAGGCAAAGGCUGUUGAUAUUGAAGAUUUUGGGAAUGGAUUUUAAUUGAAUUGAUUCACACACACACACAAUGAGAAUCAAAAGAGAGAUGUGAUUGAGUAUUGAAUUAAAGUUAGAACUUCGAUAAUAUUUGAAAUUUUCUUUGAGCUAUAUGAUUUAUGCAAUCUUUGAGGCUAGUUUUAUUUUAAAAUAAAAAAAAAAACAAAAAAAAAAAAAUUGCAAUGAUGUUUGUGGGUAUCAUCGUUGAAGCCCUCACGAGACUAUAACUCGUCCACUAGGGCCGCCUAGGGGUUUAAAGGCUUGUUGCAUACGCUAAAUGCAAUCGUGAUUUCCUACGAAAGUGGACUAGUUUAGGUUUUCUUUUUAUUUUUGUUCUAGGUUUACUCGAGGACGAGCAAAGGGUAAGUGUGGGGGAAUUUGAUAAGUGCAUAUUUUCCACAUAUUUUGCUUUUAAUUUCUCCAUCUUUUUCUUAUUUUGAUCUUAAAUAUUCUAGUUAUUUUAGUUAAUUUUUAAUUUAAUAGGGAAUUAAUUAAUAUACAUAUUUUAUUUUUUUAUAUAUUUGCUAGUUAUUUUUAUUUCUUAUUUUUAAUUCAUUGUAUUAUUUUAUUGAAUAGGAAAUUAAUUGGAGAUUGUGGAUAAUAAAAAGGCAUGAAGAAAUUCAAAUUGAGAAGGAAUGAAGAUUAAAUUGGAAGACAAAAAUCAAAGCAAUUAAUCCAAUUGAGAAAUGUUGAAUAAUUAAAAGAUUUAAUUUUUUCCAAUUGGCAAAUUGGAGUACACGUGCAUGGCAUUGCAAAAGUGGAAAGCAUUUAAACGGGCCCACAAUUGACUUUCAAAAGUUGGAAUUAAUGGCUUUGGGUGGCGUUAAAUUGGAAAAGGAUUUCAAUUAAAAUUGAAAAAGGAUUUCUUUGGAUUUGUUGGAGAAGAAUUCGGUCAACUAGCAUUAUAAAAAGAGAGCAGCUGCUGGACGGAAGAAAAAAAAAAAGACAGGAGAGAGAGCAGGGGCUGAUCCAAUUCGGCAAGAAGAAGAAAAAAAUCAGCAGCCGGAAUUCAAUUGAAGAAAAAGGCAGCCGCUUGAAUUAAUCUCCAUGAUUAGUUUUGUCAAUUCUCUUAUUCUCAAUUCAAUUAUGUUAGGCUAGAUUUUUAUUUGGUUGAGGGUGAAUUCAAAACCCUAAACAUGCUAUGCAAUUAAAUUUAAAUUCUAUCAUUCAAUUUAUUUAAUUGAGAUUGUUUAUGUUCUUCUAUAAUUAAUGUUCAUGGUUUAUUCUUGUUUUAUUUAAGUGGCCAAUUAGAUAGGACUUGAAUAAAUUUUAUUGCUAGAUUAAAAUUCUUAAUCCGUAAUUGUCUUGAUAUUUUAAUCAUUAGUAGCAGGUUGGAAUCAGUGAUUUCAAUUGAAGAACAUAACCUAGGUUAAAUAAUCCGAGCUUGUGUGUUUAUUGCCUAGAUCAACCUAAUAUCUUUCUCUGUUUAAUGCUUCCAUUAUCUUAAAUUUAAAGAGCUUGUUUUAAAUUAUUUAAUGGUUAGAGAUUAUGUGAAGAGCUUAUUUUGCCUAACGACACACUAAGGAAAGAUUGAGACUAACAGAGCUUAUUGUUGUCUACGGUUGAUAGUUUUAAUAUAAAUUGAUGGUAGAAUUGAUAUAUUAUGUGCAUGUUUGGUGGUGGCGAAUGAUCCUUUAACCAAAGUUUUCAUCAUUAUUAUUUCCUUCUCAUUUAAUUAGAGUUUUUAUUAAAUUCUUGUUCGUAGUUUUAAUUUCUUUAUUUCUUACUAUUUAGUUAAAAAUUCAUAAACCCCCAUUUUAUUUAUAAUUGGCAUUUUCUUUAGUUAGAUUAAUUUAUAUUAUUAUUACUAUUAUUAUUAUUACUAUUAUUUUAUUUUAAAUCUUGCUUUGGAGUUAAUAAUAAAUAUAACUAGCAUAGUCUCUGUGGGAUCGAUCCUUACUCGCUCUGUACUAAUUAUUUAUAUUAGUGGUAAGGUUUUAAAUUUGGUGCACCUUAACGACACUACCAAUAAUACAGAUCCGGAUAUCCGGUUUUCCGAAUGUAAGUGCAUCCGGAUCCGCAUGGAUCUUAAUUUUUAAGAUCCGGAUUCGCAUUUUUUAACGUACAGAUCUGAAUUUUUUGAAUUCGAAUCUUCUGAAUAUUUGCUGAUCCAGAGUUUAUUGCCAACCCUAAAUUGAUAAGGCUAUAGAAAAUUCAAUAUCCAGAUCGGAUAAGGAUCCAAUAAAUUAUAAAAUAUUGCGGCUCAAAGCCCAUAUGAUCAUGGGCCACCGCUUGCUCAUGCUUUGAAUCAAAAUUUUCUAAUGAAGUGAGGUUGGAAGCUAAAAGGGGCAAAUGAUGAAAUGGGGUUCAUCAUUUAUUGAGCCCAACGGGACAAGAUCAUCAUUUAAUUCCCUCCUCUUGUCGAUAGAUAUUUGCCGAAUUUUUUCAUUUAAAAAAUAUUAUAUUGGUUAAUAGAAUUUGAAGUUUUACAAAAUAUAAGUUUAAUUUUAGAAAAAAUUAUAUUUGUUAAUUUAAAAUUUUCAUUUGGUGGUUGUGUUUGAGAAAAAUUUUAGGUAUACUCGGAUAUACUCUCUUAUUAUUCAUUGAAUUUGGGCAUUUAAACAUACUAGUAUAGUAUGCAGUAUUUUUAGGUAAUUAGCGGAGAAGUAUACGUGACAAAAAUAUAACACGUGAAACAAUACACAAUGAAAUUAUCUACAAUUUUCCAUUGACUUAGUCAACUCUUCAUUAAUUUCAUUGACUUGAUCAACUCAUGAAUCAUGAUCUAACUUGACAACUUGAAAAUUAAAAUAUGCUAGUAAUUCCGUAAAAUUAAAAUUUAUCUCCCAAAAUUGAUAAAUACUGUGUCACUUUGUCAAAUUACUUAGGGUAAAAACUCUGUGGCUAAAAACUUUUAACAUUAGUUGUAUGCUAAUUGAGAAGGACAAGACACAAAAGAAUUCAAUGAAUGCGACAUCAUGUAACACUAACACUAUUUACUCUUAACAAAUUCUUACAAACGUGAUUCAUGAAAUUAACUUGACUUUUUGUCUAAAAAAGGCCUAAAGAAACAUGCCAAGCAACAAAUAAAGUAGUCCAAACGUGAUUCAUGAAACUUGAUAGGCACUAUCUAAAUAGUAUUAAUAUGGCAACCAAAAACAUCCGCGCAAAAUAGACUUUCUUGGACGAUCCAUGCCAAUCAACAAAUAAAGUAGUCCAAACGUGAUUCGUGAAACUUGACUUCUUGUCUAAAAAGGCCUAAAGAAACAAGACCAAAAUUUCCAUGCAAUAGCAAUAUGGUGGCCACAAUGCACUUUUUAAGCCAUUUUUCAAAACUAAGUUUCUUCGUAUCACAUGCACUAUUCAAGCAAUUUUUCAACAUUUUCUCCUUCCCCUAAAAGCUACAUGCAUGAAUCAUGUCCCAAUCAAUUUCUUGGCAAAAAUUGGAACGCAAGAACCGAUUGGAGCAUAAGGACAAUGUCACGAUUCAAGAUUCUCAGCAAGACCACGUCACAAUGCAUCACUUUUGGAAAGUAAUUUAGCAAUUUCCAAUGCCUUAGCUGAUUAAUGGCUUGAACAUGUCACGAUUGGUCCACAUUAUGCACAUGGCAAGAUCAAACAAAAUAUCACAGCUAGCUCGACGACUACUAGCCAAAAUAACAAGACAAUGACGGCCAGUUACAAACUCUUUACGAAGGAAAUACCGAAAUAUGAAUAUCCCUCCUAAUCACUUUCUUAUAUUAUAAUUAUUUUGUACAUAUAACAGAACACGUUCUCUCUUGUAAACAAGUCAAGAAAACGGUUUUAGUUUUCAUAUCAAUAAUGGAAUCCAAAAUCUUUCACAGCUUGCUUCUCCUUUGGACGCUUGAAAGACUUUCUUACCUGGCUAAGACUGAAAAUUGUUUGCGGUCAACUCGUGGCACCCUUAUUGACACGCAAAGAACUUACAUCGAGGAGUUGUUUGAUUUUAUGUUUCAAAUUAAGUACCAUAGCAUUACUACUUCUAUAAAUAACUCAUUUGAGCUUCCAGCCUGUUAUUUGUAUUUUACGUUUCUGUUUCUCUUCAUAAAUAUUUUUUUUUCCAUUCUCUUUUUCUUCCACUUUCCCGACUCCCAAACACCACCAGUCUUUGAUUUUCCUAGAGUAUUAACUGUCUGUUUACACGAACAUAGACCGACUGUUUGUCUAAUUACUGUCAAGAAACAGCAUACUCUGUCUCGGGGUCUCUUCGUUUAUUGACUUGUCACUUGUGAACGGGAUAAUUAAAGGGCAUUCCUUUCUUCAAGAAAGAUUGCCAAGAAAGUACCAUCCAUUAGACACGUUAAGAGUUAUUUUACAUUAAAAAUGAUAAUAAUCAUAAUAAUCGGUUUAGUGUUACCCCUUUAUUAGGUAAUGACUGUCCGAUUGUCUUCGCUUUCAUUGACUUCGCAACUGUGAAUUCUAAGCCGGGUUAAGGAUUGACAAAAUGUUAUAACCCAUAAAGCACGGAUAAUUAAUUAAUGGGCCACUGAUUUCUUCUUUAAAGGCUAAUUCUUGGUAAAGAUCAGAAAGUUCUCAAAUAAAAAUUCGGCUUUGUGGAAAUUAAAUUAAAAGCAAUUAAGCAUUAUAAAUUACUUAACAGCUUAAUCGAGUUUGGUUUUGAAAAAUAUAUCUUUAAAUCUCUUGUAAUUAAAGAUAAUUAUCAUAUUACCGUCUCAAAUGGACCGAUUUCAAUCAAAUGAAAUCUAGAAAAUUGAGCAGCUCAUUGAUGUAUUUGAUCGAACUUGUGUCAGAGUCUUCGUUUUAGAAGAGUGCACAGCAGCUGCCAGGUCCACUUGGCAGUUGGCACGCUAAAAAUUUUCUGUUGACCAAUAAUUUUGAAAGGGAUAUUAUUAAUUUACUAUCAAAUAUUUUCUAACACAUCACUUUACUAUCAAAAUUUUUUGACAAUAAUUUUUUGUCACUUAAUAUUUCAAUUUUUAUCAUUUUAUCAUCAAAAAAUAGUAAAUGCAUGCGUAGUGUCAGUUAUUCAUAAAAAUGGUUGUUGAAUUGUCCUGUUUCUCAUUUGGUUUAAUUUUCAUAAAUUCGACUCACACAAUUCAAUUAUGAGUGAAGAGUUUUUUUUUGGGAAAAAAUCUGGUCUUCCAUUUACUAGAAUCACGUCUGAAUGAUUUUGUUAUUUUUCUUUUGUUUGAAAUAUACGUGGAAAAUGUUGAACACUUUGUAGGAUUUAGAAGAAUUUGAAAGUUUGAAUGCAUAUAGUUUACUAUCCAUCAACUAGUGCAUAUUCUGUAUUUUAUGAAAUCAAAGCUGGUUGAUUGAGAAAUGGACCUUAUUACAUGUCAUAAGAUUUUACAGUGCUUUCUAAUGGAGCAAAAUAAAAUGAUUCUUACCUGCACAGAAAAUUAGAUGUUACACUUAAAUUUAUUAUCCAUCUCUAUUGUUUAUAUGACACUGAAGUAUUACCUAAAUUAGCCUUUCAAAACUUCAUUUUCAAAAAUCUAUGGUUGUGAUGCGUCUCUAUAAACUCACUCGUACAAAUUCUAUCUAAUGCCAAUCAUUUUAAACUCUGUUCUGAACAGAGCAUGAAAGGAUAUGUUCACUUAUCUAGUUAUGUUUUUUAUGCUUUCACUUCACUUGAUUCACCUUGUCCCUCUUUUAAAACAGCUGCAUAUGCUGGAGUGCCAAAUCCAUCACAAGGAUCAUAUUACAGAGUAUUUCGGGAUUCAAGACUGUAUGCCACGCUGGCAAGUGCGCUCUCACAGAUUGUGGAGAUGGCACCAAAGAUUGUAAACUAACUAGUACUGAAAAAUCCUAUUUGCACAUAAAAUUGCAUAAAAUAAAUAGACUGAGAAAUAAGAUUAAUAAAGUAAAUAAAUUUAUCUUUCUAGUGUUUUUGUGUACGUACAAGUAGCAUUACUCAUUAGCAAUUAGUCUAGAGUGUUCUGAUUUUUUCUAAUAAGUAGCUCACUUGAGCCUAGGACUUGUAACUAUGUUUUACGUUUCUGUAACUUUCUAAUAAAGAUUUUUUUUUUUUAAUUUUCAAUUUCUCUUCCAUUUUCCUGACUCCCAAACACCACCAAUCCUUGAUUUUCUAGAGUAUCAGCUAUCUAUUUCUACAAACACAAAACUACUAUUUACUUUCAAGAAACAACGUAUUCUGUGGUUUAUUGGCUUGUGCCUUGUGAACGGGGCUAAUGUUGGUCUAACUACUUUCACGAAACAACGUACUCCGUGGUUCAUUGACGCGCACGGGGCUAAUUGUCUCCUCUUCCAUUGACUCUGUCAAUUCAUGACUUUGACGCGCACGGUAGCUGCUAACUGCCUUCUCCAUUUGACGUGCAAAAAACUUUCUUGAGUCGGGUUAAAAUUAAUUGAUCAUUUUAUUUGGUGAUAAUGACUUAGUUGUCAAGUCAUGAGUUUGAUGAUGAAGAGGACGAAAAACAUUACUUUAUUAUUUAAAAUAAGACUAUCAAUUAAAUGGAAUCUUACGGAAUUAGAGUGCUUGACUUCUUUUUACAGAAUUAUGAAGUGAAAAAGGAAAUUAAGAAAUUAAAUACUUUUCAUGCGAGUGGAGAAGAUUGGGUAGCGAUUACAUGAAAUAAAAGAAAAAUAAUUUAAAAGUACAACACUUUAAUAAUCUCAUUCCCAAUCAUAUCGGUAUAAAAAUUAUGUAGAUUUAUUGAAUAACUAUUGAUUUUACUUUGGUAAUUUCUUUCUAAAAGUGAGGUAAACAUUUUUAUUUUCUUUGCAUUCGAGCUUUCUUUCUUUUGCGCUGGCCUUCACACUCUUGACCGUAUUUCAUGUAUUUAGUUUUUGUCAUCAUGACUGGUGAAAUAAAAAUAGUCCUCAUUUCAAGGAUUGACAAAAACGUUGUGCUCAUACCGAUUAAUGGGGAACUGAUUUCGUCUUCUUAAAAGAGAAUUAUUUGCAGCGCGGUAAUUAGAAGAUUUCUGUAUUAUAUAGCCAAACCUAAGUGAUAAGAAUUUCCAAAUGAGAUAUAAUUUGGAGGGAAACAAAAAACUAAUUCAAGUUAAAGACCAGCAAUUUCCAUAUGUGAUAUAUCCUUCACUCUUUGACGUAUCCCUGGGGCAAUGUAAGUUGACUUUAUAUUAAAACAAAACAUAAUUACAAUUAUCAUCACUGAUUUGUAUAAUUUUCAGGACUAGUAAAUUAUCUCAAUUUUUAAAAAACAUAAUUACAAUUAUCGAUCGAACACCACUAAUUCCAACAAUUCAUCCAAGUUUUUCAACUUUUUAGAUAUUUGAUAUAUGUCAUGUUUUAACUUAGUACGAGAAAAAAAUUAUAGAAUUUUUUUUUUUUCAAAUUAGUGGAAUUAUUUUACGAUAAAACUAUCACAAUCACAUUUAAAAAUAUUCUUUAAACUUUCACUAUUUCUACUGUUAUUCUUUAAACUUUUUUCUGAACAGAGCAUGGAGGGUCGCUUAUCUAAAUAUGUUUUCUGUGCUUUCACUUCACUUGAUUCAUCUUGUCCCUCUUUUAUAGCUUCUAUCUCGUGUGAGCUUAGAACCUGCAACUUGUAUUUUACGUUUCUGUUACUUUCUCUUUCAUUUUCCCGAUUCCCAAACACCAUCAGUCCUUGAUGUUAUAGAGUAUUAGCUGUCUAUUUGUUCAGACAUAGAGCUACUGUUCCCAGUCCCACUGUAGAUCUUCAGUGGUUAGCUCACUAUUGUUUGAAUAUUAAAAUUAAUUUGUUAAAUAAAUAAAGAAAACAAGAGACAAUUGCCAUAUAUAUUCCAUAUUAAUUAGUCACCGUCCGAUUGUCUCCACUUCCAUUGACUCUGUUGAUUCAUGCUUUCAUGAAGUGAAACGUUUAACACUCUGUUCUGAUCCGCAGGAGAGGAGGAAAAACAUAAUUUUAUUAUUUCAUUCCUGACACGCGCAAUGAGCUUUCUUAAUUGAUGAAUGUGACAUGAAGCUCUAUAAAUAGUUUAAUUUGUAAAAUUGUUAAAAUUUGUUAAAUUUCAUUUAAUUGAUGAAUGUGACAUGAAACUCUAUAAAUAGUUUAAUUUAUAAAAUUGUUAAAAAUUUAAAUUUCAAGUAAGGUAGAUAAAAUGAUUAACUUUUUUCAAUAUUUAGAUAAUUAACAUGUGUCAUGUAACUAUGAGUGAAUGAAUGAAAUUUUUGAAGUACGAAUCCAUUUACAAGUUACGACUUGUCUUGUUUCUCAUUUUACUUAAUUUUCAUAAAAUUGACUCAUGAUCAAUUAUGAGCGAAGAGUUUGUUGGUCUUCCAUUUAUUGUAAUCAGAUGAGUGUGAUUUAAUUAUUUUUUCCUUUUGCUUGAUGUCCCGAAAAUUAUGAAUGCUUUUGUAGGAUGCAGAAGAUUAAAAAUUUUAAUGCAUAUCUAUAGUCAAAACUGAGGAAACAGAACAUUAUUGCUUCUAUAAAUAGGUCAUUUCAGCUUAAAACUUGUUACUUGUAUUUUACAUUUUUGUUUUUUUAACUUUUUCUUCCAUUUUCCCAAACACCACCAAUCCUUGAUUCUUUUCCUAGAGUAUUAGCUGUCGAUUGUUACAAACAUAGACAUACUGUUUGUCUAAUUACUAUCAAGAAACAACAUACUCUAUCCUGGAGUCUCUUCGUUUAUUUAAUAUUUAGGUUUAUUAAUAUACUACAUUAUUAAUUAAAUUAAUUAAUAAUUUAAAUUAAUUAAAUAAUAAAAGUUAAAUGAUUAUAUUUAAAAUCCAAGUAGUAUUUUAAUGUAAUGAAACCUAAAUCCCACCUCUAUACCACAUUUGUUAUACAAUGUAAUGCAACUAUAAAUUAUAAUUAUAUGAAAAUAAUAUUUUAAUACAAUAUAAUACAAGUAUAAUAGUAUUACAAGUGUAAAGGCUGUAAUAUUAAUUAGCCUGUAUAAUAUUAUGCCGUGCUGGCAAGUGUGCUAUAACAGAUUGUCGAGCUGGCACCAGUUAUUUUAAACUAAUAUUAGUAAUUAGUCUAGAGUGUUCUGAUUUAUUCUAUAAAUAGCCCAUUUAAGCUUUUUUCUCUAUUCCUUUUUCUUUCACUUUCUCUUCCGUUUUCCCGACCCUCAAACACCGUCAAUCCUUGAUUUGAACUGCUGUUUGUUUGUCUAAUUACUUUCAAGAACAAUACCCUCCAUCCCGCGGUCUCUUCGUUUAUUGACUUGUGAAUAUCAAUAAAUUUUUAUUACAUUCAAGAUAAGGACUGACCAAAUUAUUAAAAUGUGAUGCCACGUGUGUGAGUAAUUGGAUUGGACUGACCAAUACUUUGACGUUCAUAUUGGUUUAGGACCAUUCAUAAUUAUGACUUAAAUAGUUUCCAUUAAUAUCGAUUUUUCUAGAUUCUAAUUUCUAAAUGGUUAGAAGUUUCAGCCACUUAAAGCAAAGGAAUAAUCGCCCUUCUUGCACGGAAGCACGGAUAUUCCAGGAUUAAAAUCCUAGCCUAACUCCAACGCCAGGGAUUGGCAUCUAUUCCUAAGACAAAUUAACUAAUUACAACCGCUUAAUAAUAAUAAUAAUAUAUUAUUGUUGAGAUGAUGCGCUGGCAAAUCAUACAGGUGUACGUCCUAACCAAUAUGCUACGUUUCCCCACAUUAUAUAUUGUUUGAGGGAAAUGCUUCGAUGAGACCAGAAGUGAUGAGCAGAUAUUUGGUGGCAGAGUUCUGCGAACAGGUGCGUCCUGUAAGAGCCUGGUAGCAGGGGAACAGGAGCAGGAAUAUUCUGCUCGUCCAAGAACAUGCCAUUCACGAGGACGAACUCCUGUUAGAGGCAUGAGGCCAUUCCUGCUAGGGGUCGAGGCAAGGAGGCCCGGUCAACGACAGUUGGUAAGGCGUGCAUUCCUCCCCGAGAAUCAAGGCGCGAAGUCCAUCUCCAUUUGCCCACAAUGGCGAUAAUGGGGCAUCCACAUCCGAGAGUGGGGAGAAUAACGGGCGUGGACUACAGAAGACUGGGAUUCAGAGGAAGCCUAUAAAAAGGUAGCCAACGAAGGUAAAAGGGUUGGACUUUUUGCUAUUAGAACUAAGAAAAGAAAACUCUAAGAACUGAGAUUGAAAAGACACCAUAGGAUUCGUGGCAAACAUUCCCAGAACCUUCAUAUCUGACUUGAGCGUCAGAUGGUUUACGCCGGGAAAACAACCGGCGUACUCUGACCUGCUUCUGUGUACGCAGGAACUUUUGGAGAAGAAACCUUACGAGGAGAGAUCCUGGUCGUGGUAGAGUUGAUCGAGCCGAGUUCCUGGUCUUGGUAGAGAAGGCAACCAGAAUCUCGCAUCAACAUUUUGGCGCCGUCUGUGGGGAGCUGAGAAAAAAGCUUCUGCUGAUAGCAAGAAGAGGAGUGAAGCAAGUGAAAAGCAAUGGAGACAGGAGGAAGUAGUGCACAAGGGGGUGAUAUAAGGCUUAAUGAUUCCGUGACGUUGAGGGAGAUAGCCAGUGAAGCGCGGGAAAAAGCCAUGUUCGACCGGAUGGAACGGAUGGAAAAGCAAAUGGAGACCCUGACAACCAUCCUGCAUGAGUUGCGGAGUGAACGAAGAGUAACCCAGGAGGAAAGGGUGAGAAGUGGUGGAGUGGCACCAGGUCCCGAUAGUACGAGGAGAAGUCGAACCACCGUGAGAUUUGGUGGUGAGAGAGGUAACAUACCUCUGCGGGGAGAAUUUCAUAGAGAGGAAGAGCAAUCCCCGGCGAGACAGAUUUUUGAGGAGGACGACGGGGUGGCGAAUGCAGAGGAAACAGAGUUGAGGCAACACUUGCAUGAUUUAGAGCAAGAGCGGGAUCAAGUUGCAGCACGUGACCCUGGUCGUGCAGUGCAGCUGGAGGAGGAAGUGCGCAGGCUAGCGCAGAUAAUUGACGACAUGCAAGGAAGGAGUAGAGCUCCUGGUUGGAGGAUAAUGCUGGACGGAGAAUCACCGCUCGCAGCAGAGAUCAUGAGGGCAGUUAUUCCGAGAGAUUUCCGCCUCCCAGAUCUUAGAUAUUCGGGACGAACUGAUCCGCUGGUGCACAUAGAGCGCUUCAAUGACAUAACUGGGGUACAAGGAUUAUCUCAAUCCCAAAGGUGCAGGGUGUUCCCACUAUCCCUUGAGGGACGUGCACGAGAGUGGUACAUGAAACUUCCUCGGGGGAGCAUUAAAACCUUCGAGCAGAUGUGCCAGGAAUUUGCAGAGCAGUUUCGUGGGGCAAUGGCACCAGAAGAUGACAUGAUGGAGUUGAAAAGCAUGAAGCAGAGGGAACAAGAAACACUUCGGGAAUUCAUCAAGAGGUUUCACCGUGCUGUCCUUGAUUUGGGAGCCUUCAACCAUCCUCAAGCAUUAAGGGGACUGAAAGAAGGGGUGAAGAUAGGAAGACUAUGGUACAAUUUGAGAAGCCCAGUUAUUCAGACGUAUACAGCCGCAUACGAGCAGGCUAAGAAGGACAUUGAGAUUGAAGAGGAAAAGACAGCACGAAUCAAGACAGACCAGUUAGAAGGGUUGGGGAAGAAAGAAAAGAAAGCAUUGCCAGGGAAUGGGCCGAUCAGGAGGAGGGACCACUAGGCCUCAGGUAGUGGAGCAGGAGGUCGGGUAACUACUUACCAGCCUCAUCAGAGGCCACCAUAAUAUCAGCGCAGCAGGGUGCAACCUCCUCGUUCCCCAGCUAGGGAACUUUGGAGAAGGCAUGACUCGGCAUAUGGUGGUCUUCAUCAACACUCCCACGGUAGUAGAGUGGGCAGACCAGAAGUGCUGCCACCGCCUCCAACUCAGAACGGAGCAAACAGAGAAAGGGCAGUGCACCUGAUCGACCAGAACCAAGACUAUGGGCGGUAUACUUCCUUGAAGAUGUCCCUGGACGAGGUGUACGAGGCCAUAAAGGAUCGAGGGUUGCUAUACCUCCUUGCCCCAAUAACAAAGCUACCCAGCAGGAGGGAUAAGGGACGCUAUUGUAAGUUCCAUGGCACUCAUGGCCACACCACAGUAGAUUGCAGGGAUCUCAAGACCCAGGUUGAAGAUUUGGUGAGAAAUCGGUACCUGCACGAGUUUAUAGAUGGGACCUUCCCAAUGGUAGCCUCGACAAGCGAAAGGGAGCAGAGUGACAGAAACUUGAGGCGCGAGCCGCCUGCAGUAAGGGUGAUAGCUGGGGGCCCAACAUUGGCUGGAGAUUCCAACAGGUCGAGGAAGAAUUAUGCUAGAUACGCCAUGACUAGCAAAGAUGUGUUCUUCAACACCCCAGCAGCCAAACGUGCAAGAGUCAGGCAAGUGCCAAUCAUGUGGACAGAUGAGGAUGAAGAAGGGAUUCUAUACCCCCACGAGGAUGCUUUGGUCAUCAAGGCCACUGUUGCCAGCAAGAAGUUUGACAGGAUACUGGUUGACAUAGGGAGCUCAGUUGAUGUGUUGUUUAAGUCAACCCUUGAGGAGAUGGGAAUAGCAGACCUGAAGUUGGAUUACACCAAUACCUCAUUGAAGGGGUUUGGAGGAGGAAAGUUGGUCCCUCUAGGCGUAGUCGAGCUGCCUAUCACGAUUGGGAGCUCCCCGACAGAAAGGACAAUGAUACUGGACUUUGUGGUAGUGGAUGAGGAAGGUCCUUACCAGAUGAUCCUAGGCCGGCCAUUUCUGAGGAUGAGCAAAGCGGUGCUGUCCAACCAUUAUCUAGCUCUCAAGUACCGGGUGAAUGGGGUAGUUGGACUGGUACGAGGAGACCAGAGGAUCGCAAGAAGCUGCUACUCCUCGGCAACAAGGGAAGCAAUGCAGAUAACAUCGCUUGAUACCCGAGUGGAAAACAAGAAUGGCAGACAAGAACCUGUGGAGGAUCUAGAGACAGUAAGCCUGGGACUAGAGAAUCCGGGAAAGACGAUCAGAAUCGGGUCGAAGCUUAAGGAAGAGCAAAAGCAGGAGUUGGUGAAAUGCUUACAGGCUCAUGCAGAUGUGUUUGCUUGGACACAUGAAGACAUGCCAGGGAUUAAUCCUGAGGUAGCAUGUCAUAAGCUGGCAAUAAAGAAAGGUGCUCGGGCAGUAAGGCAGAAGAGGAGGUGCUUUAACCAGGAGAGGUAUGAGGCUAUAAAUGGCGAGGUGGAAAAGCUCUUGAGAGCAGGAUUCAUUCGAGAAGUCAAUUAUCCCGAGUGGAUUUCGAAUGUGGUGUUGGUAAAGAAGGCAAAUGGCAAGUGGAGGAUGUGUGUGGAUUUUACAGAUCUCAAUAAAGCAUGCCCGAAAGACAGCUUCCCUUUGCCAAAAAUCGACCAGCUAGUAGAUUCAACAGCUGGGCACGGCCUGCUUAGCUUCAUGGACGCGUUCUCGGGAUAUAACCAAAUCCCCAUGUACGAGCAGGAUGAGGAGAGCACUGCUUUUAUCACUAACCAGGGUUUAUUCUGUUACAGGGUAAUGCCAUUUGGUCUCAAAAAUGCUGGGGCCACCUAUCAGAGGCUGGUGAAUAAAGUCUUUAAGCCGUUGAUCGGGAAAACCAUGGAGGUGUACGUGGAUGACAUGAUCACCAAGUCCAAAAUCCCGAAGGAACAUGUCGGACACCUCGAGGAGACAUUCGGGCUUUUGAGGAAGUAUAAAAUGAAGCUUAACCCGGAGAAGUGUGCUUUUGGGGUCAAGUCAGGGAAAUUCCUUGGAUUCAUUGUGAGCCAUAGGGGAAUUGAGGCAAAUCCCGAGAAGAUCCAGGCGAUCGUGCAGAUGAGGUCUCCUCAUAGCCUAAAGGAGAUGCAGAGCCUCACGGGGAGGUUGGCGACAUUGAGCAGAUUCAUAUCUAAGGCUACAGGUAAGUGUCAGCCGUUCUUUCAAGUGAUAAGGAGGGGAAAGAAAAUAGAAUGGACUCCAGAAUGCGAGGAAGCCUUCUAGAACUUGAAGCAAUACUUGCAGCAAGCACUUCUGCUGUCCACACCGAGGGUUGGGGACAAGUUAUUUCUGUAUUUGGCGGUAUCAGAUCGGGCCACAAGUUCUGUUCUGGUGAGAGAGGAAGAAAGGGUUCAAUAUCCGAUAUAUUACACUAGCAAGGCCCUGCUCGACGCUGAGACCAGAUACCCACCGUUGGAAAAAUGGGCACUUGCCCUUGUGGUUGCUGCUCGGAAGCUGAGACCAUACUUCCAAGCAUUCCCAGUCUCGGUAAUAACAAACCAGCCAUUGCGUCAAACUCUGCACAAGCCAGACGCCUCUGGUCGGCUCGUCAAGUGGGCUGUAGAGCUGAGCGAGUUCGACAUAGACUACAAACCCCGAGCAGCGAUAAAGGCUCAGGCAAUGGCCGAUUUCGUAGCAGAAUUCACAGAGCCCGAAGUAUGUUUGGACCAACGAGAGGUAGCUACAGACAGUGGCGAAGCCCAAGUAUGGCAAAUGUUUGUAGAUGGGUCAUCAGGGGAGCAGGGAUUGUCUUGGAAGGACCGGAGGGGGAGCAGAUCUCUUAUGCUGUAAAGUUAGAAUUCGCAGCCACAAAUAACCAGGCAGAGUAUGAAGCCUUGAUAGCAGGUUUGGAAUUGGCUAAGGCCGUGAAAGCAGACAGAGUGAAGAUCAGAACUGAUUCCCAGCUGGUUGCAAAUCAUGUCAGUGAAAGAUUUCAACCAAGAGAGGAGAAGAUGGAGCAGUACCUGAAGAUAGUCAGGCAGAUGAUGGGGAAAUUUGAAGCAGUGGAGGUGGUACAAAUCCCCAAGGAGCAGAAUAGUCAAGCAGAUAUUUGGCCAGGAUGGCAGCGGUAGCAGACCCAAAAAUGCCAAAGUCGAUCCCUCUGGAGGUGAAGUCCAGCCCGAGCAUCGAACAGAAUUUGGGGGUGCUACGGAUAGAACAAAAAUGCUCGUGGAUGGACCCAAUAAUUUCGUACCUUAGAGACGGGGUAUUACCACCAGAUAAACUGCGAGCUCGGAAGGUUAGAGCCCAGGCCUCGAGAUACACGAUGAUUGAUGGGGUACUGUAUCGGCGAGGAUAUACACUACCUUUCCUUCGAUGUUUGGAUGAGGACGACGCGGAUUACGUACUAAGAGAAGUACAUGAAGGGAUUUGCGGAAAUCAUUCUGGUGGGAGGUCCCUGGCCCACAAGGUUCUAAGACAGGGAUAUUUCUGGCCAACAAUGCACCAGGAUGCGCAAGGGAAGACCAGGAGCUGUGUAAGCUGCCAGAGUUUUGCAAGUUUCUCCAACCAACCACCAGAGAAGCUCACCUCUAUGGCCUCCCCAUGGCCAUUUGCUCAAUGGGGAAUUGAUCUGAUCGGCCCGUUGCCAAAGGGACGAGGAGCAGCAACGCAUGCAAUAGUUGCUAUAGACUACUUCACGAAGUGGAUAGAGGUAGAAGCCCUUAGCAGGAUCACAGAGAAGAAAACAACAGACUUUGUGUGGAGAAACCUGGUUUGUCGAUACGGGAUCCCUUAUGCCUUGAUAACGGAUAAUGGUAGGCAGUUCGAUAAUCACAGCUUCAGGGAUUUCUGCUAGAACCUCGGGAUAGAGUUGAAGUAUUGCUCGCCGGCUCACCCUCAAUCUAACGAACAAGUAGAAGCAACCAACAAGACAAUCAAGAGGCUUUUGAAAACCAGGCUUGGAGCAAAGAAGGGUGCUUGGGUUGAUGAGCUAUCAGGCGUACUAUGGGCAUACAGGACAACCCAUAAGACAGCAACGGGGGAGACACCGUUCGCCUUGGCUUUCGGACAUGAAGCGGUCAUACCAGCUGAGAUAGGAACCACCACAUACCGAACAGAUCAUUUCAACGAGCAGGACAACGACGAGCAGAUGUGUUUGAAUUUGGACUUGCUAACGGAAAAAAUGGAGCAAGCAACCGAGCGAUAAGUCAUUUACCAGCAGAGGGUUGCCCGAUAUUAUAACCAGAAGGUGAAUGUACGGCAGUUCAAGGUCAGAGAUUGGGUGUUAAAGAGAGUGAAUCAGAACACCAAAGACUCAACUCAAGGAGUGCUCGGACCGAAUUGGGAGGGGCCAUACAGGGUCAAGCAGCUAGUUGGACCAGGAGCUUACAAGUUGGUUCGCAUAGAUGGCCACGAGGUGAAGCGCCCAUGGAACGCAGCACAUCUCAAGAAAUAUUUCCAGUAAGAGUCGUUCAUAUUUUCAAGUUCUUUCUGUUCGUGUUCGUUGUUAUUUAUUUUAUGUCAAAACGAUCUCAUGUAAGCCGAAUUCAACAAUAAAGGGAUCAAUGAGGAAUUUCAGUCAGCUAUACUGUCAUCGAAGAAUUUUCUAAGGCAUGCAAAGGCUCAUCAAGUCUCAAAGCCUGUUUUAUGGCGAGACAGAAGCCAAGCGUGCCAGGGUUUGCUCGACCGCGCGAAGGUGAGCAGAACCCCCAAACAUCGAAAUAUUUUCUAAGGCAUGCAAAGGCUCACAAAGUCUCAAAGCCUGUUUAUGGCGAGACCAGAAGCAAGCGUGCCAGGAUCUGCUCGACCGCGCGAAGGCGAGCAGAAUCCCAAGCAUUGAAGAAUUUUCUAAGGCAUGCAAAGGCUCAUCAAGUCUCAAAGCCUGUCUAUGGCGAGACAGAAGCCAAGCGUGCCAGGGUCUGCUCGACCGCGCGAAGGUGAGCAGAACCCCCAAACAUCGAAAUAUUUUCUAAGGCAUGCAAAGGCUCACCAAGUCUCAAAGCCUGUUUAUGGCGAGACCAGAAGCAAGCGUGCCAGGAUCUGCUCGACCGCGCGAAGGCAAGCAGAAUCCCAAGCAUUGAAGAAUUUUCUAAGGCAUGCAAAAGGCUCACUAAGUCUCAAAGCCUGUCUAUGGCGAGACCGGAAGCCAAGCAUGCCACGAUUUGCUCGAUCGAGCAAAGGCGAGCAAAAUCCCAAGUCAUGUAGAAAGACCAUAUUCUAAGCCAAAGCCUGCUCGACCAAGUGAAGGCGAGCAAACCUUCAAAUGGAAAAAUAACUUGUAAAUACAAACGCAAGAAAGUAAUCAAAAACAGUUUUUAUUAAUUUAUCAAUAACCAACAAAGUUGUUCAUUACAACGCAAGAAAUAUGUUCAAGAAGAUGGCGGAUCAGUAAGCCGAGCAGCUUCGGUUGGCUGGACCUCCUCAGGUGCAGGGGGGUAUCACCAGUUGCGUCCGGUGGGGUGCUCGCCUCGCCAACAUCAGCAGGGAUUGUACGAGGAGGAGAGUUUUCCUCCUCAAUCACGAUUGGCUCCACCCCUUCGGCAUCUUCCUUGGCCGCCUCCUCGUCUAUAUGUUGAGCAACACCAGCUGCUAGGUCAUCCAUCUUCAUAUCAGGAUACUGCUUCCCGAGGACGGCCAUGAUGUAACGAUAGGAAUGCCGAAGUCCCUGGUCGUAUUGAUUGUCGGCCUCCUUCUCCAAGUUCUCGACCUGAACUCGGUGGGAAUCGCGGAGAGAUUCGAGCUGAGCCUCAUACAUAGCCUUCUGCCUUUGAAGAUCCUCCUUGACCUUGGUCAACUCCUCCUCGAGGGUAAUGGCUUUUGCUUGAGCAAGAGAUUCUUGCUCUAUCAGCUUCAGGUUCUCGACAUUCAGCUCCCCUGCUUUCUUCUCGGCAUGGUCAGCUCUGGUCAUCGCCGACUGAAUGUCCUCCUUCAUCUUCCUGUCAUAACGGCCAACCUUGGCCUUAUAGUAAGUGGUCAUGCAGUUGAGAUGGAAAGCGCUAUACUGCAUGGCUCCUACCAGCUCGCCCAGGGUGUAGCCAUCAAAGUCCUCCAGGUCCUUCUUGCUCACGAGUUUAGAUAACUCAUUGAGAUAGAGGACCAAGUGUUCUGCUCGGUUGUCAGGUAAGCGAGACCGAGGCCGACAGGAGGAGAAGAGGACGCAGGAUCUAUGGCUGCUCCACUAGUUUCCCCGACUUUGGCAGGAGCAGAAGGUAAAGUCUUCAAGGGAGAGACCUGCUGUACGAUGUUGGCCCGCUUUGCAGUAGGGGCGUCCUUGUUCUGGUCCGUCUUCGUGGUUUGAGGUCGAGAACGUUUCCUGUUCAGAGCCCCAAUCACAGCGUCCUCCAUCUUAUGGCCAGGGAGUAUCAAGCGAGACUCGAGCAAGUUGUAAGUAGUUAUCAGUUCUCGGCUCGAGCAGGAAUUGACUAGUACAGCCUCAACCCGUUUGAGCUGGUCAGGUUUGAGCGGGAAGUGAACACCCCACGAACCUGCAAUACAAACAGACACUUGGUUAGAGACAAACCAAUAAAGCGAGAACAAUUAUGGAUACAAGACAUCUAAAGCGAGCAGGCAACCUGGGACCGUGAAACGGGAUGGGACACGAUAAUCCUUCCCGUCCAUUUGUGCAACCUGACCCCAAGGACCCCCAGCAAAAAAGAAUUUUCUCUUCCAAGCCCCACCACCACCAGUUGGAAGAUCAGUUAUGGGUUUCAUGCUCUUGGUGCUAGAUUGGAAGUAGUACCAGCCGGCAUCUUUGGGGCUGCUCUUUAGUUGGUACAGAUGCUUAGUCAUCUGAAGUACAUGUUUUUAGGAGAUGAUGAGACACUUCCGGUGAUCAUCUCUUCAAAGCUUAGUACUUUAGAGGAAGAGAAACUUAUUAGAGUGCUAAAGGAUUACAAAAAGGCUAUUGGGUGGACAAUUGCAGAUAUUAAAGGGAUAAGUCCGUCCACGUGCAUGCAUAGAAUACUACUGGAGGAAGAUGCCAAACCUUCAAUUCAAGCUCAAUGCCGUUUGAAUCCACUCAUGAUGGAAGUAGUGAAGAAAGAAAUUCUAAAACUUCUUGAUGCAGGUAUAAUCUAUCCAAUUUCGGAUAGUAAAUGGGUAAGUCCGGUACAAGUGGUACCGAAGAAAACUGGUAUAACAAUUGUUGAGAAUUCUUAUGGUGAGUUAGUACCUACCCGAGUUCAGAAUGGGUGGAGGGUUUGUAUUGAUUUUAGAAAGCUUAAUUCACUCACUAGGAAUGAUCAUUUUCCUAUUCCUUUUAUUGAUCAGAUGCUCGAUAGGUUGGCAAGAAAAUCUCACUUGUGUUGUCUUGAUGGCUAUUCAGGUUUUCAUCAGAUACCAGUUGCGCCCGAGGAUCAGGAGAAGACUACCUUCACAUGUCCUUUUGGAACCUUUGUGUACCGACGUAUGCCAUUUGGUCUUUGUAAUGCUCCCGCCACUUUUCAGAGGUGCAUGGUCAGUAUUUUUUCAGACUAUGUAGAAAACACUAUAGAGGUAUUUAUGGACGAUUUUACGGUCUAUGCUGAUUCUUUCGAUGAUUGUCUCUAUAAUCUGAAGAAAGUGCUUGAAAGAUGCAUUGAAACAAACCUUGUCUUAAAUUAUGAAAAAUGUCAUUUUAUGGUAGAUCAAGGCAUUAUUUUGGGUCAUGUAGUCUCUGCUAGAGGAAUUGAGGUAGAUAAAGCUAAAAUAGAUGUUAUUAAAUCUUUACCUUAUCCCACAUGUGUGCGGGAAGUUCGUUCUUUCCUUGGUCAUGCAGGUUUCUAUAGACGAUUUAUCAAGGAUUUUUCGAAGAUAGCUCAGCCUUUAUGCAAGCUUCUUCAGAAAGAUGUGACAUUUGAUUUUAAUGAAGCAUGCAAGGUAGCAUUUGAUAAACUUAAGGAGUUAUUGACUUCAGCUCCAAUUAUACAGCCACCAAACUGGAGCCUCCCUUUUAAGAUAAUGUGCGACGCCAGUAAUUAUGCUGUUGGUGCUGUUCUCGGACAAAGGGUUGGAAAAGCUGCUCAUGUGAUAUAUUACGCAUCAAGGACACUUGAUAGUGCUUAGUACAAUUACUCAACAACGGAAAAAGAACUUUUAGCUAUUGUUUUUGCUUUAGAAAAAUUCCGUUCAUAUUUAUUGGGUACCAAAGUGAUUGUUUUUUCUGACCAUGCAGCUCUUAGAUAUUUGCUCGCCAAGAAGGAAGCGAAACUGAGACUUAUCCGCUGGAUCCUACUGCUUCAAGAAUUCAACUUGGAGAUCCGUGACAAGAAAGGAACAUAAAACUUAGUUGCAGACCACCUUAGUAGAUUGACCACGAGUGAAGAAGCAGCACUUUUGAAAGAUGAUUUUCCAGAUGAGCAUCUCUUUGUAACUCAAGGUAUGGUUCCUUGGUACGCUGACAAGGACACUACCUAGUGAUCUGACGAGGGCUCAAAAAGAUAAAAUUAAGAGCGAUGCUAAAUACUAUGUUUGGGAUGACCCUUACUUGUGGAAACAUUGCUCUGACCAAGUCAUCAGAAGGUGUGUAUCUGAGUUUGAAAUUCCUUCUAUUCUUCAAUUUUGUCACUCAUAUGCAUGUGGUGGUCAUUUUGGUCUCAAAAUGACAGCAUCCAAGGUGUUAGAAUGUGGUUUAUUUUGGCCUACUUUAUUUCGUGAUUCAUAUAUGUUUUGUAAGUCGUGUGAGAAUUGUCAAAAGACUGGUAAUUUAAGUCAUAGAAAUCAAAUGCCACUUACCCCUAUUCUUGUAUGUGAAAUAUUCGAUGUGUGGGGCAUUGGUUUUAUGGGACCUUUUCCCUAAUCUUUUGGCAAUGCUUACAUUCUUUUAGCAAUGGAUUACGUUUCUAAGUGGGUAGAGGCUAAGGCCACCCGGACUGACAAUGCUAAAGUUGUUGUAGAUUUUGUCAAGUCUAAUAUUUUUGCCAGGUUUGGUGUACCGAGAGCGAUGAUAAGUGAUAGAGGCACUCAUUUCUGUAAUCGAGUGGUGGAAGCUUUGUUCAAAAGAUAUCAUGUUACCCACCGAGUGUCUACCGCUUAUCAUCCACAGACAAGUGGACAAGCUGAGAUAUCAAACAGAGAAAUCAAGUCUAUUCUUGAAAAGACAGUUAGUCCAAAUCGAAAGGAUUGGAGUUUGCGAUUAGAUGAUGCAUUAUGGGCGUAUCGCACCGCUUACAAAACUCCCAUAGGUAUGUCUCCUUAUCGUUUGGUAUUUGGUAAGCCUUGCCAUUUACCUGUAGAACUUAAGCACAGAGCAUACUGGGCGGUUAAGCAAUGCAAUAUGCGGAUGGAUGAAGCGGGAAAGCAGAGGAAGUUGCAGCUGCAAGAGUUGGAGGAGAUUAGAAAUGAAUCCUACGAGAGUUCGUGAUUUUACAAGGAAAAGACGAAGACAUUUCAUGACAGAAUGAUUUUCAGAAAGGAGUUAUCUGUUGGUCAAAACGUUCUUCUUUUUCAUUCUAAACUUAAACUUUUUCCUUGUAAAUUACGUUCUCGUUGGGUAGGACCUUUUAUUGUUACUAAUGUUUUUCCUCAUGGUGCAGUUGAGAUUCGGAGUCCAACCUCUGAUAAAGCCUUUAAGGUAAAUGGUCAUCGUUUAAAACCUUUUUAUGAAGGUUUUUCGGUGAAUAUUGUAGAGGAAAUGGCUCUCGAGAGUCCUAUUUAUGGAGAUUGAUGCAUAAAUGUGUCUAGCCAAAGACAUAAAACAAAAGCGCUUUUUGGGAGGCAACCCAAAUGAUUUGUUUAUUUUGGUUUUUGUUUUAUCUUCUUUUAGUUUUGAUUCAGAUUUUUUUUAAAAUAAUGUGUUUGCUUAUUUUGGCCAGAAGAAAAUUUUUGAUAAGGCGUGCCCACGUUUUAACUAAUAAGUACUUCUGUAAUUUUUAAAGUAAAAUAGUUUUAAGGCGUGCCCACGUACUUAUUAGAAAAGUACUUCUGAAAUUUUUAGUUCUCAAAGUGAAAAAAAAAAAAAUUAAUGUGUUUGCUUAUUUUGGUCAGAAGAAAAUUUUUGAUAAGGCGUGCCCACGUCAUAACUAAUAAGUACUUCUGUGAUUUUUAAAGUAAAAUGGUUUAAAGGCGUGUCCACGUGCUUAUUAGAAAAGUACUUCUGAAAUUUUUAGAGUCUCAAAGUGAUUCAUUAAAAAAAUAUAUAUUUUUUAAAAAAAAUAAUUUUAUUUUAUUUUUUAAAAAACAAAAAAUGAAAAAAAGAGCUUUUCUUUUGUUCUUCUUUUAUAUAUUUAUUUAUUUAUUUAUAAUAAAAAAAUCAUCAUUGUUCAAAAAAAAAAAAUUUACUGUUCACAAAAUCCCUAAUUUUCCAGAUCUUGUUUUCUUCUCCAGCCGCUUGCAGCACACCAGCAGCAAACCAGCCCGCCGGAAAAUGCAAGCCCCGCAACGCAGCGCGAACCAGCAACGCAAACCACCAGAGCGCAACGCAAGCCCCCGCGCGCGCAGCACCAACAGCCCACGAAGCAGCCGCAGCAACACGAAGCAUCUCUCACGCACAACAGCCCCGCAGCGCAACGAACCAGCAACGCGAACCAGCUCUCGCGUGCAACAGUCCCGCAGCAACAAGCCGCCCCGCGCGCGCAACACAGCCACGCACCAGCAUCCCGCACGCAACCAGCAGUGCGCAACCAGCCCCAAGCUGCGCAGCAAGCUCAAGCCGAGCAGCAAUGCAACGCAACUAGCCUACGCCCUGUAUUCCAGCCGGGUAAAUUGAAAUCCGUGAGUGCAAUUAUUGUAACAAUGCCAAAGAGGAAAGCAUCUACUUCCAAGUCAUCGAAAAAGACACCCGUCGCAAAGAAAUCUAAGAUUGCCGCUCCCACUACGGUUCCAUGGAACACAAUUUCAUAUUCACGCCAAGCCGUGAGACAAAGAUCGAAACAUGGAAAAGGCAUGAGUGUUUUGCCACUUACGGAAUCCAAUCUCGGAGGGUGCCUCGCAUUCGCGACUCAACAAGAGAAAGAGAGGUACAAAGAUAUUUCCACGCGCAAAAUACUUCCAGCUAAGUAUAUUCAUUACCCGACUCUUGAAAAAUUGAAUGUUAAGGAUAAUUUUGAUUCUUUGAUAGAUAAGAUUGGGUUGCGUAAAUUUUUUGAUGUUGAUUGUUUGGGUUAUGUUGAGUUGAUUAGGGAGUUUUAUGCUACUUUUCAAUUUAAUAUGCCGAAUGAUUUUACUUUGCAUACCCUGGAUGUCAUUAAGUUUAGGUUAAUGGGAUGAAAUUUUUCACUCUAUCACGGAUUUUAACUAGCUUUAGGAUUCAUUGAUGAUGAUUAUUCUUCUAGUGAUGCAUAUUUAGGAACAACUUGUGACUUUAGCGAAAAUUUUGAGCCUUAUGGUCUUUGGCGUAAUUUAUCUGUUGAUCACAAUGCCUAUGACCCGAGCAAAUCAAAGAGUUCUUUCUAACGUGAUCCUGUUUUGAAAUGUGUGCAUCGAUUCUUAGCAUAUAAUUUUUUAGGCAAGAAAGAUCACUCAUGAGUUUUCUCUAAAACUGAAUUUUAUUUUAUCUGGUGCAUGUUAAAUGAUGUGAGGCCUAAUUUAGGUUUUUGGUUAGCGGAUCAAUUUCAAAGUGUGCUUAAACGGUAUAGGACUUUAUUUCUUGGUCCAUACAUUACUCUGUUAGCUAUAAACCUAUGUGUGCUUGAUCCCAAUAAUAAUGAUUUGCAUCCUGCUUGCAAAAAGGAAUUUUUUGAUAUGUCUGUGUUUGAAAGAACAGGUGUGGUCGAAUUCAAGGAGGGGAGAUUUCAAUUUACUGAACCAGGACCCACUCAAAUUCCAAAGAAGCUUUAUGCUAGGAGUGCUGCUACCUCUAAUGACGAGUUUGACGACGACACUGCUGCCCCGCCAACUAUUCCUUCUACAUCCGCACCACCUUUGAGCAUUCAGUUAGAGAAAAUGGAGCACAAGCUGAACAAGAUGGAGCAUAAUUUGGCCGCAUACUUCGAGAGUGUGGGAUUUACCCCACCAUUUCCGCCAAGCCCAUAAACGUUAUGUGGAUCAAAGCUCACAAUUCAGGGAAGUUUCUUUUUGCCUUUAAUCUUUUAUCCUUACGCUUUAAUUUUUAUGUGAGCUUUGAUUAUCUUACAUUAGGGACAAUGUAAGUUCUUGGUGUGGGGGAGGGAUUUUUGCAUUAUUGAUGUCUAGAAGUAGUAUUUUCACUCUACUCAUCCUUAAAUGAUUUUGGAGUUAGUAUGCUUCAUAUAUUAUUAUUUUUUUUCUUUUCUUUUCUUUCUCACUACUCUUUUCCCAUCUAUCUCAAAUUAUUUACAUCUAUUUUUAUUCUAUCAUGCUCUUUCAUCACUCACAUUUUAUCUUUCACUUUUCAUAUUACUACAUACAUCUUUCUCACUUCUUAUCAUUUUUACAUUUUUUUUUAUAUAUCACUCAUACCUUCUUCUCAUUCUACACCACUAUUGAUGGUUGAUUCAUUUGAAGAGUGUACAUGAUUUGAUGGCAAAUUUACCAACUUUGUGAGGAUUUGAGCCUAUGAGCAACCACUUUGCUCUAAUAUUUUUGUUAUGUGAAUAUCAAUCUUAGUUUGUUUAUUCUAGAACUUGCUUUGUUAUGCAUGUUGAAGCCGCAUUACGGGAUUUUAUGCAUUAAAAUGAUAAGGGCAAACCCUUUUCCAUUUUUCUAUUCUCGCAUUUUUUUUUUCUCUACCCGAAGACCUUUAUUUGCUAUCUUUGUUUGAGCCUUAACCAUUACCCAUCUAAUUUUCUCCGUCUACUUAACCAUUUUUCUUCUUUUUUAGCCUCAAUUUAAGGAGAUUUUUGGACUCAUUGUGUGGAUAUAUUUUGUUGCUUUUUCUACCUUGUAAUAAAGUUUCUCAAUUAGAUCAACAAGCAUUAUGCUUGAAUUAAAUUGUGCAAGGUUCGUUUCUUUUGUUUGAUUCAAAAACAACAAAAAAAAGAAAAAAAAUUGAAAAAAAAAGAGAAAAAAAAUGUUUACAUUCUUGGUGACUUGAGUAGAAAUAAGCAUUUUGAUAUCAUAAGUUCAUUCAAUGAGUUCAUUCUUCUCAUUUUGAUCUCUUUUUCUUUCGUAAACCUUUCUUUUUCAUUCAACCUAUUUAACCCCAUUACAACCCUUUUAAGACCCUUAGAUUUUUGCAUUUUAUUCAUGUUUUGUGGAUUGAGAUGUGAUAUAUGAGCAAGCUUAUGGUAAUAGCAUUCUUUGAUUUGAUUUGAGUGAAUAAAUGACACCUUAAACACUUUGAGUGCAUGGAGUGAAGUUAUUGAGAGGGCUAUUAAAUCUUGUUGCACUUGAAUUUUGAAUGGAUCUUCUUGGUGGUUGAAUGUUCUUAUUCUAUCUUAUGAAAUUCUAUGCUUUAAAAUCCUUGUCUCUCGAAUGUUGAUCGACUUAAUUUCUUGAGGUAUGCUUGCUUAAAAUUGUUUUUGGAUGAGUUGAGAUGAGAAUUGAGUGGAGAUUUGAGAUUAAUCUUGAGUUAUAUGCUUGAGGACAAGCAUCAUCUUGGUGUGGGGGAAUUUGUUAGAGUGCAAUUUAUGCACUAGUUUUGCAUUGUUUACUUCUUUUAAUAUCGAUGUUUUGCACUUAAUAAUAGUGAUUUACUUGUGUUUUACUUUUGUAGGUGCAAUUCUAUUGAUUAGUGAUAAAAUUGAGCUACAAGAUGAUGUUUAAGGAUGAUUGUUCUCUUGGAGAAAUUAUGAGCGGCAGAAGAACUUUGUUGAUAAGGCGUGGGCGCAUGCUGUCAACUGUAAACCUGCAGUUUUUAGUUUAACGUGUUUUGUAUUUUUGGUUAUUUUUGUAAUUACGGAUUUAAUAUUUCAGAUAUUAGUAUUUUAUUUUAAAUAGAAUUCUAGAGGAGAAGAGAGAGAGAGUAUUUAAGGGAGUAAUCUAUUGUGAAAAAGGGGGGAUUUUGAUUGGAGAAAAAGAAAGAAACCCUAGAUCUAAUUUUUCUCUUCUCUCUAUAAAGAACUAAACUUAUUUUUCUAGUUGAAGGUUAAUGAAGCUUUGAUUCAUCACUACUGUGAGAUCUUUCUUAUGCUUUAAUUAUUUUAUUACUUUUUGGGUAUUUGUUUAUUCUCUGAAUUAGUUUCAUGAUUAUGUUUGUUAAUUAGGUAAUUGGCCACUAUUUAAUUAUCAACUUAAUCUAUUGUCAAUUAAAGGAUUCAUCGUAUGAAGAUUUUAAUGUUUGUGACAAAUAACAUAGCAGAGAGUUGUGUUGUGAGAAUAAACAAUCUAAUUUAAAUGAAUCAUCAUAUGUGUUGAUUAGGAUUUGGGUCUCUCUGGUUUUUCAGGCUGUCAAUUGAUUAAUUCCUAUGAUCGUAUCUAGGGUUGUCUAUUGAUUAGGGAAAUAACCAACGGUCGUACCUUGGUUAUCGACUAGUUAAGGAGAGAUUGGCUAUUAGAGGGUCUCAAUAGCUAUAACCGGUCUAUUCAUAAGUAAUAAUAAUCUAUAUUUGAAUCAAUGAUCAGUAGUCGAAUCAAGCUGAGUUAAUUCCUUCAACCAGAGCUUUCUUCAAUUUGAAUUACAACUUUAAUUUGCAUUCUUGUUAUUUUAAUUUGAUUUUUAUUAUUGUCAACAAUUCCCCCAUUUUAUGUUUUGCGUUUCAAAAGGAUUUAAAUAAUUACCAAUCUCUGUGGACACGACCCUGCUCAAUCACUAUACACAAUUUAUUUAGAGUAGGAAUUUAUUUUUGUUGGCUUCAACAACCAUCAGGCAUUCCCUUCUUGAAGAAAGAAUGCAAAGAGCCCAAGAAAGCACUAUCCAUUAGACACGUUAAGAAUUAUUUUGCUUUUCAUUAAAAAUGAUAAUAAUUAUAAUAAAUUAGAUUGAAUUAAUAAUAUUUGCAUGUGGUAUAUAAAUAAUCAGUUUAGUCACUAAUUAGUCACUGUCCGAUUAUCUUCUCUUUCAUCGACUUCGAAACUGGGACUUCUGAGUUGGAUUAAGAAUUGAAAAAAAUGUUGCAACCCAUAAAGCGCGUAAAAUUAAUUAAAGGGCGCGUAAACUAAUUCUUCUUCUUAAAAGAAAAGUUUUGCAGGGAGAUUGAAAAAAGGCUAAUUCGUAUUGAAGAUCAUAAAUGAGUAUCUGUCACAAAUAGAUCCUUCUGGGCAAAAAUAUUAUUUUAUCAUCUAUCACUAUAAGAAUGAGAUGAAAAUUGUCCUCAUUUAAAGUAUUGACAACAAUGUUAUACUCAAUAUAAUGUAUAAAGCACGCAUAAUUUAAUAAUUGGGGCUGCUAAUAUCUUCCACGUAAUUGGAAGCUCAAAGAGUUUCCGUAUUAGCCGAAUCUAAGCGAUAAGUGUUUCCAUGUGAGCCAUAAUUUGGGAAAAAGACCAAUUCAAGUUAAAGAUCAUGGAAAGAGAUCCUUCUGUCUUUGGCGUAAUGCUUGGGCAACGUAAAUUGACUUUACAUUAAAACAAAACAAAACAAACACUGUCAACAAGCAUUAAUGUCAUUUGAUGCAUGAAAGACAAUUAGUCCCAUUUUUUGUCCUGUUUACUUGACUUGGGCAAUUUACCGUCAACUUUUCUCAUCUACGUCAGGUAAUGUGGCUUUUAUUUGGAAUGAAGAAGCCAAUACUUGGACCGAGUGUAGCAUCACUGAUUUGUAUAUUUUUCAGGACUAAGUAAAUUAUCUCAAUUUAAAAAAAUAUAUAAUUACAAUUAUCGAUCGAACACCACUGAUUCCAACAAUUUAUCCAAAACUAUCUUUGAGUUUUAAGGAAUGUAACAUUUAUGAUAGAAUGGUCAAGUCUUUCAACUUUUUAGAUAUUUGAUAUAUGCCAUGUUCUAACUUACAAUGAGAAUAAAAUUAUAGUAUAAUUUUUUUAAAUUAGUGGAAUUAUUUUACGAUAAAACUAUCACAACAACAUUUAAAUAUAAAGUUAUUCUUUAAUUUUUCACUACUUUUAGUGAUAUUCUUAAACUCUUUUCUGAAUGGAGCAUGAAAGGACUACUUAUCUAGAUACGUUUUUUAUGCUUUCACUUCGCUUGAGCCUAGAACUUACAACUCGUAUUUUACGUUUCUCUUACUUUCUCUUCCAUUUUCCCGACUCCCAAACACCAUCAAUCCUUGAUGUUGUAGAGUAUUGGCUGUCUAGUUCUACAAACAUAAUAAAGAAAACAAGAGACAGCUGCCAUAUAUAUUCCAUAUUAAUUAGUCACCGUCCGAUUGUUUCCACUCCCACUGACUCUGUCGAUUCAUGCUCUGAUGAAGUGAAACGCUUAACGCACUAUUGUGAUGCGGAGGAGAGGAGGAAAAACACAAUUUUAUUAUUGCAAUCCUGACACGCGCAAAGAGCUUUCUUACUCGGCUCGGCGGCUAAUUCUUUAUAAUUUGUUAAAACUCAUUUAAUUGAUGAAUGUGACAUGAAGCUCUAUAAAUAGUUUAAUUUGUAAAAUUGUUAAAAUUUUAAAUUUCAAGUAAAGUAGAUAAAAUUAUUAACGUUUUUCAAUAUUUAGAUAAUUGAUAUACGUCAUUUACUGUGAGCGAAUGGCUGAAAUUUUUCAUAGAAAACACAAUGCUUGUAUUAAAAAUUUUAAGUGCGAAUCCAUUUAUUGUAAUCAGAUGAUGUGAUUUAAUUAUUUUUUCCUUUUGCUUGAUGUCCUGAAAAUUAUGAAUGCUUUGCAGGAUGUGGAAUAUUAAAAUUUUUAAUGCAUAUUCAUAUUGAAAACUGAGUAAACAUAACAUUAUUGCUUCUAUAAAUAGAUCAUUUCAACUUAAAACCUGUUACUUGUAUUUUACAUUUCUGUUCCUUAUCAUAAAGUUUUUCUCUGUUUUUUUUUUUUUUGGGUUUCACUUUUUCUUCCACUUUCCCGACCCACAAACACCACCAAUCCUUGAUUCUUUUCCUAGAGUAUUAGCCGUCUAUUGUUACAAACAUAGACAUACUGUUUGUCUAAUUACUAUUAAGAAACAACAUACUCUGUUCUGGGGUCUCUUCGUUUACUGACUUAUGUGACACGUUAAGAAUUAUUUUGCUUUUCAUUAAAAAUGAUAAUGAAAGAAUGCAAAGAGCCCAAGAAAGUACUAUCCAUUAGACACGUUAAGAAUUAUUUUGCUUUUCACUAAAAAUGAUAAUAAUUUUAAUAAAUUGGAUUGAAUUAAUAAUAUUUGCCUGUGUGAUAUAAAUAAUCGCUUUAGUGUCGCCCCAUCAUUAAUGAGUGACUGUCCGAUUGUCUUCUCUUUCAUUGACUUUGAAACUGUGACUUCUGAGUUGGAUUAAGAAUUGACAAAAACUGUGACUUCUGAGUUGGAGAUCAAUAAUUUUGUAAACAAGCCACCGUCUACGACCGUGGGUUGAAAGGAAAGAGGAUUAUGUUUUCAUUGUUUUGUACUUUGUUUCUGUUAAAGUAAGGUAAACAUCUUUCUUUUGCUUUGGCCUUUACUCUUGACUGUAUUUCAUGGUCAUAUUCAAUCUCAAUCUUCUGUAGGUUUGUGGCUGUUUUAUGAGUUACGAUUUUUUAUAGGGUUGCAUGUAGAUGAUACAUUUAUAUACAUUUUUUCUUUUUUCUUUUCUUCUUCGGUGAAGAUACUAAAAUUUAGUUUUUGUUAUCAUGUGAAAUGAAAAUAGUCCUCAUUUCAAGGAUUAAUGGGCCACUAAUUUCGUCUUCUUAAAAGAAAAUUUUUUGCUGCGAGGUAAUUGGAAGCUCGAAGAUUUCUAUAUUACAUAGCCAAACCUAAGUGAUAAGAAUUUCCGUAUGAGAUAUAAUUUGGAGAAAAAAAAAAACCAAUUCAAGUUAAAGAUAAAAAAAUCUGUGUUCCUUAAAAAACAUAAUUCAAGCCACACAAUUUUUCUUGUUUUAUUUGAAAAAAAGAAAAUUGUGUUCCUCACAAAAACACUUUAACAUUUGUUGUCUCAUAGAGGGAAAUGUCCUUCACUCUUUGACGUGUCCCUGGGGCAAUGUAAACAUUAAAACAUUGUCAUGUAGUUAAAACAUUGUCCACAAACAUUGUCAUGUAGUUAAGAAAAAUUUAAAUUUGACAAGUGCAAGAGAUUGGUGGGACUCAUUUGAUUCAAGAAAAACAAUCAGUCUCAUUUGAUACGCAAAGGGCUUUUUUACUCUGCAGCCAAUAUUUUGAUGAAUGUCACAUUACUGGUUUGUAUAAUUUUUCGGACUAAUAUAUUAUCUCAAUUUUAAAAAAAAAAUGCAAUUGCGAUUAUCAAACACGACUAAUCCCAACAAUUUAUCCAAAAAUUUGAGUGUCAAGAAAUGUAGUAUUUAUGAUAGCAUGGCUAGUUUUUUCAAUCAAACUUUUUAGAUAAAUGAUAAAUCAAUAUAUGACAUGUUACUAUCUUACUAUAGGAAGAAAAUUAUGGAAUAAUUUUUUGAAUUAAUAGAAUUAUUUUACGACAAAACUUUCACAAUCUAUUUUUAAAAAUAAACUUAUUCUUUAAAUUUCUCGUUACUACUCCUACUUGUCCUGUUAUACUACUUAAUGGCACUGGUGAAGCCUUGAAUUAUCAAACAAAAAGCAAAAACACUUCAACAUCUGUUCCACUGAGCACUGUUAAAAUCAUACGAUAAAAUGAGUACUUAUGUUAAAAAAAAAAAAAAGAAAAACAAUCAGUCUCAUUGCGUCCUCUUUCAUUGACAUAGGCAAUUUGCGGUCAACUUGUGGUACCCUUAUUGACACAUAAAGAUCUUUCUUACACUACGGCCAACACUUACUUUCAGGACUGGUAAAUUUUUCAAAUGUAACAGAAAAAAAUACAGAAAUAUAAUUUCAAUUUAUCCAAAAAUUUGAGUUUCAAGGAAUAUAGCAUUUCUUAUGUGUCAUGUUAAUAUAGAGAAGAAAAUUUUAAAAUUUAUUUUUUGAUAAAAAAACUCACAAUCAUAUUUACAAAAAAAAAGUUUUAUUUAAAAAAAAUUCACUCCUCUUCCUACAUAAUUUAAGAAUUUAACAUUAUAAAUUAAGCUUUUUAAUCAAAGUAAUAAUCUCUCCUUCGGUGCGCAAAUGCUAAAAUUUAAUAUUAUAUCCGUUGACGAUAUUUGAUCCAAAUUCAGAGAAUAAAAAUUCUAACAGAAUUAUGAAAUUCGUUACUAGAAAUUUGUAUAAAAGUCACGAGAAUAGAAGGUUUGAUCAUAGGAAAUUAAUAUGUCCCUAUCCGAUGCAAAAAUGAUUAAAAAGAAAAACAAAAGUCAUGGGCUUAUUUAGAAAAAAGAAAAAAUUACAUUUCAGCUUAACGCAUGCCAGUCUUUUUCUCCUCUACUUUCUUAGAAAUUUUGGUUUCACUAUAAAUUCUUGGUAUAUAGCAAUCUUAAGAGUGUCUUGCAUUACCAAUCCAAUUAAGCACACACUUACAAUCUAAAAUACUCUCAUCUCAUGGAAAAGCGUCAUUCACUCAGCAUUAUGAGCAGAUUUCUCUUACUCCGUUGUUUGAUUCUUAUUUCCUUAUUUAUCGCAGCUGCAACAGCCAACACAAGUACUAUUACCACAGACCGAGAUGCUCUGCUUGCCCUGAAAGCUCACAUAACUCAUGAUCCAACCAAUUUCUUCGCCAAAAAUUGGAAUACAAGUACUCCGGUCUGCAACUGGACAGGCGUCACUUGUGAUGUCCAUAGCCAUAGAGUCACAGUUUUGAAUAUUUCUCGCUUAAAUCUCACCGGCACCAUCCCUUCUCAGCUUGGGAAUCUUUCUUCUCUGCAAUCACUCAAUCUCAGUUGUAACCGACUUUCUGGUUCCAUUCCCUCUGCCAUUUUCACCACGUACACACUGAAAUAUGUUAGUUUCCGUAAAAAUCAGCUCUCCGGCGCUUUUCCUUCUUUCGCCUUCAACACGUCCUCUUUACAAUAUCUUGAUUUUGGUUUCAAUACACUGUCUGGUGAAAUUCCUGCAAAUAUUUGCAGUAACCUUCCUUUUCUGGAAUACCUUGCUUUGUCCCAAAACAUGUUUCAUGGAGGAAUACCGUCCGCUCUAUCAAAUUGCGCAUAUUUGCAACGAUUAGGUUUGUCAAGCAAUGAUUUCUCGGGGGUCGUACCUAAAGAAAUCUGCAAUUUGACCAAACUUAAGGGAUUAUAUCUUGGCGGUAACAGACUCCAAGGUGAGAAUAAUCACGGAGUUUAAUUAUGAAAAUUGUUCCAUAAGUUGUGAUAUGAAUAAUGUUCCAUACGACAAUUUGCACGCGUUGAUUAAUUUGCAGGAGAAAUUCCUCGAGAGUCUGGCAAUCUUGCCGAAUUGGAGCUGAUGUCGUUAUCAGAAAACGAACUCCAAGGUAUGAUAAUGAACUUUUUGCAAUUUCAUUCUAGCCUCUGGUUGCUUCUGUAUUCAUUCGUUUGUUCGUCAAUUAUGCUCCAUGUUUUAUUGCUCAGUCUAGUGGAUAAUGUUCAGUCUCAGAAUUUAUAAUACCUUGAAGGUUAGUAGCUUUGAAAAUAAGAAACUGCUCAUCUGCUAAAAAGUUAACUUAGUAUUUAAGUUUUUGAAUUGAACAUUUUGAAAAAAGUCUUGAGAACUGGCCCUCCUUAGUAUUUCAGCUGAUAAAUAUGAAAAAUAGGCUAGAAGAAAUUAUUGCUGUGUGUGCUUAACUGCUUAUUCUACUUGGGCUUCUGGCUUGAUUACAUGGUCGAGCACUUACACCUGUUAUAAUAAUAGGCUUUUACUCUCACCACACGUUCGAUAAUUUCUUAACCUUCCCAAUUAGGUUAUAGCAAUUUAUAUAUAAAUAAUUAAAGCAUACUAAAGCUAGCAUACAAUACUCAUGACUUAGGCUUGCUGCGUUACCCAUUACACACGGUCGAACACUUACACCUGUUAUAAUAAUAAUAGCAUCCGCCGAUCGACUAUGAGUGAUCAAAUUGUUUGCACAUAUGUAAUUUGCAGGAGCAAUUCCACGGGAGUGGGGAAAUCUUACAGGAUUGGGGAUCUUACAGCUGUCUGAUAAUUUUUUAACCGGUAUCACUCCUUCAUCUAUCUACAAAUUGCUUUUCUCUAUUAAAUUUGGAACUGUCAUUUAAUAACUUAAUAGGUAACUUCCCUUACAACAUGUCUGUGUGACAUGUUUUGCUUCUCAAUUAAAAUAUUUCACUUCUCUCAUUAUAAAUUCUCAUAUGAGGAUGUGUUGUUAUUACUAUUUAACAUUAUCUCGUUUUUUAUUAGAAAUUAAUUUGUGUUUAUGCAAAAAAAAUUGAGCAUUUAAAAAAAGUAUAAAAACACGUGGAAUAAAUCGAAAAUCUUUCUUCAUUCGUGAAUUUGGAUUUCUAAAAAAUUAUCAUGACAGCUAUGUUAGUGUCUUACUAAUGAUAUGCAUGUGUGACAGCUUCAUAAAUUAUUUUACAUGGAAAAUAUGAAAAAUAGACUUGAAAAAAAAAUUAUUUUACUGAAAUAAUAGUUAAAAAGGGAGGAGAAGUACAGUACUCAUGAAUUAGGCUUGCUGUGUACUUAUUUUACUUGGGCUUCGGGCUUGAUUACACACGGUUGAAUAUUUACAUCCCCCGACAUAGGCUUUUAGGGAUGAGUGGCGUCAAAUGUGUAUCUGCUUUUAUGUAUUAUUAUUCUUUGAAACAAAUCUGAUUAUAAUUCUUUUAAAAUACAGAUUAAAUAGCACGUGAAAUCGGAAAAUAUUUUACUGCGAUAAGAAUUCAUAUAUUCAUUGUACUAGCACAUAUAAAAUAGACUAUAAAUUUAGUUCCAAAAUACAUUCUUAUCUUCAUAUAAAUUUUACAUUAUUAAUUUAAAUUAAUAUUAAAAUAUAUUGUUUCUUUCACUAUGUUAUUUUAUUUACACAAUGAUGUGACAAUUGGAAUGAAUAAUACUUAUAAUUAUUUUGUAAAAAUAUAAAUUUAAUACUUUGUUAACAUUUUAUCUACAUAUAAUAAUUAAACUGAAACUUGUAUUUAAAAAAUUCUAGUUACGCAUAUUCAUUUCAUGACAUAAAAGUGUAUAUUUAUGCUAAUUUACCAUUAUCAACAAAAUGCUUUGAGAGACAAAUAAUCUAAUUUAUAUUUUUAUAUUUAAAAUACUUGCAUUUAUUAUAUUUUGAAAAAAAUUUAUUUGCAAUUAUUUUAAACCGUUGGAUUCAAAUUUUCGUAGCUAUUAAAGUCAAAGGGUAUAAAUGUAUAAUAGUCAAAAACAGAUUUGUAUGAUCAUUUUUCAAUGUAUAAAUUUUCUUAGUUAGUAGGAAAAUUAGAAAUUGUUGAUUUACUCAUAAAUAAAUUUCAUGUUUAGCAUUUCAAUUUUGGAAAACUUGAGCUAAACGUUGAUAACUUCGAAUCGGUCGAGCCGAGUUUCGCUUCCUUGACCCACGGACCCAUUGAAAGUUCUAUUUGAAUUGAGUUUCCCGGUGCUUAUAAAAACCAUUUCUUUUCCUUGUCGCAGUAAUUUAUUCACAAAUGAGUUGAUUAGCAUCAAAGUUACCUGAGAGUCUGAGACCAUGCUAGUAGGAGAAAUUUGAAAAGAAAUUAUUUUACUAAAUUAAUUUAUUUUAUCUUGUUGUAACUGAAAUACUACUUUUUUUUUUGGGCUGUCACUUGGGCUUGAUUUACUUUAAUAGUAGCAGCCACCGACUUAGGCGUUUUUUACUUCUCACCACACAAUUUGAUCUUUUAAUUCGUUUUAACCACAUAAUCUAUCUAUUUCUCACCUAUUGCUUACUUAAAUCGCAUACAUAUUUUACCUACAAAUGUUUAUAAAUAUUAGUCAAAUAUAUUUUAUUACGUUUCUCUCGUAACUGCUCCAAAUGUGUACUAUUAAUACUUAACCCUCCCUUUUAAUUUACCGUGCAAUCUAUCUAUCACUUAAAUCACAUAUAUAUUUUACCUAUAUUUUACCCCAAAAAAUAUAAAAAUAAAAGAAAAAGAAUAUGUGUAGCAAUUUGCAUAUAACUAACAAAGCAUUGACGGUGUGUAGCCUUUCAAUACUUCACGAGUGGCUUUUCUUGUGUGUUAGUACUUGUAAUAAUUGUGUAGUGUAUAAAUGACAUUUUAUUAUUAAAGUGCGUCCAUUUUUAUAUAUUACUUAUUAUUUGAAAAAUAAUCUGAAUAUAAUUCUUUUAAAAUACAGGGGAGAUACCACUUGAAAUUGGUAAUCUCCAAAAUCUGGAGGAGUUGGAGCUUGGUCAAAACAAAUUAAUUGGUACUGUCCCAGUUGCAAUCUUUAAUGUGUCAACACUCAGAUUUCUUGAUUUUCAAGAUAAUUCUCUCUCGGGAAGUCUUUCGUCCAUCGCAGACGUCCGACUACUAAAUCUUCAAGAGCUUCUUUUGUGGGGUAAUAAGUUUAGUGGCACAAUUCCUCGUUUCAUCUUUAAUGCUUCUAAGCUCUCUAUACUAGAUUUGCAAGACAAUUCAUUCUCCAGUUUUAUUCCCAACACAUUUGGCAACUUAAGAAACCUUCAGCGGCUGAGAUUAUAUGAUAAUUAUUUGACAUCUUCAACUCCAGAAUUGAGCUUUCUAUCCUCGUUGUCAAAUUGCAAGUCUUUAACACAUCUUUCCUUAUCAAAUAAUCCACUAGAUGGCAUUCUUCAAAGGACGUCUGUUGGUAAUCUAUCUCAUUCUUUGAAAGAAUUUUACAUGUCCAAUUGUAAUGUUAGUGGCGGCAUCCCUGAAGAGAUCACCAACUUGACCAACUUGACAACCAUUUAUUUAGGGGGCAAUAAAUUGAAUGGAUCAAUUCCGAUUACUCUCGGCAAAUUACAGAAGCUUCAAGGUUUGGGUCUUGAAGAUAACAAAUUACAAGGAUCAAUCCCAGACAAUAUUUUUCGUUUGACUGAACUGUAUGAGUUGGAGUUGGGUGGCAAUAAGCUUUCUGGAUCAAUCCCUGCAUGCUUCAAUAAUCUGGCUUCUCUGAGGAUACUGUCGUUGGGUUCCAAUGAGUUAACUUCUAUUCCCUUAACUUUUUGGAACCUUAAGGAUAUCUUGCAACUCAACUGUUCAUCAAAUUUUUUGACUGGCCCACUCCCAUCGGAGAUUGGAAAUUUGAAGGUUUUGGUUAUAAUUGAUUUUUCGAUGAAUAAUUUUUCAGGCGUUAUCCCAACAGAAAUUGGAGGCCUAAAAAAUCUAGAAUAUCUCUUCUUAGGAUAUAACAGAUUGCAAGGAUCAAUUCCUAAUUCAUUUGGUGACUUGAUAAGUUUGAAAUCCUUGAAUUUGUCUAAUAAUAAUCUCUCUGGAGCUAUUCCUGCAUCUUUAGAGAAACUCUCAUAUCUUGAAGAUCUAAAUCUUUCUUUCAACAAGCUGGAAGGAGAAAUUCCUACGGGAGGAUCUUUUGGAAACUUCUCAGCUGAAUCAUUUGAGGGAAAUGAAUUAUUAUAUGGUACACCCAAUUUACAAGUCCCGCCAUGCAAAACUAGCAUCCACCGCACAUCAUGGAAAAAUUCUCUUCUCCUCAGGAUUGUCUUGCCAUUGAGUACUACAUUUAUGAUAGUAGUCAUUUUGUUGAUCCUAAGAUAUCGACAGAGAGGAAAACGGCCAUCGAAUGAUGCUAGUAUGCCACUAGUAGCAAUGUGGAGAACGUUUUCAUACCUAGAACUCUGUCGAGCAACAGACGAAUUCAGUGAAAACAAUCUAAUCGGCACAGGGGGUUUUGGCUCUGUUUAUAAGGCGAGACUUGGGGAUGGGAUGGAGGUUGCAGUGAAAGUUUUCAAUUUGCAAUGUGGAAGAGCGUUCAAGAGUUUCGAUGUUGAAUGUGAAAUGAUGAAAAGUAUUCGUCAUCGAAACCUUAUCAAAGUUAUUAGCAGUUGUUCAAAUGAAGAGUUUAAAGCGUUGGUAUUAGAAUACAUGCCUCAUGGAAGUUUGGAGAAGUAUCUGUAUUCAAGUAACUGCAUUUUGGAUAUUUUUCAAAGAUUGAACAUAAUGAUAGAUGUUGCAUCAGCUUUGGAAUAUCUGCACUUUGGUUAUUCAGCUCCAAUAAUUCAUUGUGACUUAAAGCCCAACAAUGUAUUAUUAGACGAUAAUAUGGUUGCUCAUUUGAGUGAUUUUAGCAUCGCAAAAUUGUUGGCUGGAGAAGAUCAAUCUAUGACUCAAACACAAACAUUUGCCACAAUAGGCUAUAUGGCACCAGGUUUGUCAAUAUAAAAAUUUUCUAUUUCUUGUAAACUUCCUAAUAAGUUAUUUACGUUUCAUGAUCUUCAUUAGAUGAGGAAAUUCUUAUUAAUGAUAUAUCUUACUAUGUAACUAUUGCAAUUCAUAGAGUAUGGAAGAGAAGGACGAGUAUCCGCAAAUGGAGAUGUUUAUAGCUUUGGGAUUAUGUUAAUGGAAACUUUUACUAGGAAGAAACCCACAGAUGAAAUUUUUAACGGAGAAAUGACAUUAAAGCAUUGGGUUAAUGAUUGGCUUCCCAUUUCCACUAUGGAAGUUGUUGAUGCUAAUUUACUAAGUCAGGAGGACAUACAUUUUGUCGCAAAAGAGCAAUGUGUGUCAUUUGUCUUCAAUUUGGCUAUGGCGUGCACUGGGGAAUCUCCUGAGCAGAGAAUCAAUGCAAAAGAAAUUGUGAAAAAGCUCUUAAAAAUUAGAGACUCAUUACUUAGAAAUGUUGGAGGCAGAUGUAUAAGACAAUCAAAUUUAAAUUGAUUUUGCCCCUCCUUCAUUGCUUGCUAUCCUUUUCAGAGACUUGAACGGUUAUCCUUCAUACAAGUUUUUUUGAUAUGUUUUGUUAUUGCUCUUGCUCAUGUUUAUUUCUCUCUUUCUUUAAUUUGCAUGCAUGUAUUUUUUCAUGCUCUUUUCUGUUUUUGUUGAUUUGUAUGUAGUUUGUUUUUAGGGGUAAGGUUGAUUAUGUCCUCCCCUAAUUAGACGUAUCCUUUUUUUUUUAUUCAAUAAAGCUUCUCUAAUACUAUCGAGGUUCAUCAAAAGACAAUUUUAAAUUAAUUUUCUUUUCUAUGUUAGAUAAUGAAAUUCUAAUCUUCUUAGUGAAUAACUUCAAUAAUAGAGUGUAAGAGUAUUAGUAGUUAUGGUAGUUUUCUGAACCUGGAGUCAAGACCAAUUUAACAGCAACAAACAAGUCUCUUGUAUUAUAGGCAAAAUUCUUUUCAUUAAUCUUAUUUGUCUACAUGUUCUCCUAUUUUCUCCAUUAAUCUUCGCUCAAGGUUUCAUGCUUCCUCUUUGAUAAAGGAAAAUAUUACUUGCGAAUAUUUCAAUUUGACAUAAGAGACUGUUUUGCCAACCAUUUGAUAAAAUGGAUAUGACUGGAGCUUUCAAUCAUUGCCUCCACCAAAAUCCUUACAACGCCACUUUUAAAUUUUAUUUUUUAAAAUACAUUCAGUUUAAUUUAUAAAAAAUAAAUCCAUUUGUUAAAAUUAAUCUUUUUCUCAUAAAUUUCAACCUAAAAAAUAUAUUUCUUUUAAAUUUUUAAUUAUAAAAUACAUACAAAUUCUAAAUUAUUUUAUUAUUUUCUUCCUAUUAUAUAGUUUAUAUCUCCAUAACUCUAAACUCCUAUAAUUUUUAAAAAAUAUUUUUUAAUUUAAAAUAUAAAUAUAAAAUAUAGAAUGGAGUGAGUAUAAAAAAACUUGUUAAAAGAAUAAUGCAUUUAAGUAUUUAACUGAAUUUUAAAUUAAAAUAAGAAAUAAAUUAAUUUAUUUUUAUUAGUUAAGUAAUUUUCAAUUGAAAAAGAGCUUUUAGUAACAUUAUUGAAAUAUGAUUAAAAUUCUAUGAAUUAAACAUUUUCGUAUAAGUACUAGUGAUAAUUACAGAGAAAGUACGAUGAAGUGAAAAAACUUAAAUAUAAAUACUCUAGUAUAAUUUUACACAUGCAACUUAUGAACCAGUGAUCUGUAGAGCAUCAUAAAAUUGUUUUAACACAAUUAAUUGGUUUGAAAAAUUGCCAAUAAUGUCUACAGUGGGAUUUAAAAGAUUAAACUACAUAUAUAAGACAUGAUAUCAUUUAAGACGGCUUACAGAUUAUGAGAAAUAUUUUGAUCUUCCAAAUAUUUAAUAUGUCAAUUAGACUGAGUCUAUACAAUGAAAAUUUCAAAUAAAAAAUAAACCCUUUAUUUUCUUUUAAUCAAAAGUGUGAUCUUAAUUAUUAAAGUCAUUUAAUGUCCAUUACUUAUUCAUUUUUUUAAUUACCUAAAUGACAUUGAAAACUCUACCCAAUAUUAAUUCAUUCAAAUGUUUUGUUUUAAGGUAAUCGGAAACUGCAAAUGAAACAAAUGCUUGAAAUCACAAACGGCCUAAAAUUAGAUUUUCAUUUUUCAAUGUUGCAGUGACUUUGAUCUUGAUAUUGAAAUUUUAUUUGUAACUUAUAUAAAGGCCUCAAUUUUAUCAUAAUUGGUUAGUAAGGCUACGUAGGGAGCAUCGAUAAAUUUUGGGAUUGGAUUAUAUUUUUGGAACUAAAAAAUUAAUUUCAUCCAAUGUUAUGUUUGGCUGUUAGGACUAGCAACUUAGUCUAAAAUUAUUGAAAUUAUUGAUGUUUUAUAUUAUAAUCUUUUCAUUACCACUUUAAACAUUAUUGGUAACUUAAAUCAUUUUUUAAAUUAAAUAUAAAUUUUAAUUUAAUUAAUUAUAAAAAUUAAUUUAAUUAAAUAUAAAAAUCAUUUAAAUUAAAUAUUAACAUUAAUUUCAUAAUUUUUUACCUAGAAUUUUAUAUUAUAUUAAAUACUAAAAUUCUAUUCGAUAAUGUACUAUCAUUUAUUUAAUAAAUGUUUAGUAUGUUAUAUUAUUAUUUAAAUUAAUUUUUUAUUUACAUAUAAACAUAAAUUAAUAUUUACUAAUUAAAGUUAUUAUAAUUUGUUAAAUAAUAAAAGCUAAAUGAUUAUAUUGAAAAUAUAAAUAGUAUUCUAAUGUAUUAUAGUCUAAAUCUUACCCCUAUGAGUUUAUUUUAUACACCUUUUAUUAUAUUAACCACAUUUAUAAUGCAGUGCAAUGUAACAAAAAAUUAUAACCAAAUAUGAGUUAGCAUGAAAAUAAUAUUUUAGUGCAAUAUAAUACAAUGUAAUGUAAGCUAACAAAUGGAUAUUUAAUGGAAGCAAAAAUUGCAUAUGACUUGUGGGUCUCUUAAAAGACAACAAAAAAACCAAUAUGAUACAUUGAUUCUGUCCUCUUUAAUGGUGUCUUUACUAAAUGGGAAUAAGAAUAAGUUAGAAUUGGAGUGAGCUUGAAUCGAAAUAAGGAAUUAUAAUCAAAAUAAGUUGUUUAUUUAAGUUGUAUGAAUUAGAAUCAAAAUAAAUUUUAUUCAAAUUGAUGUGUUUAUUUUCUAUUGAAAUUAGAAUGGACUAUUACAAGUUGCUAAAAAACCAUUUGGUAAUUGUUGUCUCUAGUAUUAUUUGUAUAUGUUAUAAUGGUAACAAUAAUAAGAAUAAAAAUAGUACUAAAAAUGAAAAUAAUAAUAAUAGUAGAGACAAUAAUAAUAAAAUUAAUAAAUUAUUAUUAUUAUUAUUAUUAUUAUUAUUAUUAUUACUACUACUACUACUACUACUACUACUACUACUACUACUACUACUACUACUACUACUACUACUACUACUACUACUACUACUACUACUACUACUACUACUACUACUACUACUGAAGAUCGCUCGGUGAAGAUUGGAUAGUGAAGAUGAAGACGACGAAGAUCCCGGCAACCAACUGCUGUUCCAAAGAUGAUGUGCCCAAAUGGAGACAACCAAUGAUGACUAGCCAACUAGAUCCCAAUCUCGAUGUUGUGAUCUCGUAUGACCACAGAUAAAGCUAUGUGUGAUGUUGGCGUUAUGAUUUCUUUUUUAUUUAUAUUUUUUAAUUUAUUAGUGGUAUUUUCAAAUUUUUGUAAUUUUAAUAUGGACAAAUUGGAUAGUCCAGUAAACAGGAGACUGAUUCGCAACCAUCCUAAGAAUUAGGGCCCGUUUGGUAUCAUUUUCAAGGGCUUAUUUUCAUUUUCGUUUUUGGAGUUUAAAUGUAAUACCCGUUUGGUACGCUGAAUUCAAAAAUAAACUGUAAAACAAAUAAUUCAGAUUUCCAUUUACAGUUAUAAAAUUGAGAACGUGUUUAACACGUUCUCAGUGAAUCACAAACCAAAUUUUAGAAUAAAUCGCAAAACAAAACCCGAUCAAAAUACACCUUUCUCUCAUCUCUCUCAUCCACAGCUCUCUUUCUCUUCGUGACAGUUCUCCAACCAAAAUCAGCUACUGUUACUGCGUCUCAGCUCCAUCUCGACUAGUGGUGGUGGUGGUGGUGCGUCUCUGCUCUGCUUCGGCCAUGGUGGAUCGACUGAUACUGCUGUAUCUCUGUUGAGGAUUGAUUGGUGCUGCUGCUGUUGCGUCUCGGCUCCGUCCCGACUGGUGGUGGUGCGGCCGUUGCUGCUGCAUCUCUGCUCUGCUUUAGGGAGGGCUUAAUUUCAUUUUCUGCUUAACCGAUCGAAUCUAUUUUUCGUUUUGAAUGAUUGCUCGAAGCAUGCCUUCGAUUUUGCAUUUAAUUGGGCAAACAAAACAAAAAAAAAAAUUUAUGGAUUCAUUCGUCAUUUUCACAUGGAUUGAGAUUGACCAUUACAUUUCUUAUUAUUUGUUGGCAGUACAUUAUAAUGAUGACACAUAUAUAAAUCAUAUAAUUAACAUUAUAUUAAUAAUAAAUUUAUACCUAAUAAUAAUAUUGAUACCAAUUAACAUUUUAUAUCAAUUUUUAAAAAUUUUAAAAUUAACAAUUUUUGGGCAAACUAACAAUUGUUAAAAAAAGAACAAAAAGUUACUGAUUAGAUAGAGUUGCUUAAUGCGCAUGGUGUGUUUGUGUAUGUAUUAGUUAAAUUUUUUAGUAAAAAUUAUUUCUGAAAAAAAUAUUACCAAACGCAUAUUUUCUGUUUUUAUCAUUUUCAAUUGUGUCUACCAAACGCAUAUUACUGUUUUCAAUUUUAAAAUAUAGGAUAUAGAAAAUGAUACCAAACGCAUAUUUAAAUUCGAAAUACAGUAACUGUUUCGUUUUUAUUCUCAGAAAAUACAGAUUCAAAAACAAUACCAAACAUGCCCUUAGUCUCUCAUUUUCUAUUUCUAAUUUGAUGUGAGUUCUACUAUUUCGAUUCCAAUUCUUACAUUUAUUUGUGAGACAAAACUAUGGUGCAACUGUAGACUGUAGUACCAUUGGAUCCAGCCACAAUAUCAUCAUGACUGGAUCUAAUGGCUGAAACCUGAAAGUAAUUGUGGUAUGGUACCACAGUUGCACCAUAGUUGAACCUUUAUUUGUGAAGUAAAAUGAUGUUAAUAAUUUCGAUUUUCAAUUCGAGAAGUAAACACAUCAUAAUAUUUUUUUAGAUGCUUCCAUGGCAUAAUCUCAUUGGUCCAUUUUUCUUCACGCCUUAGAUUCAACUUCAAGAUUCAAGAUUCAAUUUGAAGCAAACACAACUGCAAAACAAAUAUAAUAAGCGUUAAUAAGCCUGCGGCUGACUGGCUGUGGCCAAGCAAAUGUAACAUAUAGUGACCGAAUCAUAUCUUAUUAUCUUACGCCUGAAGCAAAACAAUGUUCCCAUUCCACGUGUCACUCUUUGACCAAUCCCCGAACUUUCUUCAUAUUUCCAAAGAAACCCUUACAAAGUCAAGAUAAUUACCUUCACUCUACUCAUCCUUACGGUCUUCAUUUAAAAGGAAAAAUUAUAAAAAAUUCUCCUCAUUCCUUAAAAAUCUAGGGUUUCUCAAGAAUCGCUAAACAUAUAUCCCAAUCAUUCAAAAUCUCAAUUUAACCUCUCUAGGGUUUUGAUUGUCGAGGAUUCGCUUGAAAAUUUAGUAUUUUUUAGUGGAUUUUGCUUGUCUCGUAUGCUUCAAUUGUUGUUCGGUUCUGAAAAUAAUUUGGAAUUUUAGGGAUUUUCAGAUUAUUUAGUUUUUUUUAGUGCAAUUUCCUCUAGUUACGGUUUCAGUUUGAAGGGUUAAGUGCAAUUUCGAAUUUUUUUAUAAAAUUAAAAUUAAAAUUCCUAAAACGAUUGGGCGCUUAAUAAUUAAUUGAUGGCUAGCGAUACUACAACUGCGGCCGCAGCUGCGGAAGAAGCAGAGGCGAUGGAGGAGUAUGAUAGCAAUCCAAAUGAAGUGAAACGCUCUCUUGUGAUGCGCAGAAGGGAUGCCAGCGAUGAGGAGGAGGCGGAGGAUGAGAGAGAUUCAGAGCUUCCAAUCGCUCAAAGUGUCUACAUUCCUGCGGGAGAAGCGGAGGCUGUGGAUGAGUAUGAGAGCGAUCCAGAUGAAGUGAAACACUCUCUCGUUAUGAGCAUAAGGGAAACAAGCGAUGAUGAGGAGGAGUGGACAGAAUUUGAGCGUCGAAUAAAUUGAAGGGUCCAGAUUCACUCUUACAUUGAAUCUGAUGGCCUAAGUGGUGCUCCAGCUGAGUAUGAUGAUGAUGAAGAGGACGAAGAGGAACAUGACAGAGAAUUAGAAGAAGAAGAUGAAGAAGGGGAUGUUUAUGAGUAUGAAGAGGAAGACGAGUUUUAUGAAGAAGUGGAGAGGAAUGACGAGGCGGUUAAAGUCAAAGAAACAGAGGGUAAUGAUGCAAGAGGAGUACAGAGGGCGCAGUGGAAGUGAGUAAAGGGAAUUAUGAUAAUGGCAAUGGUGCUAAAACAAUGAUGCAGCGAAGGAGGGAAUGGAGGAAGGGGAGAAGGAGAGUAAUGAGCCUUUUGCACAGCAGCCGGGGCUUUUUAUAUGGGACAAUGUUGCAGGUCGACACAGGUAUUAUUUGAUUUGAGUCAUCUAUAAAUAACUGAUAGCUGUACUUUCAUUAGGCUUGUCGAUUAGUCUAGUCUCGUUUUUUGGUGCUGUCUAAUGAUUGUUUGCUGGAAUCUGUGUAGAAGGCUUUUGGCGUAGUAGGUUGAAAGGAGAGAAAGUUCUCAAGUAAACAUCUGUGCUUUGUGGAAUAUAAUUAAUAGGGACAAAGUAUACUAAAUUACUUGAUAGAUAGAUGCCGAGCUAAUCAUGAGCUAUGAUAGCAUUAUCCGUGCUUUGUGUAUUUUUAUUAGGGCUUGUCUAUUUCAAAGCGUGGAGUAUAGAAUUUUUGGGUUAAGUUUGAGUGAUGAAGUGUUAGAUAGGUUUCUGUUUUGCAUAGUUAAGCCGUCAAUACGAGCUAUCGAAGCAAAUAUGGAGUAGGAUAUCUAGUUUUGGCUUUGGUCUUAGUUUGAAGAUGGCUACUGAUUAUGCAGCUAGGUACGUAUUAGUGUUUGUGGAUUUCUAAAUGCUUUCUUUUAAAUUUGACUAGAUUAUUACUAGAAGUGCAUGGAUCUUACACUUAAUUAAUUAUAUAUCCAUUUGUAAUGUUCAAAAUGAUAAUGUACUAUUGCUUGAAAUUAUGCUUUCAAGACAUCAUUUUGAAAAUCCAUGGUUAUAAUGUGUCUCUAAAUUCAGUAAUACAAGUUCUAUCAAUUGCUGUUGGAUGCAGUGACCUGAAUAGUUUAAUAUUCAUUUGCAGAAGAGUUGAGAAAGAAAACUAAAAAUUUCGGUGCGUUCUGCUGGAAAUUUAAUUAGCUUCAUUUGAGCAUUAAUUACCGGCAUGAUCUCUUAGACUUCUCAUUGCAUUGAAUGAAUGGAUGAGUGCUAAUCCAUGCAAAGACUUCCAUGCAUGCACAAUGAAUGCUACAUCAAAGGUAUGGGAAAAUGUCAGCAAGCUUGGCCCAAAUUAUCUAGCUGGUUUGGUGGCUGCUAGAUUUGUUCAUCCGGAUUUUGGACCAUUUUCCUUGACAAUGAGAAAAGCUCCAAGAUCUGUAAAUCAAAAACUCAUUGAAGUGCCAAAAGAGAGAUGGAAGUGAAUAACUAGAGAGUUAGUGAAAAGAGGGUGCAGUGAUUGUGUGGGAAUCUUUGGGUAUAAUUGGGGUUUGGAUGUGAGAUAAAAUAUUUUGAGAGUGAGGUUGUAACAAUUUUUCACGUAGGGAAAUUUUUUAUCUCGUUGUCCUUGGCAACUGUGGUUUUUUAUUUGGGUAAUAGAGUUUUUCAGGUAACUUUUUUGUUGUGUGAUCUGAGUAUUCUCUAUUGUAUUUCUUUUAUUUGUUAUUUAUUUGAUGUAUUGCUAGCAGAGAUCUUGGGUGGGAACCAAAAAUUCCCAACAAUUGUCAGUUGUUUUAAACGCUAUUCCGAACAGAGCAUGAAGGGAUUCACUUAUCUAAUUAUGUCAUUUAUGCUUUAACUUCACUUCAUUUCAUCUUGUCCGUCACCUUUACUAAAGUUGUGUAUGUUUGAGUAUUAGGUUCAUCACAAGGAUCAUAUUAUGUUUGAGUAUUUGGAUUCAAGACUGUUAUAAGGUUGUUACAGAUGCAAUGCUGUUGCUGUGUAACUGUAUGCCAUGCUCGCAAGUGCGCUGUAACAGAUUGCUCAGCUGGCACCGGAUAUUUUAAGCUAAUUUUGGUAAUUAGUCUAGAGUGUUCUGAUUUAUUCUAUAAAUAGCUCAUUUGAGCGUAGAACCUUUAAGGUGUAUCGUACAUCUCUGUUACUUCUAAUAAAGGAUUUCUUUAUUCCUUUUUCUUUCGCUUUCUCUUUCAUUUUCAUGAUCCCCAAACACCAUCAAACAUAGAAUUGCUGUUUUAAGAAACAAAGUACUCUAUCCUGUCACCCAGCGGUCUCCUCGUUUAUCGACUUGUGAACAGGGCUAAAUAAAGGGCAAAGAUAUUAGGCAAAUGGACAUAACGUGACAAGUUCUUGAAUUGAAUGGCUCCUCAUUUCUUCAUAAAUCUUUGCUUAAUUUUUUUUGUUCCCUCAACCUUUUUUGACCUUUUGCGCUAAAAUUCUUUUUUUUAUACAUUAUGCAAAAAUUGAUGAAAAUGAGUUACUUUAGAACAUCAAUAAAUUUUUAUUACAUGAUAAGACAAUAUCAAUAAAUUUUUAUUACAUGAUAAGACAAUUAUACUUAGAUUACUCUUAUUUAGUUGAAUUAUAUGUAAUAAAAUUAGUUUAACAAAAUUUAACCCGCAAAUAUUCCUCAUCAUAUGAUUAACGUACUUAAAAAAUCAUAACUGAUCGGCCGCUUGUUUUACUAUAAAAGAUUGGUGUGAUUUAAUUAUUUUUCUUUUUGCUUGGUGACUGUAAAAUUAUGAAUACUUUGGUAAAUAAGAUAAUUAUAAACACCAUUUUGAAAAUCCAUGGCCAUGGUUGUGAUGUGUCUUUAUCAAUCACGGAUACAAAAAUUAAUCAAAAUUAUCGAUUGUUUUAAAUUCUGUUUUUAACAGAGCAUGAAGAUGUCGCUUAUCUAGAUUUACUUUUUAUGCUUUGACUUCACUUAAUACAGCUUCUUCCUCCUUUAACUGUAUGCCAAAUGAUUACUACCAAAUUAAUUUCACAAAUUAAUAAGCUAACCUAAUUAAUUUGCAGCAAGGUAAUUGGAAGCUCAGAGAGUCUGUAUUAGCCGACUCUAAGCGAUAAGUGUUUCCAUGUGAGCCAUAAUUUGGGAAAAAGACCAAUUCAAGUUAAAGAUCAGAAAAGUCUGUCCCGCACGAAUACAAUAAUUCGAGCCACACAUUCAUCAAACGCUUGCAUUGCAAAUACACUUCAACAUGUUGUCUCAUAGGGAGAAAUCCUUCACUCUUUGACGUAAUGCUUGGGCAACGUAAAUUAGUCCCAUUUUUUGAUGCAUGAGAGAUAAUUAGUCCCAUUUUUGUCCUGUUUACUUGACUUGGGCUAUUUGCCGUCAACUCUUCUCAUCUACGUAGGUAAUGUGUCUUUUAUUUGGCAUGAAAAAGCCAAUACUUGCACGAGUGUAGCAUCACUGAUUUGUGUAAUUUUCAGGACUGGUAAAUUAUCUUAAUUUAAAAAAAAUAUAUAAUUACAAUUAUCGAUCGAACACCACUAAUUCCAACAAUUUAUCCAAAAAUAUCUUUGAGUUUCAAGGAAUUAAUGUAGCACGAAUGGCCAAGUUUUUCAACUUUUUCGAUAUUUGAUAUAUGUCAUGUUCUAACUUAGUACGAGAAGAAAAUUAUAGAAUAAACUUUUUAAAAAAUUAGUGGAAUUAUUUUUCGAUAAAAUUAUCACAAUCACAUUUAAAAAUAUUCUUUAGAUUUUCACUAUUUCUACUGUUAUUCUUUAAACUCUUUUCUGAACAGAGCAUGGAGGGUCACUUAUCUAAAUAUGUUUUGUGUGCUUUCACUUCACUUGAUUCAUCUUGUCCCUCUUUUAUAGCUUCUAUCUCGUGUGAGCUUUGAACCUGCAACUCGUAUUUUACGUUUCUAUUACUUUCUCUUUCAUUUUCCCGACUCCCAAACACCAUCAAUCCUUGAUGUUAUAGAGUAUUAGCUGUCUAUUUGUACAAACAUAGAGCUACUGUUCGUACUUUAGAUCUUCAGAUGGUUAGCUAACUAUUGUUUGAAUAUUAAAAUUAAUUUGUUAAAUAAAUGAAGAAAACAAGAGACAAUUACCAUUCAUAUUCCAUAUUAAUUAGUCACUGUCCGAUUGUCUCCGCUUCCAUUGAAUCUGUUGAUUCAUGCUUUCAUGAAGUGAAACGCUUAACACUCUGUUCUGAUCCGCAGGAGAGGAGGAAAAACACAAUUUUAUUAUUUCAUUCCUGACACGGGCAAAGAGCUUUCUUAGCCGGCUCGGCAGCUAAUUCCUUAAAAUUUGUUAAAUUUCAUUUAAUUGAUGAAUGUGACAUGAAGCUCUAUAAAUAGUUUAAUUUGUAGAAUUGUUAAAAAUUUAAAUUUCAAGUAAGGUAGAUAAAAUGAUUAAUGUUUUUCAAUAUUUAGUAAUGAACAUGUGUCGUGUUACUAUGAGUGAAUGAAUGAAAUUUUUGAUAGAAAAUACAAUGCUAGUAUUAAAAAUUUUAAGUGCGAAUCCAUUUAGUGUACGUUAUCCAUAAAAGCAAUUGCGAGUCUUGUUUCCCAUUUUGUUUAAUUUUCAUAAAUUUGACUCACGAUCAAUUACGAGUGAAGAGUUUGUUGGAAAAAUCUGGUCUUCCAUUUAUUGUAAUCAGAUGAGUGUGAUUUAAUUAUUUUUUUCUUUUACUUCAUGUUCUGAAAAUUAUGAAUGCUUUGUAGGAUGUAGGAGAUUAAAAAUUUUAAUGCAUAUUUAUAUUCAAAACUGAGUAAACGUAACAUUAUUGCUUCUAUAAAUAGGUCAUUUCAACUUAAAACCUGUUACUUGUAUUUUACGCCGUUUCUGUUUCUUAUCAUAAAGAUUUUCUAUGUUUUUUUUUUUUCACUUUUUCUUCCGUUUUCCCGACUCCCAAACUCCACCAAUCCUUGAUUCUUUUCCUAGAGUAUUAGCUCUCUAUUAUUACAAACAUACAGUCUGUCUAAUUACCAUCAAGAAACAACAUACCUUGUCCUGGGGUCUCUUCGAUUAUUGACUUGUGUGACUUGCGAACGGGGGGCAUUCCCUUCUUGAAGAAAGAAUGCAAAGAGCCCAAGAAAGUACUAUCCAUUAGACACGUUAAGAAUUAUUUUGCUUUUCAGUAAAAAUGAUAAUAAUUAUAAUAAAUUAGAUUGAAUUAAUAAUAUUUGCAUGUGGGAUAUAAAUAAUCAGUUUAGUCACUAAUGAGUGACUGUCCGCUUGUCUUCUCUUUCAUUGACUUUGAAACUGUGACUUCUGAGUUGGAUUAAGAAUUGAAAAAAAUGUUGCAACCCAUAAAGCGCGUAAAAUUAAUUAAUGGGCCACUAAUUCUUCUUCUUAAAAGAAAAGUUUUGCAGGGAGAUUGAAAAAAGGCUAAUUCGUGUUGAAGAUCAUAAAUGAGUAUCUGUCAUAAAUACAAGUCAAGCUACACAAUUGUUCUUGUCAUACUAUUUAUUGGCACUUGUGAUCCUUGAAUUAUCAAACGAAUAGCAACAACACUUCAACAUCUGUUGUCACAUGGAGGGAAAUCCGCUGCCUCUUUGAUGUAAUACUUGGCAAUAUACAUUGACUUUUCAUUAAAACAAGCAUUGGCAUAUUGUCAUUUUCAAAUUUUUAACGUCUUGUAAUUAAAGAUUCCUAUAUCACAUUAUAAUUUUCAAACAAAUCUAAGUGAGUCAAAUCAAAUUUAGAAAUUUGAGGUCUACUAUAGACUUUUGACAUAUUAAAUUUAAGACAAUUAAGUAAAUGCUAGACAAAAUCUAACUUGCAAAUAUACCUUACCACAUGAUGAACGUACUUAAAAAUCUUAAUUGAUUGCUCACCAAUUAAUUGUUGUUUUACAGUUUGGUUUGAAUGGUUAAGUUCAAGUUCGAAUUUUCUUUUUGUAAUUUAAAUUAAAAUUGAUAGAACAAAUGGGCUGAUCAGUAUGAUGAUGAAGAAGAAGAAGUAAAAGCUAUUAAGCAUUAUCCUAUCACCAUAUCAAAUGGACCGAAUUCAAUCAAAUGAAAUCUAGAAAAUAGAGCAGCUCAUAGAUGUACGUCGCUAAGUGGAGGUUCAUUUGGAAGUACUUGGUCGAAUUGCGACUUGCGCCGGAGGCUUCGUUUCGUUUUAGAAGAGUGCAGAGCAGCUGCCUUGUCCAUUAGGCACGCCAACGACUUUCUAUUGACCAAUAAUUUUGAAAGCGAUAUUAUUAAUUUACCGUCUAAUUUUUUUUAUAUUAUCAUUUCCCCAUCAAAAUUUUUUUAUAAUUAUUUUUUUCACUUUGUAUUUUGGUUUUUAUUAUUUUACUACCGAAAAAUAGUAAACACACCCGUAAGAUAGGUUAUCCACAAAAAUGAUUACCAAAUUGUCUUGUUUCUCCUUUUGUUUAAUUUUCACAAAUUCGACCCACGAUUUAAAUGUGAGUGAAGAGUUUUUUUUUGGGAAAAAAUAUGGUCUUCCAUUUACUAGAAUUAGGUAUUUGUGAUUUUAUUAUUUUUCUUUUGCUUAAUAUGUAUCUGGAAAAUUAUGAAUACUUUGCAGGAUUUAGAAUGAUUUGAAUGUUUGAACGCAUAUAGCUUUCUGUCCAUCAGCUAAUGCAUAUUCUGCAUUUUAUGAAUAUCAGAGCUGGUAGAUUGGAAGAUGGAUCUUAUUACAUGUCAUAAGAUACUUUGCUCAAAGCUGCAAUUGGGCAACGCCGUGCUGUUCUUAUCGGCCAAUGCAAGCCAUUUACUAUUCUUUCUAAUGGAGCAAAAUAAGAUGAUUCUUACCUGCAUAGAGAAUUAGAAAAGAAAAGGAGGAUUACUGAUCCACAGAGCUGUCAUUUGCUAGAGGCACAUAAAAUCUUACACUUAAUUCAUUAACCAUAUGUACGUUCUAAUGAUACUUAAGUAUUACCUAAAUUGGCCUUUCAAAAUUUCAAUUCGAAAAAAUCCAAGGUUGUGAUGUGUCUGUAUAAAUUCGCUAAUACAAGUUCUCUCUAUUCCCAAUUGUUUUAAACUCUGUUCUGAACAGAGCAUGAAAGGAUAUAUUUGUUUAUCUAGUUAUAUUUUUUAUGCUCUCACUUCACUUGAUUCACCUUCUCCAUCUUUUAAAACAGUUGUAUAUGUCGGAGUACAAGUUCAUCACAAGGAUCAUAUUAUGGCCUAAGGAAGGAGCACAGUUUAUUGUCUGCACUCAAGCUUAGCAGAGUAUUUUGGGAUUCAAGAGUGUUAGUAGGCUGUUGCUGUAAAACUAUAGGCCAUGCUGGCAAGCGUGCUAUGACUGAUUGCUAUUUGCACGUAAAAUUUACCCAAAACAAAUAGAAUGAGAAUACUUGUACAAAAGGACAAGAUUAAUAAAGUGAAUAAAUUUUAUCUUUUAGUGAAUGCUUCUUGUCUUUUCGAGUUUUAGUGCAUUUUCGUGUGUAAUUUUAUGUGCAAAUAGCAUUACUCGUUAGUAAUUAGUCUAGAGUGUUCUAAUUUCUUCUAAUAAGUAGCUCAUUUGAGCUUAAGACUUGCAUUUUAAGUUUUUAUUACUUUCUAAUAAAGAUUUUCUCUGUUCUUUUUUACUUUCACUUUCUCUUCCAUUUUCCCGACUCCCAAACACCACCAAUCCUUGAUUUUCUAGAGUAAAGCUAUGCAGUUCUACAAACACGAAACUACUGUUGGUCCAAUUACUUUCAAGAAACAACGUACUCUGUGGUUUAUUGACUUGUGACAUGGGCAAAUUAGUCACGGUCCGAUUGUCUCCUCUUCCACUGACUCUGUCAAUUCAUGACUUUGGCACACAGUAGACGCUGGCUGCCUGCUUCAUUUGACGUGCAAAAAACUUUCUUGAGUCGGGUUAAAAUCGAUUGAUUAGUUUGUUUGGUGAUGAUGAGUUAGUCGUCAAUUCAUGAGUUUGAUGCAGUGAAACGCUUAACGCUCUCUUGUGAUGCGCAGGAGAAAAGCCAGUGAUGAUGAAGAGGGCGAAAAACAUUAUUUUGUUAUUUACAAUAAGGCUAUCAAUUAUAUAAUCCAAAAUAAUUGGGUUUGGAUGGUCAUUUUGUUUUCUAAAAUAUCCAAAUGAAAACAGAAUUUAUAAAGUGGGAAAAUCAAGAAAUACUAUACUCUUCGUAUAGUGGAAGGAGAUUUGGUUGCCAUUAUACUAAAUAAAAGAAAAAUAAAAUAAAAUUACAAUACUUUAAUAAUCUCAUUCCCAAUCCUACUGGAAAUAAAAUUUUCUGUAUAUUUAUGAAAUAAUUACUGAUUUUACUUUAGUGAUUUUUUUUUAGGAUAAAACUGUAGUGCAACUGUGGUACCGUGCCACAGUUGCACCCAACCGUUGGAUUUCCACUUAUUCAAGUGGACCCAACUUAUUUGAGUGAAUCUAACGGCUAGUGCAACUGUGGCACAGUACCACAGUUGCACUGUAGCUUGACCUUUUUUUUUUUAAAGUAAGGUAAGCAGCUUUAUUUUCUUUGCAUACGAGCCUUCUUUCUUUUGCUUUUGCCUUUACUCUUGACUGUAUUUCAUGGUCAUAUUCAAUCUCAAUCUCCUGUAGGUUUGCGGCUGCUUUAUGAGUUACGAUUUUUUAUAAGGUUGCAGGUAGAUGAUACAUUUAUAUACAUUUUUUCUUUUUUCUUUUCUUCUUCGGUGAAGACACUAAAAUUUAGUUUUUGUUAUCAUGUGAAAUGAACAUAGUCCUCAUUUCAAGGAUUAAUGUGUUAGGAAUUUGGUGGGUGAAGCAGACACGCAGCUAAAGUAAAAUUAGAAGAAAAUAGAGAACAAACACAAAAGAGAAUACCAGAAAUUACGUGAUUCGGCUUUUAGCCUACGUCUACGAGCGAAGACAAAAGGAAAAUAUUAUACUAGUGAAAAUGAGUUACUAGUAUUGUAGUAUUUUAGAUCACUACCCAAAACCCCAAUACACCCAAACUCUCAAAUCACUAAGCACACAAAAUUCUUUACUCUGCAAGAAUUACUUCUCACAACUCUCAACUCUCUCUACAAAAUUGGAUGCUAAAUGAAAUGGGGAGCUCUCUCUUUUAUAGCCAAAAAAUGGCUAUUAAAUUAAUUUUUUUUCCUUUGGGCGGUACCAAAUUCUUCUUUUUCUUCUUUCUCUUUUGUUUCUUUCUUUGGGCAGCACCUCCCGACCAAGACUUUAACUCUUUCUUUGGGCGGCACCUCCCAACCAAAACUUUAACAUUCUCCCACUUGGAGAUUUGAUUGAGAAUCAAUCAAUCUCCACACCAUCCUUUCUGCUCCGUCAUUGUUAUGUUGCCUACGUUUCUGCUAGGCCACAAGAGGAUCUACUCCAGAAAAACUUAUCAGUAUUUAUCGGCUUGGUCAAAACAUCUGCUAGGUUCUCCUUCGUAUGGAUUUUCUAUAAAUCCACACUUCCGUCUUCCAAAACUUCUCGAAUGAAGUGAUACUGAACUCCUAUGUGCUUUGUCUUGGAAUGAAAAGCUGGACUCCUUGCAAUGUGCAAGGCACUCUGACUAUCACAAAACACAAAAAAUUUCUCUUAUUUGAGCCCGAGCUCCUCCAAUAAUCUUUGUAUCCAAAUAGCUUCCUUACAAGCUUGUGUAGCUGCCAUGUAUUCUGCUUCUGUUGUAGAUAAAGCCACAACGGUCUGCAGUUUCGAAACCUAGCUUACAGCUGCUCCCGCAAGUGUAAACAUAUAACCAGUAGUAGAUUUUCUUUUAUCAAGUUCUCCUGCAAAAUCUGAAUCCAUAUAGCCUCUGACAGUAAAUUCUGAUCCUCCAUAACAUAAUGCAACAUUUGAGGUUCCUUUGAUGUAUCUUAGAAUUCUCUUCACAACUAUCCACUGCUCUCCACCAGGAUUUGUCAUGUAUCGACUAACUGCUCCCACUGCUUGUGCAAUGUCUGGUCUUGUGUUGUGCAAAUUUUAAUGUACUCGCAAGCGCACGAAUCUAUUGUAGUGUAGAUCAAUGGUGACGAGUGUCGAUCCCACGAGGAGGAGGAUUUUAAUUGUGUAUAGAAUUAAUUUUGCAAAAUGGGUGGUUGGAAUUAUGGUGGAAGUGAUUUAAGUUAUCCCAAAAUUGGAAUUGAAAUUGCGAUAAUAAAUUCUAAAAUUGGAAUUGCAAUGGCGAGAAUAAGUUGAAGCGAAAUCUAUUGAAAUGACGUACUUGGGUAUCUGGAUCCGUAUCAACAUGCAUCAUGGGCUAAAUAAUCCGUAUUAAUGCCAAUUAAAUCAUGAGGGGGGAAUCCACACCUCAUGAACCACGCUCUAAUCAAUAUGGUGCUAAGGGCUUAUCGUGCCAAAUAAUAAUAACCUUAUACUAGAGAGCCGGUGUAACCAAGGCGGUAUCUAGACAAGAUCAGUAUUAUUUGUCGACGAUAAGUCAAAUCAUCCACAAAAACUAGAGGGGAAAAGAAAAUAAAUUUACCAAAUAAAGCCCAUGACACAUGUUGAGACUUCACCUUCAACCCAAGCUUGAAAGGAAAUUAGCUACUCAUAAUUGAACUAGGGGCAAAAUGGGAAUUUAUUAAAAUACAAAGAAAAUACAAGAUGGAGAGGGAAUUACAGAAAAUGGAUCCCAAAAAUGGAUUCAGAGCUAUCAAAUUAGGGGGGGGAGGCCCCCUUUUUAUAGAUACAUGGAGUAAAUCAUGGCCAUUGGAUUAAAAACAGUUUGGACGCUCAGGAUUGCGCCACGUCAUCAGUCAACAGUCCACUGUUUGACCACGCGGAUGAACAGUAAUGCGGUUUGACCCGGAUGAACAGUAACGCGGUUUGGUUGAAAAUAAUCCUGUGUGAUGCAUGCACCGUACGUGAGAUUUUUCGUCCACUGAUAUGCUGCCACGUCACCAUCAACAGUACAUAAGAAUUUUAGUCCAACAGGAUCGUGACACCUCAUCAGUCAAUGCCACAUCAUCGGUCAAUGCCACGUCAUCGAUUCGUUUAUGUGAACAGUGCCGUGAACAGUAACAUAUACAGUACCGUAUACGUGAAUAGUACCGUACAUGUGAAUAGUGCCAUUUUUCCUUUUAUGCUCCUCCUAAGGUUUUCGACCGUCCUGAGUUCAAAAGUGAUGUCCGUUUUGCCGUCUGAUCUCUCCUUUAUUGUGAAAUGACUAUAAUGCCCCUAAAAUACAUAAAAUACUUAAUUAAAAUAACACACGCGUAAUUACAUCACAAGAAGGUUAAAUACAUAAAAGUAAGAGUUGUUAGUAAGACUUGAAAUGUAAAAUGAUGGUUUUCUCCUUUAGAAAUAUAUAUUUUCUAACACUCAACAUCUUGUACAUAUCACAGCGAACAUCAAACUUUCCACUGCUGAUGCAUACGGUACUCAAGACAUCUCCUUCCUCUCUGCUUCAUUGCUAAGACAUAUACUUGAGGAUAAUUUGAAAUUAACAGGAAGUGGGGUAGAAAUUGACUUACAAUCUUGCAUGUUGAAGCGCCGUAAGAUUUUCUUCAAGUAAUUCUUCUGUGAAAGCCAAAUCUUCUUGUUAUUUCUGUCUCGAUGAAUUUGCAUCCCUAGAAUCUUGUUUGCUGGUCCCAAGUCCUUCAUUUCAAACUCCCUAGCCAAUUGUGCCUUCAAUUCUUGGACUCGAUCUUUGUUGGGGCUUGCUACCAACAUGUCAUCCACGUACAACAACAAAAUGAUGAAAUCAUUAUCUUCAAACCUCUUACAAUAUGCACAAUGGUCUGAACUGAGUCUGUUGUAUCCAAGGCUCAUGAUGAAGGAAUCAAAUCUCUUAUACCAACACAUUGGCGCCUGUUUGAGACCGUAUAGAGAUUUGUUCAACCUGCAAACCAAGUUCUCCUUUCCUGUUUCUACAAAACCUUUUGGUUGGAGCAUAAAUAUUUCUUCUUCAAGUUCUUCAUGAAGAAAUGCAGUUUUCACAUCUAACUGCUCUAGAUGUAGGUCAAAUGUAGCACACAUUGCCAAGACUAUUCUGAUUGUUGUGAGUCGAGCCACCGACGAAAAUAUCUCGUUGAAGUCAAUACCUUCUUUUUGAGCAUAUCCUUUCACCACCAAUCUGGCACGAUACCGCUUCACUUGGUCAUUGUCAUCACGUUUAAUCUUGUAGACCUAUUUGUUUCCAAUGGCUUUUCUUCCACAUAGUAGUGGUACAAGUUCCCAUGUCUUGUUCUUGUGUAGAGCUUCAAUUUCUUCCUGCAUUGCUGUCAUCCACAAAUCAACAUUUGAGCUUUCUAAAGCUUCAUAAAAAGUUGAUGGCUCUCCAUCCUCUAUUAGAAGACAGUACGCAACAUUGAUCUCUGUGACAUACUCUGAGUGCCACGCCGGCGGUUGUCUCUCAUGAGUUAACCAAUGAACUUCUGGAGCCUCAGACUCGACUGGUUCUUGUUCUUCGUGCUCUAGUGCUGCUUCAGAAGAAUCUGAAUCUUCUGGAUUAUUUUUGACAUAUACCGGCACAGUUUCUGACUUUUCUUUUACAGUGUCAUCAUCUCCAUCUUUCAUUUGCAGUUGAUCUUCUACAAAGAUAACAUCUCUGCUGAUGACAAUCUUGUGGGCAGUGGGGUCCCACAGACGAUACCCUUUACUCCAUCAACAUACCCCAAGAAGAUACACCUCCUAGAUUUUGGAUCUAACUUUGUUCUUUCUUGGGCAUUGUACAUUACGUACACAGGACAUCCAAAUGCAUGUAGGUAGGAAUAAUCAGCUGGCUUUUCAGUCCACAUCUCCAUCGCCGUCUUCAACCCAAUAGCUGUAGAUGGCGACCGAUUUACUAUAUAACAGGCAGUUUUGCCUGCUUCUGCCUAGAAUGAAUUGGGUAGACCAGCAGUCCUCAACAUAGCUCUUAUUCGUUAUUUAAGAGUUCUAUUCAUCCGCUCUGCCACUCCAUUUUGUUGAGGAGUGUAUGCCACCGUGAACUGCCUCUGAAUACCUUCUUGCUUACAGAAAGCAAGAAACUUGCCGUUUGUAUACUCUCCACCAUUAUCUGUCCUUAAGCACUUGAUCUUUUUACCAGAUUCAAGUUCCACCCGUGCUUUGUAUUCUUUAAACACUGGAAAUACAUCUGACUUUUUCUUAAUUAGAUACACCCAACAUCUUCUGGAAUAAUCAUCAAUGAAAGUCACCAUGUACUUUACACCUCCCAUGGAUAUAUCCGGUGAUUCCAAAACAUUAGAAUGAAUCAAGUUUAUAAUGUAUUAACUUCUAGCAAUAGAUCUACUGAAUUUUAAUCUAUACUGCUUACUUGUAACACAAUGCUCGCAAAAUGGUAAAUUUACCGAUUUAGGCCCUGGAAGCAAUUUUCGCUCAGAGAGAAUCUUCAAACCUUGUCUGACAUGUGGCCAAGUUUGAGAUGCCACAUCAUCGUUGACUCUUCUCUAUUUGAUGCGACACACGCAUCAACCUCCUGUAGUGUUUCUCCUUUAAGCAUGAAUAAAUUAGCACUGAUCUUUUCUGCUUUCAUCAAUACAAGCGCUCCUUUAACAAUCUUCAUAAUUUCAUUCUCCACAGGCGUUUUGCACCCAUGACUGUCUAUUUGUGCUAAAGACAAUAGAUUUUUCUUCAGGCCAUUAACAUGUCGUAACUCUCCAAUUGUGUGAAUUGUACCAUCAAAUAUUUUUAUUUUGAUAGUACCAAUACCAGCGAUCUCUAAGGCAUGAUCAUCUCCUAUAUAUACAGAUCCUCCUGAGAUAGGUUCAUAUGUGUGGAACCAUUCUCUCCGAGAGGUCAUGUGCCAGGUAGCUCCUGAGUCUAUAAACCAGACAUCAGAUAGUCAUUUUCUGCUUUCUGAAAUAGUUGUUGCCUCGCUGUAGAGAAUUUCGCCAUCAUCCGAGGUACUUGCUACACACCCCUGAGCAUUUGAUGACUCAGGUUCAUUACCCUCUCUUCUCUUUUGGUUACUCCAACACACUUUCUUGAUGUGCCCUUUCUUGCCAUAGUUGUAGCAUUUAACAUUUUUCUUACUUUUGAAUUUUGAUCUACCAUUAUUGUGACUCCCACUGGGGCCACGUUCCGUUGAUCUCCCUCUCGUCACCGAUAGCGCCUCCACUUGCUGCGAACUUGCUUGUCUGUUUUCCUUAUUUUUCCACCUGCUCUCCUCAUUUAAUACGGAGGCUGCAACAUCGUCGAAAACUAGACUGUCCACUGGAUUGUUGUUCGUCAGGUUAAUGAUGAGCUGAUUAUACGAAUCUGGUAGACUUUGAAGUAGAAGCUCUGCAUGUUCAUUUUCCUCUAUAUUAUGACCCAACGUUGUGAGUUGUGAAAAUAGAGUUUUCAAGGUGUUGAUAUGGUCGGUCACCAUUGUAGAUUCUGCCAUUCGAAGAGUAUAGAGUUUCCUCUUCAAAAAGAUUUUGUUGUGUAGUGACUUGGCCUCGUACAAUUUUGUGAGAGUAUCCCAUAUUUCCUUCGCUGUAUUUUUCUCUGCCACACUGGAUAAUACUCCAUCCGCAAGUGCCAAGUCUAGAUCAGAAAUGGCGUUGCCGUCUACCUCGUUCCACUUGUCAUCAGUUAUCUCCACGGGCCUUUCUCUAAUUGCUGCCAAACAAUUAUUUUUCCUCAAUACAGCUUUUAUCUUCAUUUUCCACAACGAAAAAUUAUUUCUAUUAAACUUCUCAAUUUCAUAUUUUACUGCCAUUUUGAUGAUAAAUACCGCACACAAGCUAGUGUACCACCUUGAAUAGUUGUGAGUAUGUGUAAGAAUACACACCAAGAAAGUUCCUAGUAAAGACUGGAGGGGUCACAAUGGUCCCACUUAAAACCCAGACUCCUUAAGCUCUUAUCGCCUUUGUAGCAGAACUUUCCUAUACAUGUACAAAACCACACAGUUGCUUUACUCACACCACUAUUCUGAAAUACAAGUAUGCAACCCAAGAUGGGGGUGAAUUGAGAUUCUAAAAAUUAUUCAAUUUAUAAAGAAAAACUUAAAACAAAUAUAAUCCAAAUUCAAAGCAAUAACAAUUAAGUUGAUCACAAUAUAAAAAGAUAAGGGAAGAGAAAUUCAAACACAGAGAUUUUUACGUGGUUCGGCCAACCUCGCCUACGUCCACGCCUCCAAGCUUUUCGGGCUUGAGGAUUCCACUAAACAAGCCUCCAAGGCUUCAAAUGCUUACACUUGACUUCCAAGGUGUCAAUAACCUUUACAACAAGAGAUUAUCCCAAUCUCUUUAACCCAAGUGAAUCCCAACACUUACAACCACUCAAAACAAAAGAUUUCAAAUUUGUUUUGCCUCUCACAAUAUAUAAGAUUACACAAUGAUGCCCAAUAUGUGAAUAGAUGAAGUAAGAAUGUGUUCUAAGCUAUAUGAAGAUUGUAUUCUCGAAUAUAAGCUCAAUAGUCGUGUUGUGAUCAAUCUUCUUUGAAUUUGAAUGAGCUUAUUUAUAUUUGGAGCUGAAAAACUAGCCGUUACAAACUAUCGGCCCUAAACGGUUUGCCGUUAACUAUUAACGGUUAACCGUUUAAGCUGGUCAAAAGUUACCGUUGGGCCAAAUUUUAAAUAAACGGUUUGCCGUUUUAUGAUUACCCUUUCGCCGUUAAAUUCCAGAGACCUGCAAGAUGAACAUCAGUUAUCCGUUUACAUUAAACGGUUAAGGAUUUGCAUGAAGUGACUUCUCUGGAUAUUAUCGGUUAACCAUUUGUAAUAAACGGUUCGCCGUUUGUUUUCAGUAACCUGCAAAACAAUUUAGGCUUAUUCGGUUUUGUUAAACAGUGCCAGAGGAGUACAACCUUCAAUUCUGGAUGUUAUCGGUUAACCGUUUCAAUAAACGGUUCACCGUUAAAUUCCAGUAGCUUUCCCAUCUUUUGUGUUUUCCGUUUUUCACAAACGGUUAGAGCUUAGGCAAUAUGUUGCUUUCUGGUAUUAAUCGGUUAACUAUUUAAAAGAAAACGGUUCACUGUUUAUUUUCAGAAUCACAUUUUAAACCAGUUUUUGCAGAGAAUCUUUUUCUAAUUUGAAAGUCCAUCUUUUAUGAAUAUGAAUGGAAUGAUUAUUAAGGCUUUCGUUUAUUAAGGAAUAGCUCCAACAUUUUUAUCAAAAACCAUUUAAAGUUUGUUAUCAUCAAAAUCAAUAUUAUUAAAAAAUUCAUGUUAACAAUCUCCCCUUUUUUUAUGAUGACAAACUUCAUUCAAUAUAUAGCUCCCCCUUAAUAUGUACUCCCCCUAAAUGUAUGGCCAAAUUAAGAAAUGUCCAAUAAAAAGAUUUUUGCUCAAGAAAACAUUUUUAAAUUCAUUUAAAUACAUUCUAAAUCUCCCCAUAAUUCUCUCCCCCUUCAUCAUCAAAAAGAAAAGAGAGAAAUAAAAAAAAAACAAAAAACGCAAGUCCGUUAAAGAAGUUACCCGGUUUUGGUGAGCGAAAAUUUUGGCAGAGUUUCCCUUUAAAAAUGAGCAAAACCACUAAUACAAAAUGAGAUUAAAACACUUCCAAAAUAUAUUAACAACAAUUCCAUCUUUCAACAAACCAACAACGCCAUGAACAAACAAACCAACACUUCAAUAUCCAAGAAACCAACAAUUUCAUCAACCAAUUACCAAGUCAUCCAACAUCAAGAACAUCACAAAAAUAUGUCAUCAAAAUCCAGAAAGAGCAUAUAGAGGUAACAGUGUGUAUAAAAAUAUAAAUGGAAACACGCAAACAACCAAAAUAUGAAAUGUAUGUGCGAAAAUAGAACUCAGAAACUAUGGAGGUGGAGAAGAUGUGCUCCCCGGAUCAUAGCCGAAAUAGCGGAGAAGAGUGCGCUGUCCAGCAAUAAGCUCAAGCUGCUGAUCAAUGCUCUGCUGCUGGAAGGUCUGAAAGUCAGAACGUAGCUGCUGGUGGGUGAGGCAGACAUGCAGCUAAAGUAAAAUUGGAAGAAAAUAAAAAACAAGAACAAAAGAGAAUACCAGAAAUUACGUGGUUCGGCUUUUAGCCUACGUCCAUGGGCGAAGACAGAAGGAAAAUAUUAUACUAGUGAAAAGGAGUUACAAAUAUUGUAGUAUUUUAGCUCACUACCCAAAACCCCAAUACACCCAAACUCUCAAAUCACUGAGCACACAAAAUUCUUUGCUCUACAAGAAUUACUUCUCACAACUCUCAACUCUCUCUGCAAAAUUGGAUGCUAAAUGAAAUGGGGAGCUCUCCCUUUUAUAGCCAAAAAAUGGCUAUUAAAUUAAAAAAAAAAUUUCCUUUGGGCGGUACUAAAUUCUUCUUUUUCUUCUUUCUCUUUUGUUUCUUUCUUUGAGUGGCACCUCCCAACCAAGACUUUAACUCUUUCUUUGGGCGGCACCUCCCAACCAAGAAUCUACAACUUCAGCCCCAGGAACAGAAUCGAUCCCACUUAAAAUUUCAAUUUUGCAAUGCAGCUGAGGGGCAUGUGCCCUGUAAGAAUUGAUCCUAAAAUUGCCAUUGACAUGGACCCCACGAAGCUUGAAGAUUUCUAUAUUACAUAGCCAAACCUAAGUGAUAAGAAUUUUCAUAUGAGAUAUAAUUUUGGGAAAAAAACCAAUUCAAGUUAAAGAUAAAAAAUCUGUGUUACUUAAAUUCAAGCCACACAAUUUUUCUUGUUUUAUUUGAAAAAAAGAAAAUUGUGUUCCUCACAAAAACACUUUAACAUUUGUUGUCUCAUAGAGGGAAAUGUCCUUCACUCUUUGACGUAUCCCUGGGGCAAUGUAAGUUGACUUUACAUUAAAACAAAACAAUUGAAACGUUGUCCACAAACAUUGUCAUGUAGUUAAGAAAAACUUAAUUUUGACAAGUGCAAGAGAUUGGUGGGACUCAUUUGAUUCAAGAAAAACAAUCAGUCUCAUUUGAUACGCAAAGAGCUUUUCUACUCUGCGGCCAAUAUUUUGAUGAAUGUGACAUUAUCUCAAUUUUACUUCUGUAGGUUUGUUGUUUGUAUAUUAUCUCAAUUUUUUAAAAAAUGUAAUUGCAAUUAUCAAACAUGACUAAUCCCAACAAUUUAUCCAAAAAAUUUUGUUUCAAGAAAUGUAGCAUUUAUGAUAGAAUGGCUAAUUUUUUCAAUCGACUUUCUGGAUAAAUGAUAAUUUUUUGAUAGAAAUGUUACUUACUUAUUACAAGAAGAAAAUUAUAGAAUAAUUUUUUGAAUUAAUAGUAUUACUUUACGAUAACACUAUCACAAUCUAAUUUUAAAAAGAAAUAAAGUUAUUCUUUAAAUUUCGCAUUACUAUUCCUACUUUUCUUGUUAUACUACUUAAUGGCACUGGUGAAGCCUCGAAUUAUCAACCAAAAAGCAAAAAUAGUUCAAUAUCUGCUGUCCCACUGAGCAUUGUUAAAUUCAUACGAUAAAAUGAGUACUUAUAUUAAAAAAACAAUCGGUCUCAUUGCGUGCUCUUUCAUUGACAUAGGCAAUUUGCUGUCAACUUGUGGCACUUUUACGAAUUUUCAAGACAGGUGAAUUUUUCAAAUUUAAAAGAAAAAAAUACAGAAAUGUAAUUUCAAUUUAUCCAAAAAUUUGAGUUUCAAGGAAUACGGCAUUUAUUAAAUGUCAUGUUAAUAUAGAGAAGAAAAUUUUAAAAACUUAUUUUUGGAUGAAUAAAAGUAUUUUCUGAUAAAAUAUUUCACAAUCAAAUUUAAAAAAUUUCACUCCUCUUGGUACAUAAUUUAAGAAUUUAACAUUAUAAAUUAAUCUUUCUAAUCAAAGUAAUAAUCUCUCCUCGGUCUGCAAAUGCUAAAAUUUAAAUAUUAUAUCCAUUGACAAUAUUUGCUCCAAAUUCACGAAAACAAAAUUUCAAACAGAAUUAUGAAAUUCGUUACUAGAAAUUUGUAUAAAAGUUGUGAGAAUAGAAGGUUUGAUCAUAGGAAAUUAAUAUAUCCCUAUCCGAUGCAAAAAUGAUUGUAAAGAAAAACAAAAGUCACGGGCUUAUUUAGAAAAAAAGAAAAAAUUACAUUCCAUUUUCCAGUUAUUAAAGUAAUUCUAAAAUCGCUAGGAUCACAAAGGAUAGGCUUUGGUUGACUGAGGUCAGCCUUAACGCAUGCCGGUCUUUUUCUCCUCUACAUUCUUAGAAAUUUUGGUUUCACUAUAAAUACUCGGUAUAUAGCAAACUUAUAAGUGUUCUUGCAUUACCAAUCCAACUAAGCACACGCUUACAAUAUAAAUACUCUCAUCUCGUGGAAAGAGUUCAUUCACUCAGGAUGAUGAGCAGAUUUCUCUUACUCCAUUGUUUGAUUCUUAUUUCCUUCUUUAUCGCGGCAGCAACAGCCAACACAAGUUCUACUAUCACAGACCGAGAUGCUCUGUUAGCCCUGAAAGCUCGCAUAACUCAUGAUCCGACCAAUUUCUUGGCCAAGAAUUGGAACACAAGUACUCAUGUUUGUAAUUGGACAGGCGUCGCUUGUGAUGUCCAUAGCCAUAGAGUCACAGUCUUGAAUAUUUCAAGCUUAAAUCUCACAGGCACCAUCCCUUCUCAACUUAGGAAUCUUUCUUCUCUGCAAUCACUCAAUCUCAGUUGUAACCGACUUUCUGGUUCCAUUCCCUCCGCCAUCUUCACCAUAUAUACACUGAAAUAUGUUAGUUUCCGUGAAAAUCAGCUCUCUGGCGCUUUCUCUUCUUUCAUCUUCAACAAGUCUUCUUUACAACAUCUUGAUUUUAGUCACAAUACACUGUCUGGUGAAAUUCCUGCAAAUAUUUGCAGUAGUCUUCCUUUUCUGGAUUUCCUUUCUUUGCAAGAAAACAUGUUGCAUGGAGGAAUACCGUCCACUCUAUCAAAUUGCACAUAUUUGCAAAAAUUAGGUUUGGUAUACAAUAAUUUCUCGGGGGCCAUACCUAAAGAAAUCGGCAAUUUGACCAAACUUAAGAUAUUAUAUCUUGGCGGUAACAGACUCCAAGGUGCGCAUGAUCACAGAGUUUAAUUAUGAAAGUUGUUCCAUAAGUUGUAAUAUGAAUAACGUUCCAUAAUACAGUUUACACACGUUGAUUAAUUUGCAGGAGAAAUUCCUCGAGAGUUUGGCAAUCUUGCCGACUUGGAACGGAUGUCGUUAUCAGAAAACAAUCUCCAAGGUAUGAUUUUAAACUUUUUGCAAUUUUAUUUUAGCGAUGCUUGCUUCUGUAUUCAUUCGCUUGUUCUUUGAUUAUGCGAUGAUUUAUUGUUUUUCUUUCAGAUAGAGAUAAAGCUCCAUGUCUCCCCUCACUCAUUUCAUUCUUUAAUUUAUGCAGAUAAAAAUAAAAAAAAUGUUUUCUAAUUUUCUUUUGUCAUAUUGCCACUUCCAUUUUGAAGCUCCCAAUUAAGUCGAUGAAAAUGAAUGAUGUUUCAUUCUUAUUCUUGUCAGCCUAAUUCUUAUAUAAUUGAAGAAUAAAUUGUUAUUACGAUAUUCGUCAGCCAAUAAAUUCUUCUUUUUUUUCCCCCCAAACAUGAGUGAUCAAAUUGUUUGCGCAUUUAUAAAUGUACUUAAUUUGCAGGAGGUAUUCCACGGGAAUUGGGGAAUCUUACAAAAUUGGAGAUAUUACAGCUGUUCCGGAAUAACUUGACCGGUAACUUUCUUUACAAUAUAUAUAGAGACAUCUUCCGCUUUUUAUUAGAAAUUAUAAAUUCAAGUUAAAUCUUAAUUAAAAGAUUUCAAGUCUCUCAUUAUAAAUUCUCAUAUGAGGAUGUGUCGUUACCACUAUCUAACAUUAUUCUGUUUUUUAUUAGAAAUUAGUUUGUGUUAAUUCAAAAUUCUGUAGCAUUUAAAAAAAUUAAAAACACGUGGAAUAAAUUGUUAAUCUUUCUUCUUUACUGAAUUUGGAUUUCUCAAAAAUAAUCUUGACAAGUAUGCUUCACUAAUGAUACGCAUGUGUGACAACUUCAUAAAAUAUUUUACAGGGAAUCACUAAUUAUGUUUAAAUAAUUAGAGAUGCCAGCAGUGAUACAUAAUUUCUUAACAAGCACCAUACCAAAAGAAAUCAACAAUUUUAUUAGUCUUAAAGAGUUACAUUUUCACUGCAAUUAUAACAUAAAUUUUUAGUCAUCAAUUGCAUAAUAUUUUAUCUUAACGGAUGAUGUUUAGUCUUGGAAUUUAUAAUAUCUUGAAGGUUAGUAGCUGUGAAAAUAAGAAAUUGUUCAUUUGCUAAAAAGUUAACUUAGUAUUUAAGUUUUUCAAUUGAAAAAUAGGCUUGAAGAAAUUAUUGUUGUGUGUGCUUAUUCUACUUGGGCUUUGGGCUUGAUUACACGGUCGAGCACUUACACCUGUCGUACUAAUAGGCUUUUACUUUGACCACACGUUUGAUAAUUUCUUAACCUUCCGAAUUAAAUCUGAUUAUAAUUCUUUUAAAAUACAGAUUAAAUAGCACGUGAAAUCGGAAAAUAUUUUACUGCGAUAAGAAUUCAUAUAUUCAUUACACACGGUCGAACACUUACACAUGUUAGAAUAAUAAUAGCAUCCGCCAAUCGACUAUGAGUGAUCAAAUUGUUUGCACAUAUGUAAUUUGCAGGAGCAAUUCCACGGGAGUUGGGAAAUCUUACAGGAUUGGGGGUCUUAGAGCUGUCUGAAAAUUUUUUGACCGGUAUCAUUCCUUCAUCUAUCUACAGAUUGCUUUUCUCUAUUAAAUUUGGAAUUGUCAUUUAAUAACUUAACAAGUAACUUCCCUUACAACAUGUCUGUGUGACAUGUUUUGCUUCUAAAUUUAAAGGUCUCACGUCUCUCAUUAUAAAUUCUUCUAGGAGAUGUAUUGUUACUACUAUUUAACAUUACCUCGUUUUUUAUUAAAAAUUAAUCUGUAUUUAUGCAAAAAAAAUUAUUAUCUAAAAAAGGUAUAAAAACACGUGGAAUAAAUCGCAAAUCUUUCUUCAUUACUGAAUAUGGAUUUCUCAAAAAUUAUCAUGAUAGCUAUGUUAGUGUCUUACUAAUGAUAUGCAUGUGUGACAGCUUCAUAAAUUAUUUUACAUGGAAAAUAUGAAAAAUAAACUUGAAAAAAAAUUAUUUUACUGAAAUAAUAGUUAAAAAGGGAGGAGAAGUACAAUACUCAUGACUUAGGCUUGCUGUGUACUUAUUUUACUUGGGAUUCGGGCUUGAUUACACACGGUCGAACACUUACAUCCCACGACAUAAGCUUUUAGGGAUGAGUGGCGUAAAUGUGUAUCUGCUCUUAUGUAUUAUUAUUCUUUGAAACAAAUCUGAUUAUAAUUCUUUUAAAAUACAGAUUAAAUAGCACGUGAAAUCGGAAAAUAUUUUACUGCGAUAAGAAUUCAUAUAUUCAUUGUUCUAGCACAUAUAAAAUAGACUAUAAAUUUAGUUCCAAAAUACAUUCUUAUCUUCAUAUAAAUUUUACAUUAUUAAUUUAAAUUAAUAUUAAAAUAUAUUGUUUCUUUCACUAUGUUAUUUUAUUUACACAAUGAUGUGACUAUUGGAAUGAUUAAUACUUAUAAUUAUUUUGUAAAAAUAUAAAUUUAAUACUUUGUUAACAUUUUAUCUACAUAUAAUAAUUAAACUGAAACUCGUAUUUAAAAAAUUCUAGUUACGCAUAUUCAUUUCAUGACAUAAAAGUGUAUAUUUAUGCUAAUUUACCAUUAUCAACAAAAUGCUUUGAGAGACAAGUAAUCUAAUUUAUAUUUUUAUAUUUAAAAUACUUCCAUUUAUUAUAUUUUGAAAAAAAUUUAUUUGCAAUUAUUUUAAACCCUGGAUUCAAAUUUUCGUAGUUAUUAAAGUCAAAGGGUAUAAAUGUAUAAUAGUCAAAAACAGAUUUGUAUGAUCAUGUAUAAAUUUUCUUAGUUAGUAGGAAAAUUAGAAAUUGUUGAUUUACUCAUAAAUAAAUUUAAUGUUUUGCAUUUCAAUUUUGGAAAACUUGAGCUAAACGUUGAUAACUUCGAAUUGGUCGAGCCGAGUUUCGCUUCCUCGACCCACGGACCCAUUGAAAGUUCUAUUAAAAUUGAGUUUCCCGGUGCUAAUAAAAAGCAUUUCUUUUCCUUGUCCCAGUAAUUUAUUCACAAAUGAGUUGAUUAGCAUCGAAGUUGCCUGAGAGUCUGAGACCAUACUAGUAGGAGAAAUUUGAAAAGAAAUUAUUUUAUUGAAUUAAUUUAUUUUAUCUUGUUGUAACUGAAAUACUACUUUUUUUUGGGAUGUCACUAGGUCUUGAUUUACUUUAAUAGUAGCAGCCACCGACUUAGGCUUUUUUUACUUCUCACUACACAAUUUGAUCUUUUAAUUCGUUUUAACCACAUAAUCUAUCUAUUUCUCACCUAUUGCUUACUUAAAUUGCAUACAUAUUUUACCUACUAAUUUUUAUAAAUAUUAGUCAAAUAUAUUUUAUUACGUUUCUCUCGUAAUUGCUCCAAAUGUGUACUAUUAAUACUUAACCCUCCCUUUUAAUUUACCGUGCAAUCUCUAUCACUUAAGUCACAUAUAUAUUUUACCUAUAUUUUACCCCAAAAAAUAUAAAAAUAAAAGAAAAAGAAUAUGUGUAGCAAUUUGUAUAUAACUAACAAAGCAUUGACAGCGUGUAGCCUUUCAAUACUUCACGAGUGGCUUUUUCUUGUGUGUUAGUACUUGUAAUAAUUGUGUAGCGUAUAAAUGACAUUUUAUUAUUAAAGUGCGUCCAUUUUUAGAUAUUACUUAUUAUUUGAAAAAUAAUCUGAAUAUAAUCUUUUAAAAUACAGGGGAGAUACCACUUGAAAUCGGUAAUCUCCAAAAUCUGGAGGAGUUGGAACUUGGUCAUAACAAAUUAAUUGGUACUGUCCCAGUUGCAAUCUUUAAUGUGUCAACAACACUCAAAUUACUUGGGCUUCAAGAUAAUUCUCUCUCUGGAGGUCUUUCGUCCAUCGCAAACGUCCGACUACCAAAUCUUGAAGAGCUUUAUUUGUGGGGUAAUAAUUUUAGUGGCACAAUUCCUCGUUUCAUCUUUAAUGCUUCUAAGCUCUCUAUACUAGAUUUGGACAAGAACUCAUUCUCCGGUUUUAUUCCCAACACAUUUGGCAACUUAAGAAACCUUGAGUACCUUGAUUUACAAUAUAAUUAUUUGACAUCUUUAACUCUAGAAUUGAGCUUUCUAUCCUCGUUGUCAAAUUGCAAGUCUUUAACACUUAUUGGCUUAUCAAAUAAUCCACUAGAUGGCAUUCUUCCAAGGACGUCUGUCGGUAAUCUUUCUCAUUCUUUGAAAUAUUUUAAAAUGCACAAUUGUAACAUUAGUGGCGGCAUCCCUGAAGAGAUCAGCAACUUGACCAACUUGAUGACCAUUGAUUUAGGAGGCAAUAAAUUGAAUGGAUCGAUUCCGAUUACUCUCGGCAAAUUACAAAAGCUUCAAUGGUUGAGUCUUGAUGAUAACAAAUUAGAAGGAUCAAUCCCAGAUGAUAUUUGUCGUUUGGCUGAACUGUAUUUAUUGGAGCUGGGCGGCAAUAAGCUUUAUGGAUUAAUCCCUGCAUGCUUCGGUAAUCUGGCUUCUCUGAGGAUACUGUCGUUGUGUUCCAAUGAGUUAACUUCUAUUCCCUUAACGUUUUGGAACCUUAAAGAUAUCUUGCACCUCUACUUUUCUUUAAAUUUUUUUACUGGCCCACUCCCAUUAGAGAUUGGAAAUUUGAAGGUUUUGAUUGGAAUUGAUUUUUCGAUGAAUAAUUUUUCAGGCGUUAUCCCAACAGAAAUUGGAGGCCUAAAAAAUCUAGAAUCUCUCUUCUUAGGAUAUAAUAGAUUACGAGGAUCGAUUCCUGAUUCAUUUGGUGAUUUGAUAAGUUUGAAAUUCUUGAAUUUGUCCAAUAAUAAUCUCUCUGGGGCUAUUCCUACAUCUUUAGAGAAACUCUCAUAUCUUGAAGAUCUAAAUCUUUCUUUCAACAAGCUAGAAGGAGAAAUUCCUAGGGGAGGAUCUUUUGGAAACUUCUUAGCUGAAUCAUUUGAGGGAAAUGAAUUAUUAUGUGGUUCACCCAAUUUACAAGUCCCGCCAUGCAAAACUAGCAUCCACCACACAUCAUGGAAAAAAUCUCUUCUCCUAGGGACUAUCUUGCCAUUGAGUACUACAUUUAUGAUAGUAGUCAUUUGGUUGAUCCUAAGAUAUCGACAGAGAGGAAAACGACCAUCGAAUGAUGCUAAUAUGCCACUAGUAGCAACGUGGAGAAUGUUUUCAUACCUAGAACUUUGUCGAGCAACAAGCGGAUUUAGUGAAAACAACCUAAUCGGCAGAGGAGGUUUUGGCUCUGUUUAUAAAGCAAGACUUGGGGACGGGAUGGAGGUUGCAGUGAAGGUUUUCAAUUUGCAAUGUGAAAGAGCGUUUAAGAGUUUCGAUGUUGAAUGUGAAGUGAUGAAAAGUAUUCGCCAUCGAAACCUUAUCAAAGUUAUUAGCAGUUGUUCAAAUGAAGAGUUUAAAGCGUUGGUAUUAGAAUACAUGCCUCAUGGAAGUUUGGAGAAGUACCUGUAUUCAAGUAACUGCAUUUUGGAUAUUUUUCAAAGACUGAACAUAAUGAUAGAUGUUGCAUCAGCUUUGGAAUAUCUGCACUUUGGUUGUUCAACUCCAGUAAUUCAUUGUGACUUAAAGCCCAACAAUGUAUUGUUAGAUGAUAAUAUGGUUGCUUAUUUGAGUGAUUUUGGCAUCGCGAAGCUCUUAAUUGGAGAAGAUCAGUCUAUGACUCAGACACAAACACUUGCCACAAUAGGUUAUAUGGCACCAGGUCUGUUCAAUAUAAAUAUUUUCUAUUUCUUGUAAACUUCCUAAUAAGUUAUUUAUGUUUCAUAAUCUUCAUUAGAUGAGGAAAUUAUUAUUAAUGAUAUAUCUUUCUAUGUAAAUAUUGCAAUUCAUAGAGUAUGGAAGAGAAGGACGCGUAUCCACAAAUGGAGAUGUUUAUAGCUUUGGAAUUAUGUUAAUGGAAACGUUUACCGGGAAGAAACCCACAGAUGAAAUUUUUAAUGGAGAAAUGACAUUAAAGCAUUGGGUUAAUGAUUGGCUACCCAUUUCCACUAUGGAAGUUGUUGAUGCUAAUUUGCUAAGUCAGGAGGACGUACAUUUUGUUGCAAAGGAGCAAUGUGUGUCAUUUGUCUUCAAUUUGGCUAUGGCGUGCACUGUGGAAUCUCAUGAGCAGAGAAUCAAUGCAAAAGAAAUUGUAACAAAGCUCUUAAAAAUUAGAGACUCAUUACUUAGAAAUGUUGGAGGCAGACGUAUAAGACAACCAAAUUUAAAUUGACUCUACCCCUCCAUUGCUUGCUAUCCUUUUCAGAGACUUGAACGGUUAUCCUUUAUACCAGUUUUGUUGAUAUGUUUUGUUAAUGCUCUUGCUCAUGUCUGUUUCUCUAUUUCUUUAAUUUGCAUGCAUGUAUUUUUCGUUCUCUUUUAUGUUUUUGUUGGUUUGUAUGUAGUUUGUUUUUAGGGGUAAGGUUGAUUAUGUCCUCCCCUAAUCAGGCGUAUCCUUUUUAUGUUUAUUCAAUAAAGCUUCUCUAAUACUAUCAAGGUUCAUCAAAAGAAAAUUUUUAAUUAAUUUUCUUUUCUUUGACAGGUAAUGAAAUUCUAAUCUACAUAGUGAAUAACUUCAAUAAUAGAGUGCAAUAGUAUUAGUAGUUAUGGUUGUUUUUUUAACCUGGAGUCAAGAGCAAUUUAACAGCAACAAACAAGUCUCUUGUAUUAUAGGCAAAAUUCUUUUCAUUAAUCUUAUUUGUCUACAUGUUCUCCUAUUUUCUCCAUUAAUCUUCGCUCAAGGUUUCAUGCUUCCCCUUUGAUAAAGGAAAAUAUUACUCGUGAAUAUUUCAAAUUUUCAAUUUGACAUGAGCGACUGAUUGUCAGCCAUUUGAUAAAAUGGAUAUGAGUGGAGUUUUCAAUCAUUACCUCCACCAAAAUCCUUACAACGCCACUUUUUAAUUUUAUUUUUUAAAAUAUAUUUCUUUUAAAUUUUUAUUAUAAAAUACUUACAAAUUCUAAACUAUUAAAUUAUUUUCUUCUUAUUACAUAGUUUAUAUCUCCAUAUCUCUAAACUCCUAUAAUUUUUUAAAAAAUAUUAUUUAAUUUAAAAUAUAAAUAUAAAAUAUAGAAUGGAGUGAGUAUAAAAAACUUGUUAAAAGAAUAAUUCAUUUAAGUAUUUAACUGAAUUUUAAAUUAAAAUAAGAAAUCAAUAAAUUUAUUUUUUAUUAGUUAAGUAAUUUUCAAUUGAAAAAGAGCUUUAUGAGUAAUAUUAUUGAAAUAUGAUUAAAAUUCUUAUGAAUUAAACAUUUUCGUAUUAAUACUAGUGAUAAUUAUAGAGAAAAUACGAUGAAGUGAAAAAACUUAAAUAUAAAUACUCUAGUAUAAUUUUACACAUGCAACUUAUGAACCAGUGAUCUUCAGAGCAUCAUAAAAUUGUUUUAACACAAUUAAUUGGUUUGAAAAAUUGCCAAUAAUGUCUACAGUGGGAUUUAAAAGAUUAAACUACAUAUAUAAGACAUGAUAUCAUUUAAGACGGCUUACAGAUUAUAAGAAAUAUUUUGAUCUUCCAAAUAUUUAAUAUGUCAAUUAGACUGAGUCUAUGCAAUGAAAAUUUCAAAUAAAAAAUAAAUCUCUUAUUUUCUUUUAAUCAUAAGUGUGAUCUUAAUUAUUAAAGUCAUUUAAUGUCCAUUACUUAUUCAUUUUUUUAAUUACCUAAAUGACAUUGAAAACUCUGAAUAUUAAUUCAUUCAAAUGUUUUGUUUUAAGGUAAUUGGAAACUGCAAAUGAAACAAAUACUUGAAAUCACAAACAGCCUAAAAUUAGAUUUUCAUUUUUCAAUGUUGCAGUGACUUUGAUCUUGAUAUUGAAAUUUUAUUUGUAACUUAUAUAAAGGCCUCAAUUUUAUCAUAAUUGGUUAGUAAGGCUACGUAGGGAGCAUCGACAAAUUUUGGGAUUGGAUUAUAUUUUUGGAACUAAAAAAUUAAUUUCAUCCAAUGAUAUGUUUGGCUAUUAGGACUAGCAACUUCGUCUAAAAUUAUUGAAAUUAUUGAUGUUUUAUAUUAUAAUCUUUUCAUUACCACUUUAAACAUUAUUGGUAACUUAAAUCAUUUUUUAAAUUAAAUAUAAAAUUUAAUUUAAUUAAUUAUAAAAAUUAAUUUAAUUAAAUAUAAAAAUCAUUUAAAUUAAAUAUUAACAUUAAUUUCAUAAUUUUUUACCUAGAAUUUUAUAUUAUAUUAAAUACUAAAAUUCUAUUCGAUAAUGUAUUAUCAUUUAUUUAAUAAAUGUUUAGUAUGUUAUAUUAUUAUUUAAAUUAAUUUUUUUAUUUACAUAUAAACAUAAAUUAAUAUUUACUAAUUUAAAGUUAUUAUAAUUUGUUAAAUAAUAAAAGCUAAAUGAUUAUAUUGAAAAUAUAAAUAGUAUUCUAAUGUAUUAUAGUCUAAAUUUUACCCCUAUGAGUUUAUUUUAUACACCUUUUAUUAUAUUAACCACAUUUAUAAUGCAGUGCAAUGUAACAAAAAAUUACAACCAAAUAUGAAUUAGCAUGAAAAUAAUAUUUUAGUGCAAUAUAAUACAAUGUAAUGUAAGCUAACAAAUGGAUAUUUAAUGGAAGCAAAAAUUGCAUAUGGCUUGUGGGUCUCUUAAAAGACAACAAAAAAAACCAAUAUGAUAUACUGAUUUCGUCCUCUUUAAUGGUGUCUUUACUAAAUGGGAAUCAGAAUAAGUUAGAAUUGGAAUGAGCUUGAAUCGAAAUAAAGAAUUAGAAUCAAAAUAAGUUGUUUAUUGAAGUUGUAUAAAUUAGAAUCAAAAUAAGUUGUUUAUUUAAGCUGUAUGAAUCAGAAUCAAAAUACAAAUUGAUGUGUUUAUUUUCUCUUGAAAUUAGAAUGGACUAUUACAAGUUACUAAAAAAUCAUUUGGUAAUUGUUGUCUCUAGUAUUAUUUGUAUCUGUUAUAAUGGUAACAAUAAUAAGAAUAAAAAUAAUACUAAAAAUGAAAAUAAUAAUAAUAGUAGAGACAAUAAUAAUAAAAUUAAUAAAUUAUUAUUAUUAUUAUUACUACUACUACUACUACUACUAGUGCUGAAGACCGCUCGGUGAAGAUUGGAGAGUGAAGAUGAAGAUACGAAGAUCCCGGUAACCAACUGCUGUUCCAAAGAUGAUGUGCCCAAAUGGAGACAACCAAUGAUGACUAGCCAACUAGAUCCCAAUCUCAAUGUUGUGAUCUCAUAUGACCACAGAUAAAGCUAUGUGUGAUGUUGGUGUUAUGAUUUCUUUUUUAUUUAUAUUUUUUAAUUUAUCAGUAGUAUUUUCACAUUUUUGUAAUUUUAAUAUGGACAAAUUGGAUAGUCCAAUGAACAAGAGACUGAUUCCCAACCAUCCUAAAAAUUAGUCUCUCAUUUUCUAUUUCUAAUUUGAUGUGAGUCCUGCUAUUUCGAUUCCAAUUCUUACAUUUAUUUGAGACAAAACUAUAGUGCAACUGUAGUAUCAUUGGAUCCAGCCACAGUUAUCACCAUGACUGGAUCUAAUGGUUGAAAGUAAUUGUGGUAUGAUAUCACAGUUGCACCAUAACUGGACAUUUAUUUGUGAAGUAAAAUGAUGUUAAUAAUUUUGAUUUCCAAUUCAAGAAGUAAACACAUCAUAAUAUUUUUUUAGAUGCUUCCAUGGCAUAAUCUCAUUGGUCCAUUUUUCUUCACGCCUUAGAUUCAACUUCAAGAUUCAAGAUUCAAUUUGAAGCAAACACAACUACAAAAAAAAUAUAAUAAGCGUUAAUAAGCAUGUGGCUGAAUGGCUGUGGCCAAGCAAAUGUAACUCAUAGUGACCGAAUCAUAUCUUAUUAUCUUACGCCAGAAGCUAAACAAUGUUCCCAUUCCACGUGUCACUCUCUGACCAAUCCCCGAACUUCUUCGUAUUUCCAAAGAAACCCUCACCAAGUCAAGAUAAUUACCUUCACUCUACUCAUAUAAAUGCUGUCCUCGAUUCGACUGAUGUCUGAUGACGACAUAUCCUUAGUCUUUAUUUAAAAGGGGAAAUUAUAAAAAAUUCUCCUCGUUCCCUAAAAAUCUAGGGUUUCUCAAGAAUCGCUAAACCUAGAUCCCAAUCCUUCAAAAUCUCAAUUUAACCUCUCUAGGGUUUCAAUUGUCGAGGAUUCGCUUCAAAAUUUAGUAUUUUUUAGGGGAUUUUGCUUGUCUCGUAUCCUUCAAUUGUUGUUCGGUUUUGAAAAUAAUUUGGAAUUUUAGGGAUUUUCAGAUUAUUUGGUUUUGCUUGAGUGCAAUUUCCUCUAGUUACGGUUUCAGUUUGAAGGGUUAAGUGCAGUUUGAAGGGUUAAGUGCGAUUUCGAAUAUUUUUAUAAAAUUAAAAUUAAAAUUCAUAAAACGAUUGGACGUUUAAUAAUUAAUUGAUGGCUAGCGAUACUACAACGGCGGCCGCAGCUGCGGAAGAAGCAGAGGCGGUGGAGGAGUAUGAUAGCGAUCCAGAUGAAGUGAAACACUCUCUUGCGAUGCGCAGAAGGGAAGCCAGCGAUGAGGAGGUUGAGGAGGAUAAAGAUUCAGAGCAAAACCAAAUCAAGGUAAUUACCGUCACUCGGCUCAAAUAAAUAGUCUCCUCGAUUCAACUGAUGACGACAUAUCUCAUAGUCUUUAUUUAGAAGGGAAAAUUAUAAAAAAAUCCCAUCGUUCUCUAAAAGUAUGGUGUUUCUCAAGAAUAGCUAAACCUACAUCCCAAUCCUGCAAAAUCUCAAUUUAACGUCUCUAGGGUUUCAAUUGUCAAGGAUUCGCUUCAAAAUUUAGUAUUCUUUUAGGUGGUGUUUGGUUGGAAGGAGAGGAAGGAGGAAAGUGAAGUAAUUUAAUUUUUUUUUUAUUUCUUUUGUUUGAUUUACCAUAAUUUAUAAGAAUUUAAUUUUCAUUAAAAUUUAAUAUACAUCAUGAUGUAGAAUUUAGAUUCCACCCCAAAGAGUGAUGAAUUUGAAUUCCUCCUCUAUUGAAAGCCAAAAUAUCCAAAAUUGCCCUUUCAAUUUUUUAUUAACUUGUUUAAUAUUAUCAAAUUAUUAUUAUUUACAAUUUUAUUUUAUCAAUUUAAUAUUGUAAAUAAUUAAUUUUGUAAUAGUAAAAGUUAAAUAAUUAAUAAAAUCACUUUAUUUAUUUAAUUAAUUUUAAAAAUAGAAAUACAAAUUUAACAGUCGCCGGAUCGCCGCUGCUGCUGCUAACAACCUCGCGUGAGACGUCACCACCUGUACUGUUGGAGUCGUUGGACGACAAGAAACGUCAUUUUACCGUCACGUAAGUGAAAAAAUGAAUUUAUGUUCCUCAAAUUCGGUUAACAUAAAUUUAAAAACUUUCUAACUAUCUCAGAUCCGGAUAGCAUUCGAGUUUUUUGGCCAAAUAAGUUGUUUCAAUCCAUAGAUCGUCAAGUUCUGAAAAUUUUCAUGUAAUUAGCGAGUUGAAAUGACAUGAUGCAGUGGUGGCCGACGGCGAGAGGCGGCAGCUCCGACAGCGGCGGCAACUCUUUUUUUUUUGUUGUUCAAAUAAAAUUUUAAAAUUAUAAUAUAUUAAUUAAGAAAUUAUUUGUAUUAUGUCAUAAUUUAUUUAGAAAUAAAUUAAAUUAAACUAAUUUUAAAAUAAAAUUAUGUUAAUAAACUUUUUAAAUAGAGUUUAAUUAUAAAUAUAAUUAUACUACUUAAAUAAAAUUUUAGUAGUUAUUUAUAUAAUAUAUUAAAUAAAUUUAUUGUUUAAUUUUUGAAUUAUAUUUUAUGAUAAAUAUUGAAAGUUUAACCCUAAAGGGUGAAAUUGUCCAAAUAAAAGUUAAGACAUUUUCUUUCUUUGUAUAAUUUUAUAACAAAUCAAACAUUAGAAAAGAAUUUUAAUGUACUCUCUCCUCUCCUCUCCUCUCCUCUCCCUCUUUUUCUUAAAACCAAACACCACCUUAGUGGAUUUUGCUUGUCUCCUAUCCUUCAAUGGUUAGUUCAUUUCUGAUAAUAAUUUGGAAUUCAGUUUGAAGGGCUAAUAAUUAAUUGAUGGCUAGUGAUACUACAUCGGCGCCCGCGCCCGUAGCUCCGGAAAAAACGGAGCCGGUGGAGGAGUAUGAUAGCAAUCCAGAUGAAGUGAAACGCUGUCUUGCGACGCGCAGAAGGGAAGCCAGCGAUGACGAGGACGUGGAGGAGGAGAGAGAUUGAGGGCUUCCAAUGGCGAAGUUUCCACAUUCCUCCGGGAGAAGCGGAGGCUGUUGAUGAGUACGAGAACGAUCCAGAUGAAGUGAAAUACUCUCUCGUGAUGGGCAGAAUGGAAGCAAGCGAUGAUAAGGAGGAGGAGGAUAAAGAAUUUGGGCGUCGAAUGAACCGUAGGGUCCACAUUCAUUCUUACGAUGAAUCUGAUGGCCAAGGUGGUGUCCAGCUGAGUAUGAUGAUGGUGAUGAUGAAGAACAUGACAGAGAAUUAGAAGAAGAAGAUGAAGAGGGGGAUGUGAUAUGACUUCAUAUCAUUUAAUUUGUAUAACCGUGACGCCAAUCCCAUUCAUCCUGGUCCGAUCCGAACGGAUCUUGUUGAAUGAAUUGAUCCAUUGUUGUAUGCCUUACUUCUUAGUGAUUUUUUUCCUACUUGGAGCCGCCUUUGAGUACUCCUGAGAGAUAGAGUGGAAGCAUUUUGUUAUGGUGGAGAGUGGGGAGUGAAAAAGCCCAAUUCAGCAGAGAACGACAGCAUGAAUCGGAAUCCACUUAUAUUAUUAAGACAGACGACCGAGAAAGAAAGGCUCCACGUUCUCCAAGUGAUUGAUCUUAGCGUAGCGCGCUAGCCGCUGCUUCAUUUCGUAUAGUGACAACGCUUUCUUAGCGCUCCGCCCCCCCCCGGCGCAUAGUAAGGGGGACUCUGGUUGCGCGGCUUUCUCUUACAGUGGUCUAUUUUCUCUGACUUUACUCAACUUGUGUCGGUUAGAGUAUCGCUUUCGUACGGCGAGAGUUAUUGAUUCAAAUCCAAUAGUAGUUAAAACCGGGGGAAACCCCUGCUUUUGCCAGCAUGACAGCAAGCACGGACUGGCAGCAAAUGUGGUGCGGGUUCAUCUCUCUCGAGCAGUUCAGGUUCAAGGGAAGGGUGCUCGAGGGGUACUUGUCUUGUUUAUCAUUUUUGUUUAAUUUUCAUAAAUUCGACGACCCACAAUUCAAUUAUGAGUGAAGAGUUUGUUAAAAAAAUGUGGUCUUCCAUUUACUAUAACUAAGUCCGUGUGAUGUAAUUAUUUUUCUUUCACUUAAUGUCUUGAAAAUUAUGAAUACAUUGUAGGAUUUAGAAGGAUUUUAAAGUUUUAAUGCAUAUGGGUUUUUUAUGUCCAUCCACUUAUGCGUAUCCUGCAUUUUAUGAUUAUCGUUGUUGGUAGAUUGACAAAUGGACCUUAAUUACAAGUCAAAUAACCUAAAUACUUAUCGGCCAAAGGAAGCCAUUUACAGUACUUUCUAGUGAAGCAAAGUAAAAUGAUUCAUACUGGCAAAGAAAAUUAGAAAGAAAAGGAGGAUUACUGAUCCACACAGUGUCGUUUACUAAAAGUACGUUGAUCUUACACUUAAUUUAUUAUAUAUCCAUUUAUAAUGUUCAAAAUGAUAAUGUACUAUUUCUUAAAUUAGGCUUUCAAAACAUCAUUUUGAUAAUGCAUAGUUGUAAUGUGUCUCUAAAUUCAGUAAUACAAGUUAUUUCUGUUACUAAUGGAUGAAGUGACUUGAAACUUGCAUGGUCAUUAAAUGCUGGCAUAAUCUCUUUGACUUCUCUUGCAUUUGAAUGAAUGGAUGAGCGUUGCAUUUGAAUGAAUGGAUCAGUGUUAAUGCAGGCAAAGAUUUUCUGGACUUUCAUGGAUUCACAAUAAAUGCUACGUCAAAGGCCUGGUAAGAUGUCAGCAAGCUGGUCGAAGAUAUCAACCUGAUUUGGUGGCUGCAAGAUUUGUUCAUCCAGGACCGUUUUCUUUGACAAUGAGAAAGCCCCAAUGUCUAUAAAUUGAGAACUCACUGAAUUGUAGAGAGAGAGAGAGGAAAGUGAAUGACGGGAGAGGCAGUGAAAAGAGAGAGUGGGAAGAUUUGGGCGUAAUUGGGGUUUCGGAGUGAGAUAAAAUAAUCAGAGAGUGGUUGUAAUAAUUUUUUAUACGGUGAAAUUUUUUUGUCUCGUGUUGUUUUUUGCAGUGGUGGUUUUUUACUCUAAUAAAAUAGUCUUCCAAGUAAAUUUUGUGUGUUAUGAUUGGGAUAUUCACCAUUUUAGUUUUCUAUUUAUUAUUUGUUUUACAUAUUGCUAGCAAAAAUCUGGGGCGAGAACCGAAAAUUCCCAACAAUUAUUAAUUAUUUUAAACUCUGUUCUGAACAGAGCAUGAAGGGUUUCACUUACCUAGUUACGUUUUUCAUUCUUUCACUUCACUUGAUUUCAUCUUGUCCCUCUCCUUUAUAAAAGUUGCAUAUAUUGGAGUAUCAAGUUCAUCACAAGGAUCAUAUUCUGGCUAACGAAGGAGCAAAGUUCAUUGGCUGCACUCAUGUGUAGCAGAGUAUUUGGAUUCAAGACUGUUAGAAGGUCGUUACAGAGUAUUUGGAUUCACUCUCCAAUUUUCAUUAAUUUAGUGUAGCCAAGCUUUAACUAGAUAGGUAGAUAACGUGGUCAUGAAAACUUGAUUAAGAGUUUAAUGCAAUCAAAUCUACUUUAAUGAUUAUUUAAUGCACGGAGAUUUAACAUCAAUUAUCAUCACGUUAGUCUAACAACGAAAUUGCAGAGCUUGGAUCUUUACUCGAACAGUUUCACUGGCUGUAUUUCUGACACAUUGGGCAAGCUGAUGGAAUUGCAAUUCCUGUAUGAUCAUUUCCCCAACUAUUAUUUGAAUAAUUAUUUAAUGCCAUUAUUCCAGCUCUGUUUGGCUGUUAACUUUAUUUAGUUAUUUAUGAGGAGAUUCAUUUCUCACCUGAAGCUAGAAAUUUACGGAUCAAUGACUUUUUAUUUUUUCUUUUAUAUGAUAGCUUGCAAUCCCUGGUGUGUGUUGAUAGUGCCUUACAUGAAUACAAAAAUGAACAAAUUUUUUUUUUUUUUUUGGGGCCAAUUGCAGUUUUGAUAACAACUAAAAUCUGUGUGGUCCGGUUACCACAAAGCCUUGCCCCAGAUCCCUGCCAUUUUCUCCUCCACCUCCAUUUGGGGAAAUUACUACUUACUUUUUGCAAGUUUUUCGUGAAAUAUUUAUUUUGAGAAGAAAACCAACAAUACAUUUUAUGAUUUGGGCUGUUUCAAAGAUCUUCGCUUGAUGUCUCUGCUACUGGUUUUCAGCAGAGUGCCCAAAAAUAAUCAGUGCACGCACUAUAGGCUCUAUUAUUAUUAGUAAAAAGCGUUAAUGAUAUAUUGGGAUCGACUUUUUUAUUUGGGAGUGGAAGGAUGCUUGAAAGAGUAGAGUGGUGCAUCUUGUUCAAACAUGCACCGUAGAGCCAAUUCCAUUUUAUGAAAUAGGAGUUAGACUGAACAACGUUAUGUCUUCGUUAUCAUUUCAGAAGGAAACAAAUCAAAUGCAGCAAUUGAUGUAGGAGUUGCUGUUGGCGCUGCUAUAUUUUUUACGGACUCUCAUACCAUGGAAAAACUCAGCUUUAAAGAAUGGUAUGAUGCUUUGAUAUAUGAAGUAAUUGGUAUAUAUUUUGUACCUUGCAUACAUUUUGCUCUGUUAAUGUUAUUAUUUGAUAACAUGUUUGUCGAGUUGCACAGUGUCUAGAAUUUUGAGAUUAAGAAGAGUAUAAAUGUUAUACAAAUACACUCCUUUCAUUUUAUACAACUUUGAUUGAUCAAGUUGUAUCUCUUUGAUAAAAGAGCAGUAUGACAUUUAUGUGCAAGCAAAGUUGCAUUCUGUUUUGGGAUCCUGGAAAAAAUAAAAGAAAGAAAACGCGGUACGACGCUGAUACUGUGCUCUUUAAUAUUUUUCUAGAUGCUUCAAUGGCAGAUUCUCGUUGGUUCAUUUUUCUUUACGCCUUAGAUUCUAUGAUUCAAUUUCAAUCAUAUACGACAAACAAAAGAAGCCUUUGGGAAAUUUACAAUAAUAACCAUUAAAGUUUUGCCUUUUUUCAUCUUAACCCCCCAAAAAUAUUUCUAUCAACAUUAGCCAUUAAACAACUUUUGAGACGAAAACACCCCUCCCUCAUCUCUCCCCCAACACUCCCUUUCACUCAUCUCUCCCAAACCGAUCCAACUUCCAUCAUCGGCGGCGACAUUAACCCUCGUCGGCGGCGGCUCCAUCUCUCACCGGCAUCCGAUCUACGAUCUACAACCUUCAACAAAACCUAGGUUAGUUAUUUUUCUUAUUUUCAUUAAUUUAAAAUGAAAUUUUAGAAUAAUAAUAGUUAUAGCUUGAGAAUAAUGGUGGUGGUGGUGGUGUUUGUGGUGGUUGGUGGUGUUUGGGAGUAUUGUUUUUCGAUUUUGUUGUGGCUUAAUUUUGGGGGUGGAGAGGGAGGGGGGCAGGGCGCGCGCCCAUGUGCGCCCCACUGUCGCACCAGCUUUGGUGCGACAGGCGCCUGUCGCACCAAAAAUUAUAGUGUCUUUUUUUUUUUAAACGAGUAUUUUUUUUUCUGUAAACGUAAUGUAAUAAUUUUAUAAAUAUUACAGAUACAUGGUGAAAUCAGAUUCACCGGAUAUUGAUGUAGGCAAGAUGUAUUUUAGUUAUGCCGAUCACUUUCCUGGUCGAAUUUCGAGCAUGUGUAAGUUAUCUUCGGUCAUAAAAGCCAUCGAGGAAAAAUUAACAAAGCGACAGUUGACUAUGUUCAAAAAGGAUAUAUUUGGGCAUUUCUUGGAGUGUCGAAGUUUUCCAUUUAGUGGGGUAAUUUUGCACAAUCUUUUACUGAGGCAAGUGGCCCAUGAAGAAGAUAGCCGUGAGGAUCAGUUAUGGUUUCAAAUUGGUGAGCAUUUGAUUCGCUUGUCAAUUGUCGAAUGGUGCUUGGUUACUGGACUUUCAUUUGGUGUUGAUACCAAUCAAAAAAAUGAAGAAAUGGAGCAGAGGCUACGGAAUACGUAUUUUGGUGGUGUUCAUCGUAAGAUUAAUGUGAAGGAAUUCGAUGCAAUAUUUAAGGAGUUGAAAUUCGAGGAAAUGGACGAUAUGGACGCAUUAAAGAUUGCGCUGUUUUAUUUUGCGGACCAAGUACUAAAUGCAAGAAAAAAUCACUGUCAAAUCAAUUUCGAUUGGCUUGACAAAGUUGAUGAUAUACAGUACUUCUGAAAGCGUCCAUGGGGUCUGUUGUCAUGGGAAAUGAUUUACGAGAGUCUUGACAAUGCACUGUUCGAGAAAGACGAGAAAUUUAAGAAGACUCGGUUGAAAAAUCCAGAUCAUAACAUUGAAAAAUACAAUCUUUACGGCUUUACGUCUAGGGUUCAAGUGUGUUUUUGUUUUUGUUUAUUAAUAAGUUUUAUAGUAUUAAAUAUUUGAUAUGUUGUUUUAUUUGAUUUUUCAAUUUGGUUGUUGUAGGCUUGGAUUUACGAAGCAAUCGGAGGGUUGCCAUCAACAUGGGUCGUCAAAACGAAGAAUAAGAUUCCCCGCAUUUUGCAAUGGAAGCCCAUGGCGUCUUCGAGAAUCAAUUUUGCGGAGGUUUAUUCGUUCUUCAAUGACGAAUCUCGUCUUGUAAGCAAUAUGUAUUACUUAUUUUUUUAACUUUACUAAAUAUAAGUUAUGUAUACUUACUUAAAAUUUUCAAUUUAAUUUAUGGCAGGGGGACGUUUUACAAACUCUUGAGCCAAAUUCAAAGGAGAGUAGCAGAAAUUAUUGGGUCUCUGUGAAGGAUUACUUGCCAAGCAUUCCAGGCUGGGUUCUUAAGGUUGGUAUACUCUAAGUACUAAAAAUUAUUUAAUUGAAAUUUUUGACUUUUCAUUUACAAAUUUUAAAUGAUACUUUAUACAGCACCAACCCUCAAUCAACCCGAUGCCGUCGGUUACAAGGCAAUCAGACGAGCAUGACGAUCAUGACGACAUACUAAACCCAAUACCAGAGCAGCGUCAUGACACUUAUGAGGAUGAGGUGGCUGUUGAUGACCAGCAGCAGCAAACAAACAACUCUGAUGACGCACGGGAUUCUGAGGUUAUAAAUAAUAUACGAUAUUUUUUCUUUAUAAAUUAUUAAUUUUUUUUUGUUUUUCUAAAGUUUUCUGUUUUUUCUUUUGUAAUAGUCGAGGACAAAGCAGUUUAAUGAUUACAUACGACGACGGCUGGAUAAGAUUGAUCGUAACGUGUACGAAAUAAAGUCAGAAUUAAAAGAUUUUAAAGAAACCGUUGUUGGCUUUAUCGACACAUUUUCUAAAUGUCCAAAUAAGGAUUCUCCCACUGCACACUCGUAUGCGGUGAGAAAAUUUUUAUUUAAUAAUUAUGUUCGUUUAACGUUUAAUUUGAUAGUUGUUUAAUAUGUUCUUCUUGGCGAAUGGACAGGCCCCGGAUGACUAUGGAGUGUAUACUAACGUGGGCAAUGAAAAUUUGUCUACGCCCACGUCAUUGUAUAGUUUCUACGGGGAUGUUAGUGGGGAGAGCGUGCAGGUGUUCUCUGAGGUGCCUCCCGGCGUUAGUAAGUUCGGCCGCGCGUACAUACCGUCGUAUGUUUAUAACAUUCCUUACAUGAUUCCUCCAGUCAAGCGAAGACAGAACAUCCGGCCUUUGCCUCGACCCCAAAUUUUGGAGCAUGCGAUUGUCAUGAGUACGACUGUGGAUAUAAAUCCACUGAGAGGAUUGGAAGACUCUAGUAUGUUUGCUGAGUUUGAUCGAUGGUUCGCUGGUGAUAUGAUAGUGGUUCGGAGAGUCCGGCACCCGCGGUCAUUCUUUGAAAUACUUUUGGGUUUAACUUCGAUGGGAUGGCUAGGCGAUGAGGUAAUUAUAUUUUCGAAGUGCUUUGAGUAAUGUGGAUUUGUAAAUAAAUAUUUUCUUUUAAAUCGUAAUGUUUAUGUUUCUCUACAGCAUAUUCACGAGUAUUUUUGCUUGAUUAGCGAGAAACAACGGCAGUAUCCGAAUGCCUUACUUCAACGUGUCACACAUACCGACACAUUUUUUUGGGUAACGUGCCAACAUAACGAACAUAAAUACUAUUUAUGUUUUUUUUAAUUAUCGCCUUUAAGUUUUGUUAAUUAAUGCAUUUUUUUGGUUAUCUAUGUAUUAGGUGUUCUUGACUCAGUUAUGGAACAAUGGGCAUUGUGCGGUCAAUUCAUUAGAAUUUGACGACCGCUUGAAUAGCUAUCUCUGUGGGCGACAGCACACAAUGUCCAAAUCGAUGACGGAUGUCGAUAUGGUAUGUAGUUUAUUGUAUUUCGUAUACAAGUUGUCGAUUUUUCUUAGUUGUUUUUCAAUUUCAUAUAUAACGAAGAUGUUUUUGAAUUUUUAUAUACAGUUACUCAUCCCUGUUAACUUGGACGGCGAGCAUUGGGUACUAGCACGAGUAGACUUUCAGAAAAACAAAGUCUGGAUUUAUGACUCAUUACUCACAUGCCGCGACGACAAAAGAUACAGGUUGAAAUUCAAGCCACUUGAAGUUAUCUUCCCUCGAUGGUUGGAAUAUGUUGGGUUCUACAACAUCCGACCUAAGUUGCAGAGUGCUGACCCCUGGAAAGUUCUCGCAGUUAGGAGUGCGCCACAACAAGAGCGCGGAACUGGCGACUGCGGUGUUUUUGUAUUGAUGGUUACGAUGUAUUUAAUGGUCGGGCUUACAUUAGAGUUUACCGCUAGUCAUGUCGAGUACUUUAGAAAGAAGAUUGCGGUUGACAUAUUUAAUGACGAUAUUGUAUUGUAAAAUGUUGUAGUAAUUUCAAUGUUGAAAUUUAAAUUUUUAUUCUAAUUUGCGCACUUAAGUUUAUAUAAUUUGAAUGCUCACAUUUUAAUAUUAAAAAAAAAUACACUCACAUAUAAGUGUACAAUACACUAAAAAAAUAUAGCAGUUUUAACCAACGAAUUAUUGAAACAAUACAACUAACUUCGAUUCGACGCAAUGGGAUUCUUACACCGCUUGCGAUUAUGGCCCAGUUCAUGACACCGCCCGCAUCUUACAGUCCGCCGGUUAACGUCCUCGCCAGCCAAGGGUAUUCUACGCUCUUUACGACGGUCAGGUGGUGGUGCCUCAACUGGAGGGUAUACUUGCAUCUCCUGAAUUUCAUCUGGAACUUCCCAAUCAGCCACAUCGCCAACUGGCUCCACUGGUUGUGCAUAAGCCAUUGCCAACCAUUCUGUAGUGUAAAAGUCCAAGCAAAGGUUAAUAUAAUCCACCCGGUGUGUUAGACACGCCGCAAUUGCAUGAGCACAUACAAGCUGAUCAAGCUGAAAAACUCUACAGGAGCAAGUUUUCUUUUGCAAGUCAACCAAACCUUCCUUAAGCCCACCACCUAUAACUUGAAAUCGAUGCGGAGACACCGGCCGAACUAUCAUUCUUUCAGCUAUAGUUCUCCGCUCAGUGACUAUUUCAUCUACCCAUGUUGUUAGCCGAGUACUCAUUGAUUCAGCCAUAAUUUUUCUAUCAUAAAACCAUUGCUGCAGCGUUUUCCUAAAGUGAUCAACAAGAUGAGUAACAGAAAAUUUUCGCGGUUCUCUCAUGAAAGAAUUAACACUCUCCGCGAUGUUGGUGGUAAGUAUGUUGUACCUCCUACCUUCAAACUGAGACCUUGCCCAAUUACACGUACCGACAUUAUUUUCUAGGUAGUCAGCCGCACCCGAGUGGAUCAUCCACAACCCUUCAAGUUGUCUCUUAAAUUCCUCGUGGCCAUAUGCUUUUGCUGCAUUAAUAAAGGCAGGCUCAAAUUGAUCCCAAAGAACUUUUGACAUUCUAAACUGUGACUUAAUGUUACCUUUCACGUGGUAAAAACAAACUCCAUGAGUUGCAUUCUGAAAUACUUUAAGAACGGCUCUCCUUAUGGCAGUGCAUCGAUCAGAUAUAAUUACCAACUCAGAUCUAUCGCCAAUCACUCCAUGUAACUUCAUCAUAAACCAUUCCCAAGCAUCAUUGUUUUCUGAAUCCAUGAUCCCAAUGGCUAACGGAUACAAUUGAUUGUUACCAUCAAGACAUGUUGCCAUGAACAUGCUUCCACGAUAUAGCCCCUUGAGAUGAGUACCAUCUACAACAAUGACAGGCCGAAUGUACUGCAUAAAACCCUUGAUGGAAGAUCCGAGUGCUACAAAAUAGUACAAGAAAUUACCAUCUCCAUCCUGCUCGAUGUGAGUGACUGUACCCUCAUUCGCUGCAGUUAGUACGUGAGAGUAUUUAGGGAGCAAGUUGUAUGACUCUGCAGGGUUGCCUCGAACUAUUUCAAGACCAACUUCUCUCGCCCGAUAUGCCUGCUGGUAUGUUAACUGAACACCGUAUUCUUGUUGCAUAUCUGCUCUUAUGUCAUUCGGAGUAUAAAUUCUCUUGUCUUGAAUAUAUUUAUCUGCAAUAAUAUGACCGACAACCCGGCUCCUGACUUGAUGACGUCCAGCAAACAAUACCUCAUUAUGACAAGUGUGCACAUUAUCAACUCUCCGCACCACACAAGGAACAUUUUCCUCGUUCGAACAUCUAGUUGCUCGAAUAUGCCAUUUACAUGAUUCUGAACUACAGUGAGCCUCGAAACGUGUCGUAGUAGACCGUGCAAUCUUGAAAUCAAACUUAUCCCGGAAGGCAACCUUGCGUAGUUGUAAUAUAAACUCAUUCUUCUCAGCAAAUAGCUUACCCACACUGAUAUCAUCUGAGUCACAACUGCUAAUAAAGCUUGGAGCAACCAUGUUCGAAGGCAAAGUUGGAGCAAGACUUGUGAGAGGGUCAAUUCUCCUUCUCGAUCGAACCAUUGCUGGAAUAGGUCUAUUGCCUCUGUUAUUCACUGGAGUAUUGUCUUCACACUCAUCCUCAUGCUGAAACGACGGAACAUUCGAAGGACCGGCUCCUCCAUCAUCACCAUCAUUAUUGAAAUGAGUGCCCCUCAUAUUAUUAGAAGGUUCUGCACAAACAUUAUCCCCCUCUGUCUCAGCAUGAAAAUCAUCAUUGUCCCGAAAAUCAUUAUUGUGAUACGGAGAAUACCGUUGCUCCAACGACGUCGUUAUUGAAAAUACCGUCGCUCCAACAUCCUGUAACGUAACGCCAUCAUCAUCAAUGUUGUCAUAAUUGUCGUGGAUUGGAGAGUAAUAUUGCUGCAGUGAUAUUGUCCUUGGAAACACCUCUUCUUUAUUAUCGGGGCCAGACAUAUUUGCUCUAAACGAAGUUUCUGUAUCGACAUGUGGCUCAAUACCUCCACUCGGAACUCGAGGUGAUGUGGUAAUAAAUAUAGGAAUGCAUCCAAAAUUAGCUACGUCGGAUGCCAUAUGUAACACAACCCUCACCAUUUCAUCAUCAAAUAUAUCCAUGGGCAGUGCACAUACACGAUAUAAUGUGUUACUAGACCUCAAAGUUGUCUUCAUUGUGAUAUUAUAUUCAUUAGGAUUAAUUUGUAACACAUCGUAUACUCUUGCCAAUAACUGAUCAAAAAGAUAAUUUUUUCCAACCAAAAAAGCUCUAUUUUUACCGUUGACAUACUCCAUACGCCCAUCCUCUAAUGUCUCCCAGCAACCAUCGUAACACAAUUCAAGUACAACUGAAUCCAUUAAGCUUGAAAUUAUAAAAAAAUAAAUUAUUUCAGCCCUAUCAAAUUAAUAGUUAAUUAUAAUGAAUCUGGCUUUUGGUGCGACAGACUGACUGUCGCACGAAACUUGGUGCGAAAGGGAGCCUGUCGCACCAGGCCUGGUGCGACAGACAACCUGUCGCCAGAUUCACCCAUGAAAUCAUCCGCAGUUCAGUCAAACUCACAAGCAAGAAAAUAACUCAUACCACUAUGUGAUGCCGAUUAGUGUUGGAUCCGAAUAAAUUAUGAUCGGAUUUCACUUUUUAUCGUUGCCUUUUGCCGUUGCCGUUGGUUGAUGAUUCAAGAGUGGAAGCUGCCUUUGUUUGACGAAAGGGGAGAAAGAAUGUUGCUUUUGGUUUGUAAAGAAGGGUAAUUUAGGGAGAACAGCAUGUGUUUGGCUAAUGUUGAUAGAAAAAAGUUGAGAGAGUUAAUUGUGAAAAUAAUAAAAAUUUUAUAAUUAUUUUUGUAAAUUUCCCGAAGCCUUUAAGCCUGCAGCUGAAAUAGAUGGUACUUUAAUUUUCAGCUGAACAUAUAUAUGGUAAGAUUAUUAUUAUUGAGCUUGAUGAGGCUAUAGAAAAUUCAAUAUCGAGAUCGGAUAAGGGUCCAAUAAAUUAUAAAAAUAAAGCAGCUCAAAGCCCAUAUGAUCAUGGGCCAGGCCACUACUUGCUCAUGCUUUGAAUCAAAAUUAGUGACGUUGGAAGCUGAAAGGGGCAAAUGAUGAAAUGGGGUUCAUCAUAUACUAUGCCCAACGGGAUAAGAUCAUCAUUUAAUUGCCUCCUCCUCUCCUCGAUAGAUAUUUGCCGAAUUUUUCUAUUUCAAAAUUAUUAUAUUGGUUAAUAUAAUUAGAAGUUUUACAAAAUAUAAAUAUAAUUUAAAAAAUUUAUAUUUAUUAAUCUAAAAUUUCCAUUUGGUGUUUGAGAAAAAUUUUAAGUAUAUUCGGAUAUACUUUCUCAUUGUUUAUUGAUUUUGGACAUUUAGACAUAUUAGUAUUCAGUAUUCUUAGGUAAUUAGCUAAGAAGUAUACGUGACAAAAGUAUAACACGUGAAAAAAUACACAACAAAAUUAUCUACAAUUUUCCAUUGACUUAGUCAACUCUCCAUUGAUUUCAUUGACUUAGUCAACUUAUGAUCUAACUCAACAACUUGAAAAUUAAAUUAUGCUAGUAAUUCCGUAAAAUUAAAAUUUAUCUCCCAAAAUUGAUAAAUACUAUGUCACUUUGUCAAAUUACUUAGGGUAAAAGUUCUGUGGCUAAAAACUUUUAAGAUGAGUUGUAUGCUAAUUGAGAAGGACAAGACACAAAAGAAUUCAAUGAAUGCUACAAACUUCUAAAAAAUAUUUUCUCUGCUCUUUUUUCUUUCACUUUCUCUUCCAUUUUGCCAAUCCCCAAACACCACCAAUCCUUGAUUUUUUGAGUAUUAGCUGUCAAUUUCUACAAACCUAGAACUGCUGUUUGUUUGUCUAAUUACUUUCAAGAAACAAAACUCUUUGUCAUGUGGUCUCUUCGUUUAUUGGCUUGUGAGCAAAUAAGAUAUUGGGCCAAUGGGCUUAACGUGACAAGUUCUUGAAUUGAAUGGCUCCUCUUUUUUUCAUAGAUCUUUGCUUAAUUUUUUUGUUCCCUCAACCUUUUUUGGCCUUUCGCGCUAAAAUUCUUUUUUUGAUACAUUAUGCAAAAAUUAUGAUGAAAAUGAGUUACUUUAGGACAUCAAUAAAUUUUUAUUACAUCUAUAAUAAGACAACUAUAGUGAGAUUACUCUUAUUUAAUUGAAUUAUAUGUAAUAAAAUUAGUUUAACAAAAUCUAACCCGUCAGUAUUCCAUAUCACAUGAUUAACGUAUUUAAAAAAUCUUAGCUAUUCCGUCGCUUGUUUUACAAUUCUUUUAUAUAUCUUUGAAACUUUCAGCUUCCCAACACAUCAUAUUGUUCUCAAUUCGUCUAAAUUAUUUUUUUCUUCAAACACUGCAGCAACAACCGGUAUAAAAUAGACUGAACUCAUUUAAUGGGAAUUAAAUGAUAUUUCUCUUCUCACCUUAAGAGACGAUAUUUCUCUUCUCACCUUAGGUUCCUCUAACAAACUUAAAAGAUGUUCCCCAUCCCACCUGUCCCCAAAUCUUCGUAUUUCCAAAAUAGAGAAGAGGAAGGCUUUUAUUGCAAACUGUAUGAGCGUUAUGGCCAUGGGAGGAUCAAAAUCAAACCAAUGGAUUGUAAAGCAAAAUUACCGAUUAAAAAUUCAACCAAUUGAAUCGGUUUGGUGUCACUUAAAAAAUAAAUAAUAUAUAAAACAACACAAUUAUCAUAUUAAUGAGCCUCUGUUAAAUUCAUUCAGUCAGUAUUUUUCUUUUCCCAUUUUCAAUGAAUGCUUAAUAUGGAAAACAAUAUGUCCCAUUGAGCACUGUUUAAAUCAUUCCCUAGUUUGUUUAACACGCAAAGAAUAUUCUUAUUCGGCUCUGCAGCCAAUCCGUUAAAAUUUGUUAAAAUUCAUUUAAGUGAUGACUGUGAUAUGACUCGAUCAGUAGUUUAAUUUGUAUAAUUUAUAAAAAUUUGGGCUUCAAGUAAUGUAGAUAGAAUGGUUAAUUAUUUUAAUAUUCAGAUAAAUUGAUAUAUGUCAUUAUAUUAUGAGUGGAUGAAAUAUCCAAUAGAAAAAAAAAAUGUUUGUAUUCGUCAUUUUUAGUGGGAAUCUAUUUAGUGUAACUUAUCCACAAAAAUGGUUGCCGACUUAUCUUGGUUCUCAUUUUGUUUAAUUUUCAUAAAUUUGAAUCAUGAUUAAUUGUGAGUGAAGUUUUUUUGGAAAAAAUCUGGUCUUCCAUUUAUUUUGUAGGAUUUAAAAGAUUAAAAAACUUUAAUACAUAUAAUUUUAUGUUCGAAACUAAAUACUCGUAGCAUUGCUGCUUCUAUAAAUAACUCAUUUGUGCUUCCAACCUGUUAUUUGUAUUUUACGUUUUUGUUUCUCUUCAUAAAGAUUUUCUUUUUUUUUCUUUUUUCCAUUCACUUUUUCUUCCAUUUUCCCGACUCCCAAACACCACUAAUCCUUGAUUUUCUAGAGUAUUAACUGUCCGUUUCUACGAACAUAGACCUACUGUUUGUCUAAAUACUAUCAAGAAACAACAUACUCUAUCGCGGGAUCUCUUCGUUUAUUGACUUUUGACUUGUGAACGGGGCUAAUUAAAGGGCAUUCCUUUCUUCAAGAAAGAAUGCAAAUAAAGUACUAUCCAUGAGACACGUUAAAAAUUAUUUUACAUAAAAAAUGAUAAUAAUCAUAAUAAUCGGUUUAGUGUAACCCCGUUAUUACUUAGUGACUGUCCGAUUGUCUUCUCUUUCAUUGACUUCGCAACUGUGACUUCUAAGUUGGGUUAAGGAUCGACAAAAAUGUUAUAACCUAUAAAGCAUGGAUAAUUAAUUAAUGGGAAUGCACCUCUCAUCUUUACCAUUCUCUUUGUCAUUUUCAUAAUUCAGCUGUUUAUUAAUAAAGUGAAUAAAUUUGUCUUUUAAUAAUAUGUUUCUUGGCUGUUUUUUGUGUAUUUUUGUGUACAAUUUUGUGUGCAAAUAGCAUUAUUCAUUAGUAAUUAGUUUGGAGCGUUCUAAUUUCUUCUAACAAGUAGCUCAUUUUAGCUUAGGACCUGUAACAAGUAUUUUAUGUUUCUGUUAAUCUUUAAUAAAGAUUUUCUCUUUUUUUUUUUUCCUUUCACUUUCUCUUCCAUUUUCCCCGACUCCCAAACACCACCAAUCCUUGAUUUUCUAGAGUAUUAGCUCUCUAUUUCGACAAACGCAGAACUGUUGUUUGUCUAACUACUUUCAAGAAAUAACGUAGUCUGUGGUUUAUUGACUUGCGAACGGGGCUAAUUAGUCACGGUCCGAUUGUCUGACUUCUCCAUUGACUCGGUCAAUUCACGACCUUGACCUGCACAGUUGAUACAAACGGCCUUCUCCAUUUGAGGUGCACAAAACUUUCUUGAGUCAUUUUGUUUGGUGAUGAUGAAUUGGAUGUCAUGAGUUUCAUGAUGAAGAGGACCAAAAACAUUAUUUUAUUAUUUAAAGAAGACUAACAAUUAUUUCGAUGGUCAUUUUAUUAUUAUUUUUAAAUAUCCAAAUGGUGAAAUUUUAAAGAAUUAAGGUGCUUGACUUCUUUACACAGAAUUACAAAGCAAAACAAUUAAGAAAUUAAAUACUCGUCAUCCAAGUGAGAAGAGAUUGGGUUGUUGAUACAUUAAAUAAAAGAAAAAUCAAUUAAAAGCACAACAAUUCAAUAAUUUCAUUCUCAAUCAUAUCAAAAAUAAAAUUUACUGUACAUUGUUUUUCGGUUCUGUAAAAAAAAAAAUUAUUAGGGAUUUGCAGUUUUUUUUAGUGUAAUUUUCGUUAAUUAGAGUUUGGUCUGAAGGGUUAAGCACAUGGAUCAUAAUCAUGUUAUGGCCUAAGGAAGGAGCAAGUUCAUUGGCUGCACUCAGUUUACAAAAUAUUUUGGGAUUCAAGACUUUAGGUUGUUAAAAAUGCAACUUGCAAGGCUGUUGCUGUGUAACUGUAUGCAAUGCUGGCAAGUGUGCUAUUAUUGGGAAAAUAUGCUCUUUAAAAGCAUAUGUGUUUAUUUAAUUGUAAUAAACAAUUUUUCUGAUUAAUAAAAUAAAUGAGGUAUUCUAUUCAAAUAUCUUAAUUGCAUUAAUAAUUUUAUUAAAGUCCAUUUAAUCAUAUUAUAUGUAUUUAUGUGAUCACCAUGUGGAUUCACAGAAGACAUAAAUACAAGUUAUCUUAUAAUUAAAUAAAUUUAGUUCGCAGUUGAUAAAUAAAGUUGGGCACUUUAUUUAGGUAUAGACUGUAAUAAAUUCAUUGAAUGAUUUGUCUUAAUCAUGUAUGAAUUUAUUGAUGUAGUACGACUACAUUGAACAGGAUCACAUAUGAGAUUUAAUUUUCUUUGUAAUAACUGUCAGACUUAUUAAAUCUCAUAGGCAUUGAUUUUACUGCAAUCUUAAUCUUGAGUUAAUUAUGAUUUCAUUAUUGUAAUUGUUAUUCUAUUUGAGUUACCAAUGGGCACGACACAUCCUUGUGGUCAAGAUUACCCGGUAUCUUGGUGGGAGCAAUUAUAAGUAUUGGAGUUAUGGAUUAACAAUAUAGAAUUUGUACAACACAUCUCUUGAUGGGUUUUCGGCACUUGAUCAUAGAAUUCUCUUGCCAGAGUGUGUCAACAUAUUUAGUAUGUUGAAAAUGAUUAUUAGAGAAAACUAGUAAGGAUCAAGGAAUAAGAUGUUAUUAAAUUGAUUGGACAGUUGAGAUAUCAAUUUAAUUAACAAUGUGGUACAAAGGAUUGUGCAGUAAAAAAAAUCAAUGUGGCUUGGGACGAAUUAUUAUUCGAGCAUACAAUUAUGGAAGUCAGUUCCAAUCUUUUAGUGGAGGAGAUUUAGAAUUAAAUAAUUGGGCUAGUUUAAUUACAGGCCUAAUUAUUGUAGCCACUAUUGUAUGUUCCCAAAUGAUCCCCGGGUUAGCUCAUUUACUUGACUGCACCACUACUGGACUAAAAAGUAAGAUAACUAGCUAUUUGGGUCAAAAGCCUAAAUAUAUCAUUUAGUGGGAGGCUCCAUUUAAUUAGCUUUUGUGUAAGGGACCUUAUGUUAUUUUACAAGGUGGGUCCCCUAUAGAAAAAGCAAAUAACGUGAAUUUUGUUUUUUAUUUAUUUGGAGCCUAGGGUUUUCACUAAUGGGUGAUAUAAAAGGCUUAUUUUCUCUAAAGAAAAGAGAGCAGCCACUUUAUACAGAUCAGAGAAAAAGAUUUUUCUCUCUAUUGUUGAGAGAAAAAUUUUCUCGUACUAGUUGCUUUGGUAGUGAUAAAGGCGCCCACAUGUCAAGUGCAGAUCGAACCUGAGUCAUAACCUGGAAGAUCAUUGGUGACAGUUCGUGAUCUAACAAGCGUGGUGGUGAUGGAUCGUGAUCCAAAAGGAGUGGUGGUGGCGGAUCGUGAUCUAGGAGCCUAAAUCACUUCAACGGAAAAAGCUAAAUCGGAUUUUCAAGGUACGAUUUCUAGAUUACAAAUUCUUAUAUAUUAUAUGAGAGCGAUCUUCAAAAGGUUUUAUAAAAAAUUUAAAAACCUGAUUUUUUCCCAACAGCUAUAACAUAUUGUUGAGAUGGCACCAAAGAUUGUAAACUAAUUAGUACUGGAAAAUCCUAUUUGCACAUAAAAUUGCACAAAAUAAAUAGAAUGAGAAUACUUGUGCAAAAAAAAAAAAAAGAUUAAUAAAGUGAAUAAAUUUAUCUUUUAAUAAAAUAUUUAUAGUCUUUUAUUUUUUUGUGUAUUUUUGUGUAAGUACAAAUAGCAUUACUCAUUAGUGAUUAACGUAGAGUACUCUGAUUUCUUCCAAUAAGCAGCUCGUUUGAGCCUAGGACCUGCAAUUAUGUUUUACCUUUCUGUUACUUUCUCUUAAAUAUUAUCUCUGUUCUUUUCUUCUUUGCUUUCACUUUCUCUUCCAUUUUCCUGACUCCCAAACAUCACCAAUCCUUGAUUUUCUAGAGUAUCAGCUAUAUAUUUGUACAAACACAAAACUGCUAUUUACUUUCAAGAAACAACGUAUUCUGUGGUUUAUUGGCUAAUGCCUUGUGAAUGGGGCUAACUAUUUCCAUGAAACAACGUACUCUGUGGUUUAUUGACCUGUGCCUUGCGAACGGACCUAAUUGUCUCCUCUUCCAUUGACUCUGUCAAUUCACGACUUUGACGCGCACAGUACGUAGAUGCUAACUGCCUUCUCCAUUCGACGUGCAAAAACUUUCUUGAGUCCGGUUAAAAUUAAUUGAUCAUUUUAUUUGGUGAUAAUGACUUACUUGUCAAGUCAUGAGUUUGAUGAUGAAGAGGACGAAAAAUAUUAUUUUAUUAUUUAAAAUAAGACUAUCAAUUAUUUCCAUGGUCAUCUUAUUUUCUAAAAUAACUAAAUGGAAUCUUACAGAAUUAGAGUGCUUGACUUCUUCAUACAGUGCUUGACUUCUUUUUACAGAAUUAUAUAGUGAAAAAAGAAAUUAAGAAAUUAAAUACUUUUCAUGCUAGUGGAGAAGAUUGGGUAGCGAUUACAUGAAAUAAAAGAAAAAUAAUUUAAAAGUACAAAACUUUAAUAAUCUCAUUCCCAAUCAUAUCAGUAUAAAAAUUCUGUAGAUUUAUUGAAUAAGUAUUGAUUUUACUUUGGUAAUAACAUUUUUAUUUUCUUUGCAUUCGAGCUUUCUUUCUUUUGCGCUGGUCUUCACUCUUGACCGUAUUUCAUGGGGCACAUUCAAUCUCAAUCUUCUUCGGCAAGUUUGUUGCAGUUUUGUUAAUUACGAACUGUUGUAGGAUUUUAUGGAGAUGAUACUUUUAUAUACAUUUUUCUUUUCUUUUUUUCUUCGGUGAACAAAUUAAAAUUUUAGUUUUUGUCAUCAUGACUAGUGAAAUAAAAAUUGUCCUCAUUUCAAGGAUUGACAAAAACGUUGUGCUCAUACCGAUUAAUGGGGAACUGAUUUCGUCUUCUUAAAAGAGAAUUAUUUGCAGCGUGGUAAUUCGGAGAUUUCUGUAUUAAAGACCAGGAAAUCUAAUUUGGAGGGAAAAAAUUCAAGCGGCGCAUUUUUUUUGAUUUAUUUAAAAAAAUUGUUUUCCUCCCAAAAACACUUCAACGUAUAUUCUGUCAUAGAGGGAAAUGUCCUUCACUCUUUGACGUAUCCCUGGGGCAAUGUAAGUUGACUUUACAUUAAAACAAAACAUAAUUACAAUCACAUAAUUACAGUUAUCAUCACUGAUUUGUAUAAUUUUCAGGACUAGUAAAUUAUCUCAAUUUUUAAAAAAACAUAAUUACAAUUAUUGAUCGAACACCACUAAUUCCAACAAUUCAUCCAAAAAUAUCUUUGAGUUUCAAGGAAUUAAUGUAGCACGAAUGGCCAAGUUUUUCAACUUUUUAGAUAUUUGAUAUAUGUCAUGUUUUAACUUAGUACGAGAAGAAAAUUAUAGAAUACGUUUUUUUCAAAUUAGUGGAAAUAUUUUACGAUGAAACUAUCACAAUCACAUUUAAAAAUAUUCUUUAAAUUUUCACCAUUUCUACUGUUAUUCUUUAAACUUUUUUUUCAACAGAGCAUGGAGGGUCGCUUAUCUAAAUAUGUUUUUUGUGCUUUCACUUCACUUGAUUCAUCUUGUCCCUCUUUUAUAGCUUCUAUCUCGUAGGAGCUUAGAACCCGCAACUUGUAUUUUACGCUUCUAUUACUUUCUCUUCCAUUUUCCCGACUCCCAAACACCAUCAGUCCUUGAUGUUAUAGAGUAUUAGCUGUCUAUUUGUACAAACAUAGAGCUACUGUUCGUACUUUAGAUCUUCAGAUGUUUAGCUGACUAUUGUUUGAAUAUUAAAAUUAAUUUGUUAAAUAAAUAAAGAAAACAAGAGACAAUUACCAUACAUAUUCCAUAUUAAUUAGUCAGUGUCCGAUUGUCUCCGCUUCCAUUGAAUCUGUUGAUUCAUGCUUUCAUGAAGUGAAACGCUUAACACUCUGUUCUGAUCCGCAGGAGAGGAGGAAAAACACAAUUUUAUUAUUUCAUUCCUGACACGAGCAAAGAGCUUUCUUAGCCGGUUCGGCAGCUAAUUCCUUAAAAUUUGUUAAAUUUCAUUUAAUUGAUGAAUGUGACAUGAACUCUAUAAAUAGUUUAAUUUGUAGAAUUGUUAAAAGUUUAAACUUCAAGUAAGGUAGAUAAAAUGAUUAAUGUUUUUCAAUAUUUAGUAAUGAACAUGUGUCGUGUUACUAUGAGUGAAUGAAUGAAAUUUUUGAUAGAAAAUACAAUGCUAGUAUUAAAAAUUUUAAGUGCGAAUCCAUUUAGUGUACGUUAUCCAUAAAAGCAAUUGCGACUUGUCUUGUUUCCCAUUUUGUUUAAUUUUCAUAAAUUUGACUCACGAUCAAUUACGAGUGAAGAGUUUGUUGGAAAAAUCUGGUCUUCCAUUUAUUGUAAUCAGAUGAGUGUGAUUAAUUGUUUUUUUCUUUUGCUUCAUGUCCUGAAAAUUAUGAAUGCUUUGUAGAAUGUAGGAGAUUAAAAAUUUUAAUGCAUAUUUAUAUUCAAAACUGAGUAAACAUAACAUUAUUGCUUCUAUAAAUAGGUCAUUUCAACUUAAAACCCGUUACUUGUAUUUUACGACGUUUCUGUUUCUUAUCAUAAAGAUUUUCUAUGCUUUUUUUUUUCACUUUUUCUUCCGUUUUCCCGACUCCCAAACUCCACGAAUCCUUGAUUCUUUUCCUAGAGUAUUAGCUGUCUAUUAUUACAAACAUACAGUUUGUCUAAUUACCAUCAAGAAACAACAUACCUUGUCCUGGGGUCUCUUCGAUUAUUGACGUUUGUGACUUGUGAACGGGGCUAAUCAAAGGGCAUUCCCUUCUUGAAGAAAGAAUGCAAAGAGCCCAAGAAAGUACUAUCCAUUAGACACGUUAAGAAUUAUUUUGCUUUUCAUUAAAAAUGAUAAUAAUUAUAAUAAAUUAGAUUGAAUUAAUAAUAUUUGCAUGUGGUAUAUAAAUAAUCAGUUUAGUCACUAAUUAGUCACUGUCCGAUUAUCUUCUCUUUCAUCGACUUUGAAACUGGGACUUCUGAGUUGGAUUAAGAAUUGAAAAAAAUGUUGCAACCCAUAAAGCACGUAAAAUUAAUUAAUGGGCCACUAAUUCUUCUUCUUAAAAGAAAAGUUUUGCAGGGAGAUUGAAAAAAGGCUAAUUCGUGUUGAAGAUCAUAAAUGAGUAUCUGUCACAAAUACAAGUCAAGCUACACAAUUGUUCUUGUCAUACUAUUUAUUGGCACUUGUGAUCCUUGAAUUAUCUAUUUAUUGGCACUUGUGAUCCUUGAAUUAUCAAACGAAUAGCAACAACACUUCAAAAUACAGUAUUGUAAUACUUGGCAAUAUACAUUGACUUUUCAUUAAAACAAGCAUUGUCAUAUUGUCAUGUUCAAUUUUUUAACGUCUUGUAAUUAAAGAUUCCUAUGUCACAUUAUAAUUUUCAAACAAAUCGAAGUGAGUCAAAUCAAAUUUAGAAAUUUGAGGUCUACUAUAGAUUUUUGACAUAUUAAAUUUAAGACAAUUAAGUAAAUGCUAGACAAAAUCUAACUUGCAAAUAUACCUUACCACAUGAUGAACGUACUUAAAAAUCUUAACUGAUUGCUCACCAAUUAAUUGUUGUUUUACUAUUUUUAUAUAUCCUUUCUUUUCCCUAAAACUUCUGGUUUCCUAACAUCUAGUUCUCAAUUGGUCUAAGUAUAAUAUAAUUUUUUAAAUAUAAAUAAAUUGAAUUUAUUUAAUGGAAAUUUGAAAAAGAGACACUUAUCUAUGCAAGUAAAGUUGCAUUCUGUCUGUGGGGACCUUAAAAAAAAAAGCAUAAUGAUACACUGAUGACGACAAUCCUUAAGUAUUUGUUUUCUUUAGUUACAGUUUGGUUUGAAUGGUUAAGUUCAAGUUCGAAUUUUCUUUUUGUAAUUUAAAUUAAAAUUGAUAGAACAAAUGGGCCGAUCAGUAUGAUGAAGAAGACGAAGAAGUAAAAGCUAUUAAGCAUUAUCCUAUCACCAUAUCAAAUGGACCGGAUUCAAUCAAAUGAAAUCUAGAAAAUAGAGCAGCUCAUAGAUGUACGUCGCUAAGUGGAGGUUCAUUUGGAAGUACUUGGUCGAAUUGCGACUUGCGCCGGAGGCUUCGUUUUAGAAGAGUGCAGAGCAGCUGCCUUGUCCAUUAGGCACGCCAACGACUUUCUAUUGACCAAUAAUUUUGAAAGCGAUAUUAUUAAUUUACCAUCUAAUUUUUUUUAUAUUAUCAUUUCACCAUCUAAUUUUUUUGAUAAUUAUUUUUUUCACUUUGUGUUUUAGUUUUUAUUAUUUUACUACCGAAAAAUAGUAAACACACCCCUAGGGUAGGUUAUCCACAAAAAUGGCUACCGAAUUGUCUUGUUUCUCAUUUUGUUUAAUUUUCAUAAAUUCGACUCACGAUUCAAAUGUGAGUGAAGAGUUUUUUUUGGGAAAAAAUCUGGUCUUCCAUUUACUAGAAUUAGGUAUGUGUGAUUUUAUUAUUUUUCUUUUGCUUGAUAUGUAUCUGGAAGAUUAUGAAUUCUUUGCAGGAUUUAGAAGGAUUUGAAUGUUUGACCGCAUAUAGCUUUCUGUCCAUCAGCUAAUGCAUAUUCUGCAUUUUAUAAAUAUCAGAGCUGGUAGAUUGAAAAAUGGACCUUAUUACAUGUCAUAAGAGACUUUGCUCAAAGCUGCAAUUGGGCAACGCCGUGCUGUUCUUAUCGGCCAAGGCAAGCCAUUUACUAUUCUUUCUAAUGGAGCAAAAUAAGAUGAUUCUUACCUGCAUAGAGAAUUAGAAAAGAAAAGGAGGAUUACUGAUCCACAGGACUACUAAAAUAUGUGUAAUUAGUUGCAUCACUAGGUGGUGUCAAUAAGCAAAAUAAGAUGUUCUAAUGAUACUUAAGUAUUACCUAAAUUAGCCUUUCAAAAUUUCACUUCGAAAAAUUCCAAGGUGGUGAUGUGUCUGUAUAAAUUCGCUAAUACAAGUUCUCUCUAUUCCCAAUUGUUUUAAACUCUGUUCUGAACAGAGCAUGAAAGGAUAUAUUCAUUUUAUCUAGUUAUGCUUUUUAUGCUCUCACUUCAUUUCAUUUAUCUCUAUUCCUUGUCCAUCUUUUAAAACAGUUGUAUAUGUCGGAGUAUCACUCAAGCUUAGCAGAGUAUUUUGGGAUUCAAGACUGUUAGUAGGCUGUUACAGAUGCAACUUGCAAGGCUGUUGCUGUAAAAUUAUAUGCCAUGCUGGCAAGCGUGCUAUGACUGAUUGCUAUUUGCACGUAAAAUUUGCCCAAAACAAAUAGAAUGAGAAUACUUGUACAAAAGGACAAGAUUAAUACAGUGAAUAAAUUUUAUCUUUUAGUGAAUGCUUCUUGUCUUUUAGAGUUUUAGUGCAUUUUCGUGUGUAAUUUUAUGUGCAAAUAGCAUUACUCAUUAGUAAUUAGUCUAUAGUGUUCUAAUUUCUUCUAAUAAGUAGUUGAUUUGAGCUUAAGACUUGUAUUUUACGUUUUUAUUACUUUCUAAUAAAGAUUUUCUCUGUUCUUUUUUACUUUCACUUUCUCUUCCAUUUUCCCGACUCCCAAACACCACCAAUCCUUGAUUUUCUAGAGUAUAGCUAUGCAGUUCUACAAACACGAAACUGCUGUUGGUCCAUUUACUUUCAAGAAACAACGUACUCUGUGGUUUAUUGACUUGUGACUUGGGCAAAUUAGUCACGGUCCGAUUGUCUCCUCUUCCACUGACUCUGUCAAUUCAUGACUUUGGCACACAGUAGACGCCAGCUGCCUGCUCCAUUUGACGUGCAAAAAACUUUCUUGAGUCGGGAUAAAAUCGAUUGAUUAUUUUGUUUGGUGAUGAUGAGUUAGUUGUCAAUUCAUGAGUUUGAUGCAGUGAAACGCUUAACGCUCUCUUGUGAUGCGCAGGAGAAAAGCCAGCGAUGAUGAAGAGGACGAAAAACAUUAUUUUGUUAUUUAAAAUAAGACUAUCAAUUAUAUAUUCCAAAAUAAUUGGGUUUUGAUGGUCAUUUUGUUUUCUAAAAUAUCCAAAUGGAAUCUUACAGAAUUAGAGUGCUCGACUUUUUUAUACAGAAAUUAUAAAGUGGGAAAAUCAAGAAAUUAAAUACUCUUCAUAUAGUGGGAGGAGAUUUAGUUGUCAUUAUGCUAAAUAAAAGAAAAAUAAAUUAAAAGUACAAUACUUCAAUAAUCUCAUUCCCAUUCAUACCGUAAAUAUAAUUUUCUGUAUAUUUAUGAAAUAACUAUUGAUUUUACUUUGGUAAUUUUUUUUUUUUAAAGUAAGGUAAACGUCUUUGUUUUCUUUGCAUACGAGCCUUUUUUUCUUUUGCCUUGGCCUUUACUCUUGACUAUAUUUCAUGGUCAUAUUCAAUCUCAAUCUUCUGUAGGUUUGUAGCUAUUUUAUGAGUUACGAUUUUCUAUAGGAUUGCAUGUAGAUGAUACAUUUAUAUACAUUUUUUCUUUUUUCUUUUCUUAUUCGGUGAAGAUAUUAAAAAUUUAGUUUUUGUUUGCACAUGAAAUGAAAAUAGUCCUCAUUUUAAGGAUUAAUGGGCCAUAAUUUCGUCUUCUUAAAAGAAAAUUAUUUGCAGCAAGGUAAUUGGAAGCUUGAAGAUUUCUAUAUUACAUAGCCAAACCUAAGUGAUAAGAAUUUCCAUAUGAGAUAUAAUUUGGAAAAAAAAUUCAAGUUAAAGAUAAAAAAUUUGUGUUCCUUAAAAAACAUAAUUCAAGCCACACAAUUUUUCUUGUUUUAUUUGAAAAAAAAAAUUGUGUUCCUCACAAAAACACUUUAACAUUUGUUGUCUCAUAAAGGGAAAUAUCCUUCACUCUUUGACGUGUCCCUGGGGCAAUGUAAACAUUAAAACAUUGUCCACAAACAUUGUCAUGUAGUUAAGAAAAAUUUAAUUUUGACAAGUGCAAGACAUUUGGGACUCAUUUGAUUCAAGAAAAACAAUCAGUCUCAUUUAAUUUUGACAAGUGCAAGACAUUUGGGACUCAUUUGAUUCAAGAAAAACAAUCAGUCUCAUUUGAUACGCAAGGGGCUUUUUUACUCUGCAGCCAAUAUUUUGAUGAAUGUCACAUUACUGGUUUGUAUAAUUUUUCGGACUAAUAUAUUAUCUCAAUUUUUUUUAAAAAAUGCAAUUGCGAUUAUCAAACACGACUAAUCCCAACAAUUUAUCCAAAAAUUUGAGUGUCAAGAAAUGUGGUAUUUAUGAUAGCAUGGCUAGUUUUUUCAAUCAACUUUUUAGAUAAAUGAUAAAUCAAUAUAUGACAUGUUACUAUCUUACUAUAGGAAGAAAAUUAUGGAAUAAUUUUUUGAAAUAAUAGAAUUAUUUUACAACAAAAAUUUCACAAUCUAAUUUUAAAAAUAAACUUACUCUUUAAAUUUCUCAUUACUACUCCUACUGGUCCUGUUAUACUACUUAAUGGCACUGGUGAAGCCUUGAAUUAUCAAACAAAAAGCAAAAACACUUCAACAUCUGUUAUCCCACUGAGCACUGUUAAAAUCAUACGAUAAAAUGAGUACUUAUAUUAAAAAAGAAAAAGAAAAAACAAUCAGUCUCAUUGCGUCCUCUUUCAUUGACAUAGGCAAUUUGCGGUCAACUUGUGGUACCCUUAUUGACACGUAAAGAUCUUUCUUACACUACAGCCAACACUUACUUUCAGGACUAGUAAAUUUUUCAAAUGUAACAGAAAAAAAUACAGAAAUAUAAUUUCAGUUUAUCCAAAAAUUUGAGUUUCAAGGAAUAUAGCAUUUCUUAUGUGUCAUGUUAAUAUAGAGAAGAAAAUUUUAAAAUUUCUUUUUUUAAUGAAUAAAAGUAUUUUUUGAUUAAAAAACUCACAAUCAUAUUUACAAAAAAAAGUUUUAUUUAAAAAAAAUUCACUCCUCUUCCUACAUAAUUUAAGAAUUUAACAUUAUAAAUUAAGCUUUUUAAUCAAAGUAAUAAUCUCUCCUUCGGUGCGCAAAUGCUAAAAUUUAAUAUUAUAUCCGUUGACGAUAUUUGAUCUAAAUUCAGAGAAUAAAAUUUCUAACAGAAUUAUGAAAUUCGUUACUAGAAAUUUGUAUAAAAUUCACGAGAAUAGAAGGUUCGAUCAUAGGAAAUUAAUAUGUCCCUAUCCGAUGCAAAAAUGAUUAAAAAGAAAAACAAAAGUCAUGGGCUUAUUUAGAAAAAAGAAAAAAUUACAUUUCAGCCUUAACGCAUGCCAGUCUUUUUCUCCUCUACUUUCUUAGAAAUUUUGGUUUCACUAUAAAUUCUUGGUAUAUAGCAAUCUUAAGAGUGUCUUGCAUUACCAAUCCAAUUAAGCACACACUUACAAUCUAAAAUACUCUCAUCUCAUGGAAAGGCUUCAUUCUCUCAGUAUUAUGAGUAGAUUUCGCUUACUCCAUUGUUUGAUUCUUAUUUCCUUAUUUAUCGCAGCUGCAACAGCCAACACAAGUACUAUUACCACAGACCGAGAUGCUCUGCUUGCCCUGAAAGCUCACAUAACUCAUGAUCCAACCAAUUUCUUCGCCAAAAAUUGGAACACGAGUAUCUCUUUCUGUAAUUGGACAGGCGUCACUUGUGAUGUCCAUAGCCAUAGAGUCACAGUCUUGAAUAUUUCUCGCUUAAAUCUCACCGGCACCAUCCCUUCUCAGCUUGGGAAUCUUUCUUCUCUGCAAUCACUCAAUUUAAGUUUUAACCGACUUUCUGGUUCCAUUCCCUCUGCCAUUUUCACCAUGUACACACUGAAAUAUGUUAGUUUCCGUGAAAAUCAGCUCUCCGGCGCUUUCCCUUCUUUCAUCUUCAACAAGUCUUCUUUACAACAUCUUGAUUUUAGUCAGAAUACACUGUCUGGUGAAAUUCCUGCAAAUAUCUGCAGUAAUCUCCCUUUUCUGGAAUACAUUUCUUUGUCCAAAAACAUGUUUCAUGGAGGAAUACCAUCCGCUCUAUCAAAGUGCACAUAUUUGCAAAUAUUAAGUUUGUCAUUCAAUGAUUUCUCGGGGGCCAUACCUAAAGACAUCGGUAAUUUGACCAAACUUAUGGAAUUAUAUCUUGGCCGUAACAGACUCCAAGGUGCGAGUAAUCACGGAGUUUAAUUAUGAAAAUUGUUCCACAAGUUGUAAUAUGUAUAAUGUUCCAUAAUACAAUUUAUACACGUUGAUUAAUUUGCAGGGGAAAUUCCUCGAGAGUUUGGCAGUCUUGCCGAAUUGGAGCUGAUGUCGUUACGGGAAAGCAAUCUCCAAGGUAUGAUUAUAAACUUAUUGCAAUUUUAUUCUAGUCUCUGCUUGCUUCUGUAUUAAUUCGUUUGUUCAUUAAUUAUGCUGUGAUUUAUUGUUUUUCUUUCAGAUAGAGAUAAAGCUCCAUGUCUCCCCUCACUCAUUUCAUUCUUUGUUUUUUGCAGAUAAAAAUAAAAAAAUGUUUUGUAAUUUUCUUUUGUCAUAUUGCCACUUCCAUUUUGAAGCUCCCGAUUAAGUCGAUGAAAAUGAAUGAUGUUUCAUUCUUAUUCUUGUCAGCCUAAUUCUUAUAUAAGUGAAGAGUAAAUUGUUAUUAUGAUAUUCGUCAGCCAAUAAAUUCUUUUUUUUUCCUCAAAUAUGAGUGAUCAAAUUGUUUGCGCAUAUAUGAAUGUACUUAAUUUGCAGGAGGUAUUCCACAGGAAUUGGGGAAUCUUGCAAAAUUAGAGAUGUUACAGCUGUUCCAGAAUAACUUGACCGGUAACUUUCUUUAUAUAUGAGACAUCUUCCGCUUCUUAAUUAAAAGAUUUCACGUCUCUCAUCAUAAAUUUUCAUAUGAGGAUGUGUCGUUACCACUGUCUAACAUUAUCUCGUUUUUUAUUAGAAAUUAAUCUGGGUUUAUGCAAAAUAUUUUAGCACCUUAAAAAAGUAUAAAAACACGUGGAAUAAAUCGAAAAUCUUUCUUCAUUACUGAAUUUGGAUUUCUCAAAAAUUAUCAUGACAGGUAUAUCGCACUAAUGAUACGCAUGUGUGACAACUACAUAAAAUAUUUUGCAUGGAAUCAAUAAUUAUCUUUAAAGAAUUGGAGAUGCCAUCAGUGAGACAUAAUUUCUUAACAAUCACCAUACCAAAAGAAAUUAACAAUUUUAUUAAUCUUAAAGAGUUACAUUUUCACUGCAAUUAUGACAUAAAUUUUUAGUCAUUAAUCACAUAAUAUUUUAUCUUAACGGAUGAUGUUCAGCUUGGAAUUUAUAAUAUCUUGAAGGUUAGUAGCUAGGAAAAUAAGAAAUUGCGCAUAUCUGCGAAUCUUAGAUUUGUCAUACAAUGAUUUCUCAGGGGCCAUACCUAAAGAAAUUGGGAACUUGACCAAACUUGAGGAAUUAUAUCUUGGCAUUAAUAGACUUCAAGGUGUGUAUGAUCCCGGAGUUUAAUUUUUAAAAUUGUUGCAUAAGUUGUAAUAUGAAUAAUGUUCCAUAAUACAGUUUAAACGCGUUGAUUAAUUUGCAGGAGAAAUUCCUCGAGAGUUUAGCAAUCUUGCCAAAUUGGAGAUGAUGUCGUUAUCAGAAAACAAUCUCCAAGGUGUGAUUAUCAAUUUUUUGCAAUUCUAUUCUAGCUCUGCUUGCUUCUGUAAUCUGUAUUCAUUCGCUUGUUCUUUAAUUAUGCUAUGAUUUAUUGUUUUUAUUUCAGAUAGAGACAAAGCUCUAUGUCUCUCCUCACGCAUUUCAUUCUUUAAUUUAUGCAGAUUAAAAAAAAAAUGUUUUGUAAUUUUCUUACGUCAUAUUGCCAAUUGCAAUUUAAAGCUCCCAAUUAAGUUGAUCAAAAUUAAUGAUGUUUCAUUCUUAUUUCUGUCAGCCUAAUUCUUAUAUAAUUGAAGAGUUAAUUGUUAUUAUGACAUUCCUCAGGCAAUAAAUUCUUUUGUUUUUAUUUUUAUUUUCAAAUAUGAGUGAUCAAAUUGUUUGCGCAUAUAUAUGUAUACAUAUUACUUAAUUUGCAGGAGAAAUUCCACAUGAGCUGGGGAAUCUUUCAGGAUUAGAGACGUUAGCGCUGUACAAUAAUUUUUUAACCGGUAUCAUUCCUUCAUCUAUCUACAAAUUACUCUUCUCUAUUCAAUUUGGAAUUUCCGUUUAAUAACUUGAUGGGAAACUUCCCUUACGAUAGAUAUAUGUGACAUGUUUCCUUUUUAAUUAAAAGAUUUCACGUCUCUCAUUAUAAAUUCUCAGGAAAAGGACAUUCACACCCCCAAGGUUUAGCAAAAUAAUCACCAACACCCCUAAGUUUUUAAAACAAGACACCAAAACCCCCUUUUUUUACCAUUAUACCCUUUAAAAAUUUGACUUUAAAAUUUUUAAUAAACAUAAGUAUUAUAUAAAAUAAUGUAAUCUAUGCAGUAGAAUAACAAUAUUAAAAAAUUUUAAAAAAUUUAAAUAUGUAAAUUGUUAUAUUUAUUUUAAUAAUAUAUUUUUAUUUAUUAUAGAUAUUUUAAAUAAAUAUUUGCAUUAGCCACUCGGCCACAGGACUUGGAGGGUAGCAGUUCGAACCCCCACAAGUGCAAUGUGGGAGUAUUUCCUUCCUUAAUUAUAUUGUAUAAUUGAAUAAAAUUGAGUGAAGGUAGUUUCUCCUUUACCCAAGAGUGAGUGGAGUAGACAUCUCUCGAAUAUUAGUGAGGGUUAAAAUCUGGGCAGAGCUCCAUUAGCAUUGAUAUAAGUUGGUCUCAGUAAUAGUCUGAUUUGUAAAUAUCAGUUAUACUCUCAUGUAAUAUGAGUUGUAGUUUGAGCAAUAGUCUCAUGUAAUCAAAUAAAUAAAUAAAUAAAUAUUUGCAUUAAAUACAUUUUACAAUUAAAAAAAAUCUCGCAUACUAAUGCUAGCAUUAUUAUUUUACAUAAUAUUCAAAUAAUUUAAUUUUUAAUACACUUGUUCUAAUAUUAUGAUUCUACUUUUUAUAAAAUUUAAUAUAAUAGAAUAUAAUAUAUCUAAUAGAUUGUAAAAUAUUAAAAUAUUUUUAAAUAUUGAAAUUAUUUUACAAUAAAUAUAUUAUUACAUUUAUUUUAAUGUUAUAUUUCUAUUAUUAUAAAACAAUAGAGUUGAUCUUUUUUGGGAUAAUAAAGGCAAAGGGUAUUAUGGUCAAAAGAGGGUCUUGGUGUCCCUUUUUGAAAACUUGGAGGUGUUGGUGACCAUAUCUCCAAAUUUUUGGGUGGGUAUGUCCUUUUUCCUAAAUUCUCAUAUGAGGAUGUACUGUUUCUACUAUCUAACAUUGUCUCGUUCUUUAUUAGAAAUUAAUCUAGGUUUAUGAAAAAAUUUUAGCAUCUAAAAAAAGUAUAAAAAAAGGUGGAAUAAAUCGAAAAUCUUUCUUCAUUACUGAAUUUGGAUUUCUCAAAAAUUAUCAUGACAAGUAUGUCUCAUUAAUGAUAUGCAUGUGUGACAACUACAUAAAAUAUUUUACAUGGAAUCAGUAAUUUUCUUUAAAUAGUUGGAGAUACCAUUACUAAUAAAUAAUUUCUUAAAAAGCAUCAUAAUAAAAUAAAUCAAUAAUUUUAAUAAUCUUGAAGGGUUACAUCUUCACUGCAAUUAUGACAUAAUUUUUUAUCUAACUAAAUUUUUAGUCAUCAAUCGCAUAAUAUUUUAUCUUAACGGAUAAUGUUCAAUCUUGGAAUUUAUAAUAUAUUGAAGGUUAGUAGCUAUGAAAAUUAUAAAUUUUUUUAUUUGCUAAAAAAAUUAUCUUAGUAUUUAAGCUUUUCAAUUGAAAAAUUUGAAAAAAAUGUUGAGAACUGGUCCUCCUUAUAAUUUCGGUGGAUAAAUAUGAAAAAUAGACUAGAAAAAGCUAUUUUACUGAAAUAAUUGUUAAAAAGAGAGAAGUACAGUACUCAUGACUUAGGCUUGCUGUGUACUUAUUUUACUUGGGGUCCGGGCUUGAUUACACACGGUCGAACACUUAGUUGCACCCAUUAUAAUAAUAGCAUCCCCGACAUAGGCUUUUACUUUCACCACAUAUUUGAUAAUUUCUUAACCUUCCCAGUUACGUUACAGCAAUUUAUAUAUAAAUAACUAAAGCAUACUGAAGCUGGCAUUGAUGUACGGAUGAGUGGUGUCAAAAGUGUAUCCGUUUUUUGUAUUAUUGUUCCCCGACACAAAUCUGAAUAAUGGAAUAUAAUUCUUUCAAAAUACCGAUGAAAUAGCACAUGAAUUCAGAAAUAUUUUACUGCGACAAGAAUUCAUGUAUUUAUCGUAGCAUCACAUACAUAUAAAAUAGACUAUAAAUUUAGUUCCAAAAUACAUUCUUAUAUUCAUAUAAAUUUUACAUUACUAAUUUAAAUUAAUAUUAAAAUAUGUUGUUUCUUUCACUAUGUUAUUUUAUUUAACAAUGGUGUAACUAUUGGAAUUAGUAAUACUUAUAAUUACUUAGUAAAAAUAUAAAUUUAACGCUUUAUUAAUACUUUGUUAACAUUUUAUCUACAUAUAAUAAUUAAACUGAAACUCGUAUUUAAAAAAUUUUAGUCACGCAUAUUCAUUUCAUGAUAUAAAAGUGCAUAUUUAUACUAAUUCACCAUUAUCGAUAAAAUGCUUUGAGCCGAGUCAUCUAAUUUAUAUUAGUAUAUUUAAAAUACUUACAUUUAUUAUAUUUUGAAAAAAAUUUAUUUGCAAUUAUUUUAAACCUUUGGAUUCAAAUUUUCUUAGUCAUUAAAGUCAAAGGGUAUAAAUGUAUAAUAGUCAAAAACAUAUUUAUAUGAUCAUUUUUCAAUGCGUAAAUUUUCUUAGUUAGUAGGAAAAUUAGAAAUUGUUGAUUUACUCAUAAAUAAAUUUAGUGUUUAGCAUUUCAAUUUUGGAAAACUUUGAACUAAAUGUUGAUAACUUUGAAUCGCUCAAGCCGAGUUCGCUUCCUUGACCCACAAAUCCAUUGAAAGUUCUAUUCGGAUUGAGUUUCUAGGUGCUUAGAAAAAACAUUUCUUUUCCGUGUUGCCAUAAUUUAUUCACAAAUGAGUUGAUUAGCAUCGAUGGUGCCUGAGAGUCUGAGACCAUUUUAGUAGGAGAAAUUUGAAAAGAAAUUAUUUUACUAAAUUAAUUUAUUUUACCUUGUUGUAACGAAGACUACUUUUUUUUUUUUUGCUAUCACUGGGGCUUGAUUUACUUUAAUAGUAGCGGCCACCGACCUAGGCUUUUUUACUUUUCACCACACAAUUUGAUCUUUUAAUUCAUUUUAACCACAUAAUCUAUCUAUGUCUCACCUAUUGCUUACUUAAAUUGCAUACAUAUUUGUCAUGAUCCAACCCAGAUCUGGCAAGAUAUUGUCCGCUUUGGGCCUUAACAAGGCUCGCACGGUUUUGUUUCUGGAGCACCCAUUCACCCCAAAACGCGUCUUGCCAAUUAAGAUGUGGAUCACCCCUUAUAAACCCAGCAUCUCUCCUGUGUUUUGCCAAUGUGGGAUUUGCCUAGAGUGUUACAUACACCCCCCUUAGGGACUUAGCGUCCUCACUGAGGUUUGCCUUACCAUUACCCAAGAGGACGCGCGGAGCCGCUCUAAUACCAUAAUGUCAUGAUCCAACCCAGAUCUGACAAGAUAUUGUUCGCUUUGGGCCUUAACAAGGCCUGUACGGUUUUGUUUCUGGGGCGCCCAUACACCCUAAAACAUGUCUUGCUAAUUAAGAUGUGGAUUACCCCUUAUAAAUCGAGCAUCUCUCUCACGAUUUCUCGAUGUGUGAUUCGCCUAGAGUGCUACAAUAUUUUACCUACUAAUUUUUACAAAUAUUAGUCAAAUAUAUUUUAUUACAUUUUCUCGUAAUUGCCCCAAAUGUGCACUAUUAAUACUUAAACCUCCCUUUUAAUUUACCGUGCAAUCUAUCUACACUUAAAUCACAUAUAUAUUUUACCCAAAAAAAUAAAAAUAAAAGAAAAAGAAUAUGUGUAACAAUUUGUAUAUAAUUAACAAAGCAUUCACGAUGUGUAGCCUUUCAUUACUUCAUGAGUGGCUUGUCUUGUGUGUUAGUACUUGUAAUAAUUGUGUAGUGUAUAAAUGACCUUUUAUUAUUAAAGUGCGUUCGUUUUUAGAUAUUAUUUGUUAUUUGAAAAAUAAUCUAAAUAUAAUUCUUUCAAAAUACAGGGGAGAUACCACAUGAAAUCAGUAAUCUCCAAAAUCUGGAGGAGUUGGACCUUGGUCAUAACAAAUUAGUUGGUACUGUCCCAGCUGCAAUCUUCAAUGUGUCAACGCUCAAAGGAUUCUCCGUUUCAAACAAUUCUCUCUCGGGAUGUCUUUCGUCCAUCGUAGAUGCCCGACUUCCAAAUCUUGAAGUGCUUUAUUUGUGGGGUAAUAAUUUCAGUGGCACAAUUCCUCGUUUCAUCUUUAAUGUUUCUAAGCUCUCUAAGCUAUCGUUGGAAAAGAACUCAUUCUCGGGUUUUAUUCCCAACACAUUUGGCAACUUAAGAAACCUUAAGUGGCUGAUUUUAUAUGAUAAUUAUUUGACAUCUUCAACUCCAGGAUUGAGCUUUCUAUCCUCGUUGUCAAAUUGUAAGUCUUUAACAUAUAUUGACUUAUCACAUAAUCCACUAGAUAGCAUUCUUCAAAGGAUGUCUAUCGGUAAUCUUUCUCAUUCUUUGGAAGAAUUUCAAAUGUACAAUUGUAACGUUAGUGGUGGCAUCCCUGAAGAGAUCCGCAACUUGAGCAACUUGACACUCAUUGAUUUAGGAGGCAAUAAAUUGAAUGGAUCAAUUCCGAUUACUCUCAGCAAAUUACAAAAGCUUCAAGGUUUGGGUCUUGAAAAUAACAAAUUAGAAGGAUCAAUCCCAGAUGAUAUUUGUCGUUUGGCUGAACUAUUUAGAUUGGAGUUAGGUGGCAAUAAGCUUUCUGGAUCAAUCCCUACAUGCUUCAGUAAUCUGGCUUCUCUGAGGAUACUGUCGUUGGGUUCCAAUGAGUUAACUUCUAUUCCUUUAACUUUUUGGAACCUUAAGGAUAUCUUGCAACUCAACUUUUCAUCAAAUUUUUUGACUGGUCCACUCCCAUUAGAGAUUGGAAAUUUGAAGGUUUUGGUUGGAAUUGAUUUAUCGAUGAAUAAUUUUUCAGGCGUUAUCCCAACAGAAAUUGGAGGCUUAAAAAAUCUUGAGUAUCUCUUCUUAGGAUAUAACCGAUUGCAAGGAUCGAUUCCUAAUUCAUUUGGUGAUUUGAUAAACUUAAAAUUCUUGAAUUUGUCUAAUAAUAAUCUCUCUGGGGCAAUUCCUGCAUCUUUAGAGAAACUCUCAUAUCUUGAAGAUCUAAAUCUUUCUUUCAACAAACUAGAAGGAGAAAUUCCUAGGGGAGGGUCUUUUGGAAACUUCUCAGCUGAAUCAUUUGAGGGAAAUGAAUUAUUAUGUGGUUCACCCAAUUUACAAGUCCCGCCAUGCAAAACUGGCAUCCACCACACAUCAUCGAAAAAUUCUCUUCUCCUGGGGAUCGUCUUGCCAUUGAGUACUAUAUUUAUGAUAGUAGUCAGUUUGUUGAUCCUAAGAUAUCGACAGAGAGGAAAACGACCAUCGAAUGAUGCUAAUAUGCCACUAGUAGCAACAUGGAGAAUGGUGUCAUACCUAGAACUCUGUCGAGCAACAGACGGAUUCAGUGAAAACAAUCUAAUCGGCAAAGGAGGUUUUGGCUCUGUUUACAAAGCAAGACUUAGCGACGGGAUGGAGGUUGCAGUAAAGGUUUUCAAUUUGCAAUGUGGAAGAGCAUUUAAGAGUUUCGAUAUUGAAUGUGAAAUGAUGAAAAGUAUUCGCCAUCGAAACCUUAUCAAAGUUAUUAGCAGUUGCUCAAAUGAAGAGUUUAAAGCGUUGGUAUUAGAAUACAUGCCUCAUGGAAGUUUGGAGAAGUAUCUGUAUUCAAGCAACUGCAUUUUGGAUAUUUUUCAAAGAUUGAACAUAAUGAUAGAUGUUGCAUCAGCUUUGGAAUAUCUGCACUUUGGUCAUUCAGCUCCAAUAAUUCACUGUGACUUAAAGCCCAGCAAUGUAUUGUUAGACGAUAAUAUGGUUGCUCAUUUGAGUGAUUUUAGCAUCGCAAAAUUGCUAAUAGGAGAAGAUCAAUCUAUGACUCAUACACAAACACUUGCAACAAUAGGCUAUAUGGCACCAGGUUUGUUCAAUAUAAAUAUUUUCUAUUUCUUAUAAACUUCCUAAUAUGUUAUUUAUAUUUCAUGAUCUUGAUUAGAUGAGGAAAUUAUUAUUAAUGAUAUAUCUUAUUAUGUAAUUGUUGCAAUUCAUAGAGUAUGGAAGAGAAGGACGAGUAUCCACAAAUGGAGAUGUUUAUAGCUUUGGGAUUAUGUUAAUGGAAACAUUUACCGAGAAGAAACCCACAGAUGAAAUUUUUAACGAAGAAAUGACAUUAAAGCAAUGGGUUAAUGAUUGGCUACCCAUUUCCACUAUGGAAGUUGUUGAUGGUAAUUUGCUUAGUCAGGAGGACAUACAUUUUGUUGCAAAGGAGCAAUGUGUGUCAUAUGUCUUCAAUUUGGCUAUGGCGUGCACUGUGGAAUCUCCUAAGCAGAGAAUCAAUGCAAAAGAAAUUGUAACAAAGCUCUUAAAAAUUAGAGGCUCAUUACUUAGAAAUGUUGGAGGCAGAUGUAUAAGACAAUCAAAUUUAAAUUGAUUCGGCCCCCCAUUCAUUGCUUGCUAUCCUUUUCAGAGACUUCAACGGUUAUCCUUCAUACCGGUUUUGUUGAUAUGUUUUCUUAUUGCUCUUGCUCAUGUUUAUUUCUCUAUUUCUUUAAUUUGCAUGCAUGUAUUUUUCGUUCUCUUUUAUGUUUUUGUUAGUUUGUAUGUAGUUUACUUUUAGGGGUAAGGUUGAUUAUGUCCUCCCCUAAUUAGACAUAUCAUUUUUAUGUUUAUUCAAUAAAGCUUCUCUAAUAUUAUCGAGGUUCAUCAAAAGAAAAUUUUUAAUUAAUUUUCUUUUCUUUGACAGGUAAUGAAAUUCUAAUCUUGAUAGUGAAUAACUUCAAUAAUAGAGUGUAAGAGUAUUAGUAGUUAUGGUUGUUUUUUGAACCUGGAGUCAAGAGCAGUUUAACAGCGACAGACAAGUCUCUUGUAUUAUAGGCAAAAUUCUUUUCAUUAAUCUUAUUUGUCUACAUGUUCUCCUAUUUUCUCCAUUAAUCUUCGCUCAAGGUUUCAUGCUUCCUCUUUGAUAAAGGAAAAUAUUACUUGUGAAUAUUUCAAUUUGACAUAAGAGACUGUUUUGCCAACCAUUUGAUAAAAUGGAUGUGAGUGGAGCUUUCAAUCAUUACCUCCACCAAAAUCCUUACAACGCCGCUUUUAAAUUUUAUUUUUUAAAAUACAUUCAGUUUAAUUUAUAAAAAAAUAAAUCCAUUUGUUAAAAUUAAUCUUUUUCUCAUAAAUUUCAACCUAAAAAAUAUAUUUCUUUUAAAUUUUUAAUUAUAAAAUACAUAUAAGUUCUAAACUAUUAUAUUACUUUCAUCUUAUUAUAUAGUUUAUAUCUCCAUAACUCUAAACUCCUAUAAUUUUUUAAAAAAUAUUUUUAAUUUAAAAUACAAAUAUAAAAUAUAGAAUGGAGUGGGUGUAAGAAAACUUGUUAAAAGAAGAAUUCAUUUAAGUAUUUAACUAAAUUUAAAUUAAAAUAAGAAAUAAAUAAAUUUAUUUUUUAUUAGUUAAAUAAUUUUCAAUUGAAAAAGAGCUUUAUGAGUAAUAUUAUUGAAAUAUAAUUAAAAUUCUUAUGAAUUAAACAUUUUUGUAUAAAUACUAGUGAUAAUUAUAGAGAAAGUACGAUGAACCAAAGAAAACUUGAAUAUAAAUAUUCCAAUGUAAUUUUACACAUGCAAAUUAUGAACCAAUGAUCUUUAGAGCAUCAUAAAAUUAUUUUAACACAAUUAUUUAUUUUGAAAAAUUGCCAAUAAUGUUUAAAGUGGGAUUGAAAUGAUUAUGCUACUUAUAUAAGACAUGAUAUCAUUUAAGACGGUUUACAGAUUAUGAGAAAUAUUAUGAUCUUACAAAUAUUUAAUAUGUCAAUUAGACUGAGUCUAUGCAAUAAAAAUUUCAAAUUAAAAAAUAAACCCUUUAUUUUCUUUUAAUCAUAAGUGUGAUCUUAAUUAUUAAAGUCAUUCAAUGUCCGUUACUUAUUCAUUUUUUUAAUUACUUAAAUGACAUUGAAAACUCUACUCAAUAAUAAUUCAUUCAAAUGUUUUAUUUUAAAGUAAUCGGGAACUGCAAAUGAAACAAAUGCUUGAAAUCACAAACGGCCUAAAAUUAGAUUUUCAUUUUUCAAUGUUGCAGUGACUUUGAUCUUGAUAUUGAAAAUUUAUUUGUAACUUAUAUAAAGGUCUCAAUUUUAUCAUAAUUGAUUAGUAAGGCUAUGUAGGGAGCAUGGAUAAAUUUUGGGAUUGGAUUAUAUUUUUGGAACUAAAAAAUUAAUUUCAUCUAAUGUUAUGUUUGGCUGUCAAGACUAGCAACUUAGUCUAAAAUUAUUGAAAUUAUUAAUCUUUUAUAUUAUAAUCUUUUUGUUCCCACUUUAAACAUUAUUGGUAACUUAAAUCAUUUUUUAAAUUAAAUAUAAAAAUCAUUUAAAUUAAAUAUUAACAUUAAUUUCAUAAUUUUUUUACCUAGAAUUUUAUAUUAUAUUAAAUACUAAAAUUCUAUUCGAUAAUGUAUUAUCAUUUAUUUAAUAAAUGUUUAGGUUUUUAGUAUGUUAUAUUAUUCUUUAAAUUAAUUUUUUAUUUACAUAUAAACAUAAAUUAAUAUUUACUAAUUUAAAUUUAUUAUAAUUUAUUAAAUAAUAAAAUCUAAAUGAUUAUAUUUAAAAUAUAAAUUGUAUUUUAAUGUAUUAUAGCCUAAAUCUUACCCCUAUGAAUUUAUUUUUUCCACCUUUUAUUCUAUUAACCACAUUUAUAAGGCAGUGCGAUGCAACUAAAAAUUAUAACCAAAUAUGAGUUAGCAUGAAAAUAAUAUUUUAGUACAAUACAAUACAAUGUAAUAUAAACUGACAAAUAGAUAUUUAAUGGAAGCAAAAAUUGCAUAUGGCUUGUCGGUCUCUCAAAAGACAACAAAGAAACCAAUAUGAUGCACUGAUUCUGUCCUCUUUAACAGUGCCUUUACUAAAUGGGAACAUAAUGGAUUAGAAUCGGAAUAGAAUGGAAUCGAAAUAAGGAUUUAGAACAAGAACAAGAUAUAUAAUUAAGCUGUAUGAAUUAGAAUCAGAAUAAACUUUAUUCUAAUUGAUGUGUUUAUUUUCUCUUGAAAUUAGAAUGGACUAUUACAAGCUACUAAAAAAUCAUUUGGUAAAUGCUGUCUCUAAUAUUAUUUGUAUAUGUUAUAAUGUUAACAAUAAUAAGAAUAAAAAUAAUACUAAAAAUGAAAAUAAUAAUAAUAAUAAUAGAGACAAUAACAAUAAAAUUAAUAUAUUAUUAUUAUUAUUAUUAUUAUUAUUACUACUACUACUACUACUACUAUUACUACUACUACUAGUAGUAGUACUGAAGACCACCCGGUGAAGAUUGGAUAGUGAAGAUGAAGACGACGAAGAUCCUGGCAACCAACUGCUGCUCCAAAGAUGAUGUGCCCAAAUGGAGACAACUAAUGAUGACCAGCCAACUAGAUCCCAAUCUCAAUGUUGUGAUCUCGCAUGACCAUUAAUAAAGCGAUGUGUGAUGUCGGUGUUGUGAUUUCUUUUUUAUUUAUAUUUUUUAAUUUAUCGGAGGUUUUUUCAAAAUUUAAUAAUUUUAAUAUAGGUAAAUCGGAGUCUAGUGAACAGGAUUCCUAACCAUCCUAGGAAUUAGUUUCUCAUUCUCUAUUUUUAAUUUAAUGUGGGUUCUAUUAUUUCGAUUCCAAUCUUAUAUUUAUUUAUGAAGUAAAUGAUGUUAAUGAUUUCGAUUUCCAAUUUGAAAAGUAAACACAUCAUAAUAUUUUUUUAGGUGCUUCCAUGGCAUAAUCUCAUUGGUCCAUUUUUCUUCACGCCUUAUAUUCAACUUCUAAGAUUCAAGAUUCAAGAUUCAAUUUGAAGCAAACACUACUACAAAACAAAUAUAAUAAGCGUUAAUGAGCCUGUGGCCAAGCAAAUGUAACUCGUAGUGACAGAAUCAUAUCUUAUUAUCUUACGCCAGAAGUUAAACAAUGUUCCCAUUCCACGUGUCACUCUCUGACCAAUCCCCAAACUUUCUUCAUAUUUCCAAAGAAACCCUUACCAAGUCAUGAUAAUUACCUUCACUCUGCUCAUAUAACUACUGUCCUCGAUUCAACUGAUGACGACAAAUCCUUACAGUCUUUAUUUAAAAGGGAAAAUUAUAAAAAAAAUUCUCCUCGUUCCCUAAAAGUCUAGGGUUUCUCAAGAAUCGCUAAACCUAGAUCCCAAUCCUUCAAAAUCUCUAUUUAACCUCUCUAGGAUUUCGAUUUUCGAGGAUUCGCUUCAAAAUUUAGUAAUUUUUAGUGGAUUUUGCUUGUCUCGUAUCCUUCAAUUGUUGUUCGGUUCUGAAAAUAAUUUGGAAUUUUAGGCAUUUUCAGAUUAUUUGGUUUUGUUUGAGUGCAAUUUCCUCUAGUUACGGUUUCAGUUUGAAGGGUUAAGUGCAAUUUCGAAUUUUUUUAUAAAAUUUAAAUUAAAAUUCCUUAGACGAUUGGGCGUUUAAUAAUUAAUUGAUGGCUAGCGAUACUACAACGGCGGCCGCAGCUGCGGAAGAAGCAGAGGCGAUGGAGGAGUAUGAUAGCAAUCCAAAUGAAGUGAAACGCUCUCUUGUGAUGCGCAGAAGGGAUGCCAGCGAUGAGGAGGAGGCGGAGGAUUAGAGAGAUUCAGAGCUUCCAAUCGCUCAAAGUGUCUACAUUCCUGCGGGAGAAGCGGAGGCUGUGGAUGAGUAUGAGAGCGAUCCAGAUGAAGUGACACACUCUCUCGUUCUGCGCAGAAGGGAAACAAGCGAUGAUGAGGAGGUUUUUGUUUGGCAUAGUUAAGUGGUUAGUUUGAAGAUGGCUACUGAUUAUGCAGCUAGGUACGCAUUAGUGUUUGUGGAUUUCUAAAUGCUUUCUGUCAGAUGUGACUCGAUUAUUACUAGAAGUAUAUGGAUCUUACACUUAAUUAAUUAUAUAUCCAUUUAUAAUGUUCAAAAUGAUAAUGUACUAUUGCUUGAAAUUAUGCUUUCAAGACAUCAUUUUGAAAAUCCAUGGUUGUAAUGUGUCUCUAAAUUCAGUAAUACAAGUUCUGUCAAUUAGUGUUGGAUGCAGUGACCUGAAUAGUUUAAUAUUCAUUUGCAGAACAAAUUUCCGUGCGUUCUGCUGGAAAUUUAAUUAGCUUCAUUUGAGCAUUAAUUAGACUUCUCUUGCAUUGAAUGAAUGGAUGAGUGCUAAUCCAUGCAUGCACAAUGAAUGCUAAAUCUAAGGUAUGGUAAAAUGUCAGCAAGCUUGGCCCAAAUUAUCAAGCUGGUUUGGUGGCUACUAGAUUUGUUCAUCCGGAUUUUGGACCAUUUUCCUUGACAAUGAGAAAAGCUCCAAGAAAUUGAAGACUCACUGAAAGCUCCAAGUUUCAGGUAACUCUUGUGUUGUGUGCUCGGAGUAUUCUCUAUUGUAUUUUUUUGUUUGUUAUUUAUUCGACGUAUUGCUAGCAGAGAUCUUGGGUGGGAACCAAAAAUUCCCAACAAUUGUCAAUUGUUUUAAACUCUAUUCUGAACAGAGCAUGAAGGGAUUCACUUAUCUAAUUAUGUCUUUUAUGCUUUAACUUCACUUGAUUACAUCUUUUCCAUCACCUUUAUUAAAGUUGUAUAUGUUGGAGUAUUAGGUUCAUCAUAAGGAUCAUAUUAUGGCUAAGGAAGGAGCACAGUUUAUCAGCUGCACUGAAGUGUAGCAUAGAAUUUGGAUUCAAAACUGAUGCAAGGCUGUUGCUGUGUAAUUGCAUGCCAUGCUUGCUAGUGCGCUCUAACAGAUUGCUGAGCUGGCACCGGAUGUUUUUAACUAAUAUUAGUAAUUAGUCUAGAGUGUUCGAUUUAUUCUAUAAAUGGCUCAUUUGAGCUUACAACCUUUAAAGUUGUAUCACACGAUUCUGUUACUUCUAAUACGGAUUUUCUCUAUUCCUUUUUCUAUCACUUUCUCUUCCAUUUCAUGAUCCCCAAACACCAUCAAUCCAUGAUUUUCUAGAGUAUUAGCCGUCAUUCCAUGAUUUUCUUGUUAUUUUUUCUUUCACUUUCUCUUCCAUUUUCCCACUCCCCAAACACCACCAAUCCCUGAUUUUUGGAGUAUUAGCUGUCUAUUUCUACAAACAUAGAAGUGCUGUUUGUUUGUCCAAUUACUUUCGAGAAACAAAACUCUCUGUCCUGUGGUCUUUUCGUUUAUUGACUUGUGAGUAAAUAAGAUAUUGGGCCAAUGGACUUAACGUGACAAGUUCUUGAAUUGAAUGGCUCCUCUUUUCUCCAUAAAUCUUUGCUUAAUUUUUUUGUUCCCUCAACUUUUUGGGCCUUUUGAGUUAAAAUUCUUUUUUUGAUACAUUAUGCAAAAAUUAUGAUGAAAAUGAGUUACUUUAGAAGAUCAACAAAUUUUUAUUACAUGACAAGACAAUUAUACUUAGAUUACUCUUAUUUAGUUGAAUUAUAGGUAAUAAAAUUAGUUUAACAAAAUCUAACCCGUAAAUAUUUCUUAUCACAUGAUUAACGUACUUAAAAAUCUUAACUGAUUGGUCGCUUGUUUUACAAUUCUUUUAUAUAUCUAUGAAACUUUCAGCUUCCUAACACAUCAUAUUGUUCUCAAUUCGUCUAAAUUAUUAUUUUUUUUUCGAACACUGCGGCAACAAUCAGUAUAAAAUAGAAUGAACUCAUUUAAUGAAAAAAUUUCUAGAUGCUUUCAUGGCAGAAUCUCAUUGAUCUAUUUCUCUUCACACCUUAGGUUCCUCUAACAAACUUACCUCUUAACUCUCAUGUCCGAAUUUAAACUUGAAAGAUGUUCCCCAUCCCACGUGUUCCCAAAUCUUCGUAUUUCCAAACAAACCCCUGCCACAUAGAGAAGAGGAUGAUUCCUACAAAGCCACGUAAUCAAGUGAUAGGAUGGCUUUUAUUGCAAACUGUAUGAUUCCUCUAACAAACCCAUUAAUUAUACUCACCUUAUGCCAUGUUUCUGGUGUGUCUUCACAAAUUCACCGAUACAAAUUAAUUUCUACCAAUAUUACCAAAUGAUUGUAUUUUACGUUUCUAUUUACUUGUAAUAAAGAUCUUCUGUGUGUGUGUGUGUGUGUGUGAUAUAAGUGUUGAUUUUAAAGUAAGGUAAACAUAGGAGCUUUCUUUCUUUUACUCUGUAUUUCAUGGUCAUUCAAUUUUAUUGGUUACAAAAUUCUCUAGGAUUGCAUGUAGAUUAUACUUUUAUAUACUUUUUUUUUUCUUCUUUCGCAUUAUUUUUCUGGGUGAACAUAUUAUUUUCGUCAUCAUCUCUAUAACAAUGAAGUGAAAAUAGUCCUCGUUUAUAGUAUUGACAGCAAUGUUAUACUCAAUAAAACGCAUAAAGCACGCAUGAUUUAGCCGAAUCUAAGCGAUAAGUGUUUCCAUGUGAGCCAUAAUUUGGGAAAAAGGCCAAUUCAAGUUAAAGAUCAGAAAAGUCUGUCCCGCACGAAUACAAUAAUUCGAGCCACGCAUUCAUCAAACGCGCGCAUUGCAAAUACACUUCAAUAUGUUGUCUCAUAGGGAGAAAUCCUUCACUCUUUGACGUAAUGCUUGGGCAACGUAAAUUAGUCCCAUUUUUUUAUGCAUGAGAGACAAUUAGUCCCAUUUUUUGCCGUCAACUCUUCUCAUCUACGUCAGGUAAUGUGUCUUUUAUUUGGCAUGAAAAAGCCAAUACUUGCACGAGUGUAGCAUCACUGAUUUGUGUAAUUUUCAGGACUGGUAAAUUAUCUCAAUUUUUAAAAAAAUAUAAUUACAAUUAUAUAUCGAACACCACUAAUUCCAAUAAUUUAUCCAAAAAUAUCUUUGAGUUUCAAGGAAUUAAUGUAGCACGAAUGGCCAAGUUUUUCACCUUUUUAGAUAUUUGAUAUAUGUCAUGUUCUAACUUAGUACGAGAAGAAAAUUAUAGAAUAAUUUUUUUUUUUAAAUUAGUGGAAUUAUUUUUCGAUAAAAUUAUCACAAUCACAUUUAAAAAUAUUCUUUGGAUUUUCACUAUUUCUACUGUUAUUCUUUAAACUCUUUUCUGAACAGAGCAUGGAGGGUCACUUAUCUAAAUAUGUUUUGUGUGCUUUCACUUCACUUGAUUCAUCUUGUCCCUCUUUUAUAGCUUCUAUCUCGUGUGAGCUUAGAACCUGCAACUCGUAUUUUACGUUUCUAUUACUUUCUCUUUCAUUUUCCCGACUCCCAAACACCAUCAGUCCUUGAUGUUAUAGAGUAUUAGCUGUCUAUUUGUACAAACAUAGAGCUACUGUUCGUACUUUAGAUCUUCAGAUGGUUAGCUAACUAUUGUUUGAAUAUUAAAAUUAAUUUGUUAAAUAAAUAAAGAAAACAAGAGACAAUUACCAUACAUAUUCCAUUAUAAUUAGUCACCGUCCAAUUGUCUCCGCUUCCAUUGAAUCUGUUGAUUCAUGCUUUAAUGAAGUGAAACGCUUAACACUCUGUUCUGAUCCGCAGGAGAGGAGGAAAAACAUAAUUUUAUUAUUUCAUUCCUGACACGGGCAAAGAGCUUUCUUAGCCGGCUUGGCAGCUAAUUCCUUAAAAUUUGUUACAUUUCAUUUAAAUGAUGAAUGCGACAUGAAGCUCUAUAAAUAGUUUAAUUUGUAGAAUUGUUAAAAAUUUAAAUUUCAAGUAAGGUAGAUAAAAUGAUUGAUGUUUUUCAAUAUUUAGUAAUGAACAUGUGUCAUGUUACUAUGAGUGAAUGAAUGAAAUUUUCUAUAGAAAAUACAAUGCUAGUAUUAAAAAUUUUAAGUGCGAAUCCAUUUAGUGUACGUUUUCCCGACUCCCAAACUCCACCAAUCCUUGAUUCUUUUCCUAGAGUAUUAGCUGUCUAUUAUUACAAACAUACAGUUUGUCCAAUUACCAUCAAGAAACAACAUACCUUGUCCUGGGGUCUCUUUGAUUAUUGACUUGUGUGACUUGUAAACGGGGGGGCAUUCCCUUCUUGAAGAAAGAAUGCAAAGAGCCCAAGAAAGUACUAAUAUAUUAUCUCAAUAUUUUGAUGAAUGUGACAUUACUGGUUUGCAUAAUUUUUUGGACUAAUAUAUUAUCUCAAUUUUAAAAAAAAUGUAAUUGCAAUUAUCAAACACGACUAAUCCCAACAAUUUAUCCAAAAAAUUUUGUUUCAAGAAAUGUAGCAUUUAUGAUAGAAUGGCUAAUUUUUUCAAUCGACUUUCUGGAUAAAUGAUAUUUUUUUGAUAGAAAUGUUUCUUACUUAUUACAGGAAGAAAAUUAUAGAAUAUUUUUUUGAAUUAAUAGUAUUACUUUACGAUAACACUAUCACAAUCUAAUUUUAAAAAAAAAAAGUUAUUCUUUAAAUUUCGCAUUACUAUUCCUACUUUUCUUGUUAUACUACUUUUCUUGUUAUAGUUCAAUAUCUGCUGUCCCACUAAGCAUUGUUAAAUUCAUACGAUAAAAUGAGUACUUAUAUUAAAAAAACAAUCAAUCUCAUUGCGUGCUCUUUCAUUGACAUAGGCAAUUUGCUGUCAACUUGUGGCACUUUUAUGAAUUUUCAAGACAAGUGAAUUUUUCAAAUUUAAAAGAAAAAAAUACAGAAAUGUAAUUUCAAUUUAUCCAAAAAUUUGAGUUUCAAGGAAUACAGCAUUUAUUAUGUCAUGUUAAUAUAGAGAAGAAAAUUUUAAAAACUUAUUUUUGGAUGAAUAAAAGUAUUUUCUGAUAAAUAUUUCACAAUCAAAUUUAAAAAAUUUCACUCCUCCUGGUACAUAAUUUAAGAAUUUAACAUUAUAAAUUAAUCUUUUUAAUCAAAGUAAUAAUCUCUCCUCGGUCUGCAAAUGCUAAAAUUUAAUAUUAUAUCCAUUGACGAUAUUUGCUCCAAAUUCACGAAAAUAAAAUUUCUAACAGAAUUAUGAAAUUCGUUACUAGAAAUUUGUAUAAAAGUUGUGAGAAUAGAAGGAAUGGUCAUAGGAAAUUAAUAUAUCCCUAUCCGAUGCAAAAAUGAUUGUAAAGAAAAACAAAAGUCACGGGCUUAUUUAGAAAAAAGAAAAAAUUACAUUCCAUUUUCCAGUUAUUAAAGUAAUUCUAAAAUCGCUAGGAUCACAAAGGAUAGGCUUUGGUUGACUGAGGUCAGCCUUAACGCAUGCCGGUCUUUUUCUCCUCUACAUUCUUAGAAAUUUUGGUUUCACUAUAAAUACUCGGUAUAUAGCAAACUUAUAAGUGUUCUUGCAUUACCCAUCCAACUAAGCACACUGUCACGGGACAAGAGGUUUCGAGCCCGUGCGGCACUCUCGCAUCCCAUACUACGAGAGUAAGCCUAGUGGAAGUGGCACAAUUUCGACUGGUUUUGCCCUGCCUUAGGCUCGUCAGGAGAACGGCUUCAGUUCCCAACCAGUGUGCGUCAGGAUUUUCCUAGACCCCUCUUCAGCGUUAAGUCCUCGACUAGCGACAAGCUCCCCAAACUCAACCGGGUCGGCCUGCCUGAACUCCAAAGAGUCUAGGGCGUUGUAUUCCCCACACACACAUUCCUGAAGCACGUCUCCAACAAUCAGCACAACUGUCAUCGACACUAGCGUACAAGCGCAUAUCUUGGGUGUCACGAUUGCGGUCCGUGACAUUCUCCCACCGCCAUAACCAUGCACGUCCUCGUGCAUGCAGAGUACGCCUCGCAAGUGUGCACUUCCGCGCGAAAACGUGAAGAUCGGCUUGCCAAUCUCAACCCAUGAACUCCCUGCCUACUCGUCCUUGAUCCGUGGAGAGGACCCGCGUGCAGACACUAUCCACUUAGUGCGAAUGCUUGGGGGUAUGAGAACCCGCCUGUUCGUCCCGCUUGUCGACCCUUGCGCUCAAAAGGGUGGGGACCUGCGUGGUGCGGCAUUGGAGCGCUUGGCGAGCUCGCGACGAGGGCUUCGAGAGAUGACAAGCGCGGCUCUGAUACCAUUUGUCACGGGACGAGAGGUUUCGAGCCCGUGCGGCACUCUCGCAUCCCAUACUACGAGAGUAAGCCUAGUGGAAGUGGCACAAUGUCGACUGGUUUCGCCCUGCCUUGGGCUCGUCAGGAGAACGGCUUCAGUUCCCAACCAGUGUGCGUCAGGAUUUUCCUAGACCCCUCUUCAGCGUUAAGUCCUCGACUAGCGACAAGCUCCCCAAACUCAACCGGGUCGCCCUGCCUGAACUCCAAAGAGUCUAGGGCGUUGUAUUCCCCACACACACAUUCUUGAAGCACGUCUCCAACAAUCAGCACAACCGUCAUCGACACUAGCGUACAAGCGCAUAUCUUGGGUGCCACGAUUGCGGUCCGUGACAACACGCUUACAAUAUAAAUACUCUCAUCUCAUGGAAAGAGUUCAUUCUCUCAGGAUGAUGAGCAGAUUUCUCUUACUCUAUUGUUUGAUUCUUAUUUCCUUAUUUAUCGCGGUAGCAACAGCCAACACAAGUUCUACUAUCACAGACCAAUAUGCUCUGUUAGCCCUGAAAGCUCACAUAACUCAUGAUCCGACCAAUUUCUUGGCCAAGAACUGGAACACAAGUACUCCUGUCUGUAUUUGGACAUGCGUCACUUGUGAUGUCCAUAGCCAUAGAGUCACAAUCUUGAAUAUUUCUGGCUUAAAUCUCACGGGUACCAUCCCUCCUCAACUUGGGAAUCUUUCUUCUCUGCAAUCACUCAAUCUCAGUUGUAACCGACUUUCUGGUUCCAUUCCCUCCGCCAUCUUCACCAUAUAUACACUGAAAUAUGUUGGUUUCCGUAGAAAUCAGCUCUCGGGGCAAAUUCCUGAAAAUAUUUGUAGUAAUCUUCCUUUUCUUGAAAUUCUUUCUUUGUCCCGAAACAUGUUCCAUGGCGGAAUACCGUCCACUCUAUCAAAUUGCACAUAUUUGCAAACAUUAGGUUUGGUAUACAAUAAUUUCUCGGGGACCAUACCUAUAGAAAUCGGCAAUUUGACCAAACUUAAGGAAUUAUAUCUUGGCGGUAACAGGCUCCAAGGUGCGCAUGAUCACGAAGUUUCAUUAUGAAAUUUGUUGCAUAAGUUGUAAUAUGUAUAAUGUUCCAUGAUACAGUUUACACACGUUGAUUAAUUUGCAGGAGAAAUUCCGCGAGAGUUUGGCAAUCUUGCCGACUUGGAGCAGAUGUCGUUGGCGAUAAACAAUCUCCAAGGCAUGAUUUUAAACUUUUUGCAAUUUUAUUUUAGCUAUGCUUGCUUCUGUAUUCAUUCGCUUGUUCUUUGAUUAUGCGAUGAUUUAUUGUUUUUCUUUCAGAUAGAGAUAAAGCUCCAUGUCUCCCCUCACUCAUUUCAUUCCUUAAUUUAUGCAGAUAAAAAAAAAAAAAAAGAAUGUUCUGUAAUUUUCUUUUGUCAUAUUACCACUUCCAUUUUGAAGCUUCCAAUUAAGUCGAUGAAAAUGAAUGAUGUUUCAUUCUUAUUCUUGUCAGCCUAAUUCUUAUAUAAAUGAAGAGUAAAUUGUGAUUACGAUAUUCGUCAGCCAAUAAAUUCUUCUUUUUUUCCCCCCCCAAACAUGAGUGAUCAAAUUGUUUGCGCAUAUAUAAAUGUACUUAAUUUACAGGAGGUAUUCCACGGGAAUUGGGGAAUCUUACAAAAUUGGAGAUAUUACAGGUGUUCCAGAAUAACUUGACCGGUAACUUUCUUUACAAUAUAUAUACGAGACAUCUUCCGCUUUUUAUUAGAAAUUAUAAAUUCAAGUUAAAUCUUAAUUAAAAGUUUUCAAGUCUCUCAUUAUAUAUUCUCAUAUGAGGAUGUGUCGUUACCACUAUCUAACAUUAUUCCGUUUUUUAUUAGAAAUUAGUUUGUGUUAAUUCAAAAUUCUGUAGCAUUUAAAAAAAUUAAAAACACGUGGAAUAAAUUGUUAAUCUUUCUUCUUUACUGAAUUUGGAUUUCUCAAAAAUAAUCUUGACAAGUAUGCUUCACUAAUGAUAUGCAUGUGUGACAACUUCAUAAAAUAUUUUACAUGGAAUCACUAAUUAUCUCUAAAGAUGCCAUCAGUGAUAUAUAAUUUCUUAACAAGCACCAUACCAAAAGAAAUCAACAAUUUUAUUAAUCUUAAAGAGUUAAAUCUUCACUGCAAUUAUGACAUAAAUUUUUAGUCAUCAAUCGCAUAGUAUUUUAUCUUAACUGAUGAUGAUGUUCAGUCUUGGAAUUUAUAAUAUCUUGAAGGUUAGUAGCUUUGAAAAUAAGAAAUUGUUCAUUUGCUAAAAAGUUAACUUAGUAUUUAAGUUUUCCAAUUGAAAAUUUUGAAAAAAGCGUUGAGAACUGGCACUCCAUAGUAUUUCAGCGGAUAAAUAUGAAAAAUAGGCUAGAAGAAAUUAUUUUACUUUAAUAAGAGUUAAAAAGAUAGGACAAGUACAGUACUCAUGACUUAGGCUUGCUGUGUGUGCUUAUUCCAAUUGGGUUUUGGGCUUGAUUACACCUGUUAUAAUAAUGAGCUUUUGCUUUCACCGCACACUAAUAAUUUCCUAACCUUCCAUUUAGGUUAUAGAAAUUUAAAUAUAAAUAAUAAAGCAUACUAAAGCUAGCAUUGAUGUACGGAUGAGUGGCGUCAAAAGUGUAUCUGUUUUUAUGUAUUAUUUAUUCUCUAAAACAAAUCUGAAUACAAUUCUUUCAAAAUACCGAUGAAAUAGAACAUGAAAUCGGAAAUAUUUUAUUGCGAUGAGAAUUCGUAUAUUAAUUGUAGUAGAACAUAUAAAAUAGAGUAUAAAUUUAUUAUUCUUUGAAGCAAACCUGAUUAUAAUUCCUUCAAAAUUAAGUUUGUCAUUAAAUGAUUUCUCAGGAGCCAUACCAAAAGAAAUCCGGAAUUUGACCAAACUAAAGCAAUUAUCUCUCUACAGUAACAGGCUCCAAGGUGCGCAUGAUCACAGAGUUUAAUUAUGAAAAUUGUUGCAUAAAUUAUAUGGAUAUCCUUAAUAACCGCAGCAAGCAAACAAAAUCAAAUAAAAGCUAACUGAGACUCGAAUAUCCUAAACCCUGAAAAGGAAUGGUAAUGGUAUAAUAUGGAUUCUGUAGGCAUAUUUCACUGGACUCAACAUUUAUGGUUAAUUUACAACUCUUUGUUGGAAAGUCUGAGAAAUUGCUCUAUAUUAGGGGUGGGGAAAAUAAUGCUAGGCCACGAAUUUCAGGCAGAAUCCAGAUUGGGCCCAAUUAGACUUAUAGCUCAGCUCUGUGUCGAUAUCUGGGCCUUUACAAAUAAUUAAUGGGCCAAUUAAUAAUAAUAGAUAAAUUGAGAAGGGUGCGAGUGAAAUUAGAUAUGAAUGAAUCUGCCAGUGUAUGUACACAUUUUUCUAAUUAAUGCAUUAUGAGCCUGCCGCUGCCAGCAUGGAAAUUACAGAAACUAAGGAGAGAAUUGACCCAUUAAUUAAAUUAAAAAGAAUACUGAAUAUAUAAGCAGUCAAAAUAUAGGUGAAGUAGGCAUGAAUUGUCACAUAACUAAAUUUGAGAGUAAAACCGUGACUUGGGUUUGAAUGUUUGAUUAAGUUACUUCUAUUUCUAAGUUGCUUAUUUUGCGUGGGCUUCGGGCUUAGUUACACACGGUCGAACACUUACACAGUUCCCCUGACAUAGGCUUUCACUUUCACCACACAUUUGAUAAUUUCUUAGCCUUCCCAAUUAGUUUAUAGUAAUUUAUAUAUAAAUGACUAAAGCAUACAAAAGCUACCAUUGACGUACGGAUGAGUGGUGUCAAAAGUGUAUCUUCUUUUAUUUAUUAUUGUCCUAUGAUACAAAUCUGAAUAAUGGAAUAUAAUGCUUUGAAAAUACCGAUGAAAUAGCACAUGAAAUCGGAAAAUAUUUUACUGCAAUAAGAAUUCAUAUAUUCAUUGUAGUAGCACAUAUAGAAUAGACUAUAAAUUUAAUUUUAAAAUACAUUCUUAUCUUCAUAUAAAUUUUACAUUACUAAUUUAAAUUAACAUUAAAAUAUGUUGUUUCUUUCACUAUGUUAUUUUAUUUACACAAAGAUGUGACUAUUGGAAUUAAUAAUACUUAUGAUUAUUUUGUAAAAAUUAAAUUUAAUACUUUGUUAACAUUUUAUCUACAUAUAAUAAUUAAACUGAAACUUGUAUUUAAAAAAUUCUAGUUACGCAUAUUCAUUUCACGACAUAAAAGUGUAUAUUUAUGCUAAUUUACCAUUAUCAACAAAAUGCUUUAGACAAAUAAUCUAAUUUAUAUUUUUAUAUUUAAAAUACUUGCAUUUAUUAUAUUUUGAAAAAAAUGUAUUUGCAAUUAUUUUAAACCGUUGGAUUCAAAUUUUCGUAGUUAUUAAAGUCAAAGGGUAUAAAUGUAUAAUAGUCAAAAAUAGAUUUGUAUGAUUAUUUUCAAUGUAUAAAUUUUCUUAGUUAGUAGGAAAAUUAGAAAUUGUUGAUUUACUCAUAAAUAAAUUUAAUGUUUAGCAUUUCAAUUUUGGAAAACUUGAACUAAAUGUUGAUAACUUCGAAUCGGUCGAGCCGAGUUUCUCUUCCUUGACCCACGGACCCAUUGAAAGUUCUAUUCGAAUUGAAUUUCCCGGUGCUUAUAAAAAGCAUUUCUUUUCCUUGUCGCAUUAAUUUAUUCACAAAUGAGUUGAUUAGCAUCGAAGUUACCUGAGAGUGUGAGACCAUGCUAGUAGGAGAAAUUUGAAAAGAAAUUAUUUUACUGAAUUAAUUUAUUUUAUCUUGUUGUAACUGAAAUAUUAUUUUUUUUUUGGGCUAUCACUGGGGCUUGAUUUACUUUAAUAGUAGCAGCCACCGACUUAGGCGUUUUUUAAUUCUCACCACACAAUUUUAUCUUUUAAUUCGUUUUAACCACAUAAUCUGUCUAUCUAUCUCUCACCUAUUGGUUACUUAAAUCGCAUACAUAUUUUACCUACUAAUUUUUAUAAAUAUUAGUCAAAUAUAUUUUAUUACGUUUCUCUCGUAAUUGCUCCAAAUGUGUACUAUUAAUACUUAACCCUCCCUUUUAAUUUAACCCAAAAAAUAUAAAAAUAAAAGAAAAAGAACAUGCAUAGCAAUUUGCAUAUAACUAACAAAGAAUUGACAGUUUGUAGCCUUUCAAUACUUCACGAGUGGCUUUUCUUGUGUGUUAGUACUUGUAAUAAUUGUGUAGUGUAUAAAUGACAUUUUAUUAUUAAAGUGCGUACAUUUUUAGAUAUUACUUAUUAUUUAAAAAUAAUCUGAAUAUAAUUCUUUUAAAAUACAGGGGAGAUACCACUUGAAAUUGGUAAUCUCCAAAAUCUGGAGGAGUUGAGUCUUGGCCUAAACAAAUUAAUUGGUACUAUCCCAGUUGCAAUCUUUAAUGUGUCAACACUCAAAAUGCUUGAGCUUCAAGAUAAUUCUCUCUCGGGAAGUCUUUCGUCCAUCGCAGACGUCCGACUACCAAAUCUUGAAAAGCUUCAUUUGUGGGGUAAUAAUUUUAGUGGCACAAUUCCUCGUUUCAUCUUUAAUGCUUCUAAGCUCUCUAUACUAGCUUUGGGAGACAAUUCAUUCUCCGGUUUUAUUCCCAACACAUUUGGCAACUUAAGAAACCUUGAGUGGCUUAAUGUACAUGAUAAUUAUUUGACAACUUUAACUCCAGAAUUGAGCUUUCUAUCCUCGUUGUCAAAUUGCAAGUCUUUAACAUUUAUUGGCUAAUCAAAUAAUCCACUAGAUGGCAUUCUUCCAAGGACGUCUGUCGGUAAUCUUUCUCGUUCUUUGAAAGAAGUUUACAUGUCCAAUUGUAAUGUUAGUGGCGGCAUCCCUAAAGAGAUCACCAACUUGACCAACUUGACAACCAUUUAUUUAGGGGGCAAUAAAUUGAAUGGAUCAAUUCCGAUUACUCUCAGCAAAUUACAGAAGCUUCAAGGUUUGGGUCUUGAAUAUAAUAAAUUAGAAGGAUCAAUCCCAGACAGUAUUUAUCGUUUGACUGAACUGUAUGAGUUGGAGUUGGGUGGCAAUAAGCUUUCAGGAUCAAUCCCUGCAUGCUUCGGUAAUUUGAUUGCUCUGAGGAAACUGUCGUUGGGUUCCAAUGAGUUAACUUCUAUUCCCUUAACUUUUUGGAACCUUAAGGAUAUCUUGUACCUCAACUUUUCUUCAAAUUGUUUUACUGGCCCACUCCCAUUAGAGAUUGGAAAUUUGAAGGUUUUGGUUGGAAUGGAUUUUUCGAUGAAUAAUUUUUCAGGUGUUAUCCCAACAGAAAUUGGAGGCCUAAAAAAUCUAGAAUAUCUCUUCUUAGGAUAUAACAGAUUGUAAGGAUCAAUUCUUGAUUCAUUUGGUGACUUGAUAAGUUUGAAAUCCUUGAAUUUGUCUAAUAAUAAUCUCUUUGGGGCUAUUCCUGCAUCUCUAGAAAAACUCUCAUAUCUUGAAGAUCUAAACCUUUCUUUCAAACAAGCUGGAAGGAGAAAUUCCUAUGGGAGGAUCUUUUGGAAACUUCUCAGCUAAAUCAUUUGAGGGAAAUGAAUUAUUAUGUGGUUCACCCAAUUUACAAGUCCCGCAAUGCAAAACUAGCAUCCACUGCACAUCAUGGAAAAAAUUUCUUCUCCUCGGGAUUGUGCUGCCAUUGAGUACUAUAUUUAUGAUAGUAGUCAUUUUGUUGAUUCUAAGAUAUCGACAGAGAGGAAAACGACCAUCGAAUGAUGCUAGCAUGCCACUAGUAGCAAUGUGGAGAACGUUUUCAUACCUAGAACUCUAUCGAGCAACAGACGAAUUCAGUGAAAACAAUCUAAUCGGCAAAGGGGGUUUUGGCUCUGUUUAUAAGGCAAGACUUGGGGACAGGAUGGAGGUUGCAGUGAAAGUUUUCAAUUUGCAAUGUGGAAGAGCGUUUAAGAGUUUCGAUGUUGAAUGUGAAAUGAUGACAAGUAUUCGCCAUCGAAACCUUAUCAAAGUUAUUAGCAGUUGUUCAAAUGAAGAGUUUAAAGCGUUGGUAUUAGAAUACAUGCCUCAUGGAAGUUUGGAGAAGUAUAUGUAUUCAAGUAACUGCAUUUUGGAUAUUUUUCAAAGAUUGAACAUAAUGAUAGAUGUUGCAUCAGCUUUGGAAUAUCUGCACUUUGGUUAUUCAGCUCCAAUAAUUCAUUGUGACUUAAAGCCCAACAAUGUAUUAUUAGACGAUAAUAUGGUUGCUCAUUUGAGUGAUUUUAGCAUCGCAAAAUUGUUAGCUGGAGAAGAUCAAUCUAUGACUCAAACACAAACAUUUGCCACAAUAGGCUAUAUGGCACCAGGUUUGUCAAUACAAAAAUUUUCUAUUUCUUGUAAACUUCCUAGUAAGUUAUUUAUGUUUCAUGAUCUUCAUUAGAUGAGGAAAUUCUUAUUAAUGAUAUAUCUUACUAUUUAACUAUUGCAAUUCAUAGAGUAUGGAAGAGAAGGACGCGUAUCCGCAAAUGGAGAUGUUUAUAGCUUUGGGAUUAUGUUAAUGGAAACUUUUACUAGGAAGAAACCCACAGAUGAAAUUUUUAACGGAGAAAUGUCAUUAAAGCAUUGGGUUAAUGAUUGGCUACCUAUUUCCACUAUGGAAGUUGUUGAUGCUAAUUUACUAAGUCAGGAGGACAUACAUUUUGUCGCAAAAGAGCAAUGUGCGUCAUUUGUCUUCAAUUUGGCUAUGGCGUGCACUGUGGAAUCUCCUGAGCAGAGAAUCAACGCAAAAGAAAUUGUAAAAAAGCUCUUAAAAAUUAGAGACUCAUUACUUAGAAAUGUUGGAGGUAGAUGUAUAAGACAAUCAAAUUUAAAUUGAUUCUGCCCCUCCUUCCUUGCUAUCCUUUUCAGAGACUUGAACGGUUAUCCUUCAUACAAGUUUUGUUGAUAUGUUUUGUUAUUGCUCUUGCUCAUGUUUAUUUCUCUCUUUCUUUAAUUUGCAUGCAUGUAUUUUUCGUGCUCUUUUCUAUUUUUGUUGGUUUGUAUGUAGUUUGUUUUUAGGGGUAAGGUUGAUUAUGUCCUCCCCUAAUUAGACGUAUCAUGUUUAUUUUUAUUCAAUAAAGCUUCUCUAAUACUAUUGAGGUUCAUCAAAAGAAAAUUUUAAAUUAAUUUUCUUUUCUAUGUUAGAUAAUGAAAUUCUAAUCUUCAUAAUGAAUAACUUCAAUAAUAGAGUGUAAGAGUAUUAGUAGUUAUGGUUGUUUUCUGAACCUGGAGUCAAGAGCAAUUUAACAGCAACAAACAAGUCUCUUGUAUUAUAGGCAAAAUUCUUUUCAUUAAUCUUAUUUGUCUACAUGUUCUCCUAUUUCUCCAUUUAUCUUCGCUCAAGGUUUCAUGCUUCCUCUUUGAUAAAGGAAAAUGUUACUCGUGAAUAUUUCAAAUUUUCAAUUUGACAUGAGCGACUGUUUGCCAGCCAUUUGAUAAAAUGGAUAUGAGUUGAGUUUUCAAUCAUUACCUCCACCAAAAUCCUUAGUCCUUACAACGCCACUUUUUAAUUUUAUUUUUAAAUACAUUCAGUUUAAUUUAAAAAAUAAAUCCAUUUGCUAAAUUUAAUCUUUUUCUCAUAAAUUUCACCCUAAAAAAUAUAUUUCUUUUAAAUUUUUAUUAUAAAAUACUUACAAGUUCUAAACUAUUAAAUUAUUUUCUUCUUAUUAUAUAGUUUAUAUCUCCAUAACUCUAAACCCCUAUAAUUUUUUAAAAAAUAUUUUUUAAUUUAAAAUAUAAAUAUAAAAUAUAGAAUGGAGUGAGUAUAAAAAACUUGUUAAAAGAAUAAUUCAUUUAAGUAUUUAACUGAAUUUUAAAUUAAAAUAAGAAAUAAAUAAAUUUAUUUUUUAUUAGUUAAGUAAUUUUCAAUUAAAAAAGAGCUUUAUGAGUAAUAUUAUUGAAAUAUGAUUAAAAUUCUUAUGAAUUAAACAUUUUCGUAUAAAUACUAGUGAUAAUUAUAGAGAAAGUACGAUGAAGUGAAAAAAAAAAACUUAAAUAUAAAUACUCUAGUAUAAUUUUACACAUGCAACUUAUGAACCGGUGAUCUUUAGAGCAUUAUAAAAUUGUUUUAACACAAUUAAUUGGUUUGAAAAAUUACCAAUAAUGUCGACAGUGGGAUUUAAAAGAUUAAACUACAUAUAUAAGACAUAAUAUCAUUUAAAACGGCUUACAGAUUAUGAGAAAUAUUUUGAUCUUCUAAAUAUUUAAUAUAUCAAUUGGACUAAGUCUAUGCAAUAAAAAUUUUAAAUAAAAAAAAACCCUUUAUUUUCUUUUAAUCAUAAGUGUGAUCUUAAUUAUUAAAGUCAUUUAUUGUCCAUUACUUAUUCAUUUUUUUAAUUACCUAAAUGACAUUGAAAACUCUACUCAAUAUUAAUUCAUUCAAAUGUUUUGUUUUAAGGUAAUCAGAAACUGCAAAUGAAACAAAUGCUUGAAAUCACAAACGGCCUAAAAUUUUAUUUUCAUUUUUCAAUGUUGCGGUGACUUGGAUCUUGAUAUUGAAAAUUUAUUUGUAACUUAUAUAAAGGCCUCAAUUUUAUCAUAAUUGGUUAGUAAGGCUACGUAGGGAGCAUGGACAAAUUUUGGGAUUGGAUUAUAUUUUUGGAACUAAAAAAUUAAUUUCAUCCAAUGAUAUGUUUGGCUGUUAGGACUAGCAACUUAGUCUAAAAUUAUUGAAAUUAUUAAUCUUUUAUAUUAUAAGCUUUUCGUUCCCACUUUAAAUAUUAUUGGUAACUUAAAUCAUUUUUUAAAAUUAAAUAUAAAAAUUAAUUUAAUUCAAUAUAAAAAUCAUUUAAAUUAAAUACAAAAAUAUUUAAAUUAAAUAUUAACAUUAAUUUCAUAAUUUUUUACCUAGAAUUUUAUAUUAUAUUAAAUACUAAAAUUCUAUUCGAUAAUGUAUUAUCAUUUAUUUAAUAAAUGUUUAGUAUGUUAUAUUAUUAUUUAAAUUAAUUUUUUAUUUACAUAUAAACAUAAAGUAAUAUUUACUAAUUUAAAGUUAUUAUAAUUUGUUAAAUAAUAAAAGCUAAAUGAUUAUAUUGAAAAUAUAAAUAGUAUUCUAAUGUAUUAUAGUCUAAAUCUUACCCCUAUGAGUUUAUUUUAUACACCUUUUAUUGUAUUAACCACAUUUAUAAUGCAGUGCAAUGUAAUAAAAAAUUAUAACCAAAUAUGAGUUAGCAUGAAAAUAAUAUUUUAGUGCAAUAUAAUACAAUGUAAUGUAAGCUAACAAAUGGAUAUUUAAUGGAAGCAAAAAUUGCAUAUGGCUUGUGCGUCUCUUCAAAGACAACAAAAAAACCAAUAUGAUACACGAUUUUUGUCCUCUUUAAUGGUGUCUUUACUAAAUGGGAAUCAGAAUAAGUUAGAAUUAGAAUGAGCUUGAAUCGAAAUAAGGAAUUAGAAUCAAAAUAAGUUGUUUAUUUAAGUUGUAUGAAUCAGAAUCAAAAUAAAUUUUAUUCAAAUUGAUGUGUUUAUUUUCUCUUGAAAUUAGAAUGGACUAUUACAAGUUACUAAAAAAUCAUUUGGUAAUUGUUGUCUCUAGUAUUAUUUGUAUUUGUUAUAAUGGUAACAAUAAUAAGAAUAAAAAUAAUACUAAAAAUGAAAAUAAUAAUAAUAGUAGAGACAAUAAUAAUAAAAUUAAUAAAUUAUUAUUAUUAUUAUUAUUAUUACUACUACUACUAUUACUACUUCUGAAGACCACUCGGUGAAGAUUGAAUAGUGAAAAUGAAGAUGAUGAAGAUCUCGACGAACCAACUGCUGUUCCAAAGAUGAUGUGUCCAAAUGGAGACAACCAAUGAUGACUAGCCAACUAGAUCCCAAUCUCGAUGUUGUGAUCUCGUAUGACCACAGAUAAAGCUAUGUGUGAUGUUGGUGUUAUGAUUUAUUUUUUAUUUAUAUUUUUUAAUUUAUCAGUAUUUUCAAAUUUUUGUAAUUUUAAUAUGGGCAAAUUAGAUAGUCCAGUGAAUAGGAGACUGAUUCCUAACCAUCCUAAGAAUUAGUCUCUCAUUUUUUAUUUCUAAUUUGAUGUGGGUCCUGCUAUUUCGAUUCCAAUUCUUACAUUUAUUUGUGAGAUAAAAUUAUGGUGCAACUGUAGUACCAUUGGAUCCAGGCAUAGUUAUCACCAUGACUGAAUCUAAUUGUUGAAAGUAAUUGUGGUAUGAUACCACAGUUGCACCAUAGCUGGACCUUUAUUUGUGAAGUAAAAUGAUGUUAAUAAUUUCGAUUUCCAAUUCGAAAAGUAAAUACAUCAUAAUAUUUUUUUAGAUGCUUCCAUGGCAUAAUCUCAUUGGUCCAUUUUUCUCCACGCCUUAGAUUCAACUUCAAGAUUCAAGAUUCAAGAUUCAAUUUGAAGCAAACACAACUAAGUGCCUGUUUGGUAUGGCUUAUUUAAGAGUCAUAAGUGCUUAUUUAAUCGCAUAAGCACUUUUUAAAAAAUUUUAUGGUGUUUGGUUAUUUUUUUAGUAGAGUUUUUUUAGCUUAAAUAAGCUAAUUUACCUCUACUAGUAAAAGCCCAAAAUUUGAGCUUUUGGGAGUAGAGGUUAGAGAGCUUAUCUAAAAAAUAUAUAAUAAAAAAAAUAUCAUACAGUUUAAUGAUUCAAAAGUGUUUUUUUUAUUGACAACCAAACACCCAAUGACUUUUUGUCCAAAAACUCUAUUGGUAUAAACUCUACUGCUAUAAGCUCUAUUGUUAUAAGCUCUAUUUAAUAAGCUGUACCAAACGGAGCCUAAAAAACAAAUAUAAUAAGCGUUAAUAAGCCUGUGGCUGACUGGCUGUGGCCAAGCAAAUGUAACUCAUAGUGACCGAAUCAUAUCUUAUUAUCUUACGCCAGAAGCUAAACAAUGUUCCCAUUCCACGUGUCACUCUCUGACCAAUCCCUGAACUUUCUUCAUAUUUCCAAAGAAACCCUCACCAAGUCAAGAUAAUUACCUUCACUCUACUCAUAUAAAAACUGUCCUCGAUUCGACUGAUGUCUGAUGACGAUAUAUCCUUAGUCUUUAUUUAAAAGGGGAAAUUAUAAAAAAUUCUCCUCGUUCCCUAAAAAUCUAGGGUUUCUCAAGAAUCGCUAAACCUAGAUCCCAAUCCUUCAAAAUCUCAAUUUAACCUCUCUAGGGUUUCAAUUGUCAAGGAUUCGCUUCAAAAUUUAGUAUUUUUUUAGGGGAUUUUGCUUGUCUCGUAUCCUUCAAUUGUUGUUCGGUUCUGAAAAUAAUUUGGAAUUUUAGGGAUUUUCAGAUUAUUUGGUUUUGCUUGAGUGCAUUUUCCUCUAGUUACGGUUUCAGUUUGAAGGGUUAAGUGCGAUUUCGAAUAUUGUUAUAAAAUUUAAAUUAAAAUUCAUAAAACGAUUGGGCGUUUAAUAAUUAAUUGAUGGCUAGCGAUACUACAACGGCGGCCGCAGCUGCGGAAGAAGCAGAGGCGGUGGAGGAGUAUGAUAGCGAUCCAGAUGAAGUGAAACGCUCUCUUGCGAUGCGCAGAAGGGAAGCCAGCGAUGAGGAGGUUGAGGAGGAUAAAGAUUCAGAGCUUCCAAUAGUUCAAAGUGUCCACAUUCCUGCAGGAGAAGCCGAGGCUGUGGAUGAGUAUGAGAGCGAUCCAGAUGAAGUGAAACACUCUCUCGUGAUGCGGAGAAGGGAAACAAGCGAUGAUGAGGAGGAGGAUAAAGAAUUUGAGCAUCGAACAAAUCGUAGGGUCCACAUUCACUCUUACAUUGAAUCUGCUGGCCAAGGUGGUGCUCCAGCUGAGUAUGAUGAUGAUGAUGAUGAAGAAGAGGAACAUGACAGAGAAUUGGAGGAAGAAGAAGAAGAUGAAGAAGGGGAUGUUUAUGAGGCCGUAGAGGAAGAAGAAGUUUAUGAAGAAGAGGAGAGGAAUGAUGGGGCGGUUAAAGUCAAAGGAAUAGAGGGUAAUGAUGCAUGAGGAGUACGGAGGGUGCAGUGGAAGUGAGUAAAGGGAAUAAUGAUAAUGGCAAUGGUGCUAAAAGAAUGAUGCAGCAGAGGAGGGAAUGGAGGAAGAGAAGAAGGAGAGUAAUGAGCCUUUUGCACAGCAACUGGGGCUUUUUAUAUGGGACAAUGUUGCAGGUCGACACAGGUAUUAUUUGAUUUGAGUGACAAUUUAUAAAUAGCUAAUAGCUGUACUUUCAUUAGGGCUUGUCAAUUAAUCCAGUCUUGUUUUUUGGUGCUGUAUAAUGAUUGUUUGCUGGAAUCUGUGUAGAAGGCUUUUGGCCUAGUAGGUUGAAAGGAGGGAAAGUUCUCAAAUAAACAUCUGUGCUUUGCGGAAUAUAAUUAAUAGGUACAAAGCAUACUAAAUUACUUGACUGAUAGAUGCCGAGCUAAUCAUGAGCUAUGAUAGCAUUAUCCGUGCUUUGUGUAUUUUUAACAGGGCUUGUCUAUUUCAAAGUGUGUAGUGUAGAAUUUUUGGGUUUAGUUUGAGUGAUGAAGUGUUAGAUAGGUUUCUGUUUGGCAUAGUUAAGUGGUUAAUACGAGCUAUUGAAGCAAAUAUGGAGUAGGAUAUCUAGUUUUGGGUUUGGUCUUAGUUUGAAGAUGGCUACUGAUUAUGCAGCUAGGUACGUAUUAGUGUUUGUGGAUUGCUAAAUGCUUUCUGUCAAAUGUGACUAGAUUAUUACUUGAAGUGCAUGGAUCUUACACUUAAUUAAUUAUAUAUCCAUUUGUAAUGUUCAAAAUGAUCAUGUACUAUUGCUUAAAAUUAUGUUUUCAAGACAUCAUUUUGAAUCCAUGGUUGUAAUGUGUCUCUAAAUUCAGUAAUACAAGUUCUGUCAAUUGCUGUCGGAUGCAGUGACUUGAAUAGUUUAAUAUUCAUUUGCAGAAAAAAUUUGAGAAAGAAAACUAAAAAUUUCUGUGCGUUCUGCUGGAAAUUUAAUUAGCUUCAUUUGAGCAUUAAUUGCUGGCAUUAUCUCUUAGAUUUCUCUUGCAUUGAAUGAAUGGAUGAGUGCUAAUCCAUGCAAAGACUUCCAUGCAUACACAAUGAAUGCUUCAUCAAAGGUAUGGUAAAAUGUCAACACGCUUUGCCCAAAUUAUCAAGCUGGUGUGGUGGCUGCUAGAUUUGUUCAUCCGGAUUUUGGACCAUUUUCAUUGACAAUGAGAAAAGCUGCAAGAUCUGUAAAUCGGAAACUCAUUAAAGUGCCAAAAGAGAGAUGGAAUUGAAUAACUAGAGAGUUAGUGAAAAGAGGGUGCAGUGAUUGUGUGGGAAGCUUUGGGUAUACUUGGGGUUUGGAUGUGAGAUAAAAUAAUUUGAGAGAGAGGUUGUAUCAAUUUUUUGGUAAUAGAGUUUUUCAGGUAACUCUUGUGUUGUGUGAUUGGAGUAUUCUCUAUUGUAUUUUUUUAUUUGUUAUUUAUUUGACGUAUUGCUAGCGGAGAUCUUUGUCAAUUGUUUUAAACUCUAUUUCGAACAGAGCAUGAAGGGAUUCACUUAUCUGAUUAUGUCUUUUAUGCUUUAACUUCACUUGAUUUCAUCUUGUUUGUCACUUUUAAUAAAGUUGUAUAUGUUGGAGUAUUAGGUUCAUCACAGGGAUCAUAUUACGGCUAAGGAAGGGGCACAGUUUAUCAGCUGCACUCAAGUGUAGCAGAGUAUUUGGAUUCAAGACUGUUCGAAGGUUGUUACAAUGCAAGGCUGUUGCUGUGUAACUGUAUGCCAUUCUCGCAAGUGCACUCUUAACAGAUUGCUGAGCUGGCACCGGAUGUUUUUAGCUAAUAUUAGUUAUUGGUCUAGAGUGUUCUGAUUUAUUCUAUAAGUAGCUCAUUUGAGCUUAGAACCUUUAUAGUGUAUCAUACGUUUCCGUUACUUCUAAUAAUGAUUUUCUCUAUUCUUUUUUCUUUCACUUUCUCUUCCAUUUUCAUGAUCCCCAAACACCAUCAAUCCAUGAUUUUCUAGAGUAUUAGUUGUCUAUUUCUACAAACAAAGAAUUGUUGUUUUAAGAAACAAAGUACUCUGUCCUGUCACCCGCGGUCUCCUUGUUUAUCGACUUGUGAAUGGGGCUAAAUAAACGGCAAAUAAGAUAUUGGGUCAAUGGGUCUAACGUGACAAAAUAUUGAAUUAUUGCCCUUUUCUUUUCUCCACAAAUCUUUGGUUAAUUUUUAGGUUCCAUCAACUUUGUUCCCCUUUAGCACUAAAAUUCAUUUUUGAUACUUUAUGCAAAAAUUAUGAUGCAAAUGAGUCACUUUAGAACAUUAAUAAAUUUUUAUUUUUACAUCCAAGAUAACGACAGUUACACUUAUAUCACUCUCAUUUAGUUGAAUUAUAUAGGUAAUAAAGUUGGCUUAACAAAAUAUGAUUCUCAACUGUUGUCAUUAAGGGCUAGUAUUCUUUGGUUUUAGUUGUAGGGCUUAUAAUGCCGUGGCUCAGUUCUUGGUGGGUUUGAAUUAUUAGACGAUCAUUCUCAAUCCUUUACUAUUCGUAAUAAAAAAUUCCUAUAUCACAAUUAGAACUUACAAACAAGUCAAAGUGGGUUAAAUCAUAUGUAUAAAUUCGAGGUCUAUUACAAACUUUUAAAAAAGAUUUUCUCUGUUUUUUUUUUUCUCUUUCACCUUCUCUUCCAUUUUCUCAAUCCCCAAACACCACCAAUCCCUGAUUUUUUGAGUAUUAGCUGUCUGUUUCUACAAACAAGUUCUUGAAUUGAAUGGCUCCUCUUUUAUCCAUAGAUCUUUGCUUAAUAUUUUUGUUCCCUCAACCUUUUUCGGCCCUUGGCUCUAAAAUUCUUUUUUGAUACAUUACGCAAAAAUUAUGAUGAAAAUAAGUUACUUUAGAACAUCAAUAAAAUUUUAUUACAUCUAAGAUAAGACAAUUAUGCUUAGAUUACUCUUAUUUAGUUGAAUUAUAUGUAAGAAAAUUAGUUCAAUAAAAUCUAAUCCGUAAAUAUUCCUUAUCACAUGAUUAACGUACUUAAAAAUUCUUAACUGAUCGGUCGCUUGUUUUACAAUUCUUUUAUAUAUCUUUGAAACUUUCAGCUUCCCAACACAUCAUAUUGUUCUCAAUUCGUCUAAUUUUUUUUUUUCAAACACUGCAACAACAACCAGUAUAAAAUAGUAUAAACUCAUUUAAUGGAAAUUUUCCUAGAUGCUUUCAUGGCAGAAUCUCAUUGGUCUAUUUCUCUUCGCACCUUAAGGUUCCUCUAACAAAACUACCUCUUAACUCUCAUGUCCGAAUUUAAACUUAAAAGAUGUUCCCCGUCCCACGUGUCCCCAAAUCUUUGUAUUUCCAAACAAACCCCUGCCAACUAAGUCAACUGAUAGGAUGGCUUUUAUUACAAACUGUAUGAACGUUAUGGCCAUGGGACAUUGGAUAAAACUAAUGGAAUGUAAAGCAAAAUUACCGAUUAAACUAAAUUGAAAAUCCAACCAAUUGAAUCGGUUCAGUGUCACACAAAAUAUGUGUGUGUAUGUGUAAAACAACACAAUUAUCAUAUUAAUGAGGCAUUGUUAAAUUCAUUCAGUGAAUAUUUUUCUUUUUCAUUUUCAAUGAAUACUUAAUAUGACAAACAAUCUGUCCCAUUGAGCACUUUUUAAGUCAUUCAAUGAAAAUGAAUACUUCUAUAACAAAACAAUAAUUCCUUAUUUAUUUGACACGCAAAGAACUUUCUUGCUCAGCUCAGCGGCUAAUCCUUUAAAAUUUGUUAAAAUUCAGUUAAUUGAUGAACUAGACAUAACCCAAUAAAUCGUUUAAUUUGUAUAAUUGAUAAAAAUUUGAACUUCAAAUAAAAUGGAUAGAAUGAUUAAUUUUUUUCAUAUUUAGAUAAUUAAUAUAUGUCAUGUUACUAUGAGUAAAAGAAUGAAGUGUAUGAUAGAAAACAUAAUGUUUAUGUUUGUAUUAAAAAUUUUAAGUGCAAAUCUAUUUAGUGUAGGUUAGACAUAAAAAUAGUUACCAACUUGUCUUGUUUCUCAUUUUGUUUAAUUUUCCUAAUUUGAAUAACUAUUAAUUAUGAGUCAAGGGUUUAUUGCGAAAAUAUGGUCUUCCAUUUACUAUGCAAAGAUUAGUGUGAUUUAAUUAUUUUUCUUUUUGCUUGGUGUCUGUAAAAUUAUGAAUACUUUGGUAAAUAAGAUAAUUAUAAAUACCAUUUUGAAAAUUCAUGGCCAUGGUUGUGAUGUAUCUUUAUCAAUCAUGGAUACAAAAAUUAAUCAAAAUUAUCGAUUGUUUUAAAUUCUGUUUUUAACAUAGCAUGAAGAUGUCGCUUAUCUAGAUUUAAUUUUUAUGCUUUCACUUCACUUAAUACAGCUUCUUCCUCCUUUAAAUGUAUGCCAUGGCGGCAAGUGUAUUGUACAGAUUACUGAGCUGGCACCGAUGACUAAGCUAAUUAUUAGUAAUCAAUCUAGAGCGUACCUGUAAAUACAAUAGGUUGCUUAGGUGGCACCAAUAUACUAACUUUAUGCCAUGUUUCUGGUGUGUCUUCACAAAUUCACCGAUAAAAAUUAAUUUCUACCAAUAUUACCAAAUGAUUGUAUUUUACGUUUCUAUUUACUUGUAAUAAAGAUCUUCAAUUUUAUUGGUUACAAAAUUCUCUAGGAUUGCAUGUACAUUAUACUUUUAUAUACAUAUUUUCUUCUUUCUCAUUCGUUUUCUGGGUGAACAUAUUAUUUUCGUCAUCAUCUCUAUAACAAUGAAGUGAAAAUAGUCCUCAUUUAAAGUAUUGACAGCAAUAUUGUACUCAAUAUAACGUAUAAAGCACGCAUAAUUUAAUUAAUGGGGCAGCUGCUGGUACCUUCUUUAGAAGAGAAUUAUUGCAGCAAGGUUAAUUGGAAGCUCAAAGAGUUUCCGUAUUAGCCGAAUCUAAGCGAUAAGUGUUUCCAUGUGAGCCAUAAUUUGGGAAAAAGACCAAUUCGAGUUAAAGAUCAGAAAACAAACACUGUCAACAAGCAUUAAUGUCAUUUGAUGCAUGAAAGACAAUUAGUCCCAUUUUUUGUCCGUUUAUUUUGCAAGGCUGUUGCCAUGCUGGCAAGUGUGCUGCUAUAACAGAUUGUUGAGAUGGCACCAAAGAUUGUAAACUAAUUAGUACUGGAAAAUCAUGAGUUUGAUGAUGAAGAGGACGAAAAAUAUUAUUUUAUUAUUUAAAAUAAGACUAUCAAUUAUUUCCAUGGUCAUCUUUUUUUUUUAUUAAUUGGCCUAAAUAUUAUAUUUUUUGUCAGGAGUCUUGCAAUGUUGCGUAGCACCGUAAGUAAGAAGAACUAGUGAAACUUUAAAGCAUCAUAAAAUUGUUUCAACAUAAGUAAUUAAUUUGAAAAAUUGCCAAUAAUGUUUAAAGUGGUAACGAAAAGAUUAUACUAUACGAGACACGAUAUUAUUUAAGACAACUUAUAAAUUAUGGGAAAUAUAUCGAUCUUACAAAUAAUAUUUAAUAAGUACAAAUUUCAAAUUAAAUAAUAAAUCCUUAAUUUCCUUUUAAUCAUAAUUAUGAUCUUAAUAAUUAAAGUCAUUCAAUCUUAACCACUUUUUCAUUUUUUUAAACUAUCUAAAUGACAUUGAAAACUCUACUCAAUAGGGGAUUUUUAUUGAAUUGUUUAAUAAUAUACUACUAUCUAAUAAAUCAUUAAUUUCCUUUUAUUCGAAUUUUUUGUUUCAAAAUAAUUGAAAACUGUAAAUGAAACUGCAAUCACAAAUGGCCUAAAAUGGGAUUUUUAUUUUUUAAUAUUGCAAUGACUUUGAUCUUGAUAUUGGAAAUUUAUUUGUAACUUAUACUAAGUCUUCAAUUUUAUCAUAAUUAGUUUCCAAAGAUGCAUUUUCCAAACUGUGUAGUUGUAUUGUAUGAUGAUAUAUUACAUUAGGGUGCAUUGUAUUGACCUGUAAUGCAAUACUAUUUUAUAUUAAUGUUAAAACUAAAUCAACAUUAUUUAAAUUUAUUAAUAUUUUAGGGUUUUAUUAGUAAUAUCUGAAAUUAGGUAUUAAAUAAUUAUUUUUAUAAUAUACAAAUUAUUUAAUAAUAUUCUACUAUUAAAUAAUAAAAUAUUACAAUAUUAUGUUAUAUUAUUAACAAUUAUUCUGUUAUAAUAUAAUUUAUUUUUAUAUAUUAGUUAUUAUAAUUUAUUAUAAUCAUAUUAUAAUAAUAUUAUAUUGUAAAAAUAUAAUACUAUAUAAUUGUAUAAUAUAAUAUGAAUUAAUUUACAAUUUAACAUUAAAUUAUAAAUUUAUUUUAUUUAUUAAUGUCAAAUAUAAUUGUCUAAUUUAAAUUUAGUAUUUUUUUUAAAAUAAACUAUUAAAUAAUUAAAAUGAUUUUAUAUAAUAAAGUAAAAUAAUGUAUUAUUAUUUAUUAAUUAAAUAUUUGGGUUUAUUAAUAUACUAUAUUAAUAAAAAAUAAUGUAUUAUUAUUUAUUAAUUAAAUAUUUGGGUUUAUUAAUAUACUAUAUUAUUAAUUAAAUUAAUGAAUAUUAAUUAAUAAUUUAAAUUUAUUAAAUAAUAAAAGUUAAAUGAUUAUAUUUAAAAUAUAAAUAGUAUUUUAAUGCAAUAAAACCUAAAUCCCACAUGUAUACCACAUUUGUUAUACAGUGUAAUGCAACUAUAAAUUAUAAUUAUAUAAAAAUAAUAUUUUAAUACAAUAUAAUACAAGUAUAAUGCCACUUGAGAAAUUAAUAUUUUAAUGGAACCAAAUUUUGCAUUUGGUUUGUGGGUCUCUCAAAAAAUAAUCAUAAAAACCAAUAUAAUACAAUGAUUCUGUCCUCUUUAAUAUUUUUCUAAAUGCUUCCAUGGCAUAAUCUCAUUGGUCCAUUUUGUUUCACAGCUUAGAUUCAACUUAAGAUUUUCAAUUUAAAGCAAGCUGUGGUCGACUGGCCGUGGCCAAACAAACGUGCCUCAUGGAGUCAUGGUGACUGAAUCAUCUCUUAUGUCAGAAUUUGAACUUAACUACCUUCACUCUUAUUGUAUAAAUAGAGAAGAUGAUGAUUCCUACAAAGCCACGUAAGUCAAGUGAACGUUACGGUCAUGGGACAUUGGAAUUGGAUCAAACCACCGGAAUGUAAAGCAAAAUUAACCGAAUAAACUAAAUUAGAUCCGACCAAUUGAAUCGGUUUAGUGUCACUCAAAAAACAAAUAAAUAUAUAAAACAACACAAUUAUCAUAUUAAUGGGGCACUUUUUUUUUUCAUUUGUAAUGAAUGCUUAAUAUGAAAAACAAUCUGUCCCAUAGAACAUUGUUUAAGUCAUUCAAUGAAAAUGAAUACUUCUAUAAGAAACUAUCAUUCACUUGUUUAUUUGACACGCAAAGAACUUUUUUACUUAGCUCAGCGGCCAAUCCUUUAACAUUUGUUGAAAUUCAGUUAAUUGAUGAAUGUGAAAUAACUCAAUAAAUCGUUUAAUUUGACUGUAAACUAAUUAUUGGUGUACAAUAAUAGAUUGCUUAAGUUAGCUGGCACCAAUCUACUAAUCUUAUGCCAUGUUUCUGAUGUGUCUAUAAAUUCAGUAACACGAAUUAAUUUCUACCAACAUUACCGAAUAAUUUUAUCGAUUUUUAAGCACGUAAACAUACCAGCUUUCUUUCUUUUACUCUCUAUUUCAUGUUUAUUCAAUUUCAAUCUUCUGCAAGUUUUUGGCUGUUUUAUUAGUUACAAAAUUCUCUAGGAUUGCAUGUAGAUUAUGCUUUUACGUGCAUUUUUUUUUCUUUCUCUUUUUUUUUUUGUAAACAUAUUAUUUUAUCAUCUAUCACCAUAGAAUGAAAUGAAAAUAGUUCUCAUUUAAAGUAUUGACAACAAUGUUAUACUCAAUAUAAUGUAUAAAGCACACAUUUAAUAAGGUUCUGUUUGGGAUUGGGGUGCUAUAACUUUUAAGUUACAGCUGCUGUGGAAAAAAAUUGUAACUAUAGAACAAAAGUUAAUAAUAUAUAGUAAAUAUAAAUUUUAAAUAAUAAUUUUGACAAAAUUAUUAAAGAUAUAAUAGAUUUUCCAUCAUACAAGUGAAAAAUCAUAUUAAGAUAACUUGCAAGUUAUAGCAGCUAGUGUUUACCAAAUAUUCUAGUGCUGUACUUUUUCAGUUACAGCUAUCCAACCUCAAUCCCAAACGCAUCCUAAAUGGGGCUGCUAAUAUCUUCUUUGAAAGAGAGUUAUCGCAGCCACGUAAUUAGAAGCUCAAAGGGUUUCCAUAUUAGCCGAACCUAAGUGAUAAGUGUUUCCAUAUGAGCCACAAUUUGGGGAAAAAAACAACUCAAAGUUAAAGAUAAGAAAAGUGUGUCCCGGACGAAUACAAUAAUUCAAGCCACACAUUUAUCAAACGCAUGGCAGAGACGCUUCAACAUGUUGUCUCAUGGAAAGAGAUCCUUCUGUCUUUGGCGUAAUACUUGGGGCAACGUAAAUUGACUUUACAUUAAAACAAAACAAAACAAACACUGUCGACAAACAUUAAUGUAAUGUAGUUAAGAAAAACUUACGUUAAACCGUUCAAUUUAACUUUGAUAAGUGCAAGAGAGGGGUGGGACAGUUGGACUCAUUUGAUGCAUGAAAGACAAUUAGUCCCAUUUUCUGUCUUGUUUACCUGACUUGGGCGAUUUGCCGUCAACUUUUCUCAUCUACGUCAGGUAAUAUGGCUUUUAUUUGAUAUGAAAAAGCCAAUACUUCGAUGAGUGGGACAUCACUGAUUUGUAUAAUUUUCAGGACUAGAAAAUUAUCUCAAUUUCAAAAUAUGUACUUACAAUUAUCGAACAUCACUAAUUCCAACAAUUUAUCCAAAGAUAUUUUUGAGCUUCAAGGAAUGUAACGCUUAUGAUAGAAUGGUCAAGUCUUUCAACUUUUUAGAUAUUUGAUAUAUGCCAUGUUCUAACUUACAAUGAGAAUAAAAUUAUAGUAUAAUUUUUUUAAAUUAGUGGAAUUAUUAAACUCUUUUCUGAAUGGAGCAUUAAAGGACUACUUAUCUAGAUACGUUUUUUAUGCUUUCACUUCGCUUGAGCCUAGAACUUACAACUCGUAUUUUACGUUUCUCUUACUUUCUCUUCUAUUUUCCCGACUCCCAAACACCAACAAUCCUUGAUGUUGUAGAGUAUUGGCUGUCUAGUUCUACAAACAUAAUAAAGAAAACAAGAGACAGCUGCCAUAUAUAUUCCAUAUUAAUUAGUCACCGUCCGAUUGUUUCCACUCCCACUGACUCUGUCGAUUCAUGCUUUGAUGAAGUGAAACGCUUAACGCACUAUUGUGAUGCGGAGGAGAGGAGGAAAAACACAAUUUUAUUAUUGCAAUCCUGACACGCGCAAAGAGCUUUCUUACUCUGCUCGGCGGCUAAUUCUUUAUAAUUUGUUAAAACUCAUUUAAUUGAUGAAUGUGACAUGAAGCUCUAUAAAUAGUUUAAUUUGUAAAAUUGUUAAAAUUUUAAAUUUCAAGUUAAGUAGAUAAAAUGAUUAACUUUUUUCAAUAUUUAGAUAAUUGAUAUACGUCAUUUACUAUGAGUAAAUGGCUGAAAUUUUUCAUAGAAAACACAAUGCUUGAAUUAAAAAUUUUAAGUGCGAAUCCAUUUAUUGUAAGCAGAUGAGUGCGAUUUAAUUAUUUUUCCUUUUGCUUGAUGUCCUGAAAAUUAUGAAUGCUUUGUAGGAUGUAGAAGAUUAAAAUUUUUAAUGCAUAUUUAUAUUGAAAACUGAGUAAACAUAACACUAUUGCUUCUAUAAAUAGAUCAUUUCAACUUAAAACCUGUUACUUGUAUUUUACAUUUCUGUUUCUUAUCAUAAAGAUUUUCUCUGUUUUUUUUUUUUUUGGUUUCACUUUUUCUUCCAUUUUCCCGACCCACAAACACCACCAAUCCUUGAUUCUUUUCCUAGAGUAUUAGCGGUCUAUUGUUACAAACAUAGACAUACUGUUUGUCUAAUUACUAUUAAGAAACAACAUACUCUGUCCUGGGGUCUCUUCGUUUACUGACUUAUGUGACACGUUAAGAAUUAUUUUUCUUUUCAUUAAAAAUGAUAAUGAAAGAAUGCAAAGAGCCCAAGAAAGUACAAUCCAUUAGACACGUUAAGAAUUAUUUUGCUUUUCAUUAAAAAUGAUAAUAAUUUUAAUAAAUUGGAUUGAAUUAAUAAUAUUUGCCUGUGUGAUAUAAAUAAUCGCUUUAGUGUCGCCCCAUCAUUAAUGAGUGACUGUCCGAUUGUCUUCUCUUUCAUUGACUUUGAAACUGUGACUUCUGAGUUGGAUUAAGAAUUGACAAAAAUGUUGUUACCCAUGAAGCACGUAAAAUUAAUUAAUGGGCCACUAAUUCUUCAUCUUAAAAGAAAAUUUUUGCAGGGAGAUUGAAAAAAGACUAAUUCGUAUUAAAGAUCACAAAUGAGUAUCUAUCACAAAUACAAGUCAAGCUACACAAUUGUUCUUGUCAUACUAUUUUAGCAACAACACUUCAACAUCUGUUGUCACAUGGAGGGAAAUCCGCUUUCUCUUUGAUGUAAUAUUUGGCAAAAUACAAUGACUUCUCAUUAAAACAAGCAUUGUCAUAUUGUUGACAAAAACUCACGUUAAAGUGUUCAAUUUAAUUUUGAUAGGUGCGAGAGAAGGAUAGGACCGUCCAAUUAAAUUGCAAGUGGGCAUUCCCACCAUUCUUGUCUCAUGCUUGUUAUAUUUAAAUUUAGAAAUCACACCAUGUCAGUUUGGUGAUGAUGUGAAAUUGUUUCACCAAAAUUUUUAUCUUCAUAAUCUCUGUUAUAGAAAAAAUAUUGGGCGCUCCCAGUGGAUGCUUCUAUUGAGUGGCAGAAUCAGGAUUUUAUUUCGAUGGUGGCCAUAAUAAUUAAACUAUAAACUUAAGUUGGUUGUGAAAUAAAAUCAACGUUGUAAAUACUGCGUCCACAUUUUAUAAAAGUAUUUUUAUUUAAUAAACUAUUAUACCAUAGGAUAUCAAAGUGAAUCCGCAUGAAAUAUGCAUUUAGGUAAUAACUAUCAAAUAUUGAUACAUGUUUGAAAAAACUCUUGAAAAUUGGUUUCUACUUACGUUAUUACAGCUCUUGUAUAAACUAACAUGGCAACAUAUGAUUGGUUAAUAAAAGAAUAAAUAUAUAUCAAGUGGGUUCUACCAUGUUUUUAAUUCAACUAAUGCUACAUCAAUUUGUACAACAGUAUUUAUGACCAUAUCAUUACUCAUUAAUUAAUAGGAACACUAAUUUAUUUUCUUAAAAGAGAAUUCAUCAAUUUGUAUAGUAAUAUUUUAUAAAAAUAUUUGUAACCGUAUCAUUACUCAUUAACUAAUAGACCACUAAUUUAUUCUUCUUAAAAGAUAAAAACUGCAGCGAGGUUGGAGGCUCAGAUUUUCCCAUAUUAGCCAAACAUAAGAGAUAAGAGUUCAUAUGAGACAUAAUUUAGAAAAUCAAUUCCAUGCAAUAGGUCUUAGUGGGUUCGACUCUGUAUACGAUCAUAUUCAAUUUUUUAGCAUCUUGUAAUUAAAGAUUCCUAUAUCACAUUAUAAUUUUCAAACAAAUCGAAGUGAGUCAAAUCAAAUUUAGAAAUUUGAGGUCUACUAUAGACUUUUGACAUAUUAAAUUUAAGACGAUUAAGUAAAUGCUAGACAAAAUCUAACUUGCAAAUUUACCUUACCACAUGAUGAACGUACUUAAAAAUCUUAACUGAUUGCUCACCAAUUAAUUGUUGUUUUACAAUUUUUUUAUAUCCUUUCUUUUCCCUAAAACUUCUGGUUUCCUAACAUCUUGUUCUCAAUAGGUCUAAGUAUAAUAUAAUUUUUUUAAAUAUAAAUAAAUUGAAUUUAUUUAAUGGUCAAGUAUUUGUUUUCUUUAGUUACAGUUUGGUUUGAAUGGUUAAGUUCAAGUUCGAAUUUUCUUUUUGUAAUUUAACUUAAAAUUGAUAGAACAAAUGGGCUGAUCAGUCUGAUGAAGAAGAAGAAGUAAAAGCUAUUAAGCAUUAUCCUAUCACCAUAUCAAAUGGACCGAAUUCAAUCAAAUGAAAUCUAGAAAAUAGAGCAGCUCAUAGAUGUACGUCGCUAAGUGGAGGUUCAUUUGUAAGUACUUGGUCGAAUUGCGACUUGCGCCGGAGGCUUCGUUUUAGAAGAGUGCAGAGCAGCUGCCUUCUCCAUUAGGCAGGCCAACGACUUUCUAUUGACCAAUAAUUUUGAAAGCGAUAUUAUUAAUUUACCAUCUAAUUUUUUUUUAUAUUAUCAUUUUACCAUCAAAAUUUUUUAACAAUUAUUUUUUUCACUUAAUGUUUUAGUUUUUAUUAUUUUACUACCAAAAAUUGGCAAACGCACCCCUAGUGUAGGUUAUCCACAAAAAUGGCUACCGAAUUGUCUUGUUUCUCAUUUUGUUUAAUUUUCAUAAAUUCGACUCACGAUUCAAAUAUGAGUGAAGAGUUUUUUUUGGGAAAAAAUCUGGUCUUCCAUUUACUAGAAUUAGGUAUGUGUGAUUUUAUUAAUUUUCUUUUGCUUGAUAUAUAUCUGGAAAAUUAUGAAUGCUUUGUAGGAUUUAGAAGGAUUUGAAUGUUUGAACGCAUAUAGCUUUCUGUCCAUCAGCUAAUGCAUAUUCUGCAUUUUAUGAAUAUCAGAGCUGGUAGAUUGAAAAAUGGACCUUAUUACAUGUCAUAAGAUACUUUGCUCAAAGCUGCAAUUGGGCAACACCGUGCUGUUCUUAUCGGCCAAUGCAAGCCAUUUACUAUUCUUUCUAAUGGAGCAAAAUAAGAUGAUUCUUACCUGCUUAGAGAAUUAGAAAAGAAAAGGAGGAUUACUGAUCUACAGAGCUGUCAUUUACUAGAAGCACAUAAAUCUUACACUUAAUUCAUUACCCAUCUGUAAUGUUCUAAUGAUACUUAAGUAUUAACUAAAUUAGCCUUUCAAAAUUUCACUUCGAAAAAAUCCAAGGUUGUGAUGUGUCUGUAUAAAUUCGCUAAUAUAAGUUCUCUCUAUUCCCAAUUGUUUUAAACUCUGUUCUGAACAGAGCAUGAAAGGCUAUAUUCGUUUAUCUAGUUAUAUUUUUUAUGCUCUCACUUCACUUGAUUCACCUUCUCCAUCUUUUAAAACAGUUGUAUAUGUCGGAGUAUCAAGUUCAUCACAAGGAUCAUAUUAUGGCCUAAGGAAGGAGCACAGUUCAUUGUCUGCACUCAAGCUUAGCAGAGUAUUUUGGGAUUCAAGAGUGUUAGUAGGCCGUUACAGAUGCCAUGCUGGCAAGCGUGCUAUGACGUAAAAUUGCUAUUUGCAAGUAAAAUUGCCCAAAACAAAUAGAAUGAGAAUACUUGUACAAAAGUACAAGAUUAAUAAAGUGAAUUAAUUUUAUCUUUUAUCUAAUUUCUUCUAAUAAGUAGCUCAUUUGAGCUUAAGACUUGUAUUUUACGUUUUUAUUACUUUCUCUGUUCUUUUUUACUUUCACUUUCUUUUCUAGAGUAUAGCGAUGCAGUUCUACAAACACGAAACUGCUGUUGGUCCAAUUACUUUCAAGAAACAACGUACUCUGUGGUUUAUUGACUUGUGACAUGGGCAAAUUAGUCACGGUCCGAUUGUCUCCUCUUCCACUGACUCUGUCAAUUCACGACUUUGGCACACAGUAGACGCCAGCUGCCUGCCCCAUUUGACGUGCAAAAAUCGAUUGAUUAUUUUGUUUGGUGAUGAUGAGUUAGUUGUCAAUUCAUGAGUUUGAUGCAGUGAAACGCUUAACGCUCUCUUGUGAUGCGCAGGAGAAAAGCCAGCGAUGAUGAAGAGGACGAAAAACAUUAUUUUGUUAUUUACAAUAAGGCUAUCAAUUAUAUAUUCCAAAAUAAUUGGGUUUCGAUGGUCAUUUUGUUUUCUAAAAUAUCCAAAUGGAAUCUUACAGAAUUAGAGUGCUCGACUUCUUUAUACAGAAUUUAUAAAGGGGAAAAAUCAAGAAAUUAAAUACUCUUCAUAUAGUGAGAGGAGAUUCGGUUGCCAUUAUGAGAAAUAAAAGAAAAAUAAAUUAAAAGUACAAUACUUCAAUAAUCUCAUUCCCAAACAUACCGGAAAUAAAAUUUUCUGUAAACAUCUUUAUUUUCUUUGCAUACGAGCCUUCUUUCUUUUGCUUUGGCCUUUGCUCUUGACUAUAUUUCAUGGUCAUAUUCAAUCUAAAUCUUCUGUAGGUUUGCGGCUGUUUUAAGAGUUACGAUAAAUAUGUUAUCUCAAUUUAAAAAAAAAAAUGCAAUCGCAAUUAUCAAACACGACUAAUCCUAACAAUUUAUUCAAAAAUUUGAGUGUCAAGAAAUGUAGUAUUUAUGAUAGCAUGGCUAGUUUCAGAUAAAUGAUAAAUCAAUAUAUGACAUGUUACUAACUUACUUUAGGAAGAAAAUUAUAGAAUAAGUUUUUGAAUUAAUAGAAUUAUUUUACGACAAAACUAUCACAAUCUAAUUUAAAAAUAAAGUUAUUCUUUAAAUUUCUCAUUACUAUUCCUACUUGUCUUGUUAUACUACUUAAUGGCACUAGUGAAGCCUUGAAUUAUCAAACAAAAAGCAAAAACACAUCAACAUCUGUUGUCCCAGUGAGCACUGUUAAAUUCAUACGAUAAAACGAGUCUUUAAUUGACAUAGGCAAUGUGCGGUCAACUUGUGGCACCCUUACUGACACGUAAAGAACUUUCUUACACCACAGCCAAUACUUUUAUGAAUUUUUAGGACUGGUGAAUUUUUCAAAUUUAAAAGAAAAAAAUACAGAAAAGUAAUUUCAAUUUAUCCAAAAAUUUGAGUUUCAAGGAAUGUAGCAUUUAUUAUAUGUCAUGUUAAUAUAAAGAAGAGAAUUUUAAAAAUUUCUUUUUCGAAUGAAUAAAAGUAUUUUUUGAUAAAAAUUUGACAAUCAUAUUUACAAAAAAAAAUUUAAAAAAAAAUUCUCUCCUCUUCCUACAUAAUUUAAGAGUUUAACAUUUUAAAUUAAUCUUUUUAAUCAAAGUAAUAAUCUCUCCUUCCGUCUGCAAAUGCUAAAAUUUAAUAUUAUAUCCGUUGACGAUUUUUGCUCCAAAUUCACCAGAAUAAAAUUUCUAAUAGAAUUGUGAAAUUCGUUACUCGAAAUUUGUAUAAAAGUCGUGAGAAUAGAAGGUUUGAUCAUAGGAAAUUAAAAUAUCACUAUCCAAUGCAAAAAUGGUUAUAAAGAAAAACAAAAGUCACGGGCUUAUUAUAGAAAAAAAAAAUUACUCUCCAUUUUCCAAUAAUUAAAGUAAUUCUAAAAUCAUAGACUUUUGGAAAGUAUCACAAAUGAUAGACUUUUGGUGACCGAGGUCAAGCCUAACGCAUGCCGGUCUUUUUCUCCUUUACUUCCAUAGAAAUUUUGGUUUCACUAUAAAUACUCGGCAUUACCAAUCCAACUAAGCACAGACUUACAAUCUAAAACACUCUCAUCUCAUGGAAAGAGUUCAUUCUCUCAGUAUGAUGAGCAGAUUUCUCUUACUUCAUUGUUUGAUUCUUAUUUCCUUAUUUAUCGCGGCAGCAACAGCCAACACAAGUUCUACUAUCACAGACCGAGAUGCUCUGUUAGCCCUGAAAGCUCACAUAACUCAUGAUCCGACCAAUUUCUUGGCUAAGAAUUGGAACACAAGUACUCCUGUCUGUAAUUGGACAGGCGUCGCUUGUGAUGUCCAUAGCCAUAGAGUCAGUCUUGAAUAUUUCAAGCUUAAAUCUCAUAGGCACCAUCCCUUCUCAACUUGGGAAUCUAUCUUCCCUGCAAUCACUCAAUCUCAGUUGUAACCGACUUUCUGGUUCCAUUCCCUCCGCCAUCUUCACCACGUAUACACUGAAACAUGUUAGUCUCGGUGAAAAUCAACUCUCUGGGCAAAUUCCUACAAAUAUUUGUAGUAAUCUUCCUUUCCUUGAAAUUCUUUUCUUGUCCGAAAACAUGUUUCACGGAGAAAUACCGUCCGCUCUAUCAAAUUGCACAUAUUUAAUAAUCUUAAGUUUGGCAUACAAUGAUUUCUCGGGAGCCGUACCUAGAGAAAUCGGUAAUUUGACCAAACUUAGGGAAUUAUAUCUUGGCUGUAACAGACUCCAAGGUGCGAAUAAUCACGGAGUUUCAUUAUGAAAUUUUUUCCAUAAGUUGUAGUAUGAAUAAUGUUCCAUAAUACAGUUUACACACGUUGAUUAAUUUGCAGGAGAAAUUCCUCGAGAGUUUAGCAAUCUUGCCGACUUGGAGCGGAUGUCGUUGGGAGACAACAAUCUCCAAGGCAUGAUUUUAAACUUUUUGCAAUUUUAUUUUAGCUAUGCUUGCUUCUGUAUUCAUUCGCUUGUUCUUUGAUUAUGCGAUGAUUUAUUGUUUUUCUUUCAGAUAGAGAUAAAGCUCCAUGUCUCCCCUCACUCAUUUCAUUCUUUAAUUUAUGCAGAUAAAAAAAAAAAAAUGUUUUGUAAUUUUCUUUUGUCAUAUUGCCACUUCCGUUUUGAAGCUCCCAAUUAAGUCGAUGAAAAUGAAUGAUGUUUCAUUCUUAUUCUUGUCAGCCUAAUUCUUAUAUAAUUGAAGAGUAAAUUGUUAUUAUGAUAAUUCUUUUUUUUUUUUUUUACCCCAAACAUGAGUGAUCAAAUUGUUUGCGCAUACGUACUUAAUUCGCAGGAGGUAUUCCACAGGAAUUGGGGAAUCUUGCAAAAUUGGAGGGGUUACAGCUGUUACAGAAUAACUUGACCGGUAACUUUCUUUACUAUACAUAUAUGAGACAUCUUCCGUUUCUUAAUUAAUAGAUUUCAAGUCUCUCACUAUAAAUUCCGCUUCUUAAUUAAUAGACAUCUUCCUCUAUCUGCUUUUAUGUAUUAUUAUUCUUACAUACCCCGACAUAGGCUUUUAGGGAUGAGUGGCGUCAAAUGUGAUUAUAAUUCUUUCAAAAUACAGAUGAAAUAGCACGUGAAAUCGGAAAAUAUUUUACUGCCAUAAGAAUUCAUAUAUUCAUUGUAGUAGCACAUAGAAAAGAGACUAUAAAUUUAGUUUCAAAAAUACAUUCUUAUCUUCAUAAAGGUUUUACAUUACUAAUUUAAAUUAAUAUUAAAAUAUGUUGUUUCUUUCACUAUGUUAUUUUAUUUACACAAUGAUGUGACUACUGGAAUUAGUAAUACUUAUAAUUAUUUUGUAAAAAUAUAAAUUUAAUACUUUGUUAACAUUUUAUCUACAUAUAAUAAUUAAACUGAAACUUGUAUUUAAAAAAUUCUAGUUACGCAUAUUCAUUUCAUGACAUAAAAGUGCAUAUUUAUGCUAAUUUACCAUUAUCAAAAAAAUGCUUUGAGACAAAUAAUCUAAUUUAUAUUUGUAUAUUUAAAAUACUUGCAAUUAUUAUAUUUUGAAAAAACUUUAUUUGCAAUUAUUUUAAACCGUUGGAUUCAAAUUUUCGUAGUUAUUAAAGUCAAAGGGUAUAAAUGUAUAAUAGUCAAAAACAGAUUUGUGUGAUCAUUUUUCAAUGUAUAAAUUUUCUUAGUUAGUAGGAAAAUUAGAAAUUGUUGAUUUACUCAUAAAUAAAUUUAAUGUUUAGCAUUUCAAUUUUGGAAAACUUGAACUAAAUGUUGAUAACUUUGAAUCGGUCGAGCCGAGUUUCGCUUCCUUGACCCACUGGCCCAUUUAAAGUUCUAUUCGAAUUCAGUUUCCUGGUGCUUAUAAAAAGUAUUUCUUUUCCUUGUCGCAGUAAUUUAUUCACAAAUGAGUUGAUUAGCAUCGAAGUUACCUGAGAGUCUGAGACCAUGCUAGUAGGAGAAAUUUGAAAAGAAAUUAUUUUACUGAAUAUAUUUAUUUUAUCUUGUUGUAACUGAAAUACUACUUUUUUUUUUUACCUAUCACUGGGGCUUGAUUUACUUUAAUAGUAGCAGCCACCGACUUAGAUGUUUUUUACUUCUCACCACACAAUUUGAUCUUUUAAUUCGUUUUAACCACAUAAUCUAUCUAUUUCUCACCUAUUGCUUACUUAAAUCACAUACAUAUUUUACCUACUAAUUUUUAUAAAUAUUAGUCAAAUAUAUUUUAAUACGUUUCUCUCGUAACUGCUCCAAAUGUGUACUAUUAAUACUUAACCCUCCCUUUUAAUUUACCGUGCAAUCUAUCUAUCGUUUAAGUCACAUAUAUAUUUUACCUAUAUUUUACCCCAAAAAAUAUAAAAAUAAAAGAAAAAGAAUAUGUGUAGCAAUUUGCAUAUAACUAACAACACAUUGAUGGUGUGUAGCCUUUCAAUACUUCACGAGUGGCUUUUCUUGUGUGUUAGUACUUGUAAUAAUUGUGUAGCAUAUAAAUGACAUUUUAUUAUUAAAGUGCGUCCAUUUUUAGAUAUUACUUAUUAUUUGAAAAAUAAUCUGAAUAUAAUUCUUUUAAAAUACAGGGGAGAUACCACUUGAAAUUGGUAAUCUCCAAAAUCUGGAGGAGUUGCAGCUUGGUCAAAACAAAUUAAUUGGUACUGUCCCAGCUGCAAUCUUUAAUGUGUCAACACUCAAAUUUCUUGGGCUUCAAAAUAAUUCUCUCUCUGGAAGUCUUUCGUCCAUCGCAAACGUCCGACUACCAAAUCUUGAAAAGCUUUAUUUGUGGGGUAAUAAUUUUAGUGGCACAAUUCCUCGUUUCAUCUUUAAUGCUUCUAAGCUCUCUAAGCUAUCAUUGGGAAUGAACUCAUUCUCCGGUUUUAUUCCCAGCACAUUUGGCAACUUAAGAAACCUUGAGCAACUUGGUUUAGAUGAAAAUUAUUUGACAUCUUCAACUCCAGAAUUGAGCUUUCUAUCCUCGUUGUCAAAUUGCAAGUCUUUAACACUUAUUGACUUAUCAAAUAAUCCACUAGAUGGCAUUCUUCCUAAGACGUCUAUCAGUAAUCUUUCUCGUUCUUUGGAAGAAUUUUACAUGUACAAUUGUAACAUUAGUGGCGGCAUCCCUGAAGAGAUCAGCAACUUGACCAACUUGGUAGAGAUUGAUUUAGGAGGCAAUAAAUUGAAUGGAUCAAUUCCGAUUACUCUCGGCAAAUUACGAAAGCUUCAACGGUUGAAUCUUGAAGAUAACAUAUUAGAAGGAUCAAUCCCAGACGAUAUUUGUCGUUUGGCUGAACUGUAUAGAUUGGAGCUGGGCAGCAAUAAGCUUUAUGGAUCAAUCCCUGCAUGCUUCGGUAAUCUGGCUUCUCUGAGGAUACUGUCGUUGGGAUCCAAUAAGUUAACUUCUAUUCCCUUAACUUUUUGGAACCUUAAGGAUAUCUUGCAACUCAACUUUUCAUCAAAUUUUUUGACUGGCCCACUCCUAUUAGAGAUUGGAAAUUUGAAGGUUUUGAUUGGAAUUGAUUUUUCGAUGAAUAAUUUUUCAGGCGUUAUCCCAAGAGAAAUUGGAGGCCUAAAAAAUCUAGAAUAUCUCUUUUUAUGAUAUAAUAGAUUGCGAGGAUCGAUUCCUGAUUCAUUUGGUGAUUUGAUAAGUUUGAAAUUCUUGAAUUUGUCCAAUAAUAAUCUCUCUGGGGCUAUUCCUACAUCUUUAGAGAAACUCUCAUAUCUUGAAGAUCUAAAUCUUUCUUUCAACAAGCUAAAAGGGGAAAUUCCUAGGGGAGGAUCUUUUGGAAACUUCUCAGCUGAAUCAUUUGAGGGAAAUGAAUUAUUAUGUGGUUCACCUAAUUUACAAGUCCCGCCAUGCAAAACCAGCAUCCACCAUACAUCAUGGAAAAAUUCUCUUCUCCUAGGGAUUGUCUUGCCAUUGAGUACUACAUUAUUGAUAGUAGUCAUUUGGUUGAUUCUAAGAUAUCGACAGAGAGGAAAAAAACCAUCGAAUGAUGCUAAUAUGCCACUAGUAGCAACGUGGAGAACAUUUUCAUACCUAGAACUUUGUCGAGCAACAGACGAAUUCAGUGAAAACAAUCUAAUCGGCAGAGGAGGUUUUGCUCUGUUUAUAAGGCAAGACUUGGGGACAAGAUGGAGGUUGCAGUGAAAGUUUUUAAUUUGCAAUGUGGAAGAGCGUUCAAGAGUUUCGAUGUUGAAUGCGAAAUGAUGAAAAGUAUUCGCCAUCGAAACCUUAUCAAAGUUAUUAGUAGUUGUUCAAAUGAAGAGUUCAAAGCGUUGGUAUUAGAAUACAUGCCUCAUGGAAGUUUGGAGAAGUAUCUAUAUUCAAGUAAUUGCAUUUUGGAUAUUUUUCAAAGAUUGAACAUAAUGAUAGAUGUUGCAUCAGCUUUGGAAUACCUGCACUUUGGUUAUUCAGCUCUAGUAAUUCAUUGUGACUUAAAGCCCAGCAAUGUAUUGUUAGACGAUAAUAUGGUUGCUCAUUUGAGUGAUUUUAGCAUCGCAAAAUUGUUAACUGGAGAAGAUCAAUCUAUGACUCAAACACAAACACUUGGCACAAUCGGCUAUAUGGCACCAGGUUUGUUCAAUAUAAAUAUUUUCUAUUUCUUGUAAACUUCCUAAUAAGUUAUUUAUGUUUCAUGAUCUUCAUUAGAUAAGGAAAUUAUUAUUAAUGAUAUAUCUUACUAUGUAACUGUUACAAUUCAUAGAGUAUGGAAGAGAAGGACGAGUAUCCACAAAUGGAGAUGUUUAUAGCUUUGGGAUUAUGUUAAUGGAAACUUUUGCCGGGAAGAAACCCACAAAUGAAAUUUUUAACGAAGAAAUGACAUUAAAGCAAUGGGUUAAUGGUUGGCUACCCAUUUCCACUGUGGAAGUUGUUGAUCCUAAUUUGCUUAGUCAGGAGGACGUACAUUUUGUUGCAAAGGAGCAAUGUGUGUCAUUUGUCUUCAAUUUGGCUAUGGCGUGCACUGUGGAAUCACCUGAGAAGAGAAUCAAUGCAAAAGAAAUUGUAACAAAGCUCUUAAAAAUUAGAGGCUCAUUACUUAGAAAUGUUGGAGGCAGAUGUAUAAGACAAUCAAAUUUAAAUUGAUUCUGCCACUCCAUUGCUCUCUAUCCUUUUCAGAGACUUGAACGGUUAUCCUUCAUACCAGUUUUGUUGAUAUGUUUUGUUAUUGUUCUUGCUCAUGUUUGUUUCUCUAUUUCUUUAAUUUGCAUGCAUGUAUUUUUCGUUCUUUUUUAUGUUUUUGUUGGUUUAUAUGUAGUUUGUUUUUAGGGGUAAGGUUGAUUAUAUCCUCUCCUAAUUAGACGUAUCCUUUUUAUGUUUAUUUAAUAAAGCUUCUCUAAUACUAUGGAGGUUCAUCAAAAGAAAAUUUUUAAUUAAUUUUCUUUUCUUUGACAGGUAAUGAAAUUCUAAUCUUCAUAGUGAAUAACUUCAAUAAUAGAGUGUAAGAGUAUUAGUAGUUAUGGUUGUUUUUUGAACCAAGAGUCAAGAACAAUUUAACAGCAACAAACAAGUCUGUUGUAUUGUAGGCAAAAUUAUUUUCAUUAAUCUUAUUUGUCUACAUGUUCUCCUAUUUUCUCCAAUAAUCUUCGCUCAAGGUUUCAUGCUUCCUCUUUGAUAAAGGAAAAUAUUACUUGCGAAUAUUUCAAUUUGACAUAAGAGACUGUUUUGCCAACCAUUUGAUAAAAUGGAUAUGAGUGGAGCUUUCAAUCAUUACCUCCACCAAAAUCCUUACAACGCCACUUUUAAAUUUUAUUUUUAAAAUACAUUCAAUUUAAUUUAUAAAAAAUAAAUCCAUUUGUUAAAAUUAAUCUUUUUCUCAUAAAUUUCAACCUAAAAAAUAUAUUUCUUUUAAAUUUUUAAUUAUAAAAUACAUACAAGUUCUAAACUAUUAUAUUAUUUUCUUCUUAUUAUAUAGUUUAUAUCUCCAUAACUCUAAACUCCUAUAAUUGUUUUAAAAAUAUUUUUAAUUUAAAAUAUAAAUAUAAAGUAUAGAAUGGAGUGGGUAUAAAAAACUUAAAAGAAUAAUUCAUUUAAGUAUUUAACUGAAUUUAAAUUAAAAUAAGAAAUAAAUUAAUUUAUUUUUUAUUAGUUAAGUAAUUUUCAAUCGAAAAAAGAGCUGUAUAAGUUAUAUUAUUGAAAUAUGAUUAAAAUUCUUAUGAAUAAAACAUUUUCAUAUAAAUACUAGUGAUAAUUAUAGAGAAAGUACGAUGAACCAAAGAAAACUUGAAUAGAAAUACUCCAAUGUAAUUUUACACAUGCAAAUUAUGAACCAAUCCAUUGAUCUUUAGAGGAUCAUAAAAUUAUUUUAACACAAUUAUUUAUUUUGAAAAACUGCCAACAAUGUUUAAAGUGGGAUCGAAAAGAUUAUGCUUCUUAUAUAAGACAUGAUAUCAUUUAAGAUGGCUUACAGAUUAUGAGAAAUAUAUUGAUCUUACAAAUAUUUAAUAUGUCAAUUAGACGGGCCCAGCUACCUUCCACCCGCUGGAAGGUACAACUUAUUUGGUCCUCUAGUGUUUUGGUCGUUGGAUAUUUGAGAAGUUGAUCUAACGGUUCUUUUUAGGCAGCGUGAAAUUGAAUUUCAAUUGGCAACUGUUUCAUGAACUUUGCAAGAGACAAUAAUCUACAUAAACAUUAAAAAAAUAAAAAAAUAAAACAAUUUUUCCCUUUCAUCAGUCGCCGCCGCCACCCACAUCCCCUUAAUAUCAUCAUCACCAUCCCAAUCCUUAGCCGCCAUCCACAAGCUCUAACAACCACCAUGACCGCCAUCACAACCACCAUUCCUCAAAACCCCUAGCCACCACUACAAACAUUCACAAACUCUAACCAUCAUUGUCAGUUCACCAGCUUUAUCCUCCAUUGCCGCUGCCUACUGAUAACUAUAUGAAAUGAGAGUUAUCAUAACACUUUUAGAUUUAAAUCAAUAUUACUUAGAGAGUAAAUGAUUGAUGUGUUUUUAUUGCAUUUUUGUUACAUUUUGCAUAAAUAUUCAUUUUAGUUUAGUGUUAAUAAGUUUUGCUUAAUUUAAAGUAAUUCGUGCUCAAAUUGUGUGCAUAAUUGCAGGUUUUCAAAAGCUUAUAAUUCAUGAAAGGAAUGCUGAUGCAAUAGGCUUGCAAAAAUGACAAAGAACUUGGCUACAAAAGAAUUGAAACAAAUCUGGAACAGUGCAGUUGCUGUAGAUAUUGCUGUAGCAAUCAUUGUUGUAGCAACCAUUGCUGUAUCAAUCCUGGAACAACGACAGAGAAAAUUCCGCGCGGGAUACUUGCAGAAUUGCGACCUGUAGUUUCCUAAUCUGACUUAUGUGCGCCCUAGGCUUUCAUUUACCCUAAUUUUGAACUAUAAAAGAAGCACACAUCAUGAGGAAAAGGGGAGAGCCGUCACCCAAGGAGAAAAACAAGAUUCAAGAGAGAGAUUAAGGGCUGCACAAGAGGAAAAAUUACAGAAAUCAAUUGGGAGCUCAAUCCUUCUUAUUCUUCUCUUGUUUUCGUGUUUUCUAUUUAUUCAUGGGGAUGUGUUUCAUGGCUGGAACUUUGUUCUUUAUUUUUCUUUUGCAAACCAUGAACUAAAUUUAUUUGUGGUUGAGUGAUAAACAAUCUUCAUGGUUUAUUGACUAGAAAUAUAUGUUGCUGUAUGUUUGCUGUAGCAGUUUGUUUUGAUAGUAUUUAUUUUAUUCAUUAUUUCGGUUGAUCACCCAUUUAAUGAUACUAGCUAAUGAAGAGCCGCAAAAGGGUCUAUCUUAGUGGAACAUAUCAGAACAAUACUUGAUCUUAAAUUGAGUUUCCCGGAUUGAAUUUUAACUUGAGUCCCAAAAGGGCUAUGCUUGAUUUAAGAUUAGUGAUGAACUAGACAUAUGGAUUCACCUUGUAGGGUAAAUAGAACAUAAGCGUGUAAUGCUAUAUCUUAUGGUGGCAUAACAAUUGAUCACUGUUAGGUUGCAUAUAGAUAUAAGAUAUCCAACAUGCGACGGCUGAGGAUACAUAAGGAUUCUGCCCAGUGCUGUAGCAAAUACUGCAGCAACCGAGCCAACCAUUAGAAAAUAGUCAAGACCAUUAGGAGAGUUUAUUCACUCAACUACUAUAUAUUCUCAUUAGUUUUAUCCUUGAGAUUGACGUGAUAAUUUACUUUAUUGCGUUUUAUUAAUUACAUUUUUAUUUUAAUUAGUAUAUUAGUUUCAUUAAUUGUUUAUUUUAUUUUAGCAGAAAAUCUGCACUGUUAAGAUUGCUGUAGCAAAUCUGAUAACAUCAAUCCCUGUGGAGAUGAUCUUGAAUACUCAUCACUUUAUUACUUGUUGUGUACACUUGUACAUUGACACCAAUAGCAUUAGUAUUUAUACACCAACAAGUUUUUGGCGCCGUUACCGGGGACUGCUUGUUCAUUGUGAUUUGUGAAAUUAGUUUUAAUGGUUCUAAUUUUUUAUUUUAUUUUAAUUUGUUUAUUUUGUUGACAUAGGUGAUCUAGCAACCCUUGCAUGCACAAAUAUAAAUCUGUUGACUUACCGUUUGAUCCAAAAAUUGAAAGAACUGCAAGGAGAUUGAGAAGAGAGCAUCGGGAAUUACAAGCUGCUAUAGCAAUUGAUGAUUUGUAAAAUUUGAGAAACUUGAACCGUAGAGAGGGGAUACAACCAGUCAAUGUACAUGAAGGUCUGAAUGGACAAUGUGUUCAAAGGCAACCAGGGAACAACAACAUUAUUCACAUGGCGAACGAUAGAGAUAGAGCCAUUCGAGACUACGCAGUGUUAACUCCUCAAGCCAUACAUCCGGGAAUAGUUAGACCCGACGUUCAAGCUGAUAAUUUUGAACUCAAACCCGUGAUGUUUCAUAUGCUUCAAACAGUGGGGCAAUUUAAUGGUUUGCCAUCCGAAGAUCCUCAUCUACACCUUAAGUUAUUUUUGGAAGUGAGUGAUGCUUUCAAGAUUGCUGGAGCAUCGCAGGAAGCAUUGAGACUCAGACUUUUCCUGUUUUCUUUAAGAGAUCGAGCAAGAGCAUGGUUGAAUUCUCUACUACUAGAUUCUAUCACUACAUGGAGUGACUUGGCUGACAAAUUUUUGUUGAAAUAUUUCCCGCCAACCAAGAAUGCAAAGUUGAGGAAUGAGAUCACAUAUUUCCAUUAACUUGAAGAUGAGAGCUUGUGUGACGCAUAUGAGAGAUUUAAGGAGUUCCUUAGAAAAUGUCCUCAUCAUUGUAUUCCUUGCUGCAUACAGUUGGAAACAUUCUAUAAUGGUCUCAACCCAAGCACUAGAUUGAUGGUGGACGCUUCAGCAAAUGGGGCAUUAUUAUAUAAGUCUUACAAUGAGGCUUAUGAAAUUUUGGAGAGGAUAGCCAACAAUAACUAUCAGUGGCCAUCAACCAGACAAGCUGCAGCAAGAGGAACAACAGGAGUUUAUAACGUAGAUGAUGCAAUAGGCUUGCAAAAAUGAGAAAGAACUUGGCUACAAAAGAAUUGAAACAAAUCUGGAACAGUGCAGUUACUGUAGAUAUUGUUGUAGCAAUCAUUGUUGUAGCAACCAUUGCUGUAGCAAUUCUAGAACAACAACAGAGAAAAUUCUGCGCGGGAUACUUGCAGAUCAUAAGGAAAAGGGGAGAGCCGUCACCCAAGGAGAAAAACAAGAUUCAAGAGAGAGAUUAAGGGCUGCACAAGAGGAAAAAUUACAGAAAUCAAUUGGGAGCUCAAUCCUUCUUAUUCUUCUCUUGUUUUCGUGUUUUCUAUUUAUUCAUGGGGAUGUGUUUCAUGGCUGGAACUUUGUUCUUUAUUUUUCUUUUGCAAACCAUGAACUAAAUUUAUUUGUGGCUGAGUGAUAAAUAAUCUUCAUGGUUUAUUGACUGGAAAUAUAUGUUGCUGUAUGUUUGCUGUAGCAGUUUGUUUUGAAAGUAUUUAUUUUAUUCAUUAUUUCGGUUGAUCACCCAUUUAAUGAUACUAGCUAAUGAAGAGCCGCAAAAGGGCAUAUCUUAGUGGAACAUAUCAGAACAAUACUUGAUCUUAAAUUGAGUUUCCCGGAUUGAGUUUUAACUUGAGUCCCAAAAGGGCCAUGCUUGAUUUAAGACUAGUGAUGAACUAGACAUAUGGAUUCACCUUGUAGGGUAAAUAGAACAUAAGCGUGUAAUGUUAUAUCUUAUGUUGGCAUAACAAUUGAUCACUGUUAGGUUGCAUAUAUAUAUAAGAUAUCCAACAUGUGAUGGCUGAUGAUACAUAAGGAUUCUGCCCAGUGCUGUAGCAAAUACUGCAGCAACCGAGCCAACCAUUAGAAAAUAGUCAAGACCAUUAGGAGAGUUUAUUCACUCAACUACUAUAUAUUCCCAUUAGUUUUAUCCUUAAACUUGACGUGAUAAUUUACUUUAUUGCAUUUUAUUAAUUACGUUUUAUUUUAAUUAGUAUAUUAGUUUCAUUAAUUGUUUAUUUUAUUUUAGCACAAAAUCUGCACUGUUAAGAUUGCUGUAGCAAAUCUGAUAACAUCAAUCCCUGUGGAGACGAUCUUGAAUACUCAUCACUUUAUUACUUGUUGUGUACACUUGCACAUUGACACCAAUAGCAUUAGUAUUUAUACAUCAACACCUACCAAUUAUCCACAACACUUAACCACUGUCACCAACAAACCUUAGCCGCCGCCUCCUACAAGCAAGCCUCACCACCCACCAUACUAUUGCGACAGAGGCCACAAUGUAGGCAAGAUCCAAUAGAGGAGGGAUGUCUUCAUUCUCCGGCUAACUAUUAUUUUUUGUCUUUUUUAUUUUUUAAUUAUUAUAUUACUUUUAGUUAUUUUUAGUUUUUCUUUUAUUUUGUCUAUAUUUUGGUUGUUAGAUUGUUUUUGUUGUUGCCGGCGGUAAUGGAGUUGCAGCUCGUGAUGAUGAUGGUGAUGUUGGUGUCAUUUUAAUCGAGAUUUUGUUUUUUUUUACGGGUACGGCAGUCAUCUUCAUUCAUUACGUGUCCAUUUCUAACAUGUUAGAUUUAACUAUUUUUUAAUCCAAGGGUUAGACCACAAUGAGACAAAGGAUGGGGUACCUUCCAACGGGUGGAAGGUAGUUUCGGCCCAAUUAGACUGAGUCUAUACAAUAAAAAUUUUAUAUUAAAAAAUAAACCUUUUAGUUUCUUUUAAUCAUAAGUGUGAUCUUAAUUGUUGAAGUCAUUCAAUGUCCAUUACUUAUUCAUUUUUUUAAUAACCUAAAUGACAUUGAAAACUCUACUCAAUAAUAAUUCGUUCAAAUGUUUUAUUUUAAAGUAAUUGGAAACUGCAAAUGAAACAAAUACUUGAAAUCACAGACGGUCUAAAAUUAGAUUUUCAUUUUUCAAUGUUGCAGUGACUUUGAUCUUGAUAUUCAAAAUUUAUUUGUAACUUAUAUAAAGGCCUCAAUGUUAUUAGUGUUUUAUAUUAUAAUCUUUUCAUUGUCACUUUAAACAUUUUUUGUAACUUAAAUCAUUUUUUUAAAAUUAAAUAUAAAACUUAAUUUAAUUACAUAUAAAAAUCAUUUAAAUUAAAUAUUAACAUUAAUUUAUAAUUUUUUUUACCUAGAAUUUUGUAUUAUAUUAAAUACUAAAAUUCUAUUCGAUAAUGUAUUAUCAUUUAUUUAAUAAAUGUUUAGGUUUUUAGUAUGUUAUAUUAUUAUUUAAAUUACUUUUUUAUUUACAUAUAAACAUAAAUUAAUAUUUACUACUUUAAAUUUAUUAUAAUUUGUUAAAUAAUAAAAGCUAAAUGAUUAUAUUGAAAAUAUAAAUAGUAUUAUAAUGUAUUAUAGUCUAAAUCUUACCCCUAUGAGUUUAUUUUAUACACCUUUUAUUAUAUUAACCACAUUUAUAAUGAAGUGCAAUGCAACAAAAAAUUAUAACCAAAUAUGAGUUAGCAUGAAAAUAAUAUUUUAGUACAAUGUAAUGUAAGCUGACAAAUGGAUAUUUAAUGGAAGCAAAAUUUGCAUAUGGUUUGUGGGUCUCUCAAAAGACAACAAAGAAACCAAUACGAUACACUAAUUCUAUCCUCUUUAAUGGUGUCUUUACUAAAUGGGAAUCAUAAUGAAUUGGAAUUGAAAUGGGCUUGAAUCGAAAUAAGGAAUUAGAAUCAGAAUAAGUUGUUUGUUUAAGUUGUAUGAAUUAGAAUCGAAAUAGUUUUUAUUCAAAUUGAUGUGUUUAUUUUCUCUUGAAAUUAGAAUGGACUAUUACAAGUUACUACAAAAUCAUUUCGUAAUUGUUGUCUCUAAUAUUAUUUGUACCUGUUAUAAUGUUAACAAUAAUAAGAAUAAAAAUAAUACUAAAAAUGAAAAUAAUAAUAAUAAAGACAAUUAUAAUAAAAUUAAUAAAUUAUUAUUACUACUACUACUACUAGUACUGAAGACCGCCUAGUGAAGAUUGGAUAGUGAAGAUGAAGAUGACGAUCCUGGCAACCAACUGCUGCUUCAAAGAUGAUGUGCCCAAAUGGAGACAACCAGGGAUGACCAGCCAACUAGAUCCCAAUCUCGAUGUUGUGAUCUCGCAUGACCAUUGAUAAAGCGAUGUGUGAUGCCAGUGUUGUGAUUUCUUUUUAUUUAUAUUUUUUAAUUUAUUGGGGGUAUUUUUAAAAUUUAGUAAUUUUAAUAUGGAAAAAUUAGAUUGUCGAGGGAAUAGGAGACUGAUUCCCAACCAUCCUAAGAAUUAGUCUAUCAUUCUCUAUUUCUAAUUUGAUGUGCGUCCAACUAUUUCACUUCCACUUCUUACAUUUAUUUGUAAAGUAAAUGAAGUUAAUGAUUUCGAUUUCCAAUUGGAGAUGUAAACACAUCAUAAUAUUUUUUUAGAUACUUCCAUGGCAUAAUCUCAUUGGUCCAUUUUUCUUCAUGCCUUAGAUUCAACUUCAAGAUUAAGCCUGCGGCUGACUGGCAGUGGCCAAGCAAAUGUAACUCAUAGUGACCGAACCAUAUCUUAUUAUCUUACGCCAGAAGUUAAACAAUGUUCCCAUUCCACGUGUCACUCUCUGACCGAUCCCCAAACUUGCUACAUAUUUCCAAAGAAACCCUUACCAAGUCAAGAUAAUUACCUUCACUCUACUUCUAUAAAUACUGUCGUCGAUUCAACUGAUGAUGACAUAUCCUUACAGUCUUUAUUUAAAAGGAAAAAUUAUAAAAAAUUAUCCUCGUUCCAUAAAAAUCUAGGGUUUCUCAAGAAUCGCUUGAAAAUUUAGUAUUUUUUAGUGGAUUUUGCUUGUCUCGUAUGCUUCAAUUGUUGUUCGGUUCUUAAAAUAAUUUGGAAUUUUAGGGAUUUUCAGAUUAUUUAGUUUUGUUUGAGUGCAAUUUCCUCUAGUUACGGUUUCAGUUUGAAGGGUUAAGUGCAAUUUCGAAUUUUUUGUUAUAAAAUUAAAAUUAAAAUUCCUAAAACGAUUGGGCGUUUAAUAAUUAAUUGAUGGCUAGCGAUACUACAACGGCGGCCGCAGCUGCGGAAGAAGCAGAGGCGAUGGAGGAGUAUGAUAGCAAUCCAAAUGAAGUGAAACGCUCUCUUGUGAUGCGCAGAAGGGAUGCCAGUGAUGAGGAGGAGGCGGAGGAUGAGAGAGAUUCAGAGCUUCCAAUCGCUCAAAGGCAAGAGCAGAAGGGAAACAAGCGAUGAUGAGGAGGAGUAGACAGAAUUUGAACGUCGAAUAAAUGGAAGGGUCCAGAUUCACUCUUACAUUGAAUCUGAUGGCCAAAGUGGUGCUCCAGCUGAGUAUGAUGAUGAUGAAGAAGACGAAGAGGAACAUGACACAGAAUUAGAAGAAGAAGAUGAAGAAGGGGAUGUUUAUGAGUAUGAAGAGGAAGAAGAUUUUUAUGAAGAGGAGGAGAGGAAUGACGAGGCGGUUAAAGUCAAAGAAAUAGAGGGUAAUGAUGCAAGAGGAGUACGGAGGGCGCAGUGGAAGUGAGUAAAGGGAAUUAUGAUAAUGGCAAUGGGCAGCGAAGGAGGGAAUGGAGGAAGGGGAGAAGGAGAGUAAUGAGCCUUUUGCACAGCAGCCGGGGCUUUUUAUAUGGGACAAUGUUGCAGGUCGACACAGGUAUUAUUUGAUUUGAGUGACAAUCUAUAAAUAACUGAUAGCUGUACUUUCAUUAGGCUUGUCGAUUAGUCUAGUCUCGUUUUUUGGUGCUGUCUAAUGAUUGUUGGCUGGAAUCUGUCUAGAAGGCUUUUGGCCUAGUAGGUUGAAAGGAGAGAAAGUUCUCAAGUAAACAUCCGUGCUUUGUGGAAUAUAAUUAAUAGGGACAAAGUAUACUAAAUUACUUGAUAGAUAGUGCCGAGCUAAUCAUGAGCUAUGAUAGCAUUAUCCGUGCUUUGUGUAUAUUUAUUAGGGCUUGUCUAUUUCAAAGUGUGCAGUAUAGAAUUUUUGGGUUAAGUUUGAGUGAUGAAGUGUUAGAUAGGUUUCUGUUUUGCAUAGUUAAGCCGUCAAUAUGAGCUAUCGAAGCAAAUAUGGAGUAGGAUAUCUAGUUUUGGCCCAAAUUAUCAAGCUGGUUUGGUGGCUGCUAGAUUUGUUCAUCCGGAUUUUGGACCAUUUUCCUUGACAAUGAGAAAAGCUCCAAGAUCUGUAAAUCGAAAAUUCAUUGAAGUGCCAAAAGAGAGAUGGAAGUGAAUAACUAGAGUGUUAGUGAAAAGAGGGUGCAGUGAUUGUGUGGGAAGCUUUGGGUAUAACUGGGGUUUGGAUGUGAGAUAAAAUAUUUUGAGAGUGAAGUUGUAACAAUUUUGCACGUAGAGAAAUUUUUUGUCUCGUUGUCCUUGGCAACUGUGGUUUUUUAUUUGGGUAAUAGAGUUUUUCAGGUAACUCUUUUGUUGUGUGAUCCGAGUAUUCUCUAUUGUAUUUCUUUUAUUUGUUAUUUAUUUGACGUAUUGCUAGCAGAGAUCUUGGGUGGGAACCAAAAAUUCCCAACAAUUGUCAGUUGUUUUAAACUCUAUUCCGAACAGAGCAUGAAGGGAUUCACUUAUCUAAUUAUGUCAUUUAUGCUUUAACUUCACUUCAUUUCAUCUUGUCCGUCACCUUUACUAAAGUUGUGUAUGUUGGAGUAUUAGGUUCAUCACAAGGAUCAUAUUAUGGCUAAGGAAGGAGCACAGUUUAUUAGCUACACUCAAGUGUAGCAGAGUAUUUGGAUUCAAGACUGUUAUAAGGUUGUUACAGAUGCAAUGCUGUUGCUGUGCAACUGUAUGCCAUGCUCGCAAGUGCGCUGUAACAGAUUGCUCAGCAGGCACCGGAUAUUUUAAGCUAAUUUUGGUAAUUAGUCUAGAGUGUUCUGAUUUAUUCUAUAAAUAGCUCAUUUGAGCGUAGAUAUCUACAUUUCUGUUACUUCUAAUAAAGAAUUUCUUUAUUCCUUUUUCUUUCACUUUCUCUUUCAUUUUCAUGAUCCCCAAACACCAUCAAACAUAGAAUUGCUGUUUUAAGAAACAAAGUACUCUAUCCUGUCACCCAGCGGUCUCCUCGUUUAUCGACUUGUGAACAGGGGGCAAAACGUGACAAGUUCUUGAAUUGAAUGGGUCCUCUUUUCUCCAUAAAUCUUUGCUUAAUUUUUUUUGUUCCCUCAACCUUUUUUGGCCUUUUGCGCUAAAAUUCUUUUAUUUGAUACAUUAUGCAAAAAUUGAUGAAAAUAAGUUACUUUAGAACAUCAAUAAAUUUUUAUUACAUGAUAAGACAAUUAUACUUAAAUUACUCUUAUUUAAUUGAAUUAAAUGUAAUAAAAUUAGUUCAACAAAAUCUAAGCCGUAAAUAUUCCUUAUCACAUGAUUAACGUACUUAAAAAAUCAUAACUGAUCGGCCGCUUGUUUUACUAUAAAAGAUUGGUGUGAUUUAAUUAUUUUUCUUUUUGCUUCGUGUCUGUAAAAUUAUGAAUACUUUGGCAAAUAAGAAAAUUAUAAACACCAUUUUGAAAAUCCAUGGCCAUGGCUGUGAUGUGUCUUUAUCAAUCACGGAUACAAAAAUUAAUCAAAAUUAUCGAUUGUUUUAAAUUUUGUUUUUAACAGAGCAUGAAGAUGUCGCUUAUCUAGAUUUACUUUUUAUGCUUUGACUUCACUUAAUACGGCUUCUUCCUCCUUUAACUGUAUUUUUGGUUUGUCUUCACAAAUUCACCGAUACAAAUUAAUUUCUACCAAUAUUACCAAAUGAUUACUGAGCUGCUAGAACCUUCUUUAGAAGAGAAUUAUUGCGGCAAGGUAAUUGGAAGCUCAAAGAGUUUCCGUAUUAGCUGAAUCUAAGCGAUAAGUGUUUCCAUGUGAGCCAUAAUUGGGGAAAAAGACCAAUUCAAGUUAAACAAUUAUUAAUUAUUUUAAACUAUGUUCUGAACAGAGCAUGAAGGGUUUCACUUACCUAGUUACGUUUUUCAUUCUUUCACUUCACUUGAUUUCAUCUUGUCCCUAUCGUUUAUAAAAGUUGCAUAUAUUGGAGUAUCAAGUCCAUCACAAGGAUCAUAUUCUGGCUAACGAAGGAGCACAGUUCAUUGGCUGCACUCAUGUGUAGCAGAGUAUUUGGAUUCAAGACUUACAAUUGCGGAGGUAAUUAGUGUAGAGUGUUCUGUGAUUUAUUCUAUAAGUAGCUCAUUUGUGCUUAAAACCUACAUGUCUUGUACGUUUCUAUCGGUAAUUUAAUUACCUUUCCGUACUUUAUCAAUCAUCGAAUGAUUUUACUGGUUUGAUCGCUUGAUUGUUUGAUCGUCUGUCUGCAAGUAAUUUACAAUUCACUCUCCAAUUUUCAUUAAUUUAGUCUACCAAAGCUUUAACUAGAUAGGUAGAUAACGUGGUCAUGAAAACUUGAUUAAGAGUUUAAUGCAAUCAAAUCUACUUUAAUGAUUAUUUAAUGCACGGAGAUUUAACAUCAAUUAUCAUCACGUUAUUCUAACAGCGAGAUUGCACAAACUCAGAAGCACAAACUUUCAACAAUGAUAAUAGGUAAAAAUUGAUAAUCUUAUAAUAAAAAGCAAGAAAAAAAAAGUUGAUUUAGGAGGUAAGAAUAAAAAAAGAAAAAUAGAGAGAGAAAUUAGUUUAGGCUCUAACCAUUGUUAUAGUAGAGAAAAAAAAAAUUGAUCAAGAGUAAUUUUAUGACUUUUUAGAAAAGAGUGAAUUAAAAUAAUAAGUUAUAAUUUGAUUAUUAUCUUAAUUAAAAAAAUGGGGUUGAAAUAAAAUUAGUGAAUUUAAAUAGUCUGCCCAAAAUCCAAACUUGCAUAUCAAUUAUUUUCUAAUUUACAUGAAGUUUUUCUAUAUGUUUGAUAACAUUUGAUUCUCAAUUGGUCUAAUGGAGAAACAACCAGCAAAAAAAUAAAAUGAAUGCAAUUAAAUGGAAAUUUGAAAAGAGCAGUAGAUGACAUUUGUGUGCAAGCAAAAUGCAAAAUUGCAUUCUGUUUGUGGGAUCCUGGAAAAAAUAAAAGAAAGAAAACAGAGUAAGACGCUGAUACUGUGGGCUUUAAUAUUUUUCUAGAUGCUUCCAUGGCAGAUUCUCGUUGGUUCAUUUUUCUUUACGCCUUAGAUUCUAUGAUUCAAUUUCAAUCAAAUACGACAAACAAAAGAAGCUUUUAAGCCUGCAGCUCAAAAAGAUGGCACUUUAAUUUUCGGCUGAACAUACAUAUGGCAAGAUUAUUAUUAUUGAGCUUCAUAAGUGGGGAUAGCAAAAUCCGAAUUGGGAUGUAGGUGCAUUCGGAUUUGGAUUCGGGAAAAAAUAUGUGGAUGUGGAUUUGGAUGCGGAUAAUAUAUGUACGGAUUGUGGGUGAAUAUUCCGGAUAUUCAGAUCCGCAUAAUAAAAAAUUAUAAAAUAUUGCGGCUUCAAAGCCCAUAUGAUCAUGGGCCACCGCUUGCCCAUGCUUUGAAUCAAAAUUUUCUAAUGAAGUGAGGUUGGAAGCUGAAAGGGGCAAAUGAUAUAUUGAGCCCAACGGGACAAGAUCAUCAUUUAAUUCCCUCCUCUUGUCGAUAGAUGUUUGCCGAAUUUUUUCAUUUAAAAAAUAUUAUAUUGGUUAAUAGAAUUUGAAGUUUUACAAAAUAUAAGUUUAAUUUAAAAAAAUUAUAUUUGUUAAUUUAAAUUUUUCAUUUGGUGGUUGUGUUUGAGAAAAAUUUUAGGUAUACUCGGAUAUACUCUCUUAUUAUUCAUUGAAUUUGGGCAUUUAAAACAUACUAGUAUGCAAUAUUUUUAAGUAAUUACCAGAGAAGUAUACAUGAGAAAAAUAUAACACGUGAAACAAUACACAAUGAAAUUAUCUACAAUUUUCCAUUGACUUAGUCAACUCUUCAUUAAUUUCAUUGACUUGAUCAACUCAUGAUCUAACUUGACAACUUGAAAAUUAAAUUAUGCUAGUAAUUCUGUAAAAUAUGCUAGUAAUUCCGUAAAAUUAAAAUUUAUCUCCCAAAAUUGAUAAAUACUGUGUCACUUUGUCAAAUUACUUAGGGUAAAAGCUCUGUGGCUAAAAACUUUUAACAUUAGUUGUAUGCUAAUUGAGAAGGACAAGACACGAAAGAAUUCAAUGAAUGCCACAUCAUGUAACACUAAUACUAACACUACUUACUCUUAACAAAUUCUUACAAACGUGAUUCAUGAAAUUAACUUGACUUUUUGUCUAAAAAAGGCCUAAAGAAACAUGCCAAGCAACAAAUAAAGUAGUCCAAACGUGAUUCAUGAAACUUGAUAGGCACUAUCUAAAUAGUAUUAAUAUGGCAACCAAAAACAUGCGCGCAAAGUAGACUUUCUUGGACGAUCCAUGCCAAUCAGCAUAUAAAGUAGUCCAAACGUGAUUCGUGAAACUUGACUUCUUGUCUAAAAAGGCCUAAAGAAACAAGACCAAAAUUUCCAUGCAAUAGCAAUAUGGUGGCCACAAUGCACUUUUUAAGCCAUUUUUCAAAACUAAGUUUCUUCGUAUCACAUGCACUAUUCAAGCAAUUUUUCAACAUUUUCUCCUUCCCCUAAAAGCUACAUGCAUGAAUCAUGUCCCAAUCAAUUUCUUGGCAAAAAUUGGAACGCAAGAACCGAUUGGAGCAUAAGGACAAUGUCGCGAUUCAAGAUUCUCAGCAAGACCACGUCACAAUGCAUCACUUUUGGAAAGUAAUUUAGCAAUUUCCAAUGCCUUAGCUGAUUAAUGGCUUGACCAUGUGACGAUUGGUCCACCUUAUGCACAUGGCAAGAUCAAAGAAAAUAUCACAGCUAGCUCGACGACUACUAGCCAAAAUAACAAGACAAUGACGGCCAGUUACAAACUCUUUACGAAGGAAAUACCGAAAUAUGAAUAUCCCUCCUAAUCACUUUCUUAUAUUAUCAUUAUUUUGUACAUGUAACAGAACACGUUCUCUCUUGUAAUGAAGUCAAGAAAACGGUUUUAGUUUUUAUAUCAAUAAUGGAAUCCAAAAUCUUUCACAGCUUGCUUCUCCUUUGGACGCUUGAAAGACUUUCUUACCUGGCUAAAACUGUGAAAAUUGUUCAAACUAAUUUGAUUGAUAACUUUCUGACACUAUAUUGUAUAUGAAGGCUGCAUUUAAAUGUGAAAUAAAAAUGAGUGCUUAUAUUAAAAAACAAUCAGUCUCAUUGCGUCCUCUUUCAUUGACAUAGGCAAUUUUGCGGUCAACUCGAGGAGUUGUUUGAUUUUAUGUUUCAAAUUAAGUACCAUAGCAUUACUACUUCUAUAAAUAACUCAUUUGAGCUUCGAGCUUGUUAUUUGUAUUUUACGUUUCUGUUUCUCUUCAUAAAGAUUUUUUUUUUUCAUUCUCUUUUUCUUCCACUUUCCCGACUCCCAAACACCACCAGUCUUUGAUUUUCCUAGAGUAUUAACUGUCUGUUUACACGAACAUAGACCGACUGUUUGUCUAAUUACUGACAAGAAACAGCAUACUCUAUCUCGGGGUCUCAUCGUUUAUUGACAUGUCACUUGUGAACGGGCUAAUUAAAGGGCGUUCCUUCCUUCAAGAAAGAAUGCCAAGAAAGUACCAUCCAUUAGACACGUUAAGAAUUAUUUAACAUUAAAAAUGAUAAUAAUCAUAAUAAUCGGUUUAGUGUUACCCCGUUAUUAGGUAAUGACUGUCCGAUUGUCUUCGCUUUCAUUGACUUCGCAACUGUGAAUUCUAAGCCGGGUUAAGGAUUGACAAAAUGUUAUAACCCAUAAACACUACAACAAACAGUUAUAUCACCGACGAAAUAUUUCCGAGGGCGUAAAAUACCUUUGAUAAUAAGUACUUUUUUCUAAGGUGUAAGAUGGCCGUCGGAUAAGGAUGAAAAUAUGAUCAAUAUUUCCGAGGGCAAUUUGCCCUUGGUGAUAAUGAAUACUUCGUCGAAAAUGCCUGCUAGACUUAACUAGAAGCACCCCAAAAUUUACACACUUCGGGCCCGGCCUUUGGAGUAGAGUACUAAAACCACAAGCCCGCAGCCAUAACUUCCACUAAUUGUUUUUUUAAGAGUAGCGUACUUGGAAAUUUUUUUUCUUGUAAAUUUAAUUACUCUUGGUAAAAUUAAAAACCUAAAAGAAUGAAAUACAAAUAAAAAGCUAAGAAAAUACAGAAGAAACGAAAAAAUAAACAAAAGGAAAAAAAUUAAAACAGAAGGGAAAGUUCAAAAGAAAACAAAAAGAACAAAGUUAAAGAGAACGAAUAAGAAAGAAAAAGAAGGGGAAAGUUCUUCAAUCAUUGCAGCGCAAGCACUCACAUCUCUCACUUUUCAAUUUCUCAUUGUCCAUUGCUCGCCCAAUCACUUUGGUAAUUAUUUCACUGUUGCUUUCUCUAUUUGCGCUAGAUUUCAUCUUUUUUUUUCCUUCAAUUAACUUAGGGUUAGGUUAUAGUUUCCAUCAUUGAUGAUGAGUCUGAAGGCUAAUUAUUUCUCUUAAGUUUGUAAUUGUUACCAUCUCUUGCAUAAUCGCUCACUCUAUGCUUCUAAUUUUGUUUUUAAUUUGUUUUUGCUGCUUCCGAUUUUGUUUUAGGCCAAAUGGUAGCUUCCUAUAAGUUCGGUGAAGCUAUUGCAUUUUUUUUUUAAUUUUUUAAUUUUUUAAUUUUUAUUUUGGAGCUCUUACUUGUGAUGCUAAUUAUUUAGAAUUCAUUGUUUGUUAUCUGAUUUGGAUUAAUUUUAAUGAUCUUUUUGCUGGAUUUCAUUAAUUUUUUUUUUCCAUUUUUAAUGUUAUGUGAUGCUAAGUAUGGACUCUAAAGGAUGUUGAUAUUUUUUAAUUUUGAGGAGUUGUAGGGAGAUGAAGUGAAAUAAACAUUUAGGGGGUCAUGUGUAUAUAGAAUUGUUUGAUAGAGCUAACAUGACUAAAAAAUGUAAGUUAAUGCUAUACUAAAGCGAUGGUUAACUUUGUACUUUGAAUUUUGCAGCAUGAAUUUAGUAUAUUGGUAUUUUCAUUUUAUGUGUACUAAAAACUAAAAAGGAAGAUAAAAAUAGAUGAGUUACCAGGGAGAUAAAAUUCAAUCUGCGGUGAACUAGUUGUAUUUCUUUUUCUCCUUUUUUUUUUUUUUUUGCCCCACUUUCUAUGCAUCCUCAUUUUAAAUAGUUAGUAUUGCUGGUAUUGGUUUUAUCAUAAUCAUAACUUGUGAGAUGAAUUUUGUGCUUAAUUUUUUUUUUUUGUUUUGUUGAAAGGGUGUAUAAAAUUUAAUAGUAAUAUCAAGAACAAGUUUCUUAAGCUUUGAACUGAAUAUAUAUUAAGCUUUUAAACUUUUCCUGGCUUGCUGCAAUGAUUUCUUUUCUAAGCUUUUCCUUCCUUGUUAAAGCACUUAUUCACAUGUUUCAGGUUUUGAUUGUUGUACUACUAUACGAAGUAGCUCUAUGCUUUGUAGGGGAUGCCUUCUUGAUGAUAUUCUGCAGGUUAGAAUCUGAUUCUCUAAAAAUUCUUAUACAUGUAGAGAACAGGAGCUUAAAGAUGUCGUAGAACUUCAUGUAAAAAUUCGUUUUUCAGAUUGGAUGUCAGAGCUGAGGAGGGGAAUUUUUAAGAAGUAUCCAACUGUUGGAGAGCAUUAUGCACAUGCUCCUGAGAAUGUGCCUCCAAGAAUAUUGAGACAAAUGGUUGACAAAUGGAUGGAUGAGGGGUGGAAGGUACCAAUAAUGACUAUUAGCAUUAUAUUUUUCUGUCCUUUUCUUUCCUAAGCUUUGCUGUUAUUUUAAUUCAUCAGUGAAUUAUAGUUGCUAGAAUCAUUAUAGAAAUAGGAACUGAUAAAUCUUAUCCAUGUGCUUUGUACAUGAGUUGUUCUUGGCGGGUUUAGAAUAACCAAGUUGAUUUUAUGUUUUUUUUUAACUUAUUUAUAGAAAACAAGCACAACAAACAAGAGGAACCGAACCAAGUCCAAACUUAUUCACACUAUAUAUUCCCAUAUUUUUUUUUUUUGGGCAUGAUUUCAUUACUAUAUGCACUCAGACAAAUGUAUGUAUUUAUUAUAGGAAACAAUGGAAUCAAUAUGAUCAACUGUUAUAGAUCAAGGCUUGUCAGUUGAUGAAUGGAAAAUAUUUCGAGAAGUAACAGGAGAACCAGCACAUGGUCGUGUUGUUGGUUGGAGAGCCGGCAUCAAAGGCAAGGAUGUGUAUGGUUCUCCAGGUCAAGGAGGUAACAAGCAUCAAUGUACUAAUUUGGAAGUGAAAGUAAAAGACUUAGAGAAGAAGUCAAGAAGUUGAAAAGACUGAUAAAGCUCGUUCUUGGAAAAUCCGCACAAGAAUCAUCUCAAAAGGUAUAGGUUGUUUAUUUCAUUUUAUUAAUAGAUUAAGUGAAUGAGUAUGUUCUAUGUUUUGAGUUCUCAUGGAAAAUGAUUGGUGACUUGUCAUUGCUCUGUUAGUUAAUGAACUGAAGUGAUUAUGGACAAGCUUAUAAUAUAGGUGGAUGAUUGAAUAAUUAUUAGAUUUUUUUUUUUUGAAACAGAGACUGCAUUUAUAUAGAGUUUUUUUUUAUUGCACAAUUUUUCUCAUUAGUCUCAGCCUCUUUAUUAUAUUUUUUACCAGUUUUUGUUUUGGUAAUAAUAGUGAUUAAAAUUUUUUCUUUUACCUAGGAUAUUGUUUUGACGGAAGAAGAUGACAGGUAUGAGGAUGAUGAAGUUGAGCCAAACGAUUUAGAAAUUGAAGAAGUUGGUUUAGAGGAUGAUUGAACACAUUCAAGAUAUGAUGAUAUCAUUUUGUAUAUACAUUUGGUAUUUUUUUGCAUAAAAGAUACUAUAAAAUUGAAUUUUUUGUUGUAUUCUUGAAUGAUGAAUGUGAUUUUAUGAAUUUUUAAAAUUAAUGAAGUUACCUUUAGUAAUUUCGAAUAUUAUUAUUACUUUUGUUACAUCACUUCUCUAAUAUAGAUAUUUCAACAAUAAAAAUAAAAAAAUGAAUGAAAUAUUAUUACUAAAUAAAAUAAAGGGGGCCAUUAAACAACAAAAUAAGUUUAUUUUCGACGGUAUAUCUUUUAUUUCCGAGGGCAAGUUGCAGAUGAAAAUAAAAAUAACCAGGUUUAUUUAUCUUUUUUCCGAGGGCAUUUAAUUCCAUUUCCGACGGCAAUGCGCUCGGAAAUAAUUUUUUUCUCCGACGACUCGUCGGAAAUUCGACAUUUCCGAUAAGACUUAAUACGGCGACGGUCGACGGCAUACCACGCUCGAAAAUGAGUUUUUCUAAGGGUCUUUGUGUAUUUCCGACUCCGAGGGUAUUUGCCCUUGGAAAUGACCCAUUUUCUUGUAGUGAAAGCACAGAUAAUUAAUCAAUGGGCCACUGAUUUCUUCUUUCAUAAAAGAGAACUUUUCCAGGGAGAUUGGAAUAAAAGGCUAAUUCUUGGUAAAGAUCAGAAAGUUCUCAAAUAAAAUUCGGCUCUGUGGAAAUUAAAUUAAAAGCAAUUAAGCAUUAUAAAUUACUUAACAGCUUAAUCGAGUUUGGUUUUGAAAAAUAUAUCUUUAAAUCCCUUGUAAUUAAAGAUAAUUAUCAUAUUACCGUCUCAAAUGGACCGAUUUCAAUCAAAUGAAAUCUAGAAAAUUGAGCAGCUCAUUGAUGUAUUUGGUCGAAUUGUGACUUGUGUCAGAGUCUUCGUUUUAGAAGAGUGCACAGCAGCUGCCAGGUCCACUUGGCAGUUGGCACGCCAAAAUUUUUCUGUUGACCAAUAAUUUUGAAAGGGAUAUUAUUAAUUUACUAUCAAAUAUUUUCGAACACAUCACUUUACUAUCAAAAUUUUUUGACAAUAAUUUUUUGUCACUUAAUAUUUCAAUUUUUAUCAUUUUAUCAUUAAAAAAAUAGUAAAUACAUGCUUAGUGUAAGUUAUCCAUAAAAAUGGUUGUUGAAUUGUCUUGUUUCUCAUUUGGUUUAAUUUUCAUAAAUUCGACUCACACAAUUCAAUUAUGAGUGAAGAGUUUUUUUGGGAAAAAUCUGGUCUUCCAUGUACUAGAAUCAGGUCUGUUUGAUUUUAUUAUUUUUCUUUUGUUUGAAAUAUACGUGAAAAAUGUUGAACACUUUGUAGGAUUUAGAAGAAUUUGAAAGUUUGAAUGCAUAUAGUUUACUAUCGAUCAGCUAGUGCAUAUUCUGUAUUUUAUGAAAUCAAAGCUGGUUGAUUGAGAAAUGGACCUUAUUACAUGUCAUAAGAUUUUACAGUGCUUUCUAAUGGAGCAAAAUAAAAUGAUUCUUACCUGCACAGAAAAUUAGAAACGAAAAGGAGGGUUACUGAUCCACAGAGUUGUUAUUUACGAGAAGCACAUAGAUAUUACACUUAAUUUAUUAUCCAUCUGUAUUGUUUGGAUGACACUGAAGUAUUACCUAAAUUAGCCUUUCAGAACUUCGUUUUCAAAAAUCUAUGGUUGUGAUGCGUCUCUAUAAACUCACUCGUAAAAAUUCUAUCUAAUGCCAAUUGUUUUAAACCCUGUUCUGAACAGAGCAUGAAAGGAUAUGUUCACUUAUCUAGUUGUGUUUUUUAUGCUUUCACUUCACUUGAUUCACCUUGUCCCUCUUUUAAAACAGCUGUAUAUGCUGGAGUGCCAAAUCCAUCACAAGGAUCAUAUUAUAUCCUACGGAAGGAGCACAGUUCAUUGGCUGCACUCAGUUUACAGAGUAUUUCGGGAUUCAAGACUGUAGGUUGUUGCGGAUGCAACUUGCAAGGCUGUUGCUGUGUGACUGUAUGCCACGCUGGCAAGUGUGCUCUGACAGAUUGUGGAGAUGGCACCAAAGAUUGUAAACUAAUUAGUACUGAAAAAUCAUAUUUGCACAUAAAUUGCACAAAAUAAAUAGAUUGAGAAAAGUUGUACAAAGAAAUAAGAUUAAUAAAGUAAAUAAAUUUAUCUUUUAACAAAAUAUUUCUAGUCUUUUGGCGUUUUUGUGUAUUUUUGUGUAAGUGCAAAUAGCAUUCUAAUAAGUAGCUCGUUUGAGCCUAGGACCUGUAAUUAUGUUUUACCUUUCUGUUACUUUCUCUUAAAUAUUAUCUCAGUUCUUUUCUUCUUUUCUUUCACUUUCUCUUCCAUUUUCCUGACUCCCAAACACCACCAAUCCUUGAUUUUCUAGAGUAUCAGCUAUCUAUUUCUACAAACACAAAACUGCUAUUUACUUUCAAGAAAUAACAUAUUCUGUGGUUUAUUGGCUUAUGCCUCGUGAACGGGGCUAAUGUUGGUCUAACUACUCCCGUGAAACAACGUACUCUGUGGCUUAUUGUCUCCUCUUCCAUUGACUCUGCCAAUUCACGACUUUGACACGCACACUAGAUGCUAACUGCCUUCUCCAUUCGACGUGCAAAAACUUUCUUGAGUCGGGUUAAAAUUAAUUGAUCAUUUUAUUUGGUGAUAAUGACUUAGUUGUCAAGUCAUGAGUUUGAUGAUGAAGAGGACGAAAAAUAUUAUUUUAUUAUUUAAAAUAAGACUAUCAAUUAUUUCGAUGGUCAUCUUAUUUUCUAAAAUAACUUAAUGGAAUCUUACAGAAUAGAGUGCUUGACUUCUUCAUACAGUGCUUGACUUCUUUUUACAGAAUUAUAAAGUGAAAAAGGAAAUUAAGAAAUUAAAUACUUUUCAUGCGAGUGGAGAACAUUGGGUAGCGAUUACAUUAAAUAAAAGAAAAUUAAUUUAAAAGUACAACAUUUUAAUAAUCUCAUUCCCAAUCAUAUCGGUACAAAAAUUCUGCAGAUUUAUUGAAUAACUAUUGAUUUUACUUUGGUAAUUUCUUUCUAAAAGUGAGGUAAACAUUUUUAUUUUCUUUGCAUUCGAGCUUUCUUUCUUUUGCGCUGGCCUUCACUUUUGACCGUAUUUCAUGGGGCACAUUCAAUCUCAAUCUUCUGCAAGUUUGUGGCAGUUUUGUUAAUUACGAACAUUUGUAGGAUUUUAUGUAGAUGAUACAUUUUUCUUUUCUUUUUUUCUUCGGUGAACAAAUUAAAAAUUUAGUUUUUGUCAUCAUGACUAGUGAAAUGAAAAUAGUCCUCAUUGCAAGGAUUGACAAAAACGUUGUACUCAUACCGAUUAAUGGGGAACUAAUUUCGUCCUCUUCAAAAAGAAUUAUUUGCAGCGUGGUAAUUCGGACCUAAGUGAUAAGAAUUUCCAAAUGAGAUAUAAUUUGGAGGGAAACAAAAAACUAAUUCAAGUUAAAGACCAGGAAUUUGUGUUCCUCACAAAAACAAUAAUUCAAGCCUCGCAAUAAUUUUUUUGAUUUAUUUAAAAAAAAAAUUGUUUUCCUCACAAAACAUUUCAACGUCUAUUCUCUCGUACAGGGGAAUAUCCUUCACUCUUUGGCGUAUCCCUGGGGCAAUGUAAGUUGACUUUACAUUAAAACAAAAUAUAAUUACAAUCACAUAAUUACAAUUAUCAUCACUGAUUUGUAUAAUUUUCAGGACUAGUAAAUUAUCCCAAUUUUUAAAAAACAUAAUUACAAUUAUCGAUCGAACACCACUAAUUCCAACAAUUCAUCCAAGUUUUUCAACUUUUUAGAUAUUUGAUAUAUGUCAUGUUUUAACUUGGUACGAGAAAAAAAUUAUAGAAUAUUUUUUUUUCAAAUUAGUGGAAUUAUUUUACGAUAAAACUAUCACAAUCACAUUUAAAAACAUUCUUUAAAUUUUCACUAUUUCUACUGUUAUUCUUUAAACUUUUUUCUGAACAGAGCAUGGAGGGUCGCUUAUCUAAAUAUGUUUUCUGUGCUUUCACUUCACUUGAUUCAUCUUGUCCCUCUUUUAUAGCUUCUAUCUCGUGUGAGCUUAGAACCUGCAACUCGUAUUUUACGUUUCUGUUACUUUCUCUUUCAUUUUCCCGACUCCCAAACACCAUCAGUCCUUGAUGUUAUAGAGUAUUAGCUGUCUAUUUGUACAGACAUAGAGCUACUGUUCCCACUGUAGAUCUUCAGAUGGUUAGCUCACUAUUGUUUGAAUAUUAAAAUUAAUUUGUUAAAUAAAUAAAGAAAACAAGAGACAAUUGCCAUAUAUAUUCCAUAUUAAUUAGUCACCGUCCGAUUGUCUCUACUUCCAUUGACUCUGUUGAUUCAUGCUUUCAUGAAGUGAAACGCUUAACACUCUGUUCUGAUCCGCAGGAGAGGAGGAAAAACAUAAUUUUAUUAUUUCAUUCCUGACACACGCAAAGAGCUUUCUUAAUUGAUGAAUGUGACAUGAAGCUCUAUAAAUAGUUUAAUUUGUAAAAUUGUUAAAAUUUGUUAAAUUUCAUUUAAUUGAUGAAUGUGACAUGAAGCUCUAUAAAUAGUUUAAUUUGUAAAAUUGUUAAAAAUUUAAAUUUCAAGGUAGAUAAAAUGAUUAACUUUUUUCAAUAUUUAGAUAAUUAACAUGUGCCAUGUAACUAUGAAUGAAUGAAUGAAAUUUUUGAAGUGCGAAUCCAUUUACAAGUUACGACUUGUCUUAUUUCUCAUUUUACUUAAUUUUCAUAAAUUUGACUCACGAUCAAUUAUGAGUGAAGAGUUUGUUGGAAAAAUAUGGUAUUCCAUUUAUUGUAAUCAGAUGAGUGUGAUUUAAUUAUUUUUUCCUUUUGCUUGAUGUCCCGAAAAUUAUGAAUACUUUGUAGGAUGCAGAAGAUUAAAAAUUUUAACGCAUAUCUAUAGUCAAAACUGAGGAAACAGAACAUUAUUGCUUCUAUAAAUAGGUCAUUUCAACUUAAAACUUGUUACUUGUAUUUUACAUUUUUGUUUUUUAACUUUUUCUUCCAUUUUCCCAAACACCACCAAUCCUUGAUUCUUUUCUUAGAGUAUUAGCUGUCGAUUGUUAUAAACGUAGACAUACUGUUUGUCUAAUUACUAUCAAGAAACAACAUACUCUAUCCUGGGGUCUCUUCGUUUAUUUAAUAUUUAGGUUUAUUAAUAUACUAUAUUAUUAAUUAAAUUAAUUAAUAUUAAUUAAUAAUUUAAAUUAAUUAAAUAAUAAAAGUUAAAUGAUUAUAUUGAAAAUCCAAGUAGUAUUUUAAUGUAAUGAAACCUAAAUCCCACCUCUAUACCACAUUUGUUACACAAUGUAAUUAUAUAAAAAUAAUAUUUUAAUACAAUAUAAUACAAGUAUAAGGCUGUGUAAGGCUGUAAUAUUAAUUAGCCUGUGUAAUAGUAUCCCAUGCUGGCAAGUGUGCUAUAACAGAUUGUCGAGCUGGCACCAAUUAUUUUAAACUAAUAUUAGUAAUUAGUUUAGAGUGUUUCGAUUUAUUCUAUAAAUAGAUCAUUUAAGCUUUGAACCUGUGAACUUGUAACGUGUACUGUACUUUUCUAUUACUUCUAAUAAAGAUUUUCUCUAUUCCUUUUUCUUUCACUUUCUCCUCUGUUUUCCCGACCCUCAAACACCGUCAAUCCUUGAUUUGAACUACUGUUUGUUUGUCUAAUUACUUUCAAGAACAAUACCCUCCAUCCCGCGGUCUCCUCGUUUAUUGACUUGUUACUUAUGAACAGGGCUAAAUAAAGGGCAAAUAAGAUGUUGGGCCAAUGGACCCAACGUCACAGAUCUUGAAUUGAUUGCCUCUUCUUUUCUCUACAAAUCUUUGCUUAAUUUUUAUGUUUCCUCAACUUUUUCCCCCCUUUUGUGCUAAAAUUAUUUUUCUGAUACUUUAUGCAAAAAAUAUGAUAAAAAUGAAUUAGUUUAGAAUAUCAAUAAAUUUUUAUUACAUUCAAGAUAAGGACAACUACUCUUAGAUCACUUUUAUUUAGUUGAAUUAUAGGUAAUAAAAUUGGUUUUAACAAAAUAUGAUUCUUAACCCUUGUAAUUAAAGACUGGUGUUAUUUAGUUUAGUUGUAACACCAUGCAACAGGUCAUCUUGGUGGGUUCAAAUUAAUAUACGAUCAUUCUCAAUAUUUAAUAGUUCGUAAUUAAAAAUUCCAAUAUCACAAUUAGAAUUUACAAACAUGUCAAAGUCAGUUAAAUCAAACCUAUAAAUUUAAGGUUUACUACAAGCUUCUAACAAAUUAAAAUUUAAAACGAUUAAUUAAAUGCUAGACAAUAUUUAGCUUAUAAAUGUUCCCGACCACAUGAUGAAUGUACUUAAAACAUCCUAAUUGGUCGCUAAUUGAUUGGUUGUUAUUUUUUCAAUUUCUUUUUAUAUAUCUUUGAAGCUUCUAGUUUCAUAACAUGUUAUUUGCAAUUCGUGUAAAUUAUUAUUUUUUAAAUAUUAGAGCAACAACCAGUAUAAAAAUAAAAUGCACUCAUUUAAUGGAAAUUUUUCUAGAUGCUUCAAUGGCAGAAUCUCAUUGGUCUAUAACUCUCAAUAAAUUUUUCUAGAUGAUUCAAGAUUCAAUUUCAAACCAAUGCCGAACAAACAGUAUAAACCUUAAUAAGAUAGUUGAAUAACCAUCUCUUACGUCGGGUGACCGAAUAACCAUCGCUUACGUCGGAAUUUAAACUUAAACAAAGCUACAUCCCACGUGUUCCCCACUUUCUUCAUAUUUCCAAAAAACCCCUACCAGAUCCAGAUAAUCACCUUAACUUUUCUCGUAUAAAUAGAGAAGACGACGACGAUUCCUGCAAAGCCAGGUGAGUCACGUGAACGUUACGGCCAUGGGACAUUGGAAUUGGAUCAAACCACUGGAAUGCACAGCAAAAUUAACCCGAAUAAACUAGGUUGAGUUAAGAAUUACUUUUCUUUUCAUAAUAAAUUAGAUUGAGUCAAUAAUAUUUGCCUGUGUGAAAUGAAUAAUCAGUUUAGUGUCACCCCAUUAUUAAUUUGUGACUCUCCGAUUGUCUCCUUUUUCAUUGACUUUGCAACUGUGACUUCUGAACCGGGUUAAGAGUUGACAAAAAUGUUAAUGUUAAUAUGUUAUAAUUCAUAAAACACGCAUAAUUAAUUAAUGGCCCACCAAUUUCUUCUUCUCAAAAGAGAAUUUUUGCAGGAGAUUGAAAAAAGGCUAAUUCAUGUUAAAUAUCUUAGAUGAGUGUCUAUCACGGAUACAAGUCAAGCCACACGAUUUUUCUUGUUAUACUAUUUGUUGGCACUUGUGAAUCCUUGAAUUAUCAAAUGAAUAGCAACAACACUUCAAUAUCUAUUGUUACACGGAGAGAAAUCCGUUCUCUCUUUGAUGUACUACUUGGCAAUAUACAUUGAUCUUUCAUUAAAACAAGCAUUCUCAUAUUGUUGAGAAAAACUCACGUUAAACUAUUCAAUUUAAUCAUUUAUUAAACGGAUAUUUGGUUUGAUUCAUUUUAUUCAUUUAGUAGAAUUAAUAAACGAAUCGAAUCGAAUCCAGAUUCAUUUAUUCUAUUACAAAUCUACAACGAAUUGAAUCGAAUCGAAUCAGAAUUCAUUUACAGUUCGUUUAGAAAAAUAUAAUUGAUAAACAAAAUUAAGCAAAAUAAAAUAUAAAAAAAGCCGCAAAUUUAAUACCACUUCCUACACCAUAUUCCUAAUUAGCUAGGGAUAGUCUACCAUGCAAUGGCUGCUGUCUUAAUUAAAUAAGAUAUGUGCUUUUAUACGCCCUCUCAAAGAAUAUCGAUCUCCUCAAGACUUUACAUAUUUGUUUUUGAAUAUAAACACUUGUUCACUUCUACAUAUUUUUUUUUAGCUACAUCCAUAGAAUUGCUCUAGCCUCUACGUUGGACAUAGCUGCUGUCUUAAUUAAAUAAAAUAUGUACUUUCAUACGCCCUCUCAAAGAAUAUCUAUCUCGUGGAGGCUUUACAAGCUUCGGUGGGAUCUUUAGAAAACGUCUCGACGACUCAAAAGACUACACUCCCACUUUCAAAAGUGGCACGAUUUGAACUUAUCCUGCCAACCUUCUAGAAGAGUAGUGAUAAACUUCAAGAUCAUUCUUUUAAUUUUCUCCCUUUUAACAUUUUGGUUUCAGGUAAGGACCAAUCACUUGGACACUUCAAUUUUACUUUUGGACCUUUCUUAUAAUGACAACACCCUCCAUCCCUCGGUCUCUUCGUUUAUUGACUUAUUACUUGUGAACAGGACUAAAUAAAGGGCAAAUAAGAUGUUGGGCCAAUGGACCCAACGUCACAUAUCUUGAAUUGAUUGCCUCUUUUUUUCUCCAUAAAUCUUUACUUAAUUUUUAUGUUUCCUCAACUUCCCCCCCCCCCCCCCCCCCCUUUUGAUGAAUUAUUUUUCUGAUACUUUAUACAAAAAAUAUGAUGAAAAUGAAUUAGUUUAGAAUAUCAAUAAAUUUUUAUUACAUUCAAGAUAAGGAGAAAUUUGUAUAAAAGUCGUGAGAAUAGAACUUUUGGUAAAACAAAAGUCGCGGGCUUAUUUAGAAAAAAGAAAAAAUUACAUUCUAUUUUCCAAUUACUAUGGUCAGCCUUAACACAUGCCGGUCUUUUUCUCCUCUACUUUCUAGAAAUUUUGGUUUCACUAUAAAAACUCGGUAUAUAACAAACUUAUGAGUGUUCUUGCAUUACCAAUCCAACUAAGCACACGCUUACAAUCUAAAAUACUCUCAUCUCAUGGAAAGAGUUCAUUCUCUCAGGAUGAUGAGCAUAUUUCUCCUACUCCAUUGUUUGAUUAUUAUUUCCUUAUUUAUCGCAGCAACAACAGCCAACACAAGUUCUAAUAUCACAGACCGAGAUGCUCUGUUAGCCCUGAAAGCUCACAUAACUCAUGAUCCGACCAAUUUCUUGGCCAAGAAUUGGAACACAAGUACUCCUGUCUGUAAUUGGACAGGCGUCGCUUGUGACAUCCAUAGCCAUAGAGUCACAGUCUUGAAUAUUUCAAGCUUAAAUCUCAGAGGCACCAUCCCAUCUCAACUUGGGAAUCUUUCUUCUCUGCAAUCACUCAAUCUCAGUUGUAACCGACUUUCUGGUUCCAUUCCCUCCGCCAUCUUCACCAUAUACACACUGAAAAAUGUUAGUCUCGGUAAAAAUCAGCUCUCUGGGCAAAUUCCUACAAAUAUUUGUAGUAAUCUUCCUUUUCUUGAAUUUCUUUCUUUGUCCCUAAACAUGUUCCAUGGCGGAAUACCGUCCACUCUAUCAAAUUGCACAUAUUUAAGAAUCUUAAGUUUGGCAUACAAUGAUUUCUCGGGAGCCGUACCUAGAGAAAUCGGUAACUUGACCAAACUUAAGGUAUUAUAUAUUGGCGCGAAUAGACUCCAAGGUGCGUAUGGUCAUGGAGUUUAAUUAUAAACAUUGUUCCAUGAGUUGUAAUAUGAAUAAUGUUCCAUAAUACACUUCUGAGCCCGAAAUCCUUUCCUUUCCUCCUUGACUCUCCUAUCGUCGAGCUAAGUGACUCUGUCAUGCCGCUUCAAGUAAUACAAACGUUGAUUAAUUUGCAGGAGAAAUUCCUCGAGAGUUUGGCAAUCUUACCGAAUUGGAGCAGUUUUCGUUACCAACAAACAAUCUCCAAGGUAUGAUUUUAAACUUUUUGCAAUUUUAUUCUAGCUCUGCUUGCUUCUGUAUUCAUUCGUUUGUUCAUUAAUUAUGCUAUGAUUUAUUGUUUUUCUUUCAAAUAGAGAUAAAGCUCCAUGUCUCCCCUCACUCAUUUCGUUCUUUGAUUUAUGCAGAUAAAAAUAAAAAAAAAUGUUUUGUAAUUUUCUUUUGUCAUAUUGCCACUUCCCUUUUAAAGCUCCCAAUUAAGUCGAUGAAAAUGAAUGAUGCUUCAUUCGUAUUCUUGUCAGCCUAAUUCUUAUAUAAUUGAAGAGUAAAUUGUUAUUAUGAUAUUCGUCAGCCAAUAAAUUCUUUUUUUUUUCUCAAAAUAUGAGUGAUCAAAUUGUUUGCGCAUAUAUAAUUUUACUUAAUUUGCAGGAGGUAUUCCACAGGAAUUGGGGAAUCUUGCAAAAUUGGAGAUUUUACAGCUGUUCCAGAAUAACUUGACCGGUAACCAUCUUUACUAUAUAUAUAUGAGACAUCUUCCGCUUCUUAAUUAAAAGAUUUCAAGUCUCUCAUUAUAAAUUCUCAUAUGAGGAUAUGUCAUUACUACAAUCUAACAUUAUUCCCUUUUUUAUUAGAAAUUAGUUUGUGUUAAUUCAAAAUUUUGUAACAUUUAAAAAAAAUUAAAAACACGUGGAAUAAAUCAUCAAUCUUUCUUCUUUAUUGAAUUUGGAUUUCUCAAAAAUUUUCUUGACAAGUAUACUUCACUAAUGAUAUGCAUGUGUGACAACUUCAUAAAAUAUUUUACAUGGAGUCACCAAUUAUCUUUAAAUAAUUGGAGAUGCCAUCAGUGAUACAUAAUUUCUUAACAAGCACCAUAUCAAAAGAAAUCAACAAUUUUAUUAAUCUUCAAGAGUUGCAUCUUCACUGCAAUUAUGACAUAAAUUUUUAGUCAUCAAUCGCAUAAUAUUUUAUCUUAACGGAUGAUGUUCAGUCUUGGAAUUUAUAAUACCUUGAAGGUUAGUAGCUUUGAAAAUAAGAACUGUUCAUUUGCUAAAAAGUUAACUUAGUAUUUAAGUUUUUCAAUUGAAAAUUUUGAAAAAAGUCUUGAGAACUGCCCUCCUUAGUAUUUCAGCUGAUAAAUAUGAAAAAUAGGCUAGAAGAAAUAUUGUUGUGUGUGCUUAUUCUACUUGGGCUUUGGGCUUGAUUACAAGGUCGAGCCUUGAUUACAAGGUCGAGCACUUACACCUGUCAUAAUAAUAGGCUUUUACUGUCACCACACGUUUAAUAAUUUCUUAACCUUCCGAAUUAAGUUAUAGCAAUUUAUAUAUAAAUAACUAUAGCAUACUAAUGCUAGCACAAAGUACUCAUGACUUAGGCUUGUUGUGUUACCUAUUACACACGGUCGAACACUUACAUCUAUUAGAAUAACAAUAGCAUCCGCGGAUCGACUAUCAGUGAUCAAAUUGUUUGCACAUAUGUAAUUUGCAGGACCAAUUCCACGGGAGUUGGGAAAUAUUACAGGAUUGGGGAUCUUAGCGCUGUCUGAUAAUUUUUUAACCGGUAUCAUUCCUUCAUCUAUCUACGAAUUGCUUUUCUCUAUUAAAUUUGGAACUGUCAUUUAAUAACUUAACAGGUAACUUCCCUUACAAAAUGUCUGUGUGACAUGUUUUGCUUCUAAAUUAAAAUAUUUCGCGUCUCUCAUUAUAAAUUCUCAUAGGCGGAUGUAUUGUUACUACUAUUUAACAUUAUCUCAUUUUUUUAUUAGAAAUUAAUCUGUGUUUAUGCAAAAAAAUUUAGCAUCUAAAAAAAGUAUAAAAACACGUGGAAUAAAUCGAAAAUCUUUCUUCAUUACUGAAUUCGGAUUUCUCAAAAAUUAUCAUGAGAACUUCAUAAAAUAUUUUACAUGGAAUCAGUAAUUAUCUUUAAAUAGUUGGAGAUGCCAUCACUAAUAAAUAGUUUCUUAAAAAGCAUCAUACUAAAAGAAUUCAAUAAUUUUAAUAAUCUUAAAGGGUUACAUCUUCACUGCAAUUAUGACAUAAUUUUUUAUCUAAAUAUAUUUUUAGUCAUCAAUCGCAUAAUAUUUUAUCUUGACGGAUGAUGUUCAAUCUUGGAAUUUAAAAUAUCUUGAAGGUUAGUAGCUAUGAAAAUUAGAAAAUUUUUAUUUGCUAAAAAAUUAACUUAGUAUUUAAGCUUUUCAAUUGGAAAAUUUGAAAUAAAUGUUGAGAACUGGCCCUCCUUAGUAUUUCAGCGGAUAAAUAUGGAAAAUAGGAUAGAAAAAAUUAUUUUACUGAAAUAAUAGUUAAAAAUAGAGGAGAAGUACAGUACUCAUGACUUAGGCUUGCUGUGUACUUUUUUUUACUUGGGGUUCGGGCUUGAUUACACACGGUCGAAUACUUACACAACUCCCCCACAUAGGGUUUUACUUUCAUCCCACAUUUGAUAAUUUCUUAACCUUCCCAAUUAGAUUAUAGCAAUUUAUAAAUAAAUAAAUAACUAAAGCAUACUAAAGCUAGCAUUGAUGGAUGGAUGAGUGGUGUCAAAAGUGUAUCUGUUUUUAUGUAUUAUUGUUCCCUGAUACAAAUCUAAAUAAUGGAAAAUAUAAAUUUAAUACUUUAUUUAAUACUCUGUUAACAUUUUAUCUAUAUAUAAUAAUUAAACUGAAACUCGUACUUAAAAAAAUUUUGGUUACGCAUAUUCAUUUCAUGAUAAAAAAAUGUCUAUUUACACUAAUUUACCAUUAUCAAUAAAAUGCUUUGAGACAAAUAAUCUAAUUUAUAUUAGUAUAUUUAAAAUACUUGCAUUUAUUAUAUUUUUGAAAAAAAAUUAUUUGCAAUUAUUUUAAACCUUUGAAUUCAAAUUUUCUUAGUUAUUAAAGUCAAAGGGUAUAAAUGUAUAAUAGUCAAAAAACAGAUUUGUAUGAUCAUUUUUCAAUGUAUAAAUUUUCUUAGUUAGUAGGAAAUUAAAAAUUGUUGAUUUACUCAUAAAUAAAUUUAGUGUUUAGCAUUUCAAUUUUGGAAAACUUGAACUAAAUGUUGAUAACUUCGAAUCCAUCGAGCCAAGUUUCGCUUCCUUGACACACAGACCCAUUCGAAUUGAGUUUCCAAGUGCUUAGAAAAAGCAUUUUCUUUUCCAUGUCACUAUAAUUUAUUCACAAAAGAGUUGAUUAGCAUCGAUGUUGCUGCAGAGUCUGAGACCAUGUUAGUAGGAGAAAUUUGAAAAGAAAUUAUUUUACUAAAUUAACUUAUUUUAUCUUGCUGUAACUGAAAUACUACCUUUUUUUUUUUUUUUUGUUAUCACUGGGGCUUGAUUUACUUUAAUAAUAGCAGCCACAAGCUUAGGCUUUUUUUACUUUUCACCACACAAUUUGAUCUUUUAAUUCAUUUUAACCACAUAAUCUAUCUAUCUCACACCUAUUGCUUACUUAAAUCGCAUACAUAUUUUACCUUACUAAUUUUUACAAACAUUAGUGAAAUAUAUUUUAUUACAUUUCGCUUGUAACUGCUCUAGUUGUGCACUAUUAAUACUUAACCCUCCCUUUUAAUUUACCGUGCAAUCUAUCAACCACUUAAAUUACAUAUAUAUUUUAUCUAUAUAUUUUUCCCGAAAAAAAAUAUAAAAAUAACAGAAAAAGAAUAUGUGUAGCAAUUUGUAUGGAACUAACAAAGCAUUGACGGUGUGUAGCCUUUCAAUACUUCAUGAGUGGCUUUUCUUGUGUGUUAGUACUAGUAAUAAUUGUGUAGUGUAUAAAUGACCUUUUAUUAUUAAAGCGCGUCCGUUGUUAGAUAUUAUUUAUUAUUUGAAAAAUAAUCUGAAUAUAAUUCUUUUCAAAAUACAGGGGAGAUACCAACUGAAAUCAGUAAUCUCCGUAAUCUGGAGGAGUUGGACCUUGCUCGAAACAAAUUAGUUGGUAUUGUCCCAGCUGCAAUCUUCAAUGUGUCAACACUCCAGCAUCUUGGUCUUCAAGAUAAUUCUCUCUUGGGAUGUCUUUCGUCCAUCGGAGACGUCCGACUUCCAAAUCUUGAAGGGCUUUAUUUGUCGGGUAAUAAUUUCAGUGGCACAAUUCCUAGAUUCAUCUUUAAUGCUUCUAAGCUCUUUAAGCUAUCGUUGCAAAGGAACUCACUCUUUGGUUUUAUUCCCAACACAUUUGGCAACUUAAGAAACCUUAAGUGGCUGUCUUUAUAUGAUAAUUAUUUGACAUCUUCAACUCCAGAAUUGAGCUUUCUAUCCUCGUUGUCAAAUUCCAAGUCUUUAACAUUUAUUGACUUAUCAAAUAAUCCACUAGAUAGCGUUCUUCCAAAGACAUUUGUCGGUAAUGUUUCUCAUUCUUUGGAAUUCUUUGUCAUGUCGUAUUGUAACAUUAGUGGCGUCAUCCCUGAAGAGAUCACCAACUUGACCAAAUUGACAACCAUUAUUUUAGGAGGCAAUAAAUUGAAUGGAUCAAUUCCAAUUACUCUCAGCAAGUUACAAAAGCUUCAAUAUUUGGGUCUUGACGAUAACAAAUUAGAAGGAUCAAUCCCAGACAGUAUUUGUCGUUUAGCUGAACUGUAUGAUUUGGAGUUGGGUGGUAAUAAGCUAUCUGGAUCAAUCCCUGCAUGCUUCAGUAAUCUGGCUUCUCUGAGGACACUGUCGUUGGAUUCCAAUGAGUUAACUUAUAUUCCCUUAACUUUUUGGAACCUUAAGGAUAUCUUGUACCUCAACUUUUCAUCAAAUUUUUUGAUUGGUCCACUCCCAUUAGAGGUUGGAAAUUUGAAGGUUUUAGUUGGAAUUGAUUUUUCGAUGAAUAAUUUUUCAGGCGUUAUCCCAACAGAAAUUGGAGGCCUACAAAAUCUAGAAUAUCUCUUCUUAGGAUAUAACAGAUUGCAAGGAUCGAUUCCUGAUUCAUUCGGUGAUUUGAUAAGCUUGAAAUCAUUGAAUUUGUCUAAUAAUAAUCUCUCUGGGGCUAUUCCUGCAUCUUUUAGAGAAACUCUUAUAUCUUGAAGAUCUAAAUCUUUCUUUCAACAAACUAGAAGGAGAAAUUCCUAGGGGAGGGUCUUUUGGAAACUUCUCAGCUGAAUCAUUUGAGGGAAAUGAAUUAUUAUGUGGUUCACCCAAUUUACAAGUCCCGCCAUGUAAAACUAGCAUCCACCCCACAUCAUCAAAAAAAUUCUCUUCUCCUGGGGAUCGUCUUGCCAUUGAGUACUACAUUUAUGAUAGUAGUCAUUUUGUUGAUCCUAAGAUAUCGACAGAGAGGAAAACGACCAUCGAAUGAUGCUAAUAUACCACUAGUAGCAACAUGGAGAAUGUUUUCAUACCUAGAACUCUGUCGAGCAACAGACGAAUUCAGUGAAAAUAAUCUAAUUGGCAAAGGUGGUUUUGGCUCUGUUUACAAAGCAAGACUUGGGGACGGGAUGGAGGUUGCAGUGAAGGUUUUCAAUUUGCAAUGUGGAAGAGCAUUUAAGAGUUUCGAUAUUGAAUGUGAAAUGAUGAAAAGUAUUCGCCAUCGAAACCUUAUCAAAGUUAUUAGCAGUUGUUCAAAUGAAGAGUUUAAAGCGUUGGUAUUAGAAUACAUGCCUCAUGGAAGUUUGGAGAAGUAUUUGUAUUCAAGUAACUGCAUUUUGGAUAUUUUUCAAAGAUUGAACAUAAUGAUAGAUGUUGCAUCAGCUUUGGAAUAUCUGCACUUUGGUCAUUCAGCUCCAAUAAUUCACUGUGACUUAAAGCCCAGCAAUGUAUUGUUAGACGAUAAUAUGGUUGCUCAUUUGAGUGAUUUUAGCAUCGCAAAAUUGCUAACAGGAGAAGAUCAAUCUAUGACUCAUACACAAACACUUGCAACAAUAGGCUAUAUGGCACCAGGUUUGUUUAAUAUAAGUUAUUUAUAUUUCAUGAUCUUGAUUAGAUGAGGAAUUAUUAUUAAUGAUAUAUCUUACUAUGUAAUUGUUGCAAUUCAUAGAGUAUGGAAGAGAAGGACGAGUAUCCGCAAAUGGAGAUGUUUAUAGCUUUGGGAUUAUGUUAAUGGAAACAUUUACUGGGAAGAAACCCACAGAUGAAAUGUUUAAUGGAGAAAUGACAUUAAAGCAUUGGGUUAAUGAUUGGCUACCCAUUUCCACUAUGGAAGUUGUUGAUGCUAAUUUGCUAAGUCAGGAGGAUACAUUUUGUUGCAAAAGAGCAAUGUGUGUCAUUUGUCUUCAAUUUAGCUAUGAAGUGCACUGUGGAAUCCCCUGAGCAAAGAAUCAAUGCAAAAGAAAUUGUAGCAAAACUCUUAAAAUUAGAGACUCAUUACUUAGAAAUGUUGGAGGCAGAUGUAUAAGACAAUCAAAUUUAAAUUGAUUCUGCCCCUCCUUCAUUGCUUGCUAUCCUUUUCAGAGACUUGAACAGUUAUCCUCCAUAGAAGUUUUGCUGAUAUGUUUUGUUAUUGCUCUUGCUCAUGUUUAUUUCUCUCUUUCUUUAAUUUGCAUGCGUGCAUUUUAGUUCUCUUCCAUGUUUGUGUUGGUUUAUAUGUAGUUUGUUUUUGGGAUAUGGUUUAUUAUGUCCUCACCCUAAUUAGAUGUAUCCUUUUGAUUUUUAUCAAUAAAGCUUCGCUAGUACUAUCGAGGUUAAUCGAAAGAAAAUUUUCAAUUGAUUUUCUUUUCUUUGACUAUAAUGGAAAUUCUAAUCUUUAUAGUGAAUAACUUCAAUAAUAGAGUGUAAGAGUAUUAGUAGUUGUGGUUGUUUUCUGAACUUGGAGUUAGAGUAGUUUAACAGCAACAAAUAGGUCUCUUGUAUUAUAGGCAAAAUUCUUUUCAUUAAUCUUAUUUGUCUACAUUUUCUCCUAUUUUCUUCUUUAAUCUUCGCUCAAGGUUUCAUGCUUCCAUUUUGACAUGUGAGAUUGUUUGUCAUCCAUUUGCUAAAAUGGAUAUGAGAGGAGCUUUCAAUCAUUACCUCCACCAAAAUCCUUACAAUGCAACUUUUAAAUUUAUUUUUUAAAAUACGUUCAGUUAAUUUAUAAAAAAUAAAUCCAUUUGUUAAAAUUAAUCUUUUUCUCAUAAAUUGCAACCUAAAAAAUAUAUUUCUUUUAAGUUUUAUUUUAAAAUACAUACAAGUUCUAAACUAUUAAUUAUUUUUUCUUAUUAUAUAGUUUAUAUUUCCAUAACUCUAAACUCCUAUAAUUUUAAAAAAUAUAUUUUUAAUUUAAAAUAUGAAUAAAAUAUAGAAUGGAGUGGGUAUACAAGUUUUGUAAAAGAAUAAUUCAUUUAAGUAUUUAGCUGAAUUUUAAUUUAAAUAAGAAAUAAUUAAUUUAUUUUUUAUUAGUUAAGUAAUUUUUAAUUGAAAANNNNNNNNNNNNNNNNNNNNNNNNNNNNNNNNNNNNNNNNNNNNNNNNNNNNNNNNNNNNNNNNNNNNNNNNNNNNNNNNNNNNNNNNNNNNNNNNNNNNNNNNNNNNNNNNNNNNNNNNNNNNNNNNNNNNNNNNNNNNNNNNNNNNNNNNNNNNNNNNNNNNNNNNNNNNNNNNNNNNNNNNNNNNNNNNNNNNNNNNNNNNNNNNNNNNNNNNNNNNNNNNNNNNNNNNNNNNNNNNNNNNNNNNNNNNNNNNNNNNNNNNNNNNNNNNNNNNNNNNNNNNNNNNNNNNNNNNNNNNGAAAACUUGAAUAGAAAUACUCCAAUGUAAUUUUACACAUGCAAAUUAUGAACCAGUGAUCUUUAGAGCAUCAUAAAAUUAUUUUAACACAAUUAGUUAGUUUGAAAAAUUGCCAAUAAUGUUUAAAGUGGGAUUGAAAAGAUUAUACUAAAAAUAUAAGACAUGAUAUCAUUUAAGAGCUUACAGAUUAUGAGAAAUAUAUUGAUCUUACAAAUAAUAUAAAAUAUGUCAAUUAGACUGAGUCUAUGCAAUAAAAGUUUCAAAUUAAAAAAUAAACCUUUAUUUUCUUUUAAUCAUUAAUGUGAUCUUAAUUAUUAAAGUCAUUCAAUGUCCAUUACUUAUUUAUUUUUUUAAUUAUUUAAAUGACAUUGAAAACUCUACUCAAUAUUAAUUCAUUCUAGUGUUUUGUUUUAAAGUAAUCGGAAACUACAAAUGAAACAAAUGCUUGAAAUCACAAAUGGCCUAAAAUUAGAUUUUUAUUUCUUAAUGUUGUAGUGACUUUGAUCUUGAUAUUGAAAAUUUAUUUGUAACUUAUAUAAAGGCCUCGAUUUUAUCAUAAUUGAUUAGUAAGGCUAUGUACGGGAGCAUGGAUAAAUUUUGAGAUUGGAUUAUAUUUUUGGAACUAAAAAAUUAAUUUCAUCCAAUGUUAUGUAUAGCUGUUGGGACUAGCAAAUUAGUCUAAAAUUAUUGAAAUUAUUAGUCUUUUAAAUUAUAAUUUUUUCGUUCCCACUUUAAAAACAAAAAAUAUUUUGGUGGAAAACUGUACAAUGAUUAAAAACAAAAAAUUAUCAUUUUCCAAUGUUUACAAAGAAAACAAGAGACAUUUUAUUUCACUUUUACGCUCGGGCCUCACUAUCUUAACUUUUGUAACAUAGUGUAAUAAAUUACGUGGGCCCAUUUAAUAAAGAAAUAAUCUAAUAAAUAAACUAAUAUAACAAAUAUUUAAAAAUAAUAGCAAUAGUUUAUUCCAUACCUUGCAGCUUAACUACUUAAUAGAUUACCCAAAUUGUUUUAAAUAAAAAGUAAUAUCAUAUAAUUAUUAUACUAAAUUAUUACAUUGUUCGACCAAUAUGCAGUUAUUUAAAAAUUAUUACAAAUUUUCAUAUAUUAAUGAAAAUAUUUCAAUAAUAAAGUUACUUCUUGACAGCUAAUAUAAAUAAAUAUAUGAUAAUUAUGAAAUAAUUUAAAAUUUUCUCAAUUAAUAUUAUCUUAUAACUACAAUUUAUUUACAUAAUUAAAAGUUUUUAAGAAAUCAUAAAAUAUCAUCGUACCUAUAUGCAUUUAUAAUAAUAUAUAAUACAUCAUAAUAUAAUAGCUAAAUAGAUAAAUUAUUAAUGAUAUAAAAUAUAUAUUUAUAUUCACUGUAUUAUAUUAUUCUUUCAUAAUUGUUUCAUUAAAUAAUUCCCUAUUCUCUCUCUUUUUGUCUUCAUUUUUUCAGAUAAGCAACCAAAAAUUUUUUUUUUAUUUUAUUUUCAAGUACUGUUUUUAAAAUAAGGUACCAAACAUGUUUUUAUUUUUAAUAAAAACUAAUCAUUCUUAUUUCAUAAAAUAAAUUCAAAAACACCAUUUAAAAAAUAAUACCAAAUGCACCCUUAGAAACUAUGAGAAAUAUACUGAUUUUGCAAAUAUAUUUAAUACGUCGAUUAGACUGAAUCUUUGGAAUAAAAAUUUCAAAUUAAAUAAUAAACCCUUAGUUUCCUUUUAAUCGUAAUUAUAAUCUUAAUUAUUAAAGACAUUUUAUUUUGUGCUUGUCUUUUUUUAUUCACUCUUUUUUUAAUGAAAAAUAUUGCUCUGCAUGCAAGUCUUUGGUCGCGGGCCUAGGCGUCCCAAACAUCCAGCUGACAGCGACGUUUCCACUUUGAUUAUCCGCACUUCCCAGAAGUCGCAAGGAAAGACUUAUUCGAGUAGUUUGAUUGGUUUGAAGAUUCAUGAGACUGCUUUUCACUAGAAUUCCACGGCCUCAUUCAUUUUUUUUUUUAAUAAUCUAAAUGACAUCGAACACUCUACUCAAUAUAAAUUUUAUUCGAAUGUUCUGUUUCAACCUAAUCGGAAAUUACAAAUGAAACAAAUGCUUGCCAUCACAAACGGCCUAAAUGGGAUUUUUGUUUUUUAAAUGUUGCAAUGACUUUGAUCCUGAUGUUGAAAAUUUAUAAUGGCUUCAAUUUUAUCAUAAUUGGUUUAUAAUGCUCUGUUAGGAAGCAUGGAUAAACUGUUGGAUUAGAUUAGAUUUUAGGACUAAAAAUUAAUUUCAUCCAAUGUCAUAUUUAGCUGUCGUGACUAAUAAAUUAGUCCAAAAUUAAGAUAAGAUUUAUAAUAUUAAAUGAAAUAUUUUUGUUCUCUUUAUCACUCUUUUCUUUUUCAUUUAAAUUAAAUAUAAACAAUAAUUUCAUAAUUUUUUGUAGAAUUUUAUAUUAUACUAAAUAUCGAAAUUCUAUUCAAUAAUUUAUUUUAAGUUGUAUUUACUUAAGAUUAGUUAUCUAAGUUUAAUACAAUAAUUUAUUUGAAUAGUAUUGAAUAUUAAACAUUAAAAAUUAUUCAAUUAUUUGUUUAAAAUAAAAUUGAAUAUUAAAUAUUGAAAUAAUUAUUUAAUAGCAUAUUAUAUUAUUAAUAUAAUUAUUUAAUAGUCCAAUCUAAUGUUGUACAAAACAUGCACAAUACUAUAUAUAAUCCAAACUAAUCCAAUUCAAUCUUAAUUAAUAUUCAAUCCAAUCUUGUGAGUCAAAAUUGGCCUAAGGUUACCAAUUGUGCAAUAAUCUUUAUAGCCCGUUUCCCAGCCACACACCCUCCCUUUUCUAUUUGUAACUCGUAAUCUAACAAAUGACAUUAUACGGCUGUUACUUGCUAGUUUUUAUAAGGUGGCCAAGGCCUUUUAUCAAAACACUAUAGGAUCAACUAGUACAAAAUGAAUUCAUUUGGGAUGCAUUUAACGUACUGUGUUAGCUAUAUCGUAUUAUAAUGUAUUGCAUUAACAUGCAUUAUAUUAAGUUAUAAUGUUAUACUUUGAUAUAGUAUAAAUUGUAUUAUAUAAGGUAAUGUUUUAUAUUAAUGUUAAAACUAAAUUAAUAUUAUUUAAAUUUAUUAAUAUUUUAGGAUUUUUAUUAAUUUUUUAAAUUAAGUAUUAAAAAUUAUUUUAUAUAUAUAAAUGAGUUAAUAAUAUACUAUUAUUAAAUGAUAAAAUAUUAAAGUACUAUGUUAUAUUAUUAAAAAUUAUUAUAUUAUAAUAUAAUUUAUUUCUAGAUAUUAAUUAUUAUAAUAUAGUAUAAUCAUAUAAUAAUAUAAUAUAAGUUAAUAUUAUAUUGUAAAAAUAUAUAUUGUACAAUUAUUUAAUGUAAUAUAAAUUAAUUUAUACUAUAAUAUUAAAUUAUAAAUUUAUUUUUAUUAAUUAAAUAAAAUUAAAAUACUUUUAUGUAUUUAAACUAAAAUAAUUAAAAUAAUUUAUGUAAUAGAAGUAUGAUAAUGUAUUAUCAUUUUCUCAUUAAAUAUUUUUAGGUUUAUUAAUUUGUUAAAUUAUUAUUUAAAUUAAAAUUAAUUGUUUAAAUGUAAUAUAAAUAUAAUGAAUGUUUAAUAAAUCUACUCCUAUGGAUCUAUUUUAUAACUUUUUAUUCUAUAAAUCACGCUUAUAAUGUAGUUGUAUAAUAGAAACUGGAUAUUUAAUGGAAGCAAAAUCGCGCACGGUUUGUGGGUUAAAAGGGUCAGGAUUCUCUCCUGAUCUGAUCUUCAUUUGAGCAAAUUCUGUUAAUAUGAUUAGUGGUUAAUAAGUUAAAAAGAAAAAGUAGUUAAAUCAUAAUCAUCCAAUUUGAUACACUGAUUUUGUCCUCUUUAAUAUUUUUCUAGAUGCUUCCAUGUCAUAAUCUCAUUGGUCCAGUUUUCUUCACUGCUUAGAUUCAACUUCAAAAAUCAAUUUGAAGCAAACACAACAAUUCAACAAAUAUAAUAAGCGUCGAUAAGCUUGUGGCUGACUGGCUGUGGCCAAGCAAAACGUACCUCAUGGUUACCGAAUCAUAUCUUACGUCAGAAUUUUUAACUUAAACUAUGUUACCGUUCCACGUGUCACUCUCCAAAAAAUCCCCAAACUUUUAUCGUAUUUCCAAAGAAACCCCUAACAAAUCAAGGUAAUUACCGUCACUCUGCUCAUAUAAAUAGUCUCCUUGAUUCAACUGAUGUAGGGAUGGCAAUGGGGUGGGGUGGGGUGGGGGUGCGGAAUGGGGUACAUUAAAAUUUUUUGUCUCCAUUCCCCACCUAUUCCCUAAUAAAUUUAGUGGGUUGGGGAUGGGGAAUCCCACAUGGGGAAUGGUUUCCCCAUCCUCACCCAUUCCCCAUUUACCUAUUUUAUAGUAAAUAUAAAUAUAUUAUUUCAGUAAAUUAAAAAUUAGAAACUUAAAAUAAAUCAUCACCAUAUUAUGAAGUAUUUAUUUUUUUAAAAAAAAAUCUCUAAAAGUUUGAAACAAUAUCUUAAAAUGAUAUUAAAAGUGAAAAAUAUUUAAAGACAGCAACACCUUAAAAGAGAAAAGAAAACAUAAUAAUGUUUUAGAAUUGAAAAAUAUUGUAGGAUUUUCUUUUAUUCAUAUCUUGUUUAUAUUACAUAAAAAUUUAAAAAAAUUAUUAAUUGACAUUAUAGUUGAUAAAAUAAAAAUUACUAAAUAAGAAUUAAAAAUAUAUUUAUAUAUAAUGGGGAUUGGGGUAGGGGUGGGGUGGGGAGUGCAAUACCAAACCCCACUCCGUUAAUAAUUUGAGAAUUAUUUUUCCCCACUCCCACCCCAUUCCCCAAAAAUUAUUAAAAAAAAUUUCUAUUUGGGGUGGGGCUUCAUGGGGUCUCAAACCCGUGGAGGAUUUUGCCAUCCCUAAACUGAUGACAUAUCCUCAUAUAAAUAAAGACUAUGACGACAUUUAUUUAGAAGGGAAAAUUAUAAAAAAAAAUCUCCUCUUUCUCUGAAAAUAUAGGGUUUCUCAAGAAUAGCUAAACCUACAUCCCUAUCCUGCAAACUCUCAAUUUAACCUCUCUAGGGUUUCGAUUGAAGAGCAUUCGCUUCAAAAUUUAUUAUUCUUUUAGUGGAUUUUGGUUGUCGCGUAUCCUUCAGUUGUUAGUUCGGUUCGGAUAAUAAUUUGGAAUUCAGUUUCAAGGGUUAAGUGCAAUUUCUAAUUUUUUUAUACAAUUUAAAUUGAAAUUGAUAGAACAAUUGGGCGGUUAAUAAUUAAUUGAUGGCUAGUGAUACUACAACGGCGCCCGCGCCCGCAGCUCCGGAAAAAGUGGAGGCGGUGGAGGAGUAUGAUAGCAAUCCAGAUGAAGUGAAACGCUGUCUUGGGACACGCAGAAGGGAAGCCAGCGAUGACGAGGACGUGCAAUACCAAACCCCACUCCGUUAAUAAUUUGAGAAUUAUUUUUCCCCCACUCCCCACCCCAUUCCCCAAAAAUUAUUAAAAAAAUUUUCUAUUUGGGGUGGGGCUUCAUGGGGUCUCAAACCCGUGGAGGAUUUUGCCAUCCCUAAACUGAUGACAUAUCCUCAUAUAAAUAAAGACUAUGACGACAUUUAUUUAGAAGGGAAAAUUAUAAAAAAAAUCUCCUCUUUCUCUAAAAAUAUAGGGUUUCUCAAGAAUAGCUAAACCUACAUCCCUAUCCUGCAAAAUCUCAAUUUAACCUCUCUAGGGUUUCGAUUGAAGAGCAUUCGCUUCAAAAUUUAUUAUUCUUUUAGUGGAUUUUGGUUGUCGCGUAUCCUUCAGUUGUUAGUUCGGUUCGGAUAAUAAUUUGGAAUUCAGUUUCAAGGGUUAAGUGCAAUUUCUAAUUUUUUAUACAAUUUAAAUUGAAAUUGAUAGAACAAUUGGGCGGUUAAUAAUUAAUUGAUGGCUAGUGAUACUACAACGGCGCCCGCGCCCGCAGCUCCGGAAAAAGCGGAGGCGGUGGAGGAGUAUGAUAGCAAUCCAGAUGAAGUGAAACGCUGUCUUGGGACACGCAGAAGGGAAGCCAGCGAUGACGAGGACGUGGAGGAGGAGAGAGAUUGGGACACGCAGAAGGGAACCCAGCGAUGACGAGGACGUGCAAUACCAAACCCCACUCCGUUAAUAAUUUGAGAAUUAUUUUUCCCCCACUCCCCACCCCAUUCCCCAAAAAUUAUUAAAAAAAUUUUCUAUUUGGGGUGGGGCUUCAUGGGGUCUCAAACCCGUGGAGGAUUUUGCCAUCCUAAACUGAUGACAUAUCCUCAUAUAAAUAAAGACUAUGACGACAUUUAUUUAGAAGGGAAAAUUAUAAAAAAAUCUCCUCUUUCUCUGAAAAUAUAGGGUUUCUCAAGAAUAGCUAAACCUACAUCCCUAUCCUGCAAAAUCUCAAUUUAACCUCUCUAGGGUUUCGAUUGAAGAGCAUUCGCUUCAAAAUUUAUUAUUCUUUUAGUGGAUUUUGGUUGUCGCGUAUCCUUCAGUUGUUAGUUCGGUUCGAUAAUAAUUUGGAAUUCAGUUUCAAGGGUUAAGUGGCAAUUUCUAAUUUUUUAUACAAUUUAAAUUGAAAUUGAUAGAAACAAUUGGGCGGUUAAUAAUUAAUUGAUGGCUAGUGAUACUACAACGGCGCCCGCGCCGCAGCUCCGGAAAAAGUGGAGGCGGUGGAGGAGUAUGAUAGCAAUCCAGAUGAAGUGAAACGCUGUCUUGGGACACGCAGAGGGAAGCCAGCGAUGACGAGGACGUGCAAUACCAAACCCCACUCCGUUAAUAAUUUGAGAAUUAUUUUUCCCCACUCCCCACCCCAUCCCCAAAAAUUAUUAAAAAAAUUUUCUAUUUGGGUGGGGCUUCAUGGGGUCUCAAACCGUGGAGGAUUUUUUUGCCAUCCCUAAACUGAUGACAUAUCCUCUAUAUAAAUAAAGACUAUGACGACAUUUAUUUAGAAGGGAAAAUUAUAAAAAAAAUCUCCUCUUUCUCUAAAAAUAUAGGGUUUCUCAAGAAUAGCUAAACCUACAUCCCUAUCCUGCAAAAUCUCAAUUUAACCUCUCUAGGGUUUCGAUUGAAGAGCAUUCGCUUCAAAAUUUAUUAUUCUUUUAGUGGAUUUUGGUUGUCGCGUAUCCUUUCAGUUGUUAGGUUCGGUUUCGGAUAAUAAUUUGGAAUUCAGUUUCAAGGGUUAAGUGCAAUUUCUAAUUUUUUUAUACAAUUUAAAUUGAAAUUGAUAGAACAAUUGGGCGGUUAAUAAUUAAUUGAUGGCUAGUUGAUACUACAACGGCGCCCGCGCCCGCAGCUCCGGAAAAAGCGGAGCGGUGGAGGAGUAUGAUAGCAAUCCAGAUGAAGUGAAACGCUGUCUUGGGACACGCAGAAGGGAAGCCAGCGAUGACGAGGACGUGCAAUACCAAACCCCACUCCGUUAAUAAAUUGAGAAUUAUUUUUCCCCCACUCCCCACCCCAUUCCCCAAAAAUUAUUAAAAAAAUUUUCUAUUUGGGGUGGGGCUUCAUGGGGUCUCAAACCCGUGGAGGAUUUUGCCAUCCCUAAACUGAUGACAUAUCCUCAUAUAAAUAAAGACUAUGACGACAUUUAUUUAGAAGGGAAAAUUAUAAAAAAAAUCUCCUCUUUCUCUAAAAAUAUAGGGUUUCUCAAGAAUAGCUAAACCUACAUCCCUAUCCUGCAAAAUCUCAAUUUAACCUCUCUAGGGUUUCGAUUGAAGAGCAUUCGCUUCAAAAUUUAUUAUUCUUUUAGUGGAUUUUGGUUGUCGCGUAUCCUUCAGUUGUUAGUUCGGUUCGGAUAAUAAUUUGGAAUUCAGUUUCAAGGGUUAAGUGCAAUUUCUAAUUUUUUAUACAAUUUAAAUUGAAAUUGAUAGAACAAUUGGGCGGUUAAUAAUUAAUUGAUGGCUAGUGAUACUACAACGGCGCCGCGCCCGCAGCUCCGGAAAAGCGGAGGCGGUGGAGGAGUAUGAUAGCAAUCCAGAUGAAGUGAAACGCUGUCUUGGGACACGCAGAAGGGAAGCCAGCGAUGACGAGGACGUGGAGGAGAGAGAGAUUGGGACACGCAGAAGGGAACCCAGCGAUGACGAGGACGUGCAAUACCAAACCCCACUCCGUUAAUAAUUUGAGAAUUAUUUUUCCCCCACUCCCCACCCCAUUCCCCAAAAAUUAUUAAAAAAAUUUUCUAUUUGGGGUGGGGCUUCAUGGGGUCUCAAACCCGUGGAGGAUUUUGCCAUCCCUAAACUGAUGACAUAUCCUCAUAUAAAUAAAGACUAUGACGACAUUUAUUUAGAAGGGAAAAUUAUAAAAAAAAUCUCCUCUUUCUCUGAAAAUAUAGGGUUUCUCAAGAAUAGCUAAACCUACAUCCCUAUCCUGCAAAAUCUCAAUUUAACUCUCUAGGGUUUCGAUUGAAGAGCAUUCGCUUCAAAAUUUAUUAUUCUUUUAGUGGAUUUUGGUUGUCGCGUAUCCUUCAGUUGUUAGUUCGGUUCGGAUAAUAAUUUGGAAUUCAGUUUCAAGGGUUAAGUGCAAUUUCUAAUUUUUUUAUACAAUUUAAAUUGAAAUUGAUAGAACAAUUGGGCGGUUAAUAAUUAAUUGAUGGCUAGUGAUACUACAACGGCGCCCGCGCCCGCAGCUCCGGAAAAAGUGGAGGCGGUGGAGGAGUAUGAUAGCAAUCCAGAUGAAGUGAAACGCUGUCUUGGGACACGCAGAAGGGAAGCCAGCGAUGACGAGGACGUGCAAUACCAAACCCCACUCCGUUAAUAAUUUGAGAAUUAUUUUUCCCCCACUCCCCACCCCAUUCCCCAAAAAUUAUUAAAAAAAUUUUCUAUUUGGGGUGGGGCUUCAUGGGGUCUCAAACCCGUGGAGGAUUUUGCCAUCCUAAACUGAUGACAUAUCCUCAUAUAAAUAAAGACUAUGACGACAUUUAUUUAGAAGGGAAAAUUAUAAAAAAAAUCUCCUCUUUCUCUAAAAAUAUAGGGUUUCUCAAGAAUAGCUAAACCUACAUCCCUAUCCUGCAAAAUCUCAAUUUAACCUCUCUAGGGUUUCGAUUGAAGAGCAUUCGCUUCAAAAUUUAUUAUUCUUUUAGUGGAUUUUGGUUGUCGCGUAUCCUUCAGUUGUUAGUUCGGUUCGGAUAAUAAUUUGGAAUUCAGUUUCAAGGGUUAAGUGCAAUUUCUAAUUUUUUAUACAAUUUAAAUUGAAAUUGAUAGAACAAUUGGGCGGUUAAUAAUUAAUUGAUGGCUAGUGAUACUACAACGGCGCCCGCGCCCGCAGCUCCGGAAAAAGCGGAGGCGGUGGAGGAGUAUGAUAGCAAUCCAGAUGAAGUGAAACGCUGUCUUGGGACACGCAGAAGGGAAGCCAGCGAUGACGAGGACGUGGAGGAGGAGAGAGAUUGAGGGCUUCCAAUGGCGAAGUGUCCACAUUCCUGCGGGAGAAGCGGAGGCUGUGGAUGAGUACGAGAGCGAUCCAGAUGAAGUGAAAUACUCUCUUGUGAUGGGCAGAAUGGAAGCAAGCGAUGAUAAGGAGGAGGAGGAUAAAGAAUUUGAGCGUCGAAUGAACCGUAGGGUCCACAUUCAUUCUUACGAUGAAUCUGAUGGCCAAGGUGGUGUCCAGCUGAGUAUGGUGAGGUUGAUGAUGAAGAAGAUGACAGAGAAUUAGAAGAAGAAGAUGAAGAGGGGGAUGUGAUAUGACUUCAUAUCAUUUAAUUUGUAUAACCGUGACGCCAAUCCCAUUGAUCCUGGUCCGACCCGAACGGAUCUUGUUGAAUGAAUUGAUCCAUUGUUGUAUGCCUUACUUCUUAGUGAUUUUUUUCCUACUUGGAGCCGCCUUUGAGUACUCCUGGGAGAUAAAGUGGAAACGUUUUUUAUGGUGAAGAGUGGGGAGUGAAAAGACCAAUUCAGCAGAGAACGACCGCAUGAAUCGGAAUCCAAGAAAGGCUCCACGUUCUCCAAGUGAUUGAUCUUAGCGUAGCGUGCUAGCCGCUGCUUCAUUUCGUAUAGUGAUAACGCUUUCUUAGCGCUCCGCCGCCCCCCCCCCCCCCCCGGCGGCCGCGCCCGGGGUAUAGUAGGGGACUGGUUGCGCGGCUUUCUCUUAUAGGGGUCUAUUUUCCCUUACUUUACUCAACUUGAGUCGGUUAGAGUAUCGCUUUCAUACGGCAAGAGUUAUUGAUUCAAAUCCAAUAGUAGGUAAUAAUGCUGUCAAUGUCGGUUAGAGUAUCCAAGAGUUAUUGAUUCAAACGCAGUUGUCAACCACAUUCGAAUAACCCUUCUGCUACCUUCUAAAAACCCUUGCAUGGGCAUUAAUGCUGGCAUAAUCUCUUUGACUUCCCUUGCAUUUGAAUGAAUGGAUGAGCGUUGCAUUUGAAUGAAUGGAUCAGUGUCAAUGCAGGCUAAGAUUUUCUGGACUUUCAUGGAUGCACAAUAAAUGCUACGUCAAAGGCCUGGUAAGAUGUCAGCAAGCUGGUCGAAGAUAUCAACCUGAUUUGGUGGCUGCAAGAUUUGUUCAUCCAGGACCAUUUUCUUUGACAAUGAGAAAGCCCCAAUGUCUAUAAAUUGAGAACUCACUGAAUUGUAGAGAGAGGGGAAAGUGAAUAACGGGAGAGCCAGUGAAAAGAGAGUGUGGGAAUAUUUGUGCGUAAUUGGGGUUUGGGUGUGAGAUAAAAUAAUCAGAGAGUGGUUGUAAUAAUUUUUUAUAUAGUGAAAAUUUUUGUCUCCUUGUUUUUUGCAGUGGUGGUAAAUUUUGUCUCUAAUAAAGGAGUCUUCCAAGUAAAUUUUGUGUGUUAUGAUUGGGAUAUUCACCAUUUUAGUUUUUUAUUUAUUAUUUGUUUUACAUAUUGCUAGCAAAAAUCUGGGGCGGGAACCGAAAAUUCCCAACAAUUAUUAAUUAUUUUAAACUCUGUUCUGAACAGAGCAUGAAGGGUUUCACUUACCUAGUUACGUUUUUCAUUCUUUCACUUCACUUGAUUUCAUCUUGUCCCUCUCCUUUAUAGAAGUUGCAGAGCUUGGAUCUUUACUCGAACAGUUUCACUGGCUCUAUUUCUGACACAUUGGGCAAGCUGAAGGAAUUGCAAUUCCUGUAUGAUAAUUUCCCCAACUAUUAUUUGAAUAAUUAUUUAAUGCCGUUCAUUCCAGCACUGUUUGGCUGUCAACUUUAUUUUGUUAUUUAUGAGGAGAUUCAUUUCCCACCUGAAGCUAGAAAUUUACGGAUCAAUGACUUUUUUUUUUUCGGGGGCCAAUUGCAGUUUUGAUAACAACUAAAAUCUGUGUGGUCCGGUUACCACAAAGCCUUGCCCCAGAUCCCUGCCAUUUUCUCCUCCACCUCCAUUUGGGGAAAUUACUACUUACUUUUUGCAAGUUUUUCUUGAAAUAUUUAUUUUGAUAAGAAAACCAAUAAUACAUUUUAAGAUUUGGGCUGUUUCAAAGAUUUCGCUUGAUGUCUCUGCUACUGGUUUUCAGCAGAGUGCCCAAAAAUAGUUUUCAGCAGUACAAAAAGUAUAUAUUUUGUACCUUCCAUACAUUUUGCUUUGUUAAUGUUAUUAUUUGAUAACAUGUUUGUCGAGUUGCACAGUGUAUAAAUGCUAUACAAAUACACUCCUUUCAUUUUAUACAACUUUGAUCGAUCAAGUUGUAUCUCUUUGAUAAUAUGUUCAAUCUCCUUUCAUUUUAAACUUCAAUUGAGUUGCUAUCUAUUUAACAUUGGCAAGUCAGAGAGAGGGAUGGGACUGUCCAAUUAAAAUUAAGUUCCAAGUGCCAAUCCCACCAUUGUCGUCUCUUGUUUGCCAAAUUCAAAUUUGAAAAUCUCACCAAGUCAGUAUGGUGAUGUUGUGGGAUUGUCUCGCCUAGGUUUUUAGCCUCAUGACCUCCUUUAUUAGAAAAUGUCUUAAGUGUUCUUACUCAAUGGUAGAAUCAUAAUUUUACUUCAAUGGAAGCCAUAAUGAUUAAAAUAUACUCUUUUGAUUAAUUACUUAUUUGAUGUUGCUCUCUCUACCUUCAUCUCCUUCUUUAUGAAAAAUUUAUUGUAAUACAUGGAAGUAUAUAUUGCAUUGAAUAAAAUGAAAUUGUUCAAAAAUUAACAAAUUCAGCUUUAUUAUAAUCUAAAACAAAGUAAAUAAAAUAAUACCCAUCAUGUAAAAAUUAAAAAAAUAAAAAAUUUUGUACCACUUUGAAUCUAUUUUAAUUUUUUUGGUCAAAUCUCAGAAGCACAAAAUUUGACCAACAAUAAUAGGUAAAAACUAAUAAUCUUAUAAUAAAAAGUAAUAUUUAAAAAUUGAAAAUUAAAUUAUGCUAGUAAUUCCGUAAAAUUAAAAUUUAUCUCCCAAAAUUGAUAAAUACUAUGUCACUUUGUCAAAUUACUUAGGAUAAAAGUUAUGUGGCUAAAAACUUUUAAGAUGAGUUGUAUGCUAAUGGAGAAGGACAAGACACAAAAGAAUUCAAUGAAUGCUACAUCACGCAACAAUGCUUACUCUUAACAAAUUAUUACAAUUUACAAACGUGAUUCAUGAAACUUGACUUUUUUGUCUAAAGAAAGGACUAAAGAAACAUGCUAAGCAACAAAUAAAAAGUUGAUAGGCACUAUUUAAAUAGUAUUAAUAUGGCAACAAAAAACAUGCGAGCAAAGUAGCCUAUUCCUUUAUUCUAUAAAUAGCUCAUUUGAGCUUAGAACCUUUAAAGUGUGUCGUACGUUUCUGUUACUUCCAAUAAAGAUUUUCUCUAUUCCCUUUUCUUCCACUUUCUCUUCCAUUUUCACGAUCCCCAAACACCAUCAAUCCAUGAUUUUCUAGAGUAUUAGCUGUCUAUUUCUACAAACAUAGAAUUGCUGUUUUAAGAAACAAAGUAGUCUGUCCUGUCACCCAUGAUUGCCUCUUUCUUUUCUCCACAAAUCUUUGGUUAAUUUUUAUUUUCCCUCAACUUUUUUCCCCUUUAGCACCAAAAUUGAUUUUUGAUACUUUAUGCAAAAAUUAUGAUGAAAAUGAGUCACUUUAGAACAUCAAUAAAUUUUUUUUUACAUCCAAAAUAACGACAAUUACACUUAGAUCACUCUUAUUUAGUUGAAUUAUAUAUGUAAUAAUGUUGGCUUAACAAAAUAUAAUUCUUGACCGUUGUAAUUACGAGCUGGCAUUCUUUGGUUUUAGUAGUAGGGCUUAUAACGCUGUGCAACAAUUCUUGGUGGCUUCGAAUUAUUAUACGAUCAUUCUCAAUUCUUUACGGUACGUAAUUAAAAAUUCCUAUAUCACAAUUAGAACUUACAAACAAGUCAAAGUGAAUUAAAUCAAACGUAUAAAUUCGAGGUCUAUUACAAACUUCUAAAAAAGAUUUUCUCUGCUCUUUUUUCUUUCACUUUCUCUUCCAUUUUGCCAAUCCCCAAACACCGCCAAUCCUUGAUUUUUUAAGUAUUAGCUGUCAAUUUCUACAAACAUAGAACUGCUGUUUGUUUGUCUAAUUACUUUCAAGAAACAAAACUCUCUGUCAUGUGGUCUCUUCGUUUAUUGGCUUGUGAGCAAAUAAGAUAUUGGGCCGAUGGGCUUAACGUGACAAGUUCUUGAAUUGAAUGGCUCCUCUUUUUUUCAUAAAUCUUUGCUAAACUUUUUUGUUCCCUCAACCUUUUUUGGCCUUUCGCGCUAAAAUUCUUUUUUUGAUACAUUAUGCAAAAAUUAUGAUGAAAAUGAGUUACUUUAGAACAUCAAUAAAUUUUUAUUACAUCUAUAAUAAGACAACUGUAGUGAGAUUUCUCUUAUUUAGUUGAAUUAUAUGUAAUAAAAUUAGUUUAACGAAAUCUAACCCGUCAAUAUUCCAUAUGACAUAAUUAACGUAUUUAAAAAAUCUUAGCUGUUCCGUCGCUUGUUUUACAAUUCUUUUAUAUAUCUUUGAGACUUUCUGCUUCCUGACACAUCAUAUUGUUCUCAAUUCGUCUAAAUUAAUUUUUUCUUCAAACACUGCAGCAACAACCGGUAUAAAAUAGAAUGAACUCAUUUAAUGGGAAUUUUUCUCAUUGGUCUAUUUCUCUUCGCACCUUAGGUUCCUCUAACAAACUUAAAAGAUGUUCCCCAUCCCACGUGUCCCCAAAUCUUCGUAUUUCCAAACAAACCCCUGCCAAAUAGAGAAGAGGAUGGCUUUUAUUGCAACCUGUAUGAACGUUAUGGCCAUAGGACAUUGGAUCAAAAUCAAACCAAUGGAUUGUAAAGCAAAAUUACCAAUUAAAAAUUCAACCAAUUGAAUCGGUUUGGUGUCACUUAAAAAAUAAAUAAUAUAUAAAACAACACAAUUAAAUUCAUUCAGUCAGUAUUUUUCUUUUCUCAUUUUCAAUGAAUGCUUAAUAUGGAAAACAAUCUGUCCCAUUGAGCACUGUUUAAAUCAUUCCCUAGUUUGUUCAACAAGCAAAGAAUAUUCUUAUUCGGCUCGGCAGCCAAUCCGUUAAAAUUUGUAAAAAUUCAUUUAAGUGAUGACUGUGAUAUGACUCGAUCAAUCGUUUAAUUUGUAUAAUUUAUAAAAAUUUGAGCUUCAAGUAAUGUAGAUAGAAUGGUUAAUUAUUUUAAUAUUCAGAUAAAUUGAUAUAUGUCAUUAUAUUAUGAGUGGAUGAAAUAUCCAAUAGAAAAAAAAAAAUGUUUGUAUUCGUCAUUUUUAAUGGGAAUCUAUUUAGUUUAACUUAUCCAUAAAAAUGGUUGCCAGACUUAUCUUGUUUCUCAUUUUGUUUAAUUUUCAUAAAUUUGACUCACGAUUAAUUGUGAGUGAAGAAUUUUUUGAAAAAAAUCUGGUCUUCCAUUUAUUUUGUAGGAUUUAAAAGAUUAAAAAACUUUAAUACAUAUAAUUUUAUGCUCGAAACUAAAUACUCGUAGCAUUGCUGCUUCUAUAAAUAACUCAUUUGUGCUUCCAACUUGUUAUUUGUAUUUUACGUUUUUGUUUCUCUUCAUAAAGAUUUUCUUUUUUUUCUUUUUUCCUUUCACUUUUUCUUCCAUUUUCCCGACUCCCAAACACCACUAAUCCUUGAUUUUCUAGAGUAUUAACUGUCCGUUUCUACGAACAUAGACCUACUGUUUGUCUAAAUACUAUCAAGAAACAAUAUACUCUGUCGCGGGAUCUCUUCGUUUAUUGACUUUUGACUUGUGAACGGGGCUAAUUAAAGGGCAUUCCUUUCUUCAAGAAAGAAUGCAAAGAAAGUACUAUCCAUGAGACACGUUAAAAAUUAUUUUACAUAAAAAAUGAUAAUAAUCAUAAUAAUCGGUUUAGUGUAACCCCGUUAUUACUUAGUGACUGUUCGAUUGUCUUCUCUUUCAUUGACUUCGCAACUGUGACUUCUAAAUUGGGUCAAGGAUCGACAAAAAAUGUUAUAACCUAUAAAGCAUGGAUAAUUAAUUAAUGGGAAUGCACCUCUCAUCUUUACCAUUCUCUUUGUCAUUUUCAUAAUUCAGCUGUUUAUUAAUAAAGUGAAUAAAUUUAUCUUUUAAUAAUAUGUUUCUUGGCUGUUUUUUGUGUAUUUUUGCGUACAAUUUUGUGUGCAAAUAGCAUUAUUCAUUAGUAAUAAGUCUGGAGUGUUCUAAUUUCUUCUAACAAGUAGCUCAUUUUAGCUUAGGACAUGUAACUAGUAUUUUAUGUUUCUGUUAAUCUUUAAUAAAGAUUUUCUCUAUUUUUUUUUUUCCUUUCACUUUCUCUUCCAUUUUCCCCGACUCCCAAACACCACCAAUCCUUGAUUUUCCAGAGCAUUAGCUCUCUAUUUCGACAAAGGCAUAAUUAGUCACGGUCCGAUUGUCUGACUUCUCCGUUGACUCGGUCAAUUCACGACCUUGACCUGCACAGUUGAUACAAACGGACUUCUCCAUUUGAUGUGCACAAAACUUUCUUGGGUCAUUUUGUUUGGUGAUGAUGAAUUGGAUGUCAGUUCAUGAGUUUCAUGAUGAAGGGGACCAAAAACAUUAUUUUAUUAUUUAAAGAAGACUAACAAUUAUUUCGAUGGUCAUUUUAUUAUUAUUUUUUAAAUAUCCAAAUGGUGAAAUUUUAAAGAAUUAAGGUGGUUGACUUCUUUACACAGAAUUACAAAGCAAAACAAUUAAGAAAUUAAAUACUCGUCAUCCAAGUGAGAAGAGAUUGGGUUGUUGAUACAUUAAAUAAAAGAAAAAUCAAUUAAAAGCACAACAAUUCAAUAAUUUCAUUCUCAAUCAUAUCAAAAAUAAAAUUUACUGUACAUUGUUGUUCGGUUCUGUAAAAAAAAAAAAAUUAUUAGGGAUUUGCAGUUUUUUUUAGUGUAAUUCUCGUUAAUUAAAGUUUAGUCUGAAGGGUUAAGCACAUGGAUCAUAAUCAUAGUAUGGCCUAAGGAAGGAGCACAGUUCAUUGGCUGCACUCAGUUUACAGAAUAUUUUGGGAUUCAAGACUGUAGGUUGUUCCGGAUGUAACUUGCAAAGGCUGUUGCUGUGUAACUGUAUGCCAAGCUGGCAAGUGUGCUAUACACAUAUUGUUGAGAUAGCACCAAAGAUUGUAAACUAAUUAGUACUGGAAAAUCCUAUUUGCACAAAAAAAUUGCACAAAAUAAAUAGAAUGAGAAUACUUAUGCAAAAAAAAUAAGAUUAAUAAAGUGGAUAAAUUUAUCUUUUAAUAAAAUAUUUCUAGUCUUUCAGUGUUUUCGUGUAUUUUUGUGUACGUGCAAAUAAUAUUACUCAUGAGUAAUUAGUCUAGAGCGUUGUAAUUUCUUCUAAUAAGUAGCUCAUUUGAGCCUACUACCUGUAACUAUGUUUUAUGUUUCUAUUACUUUCUAAUAAAGAUUUUCUCUGUUUUUGUUUUUUUCCCCCUUUUACCUUCUCUUCCAUUUUUCCAACUCCCAAACACUACUAAUCCUUGUUUUUUGUUUUUUUUCCCCCUUUGAACGGGGCUAAUGUUGGUCUAACUGCUUUCAUGAAACAACGUACUCUGCGGUUAAAAUUAAUUGAUCAUUUUAUUUGGUGAUAAUGAAUUGGUUGUCAAGUCAUGAGUUUGAUGAUGCACAGGACGAAAAACGUUAUUUUAUUAUUUAAAAUAAUACUAACAAUUAUGUUGAUGGUCAUUUUAUUUUUUAAAAUAUGCAAAUGGAAUUUUACCGAACUAUAGUGCUUGACUUCUUCAUACAGUGAUUGACUUCUUUGUACAGAAUUAUAAAGUGAAAGAAAUUACGAAAUUAAAUACUUUUCGUGCGAGUGGGGGAGAAAUUCUGUAUAUUUAUGAAAUAACUAUUGAUUUCACUUUGGUAAUUACUUUUUAAAAGUAACGUAAACAUUUUUAUUUUAUUUGCAUUCGAGCUUUCUUUCUUUUUCGCUGGCCUUUACUCUUGACCGUAUUUCAUGGGGCAUAUUCAAUCUGAAUCCUCUGCAAGUUUGUGGCAGUUUGGUUAGUUACGAACUUUCGUAGAAUUGCAUGAAGAUGACGCUUUUAUAGACAUUUUUUCUUGUUUCUUUUUUUCUUCAGUGAACAUAUUAAAAAUUUAGUUUUUUGUCAUCAUGACUAGAACAGUAAAAUGAAAAUAGUCCUCAUUUUGACGAUUGACAAAAAUGUUGUACUCAUACCGAUUAAUGGGCCACUGAUUUCGUCUUCUUAAAAAAUUAUUAUUGCAGUGAGGUAAUUGGAUCGAAGAUGAACGAUUUCCAUAUUUGCCUAACCUAAGUGAUAAGAAUUUUCAUAUGAGACAUAAUCUGGUUUAUUUUGCUUGACUGUAUUCCAAGAGACAGUCAUAUCUACUAAAUGAAACAAAUCUUGCUUUUCUAGAGAAAUAAUGCAAUAUGCAAUUAUGCAUGAAGGUGCGCAUCCAUGUGAGAAAGUUGACGAAAGCUUCUUUUUCAGUAUUGGAAGUGCAAUCCACAGCGGAACAUUGGAUAAAACCAAUGGAAUGUAAAGCAAAAUUACCGAUUAAACUAAAUUGAAAAUCCAACUAGUUGAAUCAGUUCAGUGUCACUAAAAAAAAAAAUUAUAUAUAUAUAACAACACAAUUAUCAUAUUAAUGAGGCACUGUUAAAUUCGAAUAUUUUUCUUUUUCAUUUUUAAUGAAUGCUUAAUAUGACAAACAAUUUGUUCCAUUGAGCACUGUUUAAGUCAUUCAAUGAAAAUGAAUACUUCUAUACAAAACAAUUAUUCCCUUGUCUAUCUGACACACAAAGAACUUUCUUGCUCAGCUCGGCUGCCAAUCCUUUAAAGUUUGUUAAAAUUCAGUCAAUUGAUGAACGAGACAUAACUCAAUAAAUCGUUUAAUUUGUGUAAUUGAUAAAAAUUUAAACUUCAAAUAAUAUAGAUAAAAUGAUUUUUUUUAAUAUUUAGAUAAUUGAUAUAUGUCAUGUUAUUAUGAGUGAAAGAAUGAAGUGUCUGAUAGAAAACACAAUGUUUAUGUUUGUAUCAAAAAUUUUAAGUGCGAAUCUAUUUAGUGUGUACGAUAUAAAUAAAAAUAGUUACCAACUUGUCCUGUUUCUCAUUUUGUUUAAUUUUCAUAAUUUGACUAAGGAUUAAUUAUGAGUCAAUGGUUUAUUGGAAAAAUAUGAUCUUCCAUUUACUAUAAAAGAUUAGCGUGAUUUAAUUAUUUAAUGGUCGUUCAAUUUUAUUGGUUACAAAAUUCUCUAGGAUUGCAUGUAGAUUAUACUUUUAUAUAUAAAAACAAACACUGUCAACAAGCAUUAAUGUCAUUUGACGCAUGAAAGACAAUUAGUCCCAUUUUUUGUCCUGUUUACUUGAACACCACUAAUUCCACUAAUUCCAACAAUUUAUCCAAAAAAACUAUAGUUAGUUUGCCAGGUUCUAGGGGGGCUACUCUUCUUUUUUUUUUUUUUUUUUUCGAUCUGUUAAUGAAUGCUCCUACUCCUAUCGGUUCUAUAUCCAACUCGACCUCGGAAGCUAAUUCGCGUGGGCUUUAUUGGAAUAAUGGUAUCGAUUGGAAUUGUAAGGAAAGAGGUCUUCGUGUCGUGGACAGCUCAACCGAAGAGAGCAGAUGAGCCUUUUCCACCCUUUGCAGAAGAAGGAAAUAAGCUGCCUAAAAUAUUUUUUCACAAAAAUAUUUAUGGCUGUAUCAUUACUCAUUAACUAAUAGGCCACUAAUUUAUUCUUCUUGAAAGAGAAUUACUGCAGCGAGGUUGGAGGCUCAAAGAGUUCUCAUUUAGCCAAACAUAAGAAAUAAGAGUUCAUAGAAGACGUAAUUUGGAAAAUCAAUUCCAUCCAAUAGGCAAUAGGUCUCAGUGGGUUCGACUUAGUAUACGAUUAUUUUCAAAUUUUUAACGUCUUGUAAUUACAGAUUCCGAUAUCACAAUAUAAUUUUCAAACAAAUUAAAGUGAGUCAACUCAAAUUUAGAAAUUUGAGGUCUACUAUAGACUCUUGACAUAUUAAAUCUAAGAUAAUUAAGUAAAUGCUAGACAAAAUCUAACUUGUAAAUAUACCUUACUGCAUGAUGAACGUUCUUAAAAAUCUUAACUGAUUGCUCACCAAUUAAUUGUAAUUUUAAAAUUUUUACAUAUCCUUUCUUUUCCCUAAAACUUCUAGUUUCCUAACAUAUUGUUCUCAAUUGGUCUAAUUAUAAUGUAAAAUUUUUUAAAUAUAAAUUAAAUGAAUUUAUUUAAUAGAAAUUUGAAAAAGAGACACUUAUCUAUGCAAGCAAAGUUGCAUUCUGUUUGUGGGGACCUUAAAAAAAUUUUUUAAAAAAAAGCAUAAUGAUACACUGAUGACGACAAUCCUUAAGUAUUUGUUUUCUUUAGUUACAGUUUGGUUUGAAUGGUUAAGUUCAAGUUCGAAUUUUCUUUUUGUAAUUUAAAUUAAAAUUGAUAGAACAAAUGGGCUGAUCAGUAUGAUGAAGAAGAAGAAGAAGUAAAAGCUAUUAAGCAUUAUCCUAUCACCAUAUCAAAUGGACCGAAUUCAAUCAAAUGAAAUCUAGAAAAUAGAGCAGCUCAUAGAUGUACGUCGCUAAGUGGAGGUUCAUUUGGAAGUACUUGGUCGAAUUGCGACUUGCGCCGGAGGCUUCGUUUUAGAAGAGUGCAGAGCAGCUGCCUUGUCCAUUAGGCACGCCAACGACUUUCUAUUGACCAAUAAUUUUGAAAGCGAUAUUAUAAAUUUACCAUCUAAUUUUUUUUUCUUAUCAUUUCACCAUCAAAAUUUUUUGAUAAACAUCUUUAUUUUCUUUGCAUACGAGCCUUCUUUCUUUUGCUUUGGCCUUUACUCUUGACUGUAUUUCAUGGUCCUAUUCAAUCUAAAUCUUCUGUAGGUUUGUGGCUGUUUUAUGAGUUACGAUUUUUUAUAGGGUUGCAUGUAGAUGAUACAUUUAUAUACAUUUUUUCUUUUUUCUUUUAUUUUUCGGUGAAGAUACUAAAAUUUAGUUUUUGUUAUCAUGUGAAAUGAAAAUAGUCCUCACUUCAAGGAUUAAUGGGCCACUAAUUUCGUCUUCUUAAAAGAAAAUUUUUUGCAGCGAGGUAAUUGGAAGCUCGAAGAUUUCUAUAUUACAUAGUCAAACCUAAGUGAUAAGAAUUUCCAUAUGAGAUAUAAUUUGGAAAAAAAAAAAACAAUUCAAGUUAAAGAUAAAAAAUCUGUGUUCCUUAAAAAACAUAAUUCAAGCCACACAAUUUUUCUUGUUUUAUUUGAAAAAAAGAAAUUUGUGUUCCUCACAAAAACACUUUAACAUUUGUUGUCUCAUAGAGGGAAAUGUCCUUCACUCUUUGACGUAUCCCUGGGGCAAUGUAAGUUGACUUUACAUUAAAACAAAAUUGUCAUGUAGUUAAGAAAAAUCAGUCUCAUUUGAUACGCAAAGAGCUUUUUUACUCUGCAGCCAAUAUUUUGAUGAAUGAGACAUUACUGGUUUGUAUAAUUUUUUGGAUAUUAUCUCAAUUUUACUUCUGUAGGUUUGUUGUUUGUAUAUUAUCUCAAUUUUUAAAAAAAUGUAACUGCAAUUAUCAAACACGACUAAUCCCAACAAUUUAUCCAAAAAUUUUUGUUUCGAGAAAUGUAGCAUUUAUGAUAGAAUGGCUAAUUUUUUCAAUCGACUUUCUGGAUAAAUGAUAAUUUUUUGAUAGAAAUGUUACUUACUUAUUACAGGAAGAAAAUUAUAGAAUAAUUUUUUGAAUUAAUAGUAUUACUUUACGAUAACACUAUCACAAUCUAAUUAUAAAAAAAAAUAAAGUUAUUCUUUAAAUUUCGCAUUACUAUUCCUACUUUUCUUUUUAUACUACUUAAUGGCACUGGUGAAGCCUCGAAUUAUCAAACAAAAGGCAAAAAUAGUUCAAUAUCUGCUGUCCCACUGAGCAUUGUUAAAUUCAUAUGAUAAAAUGAGUACUUAUAUUAAAAAAACAAUCGGUCUCAUUGCGUGCUCUUUAAUAAUUUGUGGCACUUUUAUGAAUUUUCAAGACUAGUGAAUUUUUCAAAUUUAAAAGAAAAAAUACAGAAAUGUAAUCUCAAUUUAUCCAAAAAUUUGAGUUUCAUGGAAUAUAGCAUUUAUUAUAAGUCAUGUUAAGAUAGAGAAGAAAAUUUUAAAAACUUCUUUUUGGAUGAAUAAAAGUAUUUUCUGAUAAAUAUUUCACAAUCAUGUUUAAAAAAAUUUCACUCCUCUUGGUACAUAAUUUAAGAAUUUGACAUUAUAAAUUAAUCUUUUUAAUCAAAGUAAUAAUCUCUCCUCGGCCUGCAAAUGCUAAAAUUUAAUAUUAUAUCCGUUGACGAUAUUUUGCUCCAAAUUCACGAAAAUAAAAUUUCUAACAGAAUUAUGAAAUUCAUUACUAGAAAUUUGUAUAAAAGUUGUGAGAAUAGAAGGUUUGAUCAUAGGAAAUUAAUAUAUCCCUAUCCGAUGCAAAAAUGAUUGUAAAGAAAAACAAAAGUCACAGGCUUAUUUAGAAAAAAAAAAAGAAGAAAAAAUUACAUUCCAUUUUCCAGUUAUUAAAGUAAUUCUAAAAUUGCUAGGAUCACAAAGGAUAGGCUUUGGUUGACUGAGGUCAGCCUUAACGGAUGCCGGUCUUUUCUCCUGUACGUUCUUAGAAAUUUUGGUUUUCACUAUAAAUACUCGGUAUAUAGCAAACUUAUAAGUGUUCUUGCGUAUAGAAAGAGUUCAUUCUCUCAGGAUGAUGAGCAGAUUUCUCUUACUCCAUUGUUUGAUUCUUAUUUCCUUAUUUAUCGCGGCAGCAACAGCCAACACAAGUUCUACUAUCACAGACCGAGAUGCUCUGUUAGCCCUGAAAGCUCACAUAACUCAUGAUCCGACCAAUUUCUUGGCCAAGAAUUGGAACACAAGUACUCCUGUCUGUAAUUGGACAGGCGUCACUUGUGAUGUCCAUAGCCAUAGAGUCACAGUCUUGAAUAUUUCAAGCUUAAAUCUCACAGGCACCAUCCCUUCUCAACUUGGGA
rnacentral:lncRNA from 1 species